rnacentral:lncRNA from 1 species
CAAAUCCGCCUCCGUAGGGAGACGCGGUUGGGGAAGGGAAUAAGAGGGGAGAUCUCACGUACUUGCCGGAGUUGGCGGCGGCCGCGCACCGGCAGCAAAGAGAGGGGUCGUCGAGAGAUGGCGGCGACGGCGGCGGCGCUGGUCGAGAAGGGGAGAAAGAAAAAUGUGGAGUGGUCGAGACGGGGAGAAAGAAAAAUGUGGUACAUGUGGUGGCUCGGUUGUGUGGAUGACAAGGGGACCCACUUGUGAGACCGAUAGCAAUUGAUGGCUAACCGCAGGAGGUGCAGGACCGCGUGCACGACCGCCACGUCCCCACGUGGAAUGGGGACGGCCGGGUGGGUGUGUCAAGUCAAAUUGGCACCCGCGGCUUCUCGGUAACUCCAAGAGGCAGGAGCAGUGCAUUUCUUCCCCAUAUCGGGUAGAAAACCCUCGUCCUCUCCCCACCCUCUCUUCCUUCGUCACCACCUCACCACCCUCUCCUCCUUCCUCACCACCCUCCUCCCUUCCUACGCCUCCCUCCUCCUGUCUUCGACCGACAAUGAAGCGCGGGCGUGAAGAUGCGGCGGACGAGCCGGAGGCAACCAUCGGAGCAGAGCAGUCUGCUGCCGUGGAUGCAGCCGUGGGUGGAGCGGCUGAGUCCGCCGUAGCGGCGGAAGCUGGCGGUGCAGCGACCGUUGUGCCUGCUCCCGCUGCCAUCGCAGCUGUCGAGGCACCCGUCGGCGAGCACAAGGUCGGGGAAGAUCUGGAGGAGGAGGAGAUGAGAAGGCAUAAGCGGAAGGUGCAUGACUGAAAGUGCAACUAUCCCUAGGUGGUUUUGGUAAUUCAUAACAACAUAUAGCUCAUUGAGCUAAUGCUAUUUCAAGAUGAUUAUUUCAGGAAAGCUCAAUGAUUGGCAUGGCAUGGAUGUGAAAGUGGAAUCCUCAAAAUGCGAAGGAAAAAGAAUUGGCUCAAGCUCAAAAGUUCAAGACUCUUCAUUUUAUAUUUUAGUGAUCCAAGAUCACAUUGAGUCUUUAGGAAAAGCCAAUACUAUUAAGGAGGGAUGAGGUGUUGCUUAAUGAGCCUCUUGCUCUAUGUGCUUAGUGAUAUGCUCCAAAAUCCUCAACCACUUUUCCAUAUCCACAAAUGACCUAAACCCUAAGCCAAACUCGGUCUUACCGAUUCUGUCAAUCCGGCGCCACCGAGUUUCACUUGUCAUUUGAGACUGCCAAACCCUAGCAAUUCGGUCCUACCGAUAAGGUUCUCGGUCUCACCGAGAUGGGCUUGCAAACUCUCUGUUUCCCUUUCGUAACUUUUUGGUCUCACCGAAAGAGCGAAUCGGUCCCACCGAGAAUGCAAGGUAAACUCUAUGUUUCCUUCUUGUAACGUUUCGGUCUCACCGAAAGAGCAAGUCGGUCCCACCGAUUUUGCCUGACCAACUCUCUGGAUAGCUAAUUGCCGAACUUGGUCUCACCGAGAUUACGUUAUGCCCAAACCCUAACCGAAUCGGUCCUACCGAGUUGCAUCUCAGUCCCACCGAAAUUCCUAAUGGUCACUAGGUUUACCAUUUCGGUCCGACCGAGUUUGAUUAUUUGGUCCCACCGAGAUUGGAAAACUGUGUGUAACGGUUGGAUUUUGUGUGGAGGCUAUAUAUACCCCUCCACCACCUCUUCAUUCGAAGAGAGAGCAAGCAAAACACAUACAUCAUUCCUACUCAUAUGUUCUGAGAAAGAACCACCUACUCAUGUGUUGAGACAAAGAUAUUCCAUUCCUACCUUAUGAAUCUUGAUCUCUAGCCUUUCCCAAGUUGCUUUCCACUCAAAUCUUCUUUCCACCAGAUCCAAAUCCUAUGAGAGAGAGUUGAGUGUUGGGGAGACUAUCAUUUGAAGCACAAGAGCAAGGAGUUCAUCAUCAACACACCAUUUGUUACUUCUUGGAGAGUGGUGUCUCCUAGAUUGGCUAGGUGUCACUUGGGAGCCUCCGACAAGAUUGUGGAGUUGAACCAAGGUGUUUGUAAGGGCAAGGAGAUCGCCUACUUCGUGAAGAUCUACUGCUAGUGAGGCAAGUCCUUCGUGGGCGAUGGCCAUGGUGGAAUAGACAAGGUUGCUUCUUCAUGGACCCUUCGUGGGUGGAGCCCUCCGUGGACUCGCGCAACCGUUACCCUCCGUGGGUUGAAGUCUCCAUCAACGUGGAUGUAGGAUAGCACCACCUAUCCGAACCACGGGAAAACAUCCAUGUCUCCAAUUGCGUUUGAAUCCUCCAAACCCUUACCUUUACAUUCUUGCAAGUUGCAUGCUUUACUUUCCACUGCCAAUAAACUCUUUGCAUGCUUGCUUGAAUUGUGUGAUGAUUGCUUGACUUGCUCUAAGAUAGCUAAAAUCUGCCAAGAACUAAAAUUGGGAAAAGGCUAAGUUUUUAAUUAGUCAAGUAGUCUAAUCACCCCCCCUCUAGACAUACUUUCAAUCCUACAAGUGGUAUCAGAGCUUUGGUCUCCAUUUGGCUUGAUCUUCAUAGCUUUUGGUGGUCAUAGCCUUGGUUUCACAACCUAGGAGAGUAUGGCAUCUAGCGAGGGAAAUUAUCACCGUAGAGGUCCUUACUUUGAUGGCACUAAUUUUGCUAGUUGGAAGCAUAAAAUGAAAAUGCAUAUUCUUGGACAUAACCCCGCCGUAUGGGCUAUUGUUUGUGUUGGCUUGCAAGGUGAGUUCUUCGAUGGGAGGGAACCAAACCGUGAAGCUACCGCGGAUGAGUUGAAGAUGUUGCAAUACAAUGCUCAAGCUUGUGAUAUUCUCUUCAACGGAUUGUGCCCCGAAGAAUUCAACAAAAUCAGCGGCCUUGAGAAUGCAAAGGAGAUUUGGGAUACUUUGAUUGAUAUGCACGAAGGUACCGACUCCGUCAAGGAAUCCAAGUUGGAUGUGCUCCAAAGUCAACUUGACAAGUUCAAGAUGAAGGAUGGUGAAGGUGUCGCUGAAAUGUACUCCAGGCUUGCUCUCAUCACAAAUGAGAUUGCCGGCUUAGGAAGUGAAGAGAUGACCGAUAGAUUCAUCAUCAAGAAGAUCCUAAGAGCCUUGGAUGGGAAAUAUGAUACCGUGUGCACAUUAAUCCAAAUGAUGCCCAACUACAAAAUCUCAAGCCAACGGAAGUAAUUGGAAGGAUUGUUGCUCAUGAGAUGUCACUCAAGGAUAAAGAGGAACUUCACAAUAAAUCAAGUGGUGCCUACAAAGCGUCAUGUGAAGCCCCCGCAUCAUCAAGUGAGAAACAAAACUUCAAUGAAGAAUUGAGCUUAAUGGUGAAGAACUUCAACAAGUUCUACAAGAGUAGAAGCAAAGAUAGAAGCUUCAAGUCAAGGUCCUACAAUGACAAAAGAUCUUCUAGUCGAGAGCGAAACUGCUAUAAUUGUGGAAGACCCGGACACUAUUCCAAUGAGUGUACGACUCCCUACAAGAGAAGAGAAGAUUCUCCAAAAAGAAGAAGCAAAGAAUCUCCACCAAGAGAGAGAAGGAGUAGAGAUGAUCGUUAUGAACGAAGAUACUCACGGAGAAGCAAGGACUCGGAAAGGAAGGAAAAAUCAUCAAGGAGCUAUACAAAACAAAGACAUCAAGCUCAUGUUGAUGAAUGGGUAUCCGGCUUCGACUCCGACAGCCACUCAGAGAGAAGUUAUCACUCCGACUCCGAAGAUACUCAAGAUGAAGGUGUUGCCGGUCUAGCACUUGUGUCAACCAACUCCUACGACAUAUUUGACUCCCCAAAUGAAGGAAUUGGAAGAUGCUUCAUGGCUAAAGGUCCUAAGGUAACACACCCCGAGUACGUUGAUUUUAAUAGUGAUGAAGAUGACUUGUUAGGUAAUGAUGAUUUGCUUGUUGACAACUCUAGUGAUGAGUACUAUGAUGAAACAUCAAUUAAUCAUGCUAAAACGAAUGACAAUGAUAAGGAGAAGAUUGAGGCUCUAACUAAAGAACUAAACACUCUUAAGUUAGCUCAUGAAACUAUCUUCGAAGAUCAUCGAGAACUUUUAAGAGCUCAUGAGAAAUUACGCUUUGAAAAGCUCAAUCUUGAGCAAGAGCAUGAGUUCUUAAAAGCAAUCAACGAUGAUCUCCGCAAGAAUAGUUCUUCUUACAUUGCCAAGCGUUUACUAUUAUCCACUUACAUGCCUCAAGUCAAGACUAGUAACAAGAAUAAGAAAGAUUCUUCCUCUAGUAGUGACAAUGAUCAUGCUAAAUCCAAUAUUGUUGCUUCUAGUAGUUCUCUUGAUUCCACUAAUGAUUCUCUUAGCCAAGUUACACUUGAGCAAGAAAAUAGCUUAUUGAAGGGAAUUAUAGAGAAAGGUGUUUACAAGAGCCUUGCCGGAAGUAAGCAAUUCGAGGAAAUUGUGCACAAGCAAGGAAUGCACCGGAAGAAUCAAGGUGUUGGUUUUGAACGAAAGUUCAAUGCCAAUGGAGUUGAAUGGGAAGAAGAUCAAUACCCCAAGACAAAGUUUGUUCCUCAACAAGAGAAGUAUGACACUUCUUUCAAGGGGACACAAGCUCAAGAUGAUCUUCCACCACAAGACUACAAGCAAAAAGGCAAGGACAAGCUUCAAGAGGAGAUUGAUGCAUUUGAAGAAGCUCCCAAGACCUUAGUCAAGUGGAUUCCCAAGACUACUUCAAGUUCCACUACACCAAGUACGACUACAACUCCAAGGAUUCCCAUCAAGAUGGUGUGGAUCCAAAAGAAGAAGAACUAGAGAGUUCUUGAGGGUGACUCCGCCAACAUAAUUCACUCUUAUCAUUUUGGCAAGAACAAGUGCAAUCAACUUCCACAUCUUGCACUAGUUCAAGGAGUUACAAACCCUCUUGUUGGUAAGACAAGGGACAAGGUAACCUAAAGUUUUCAUGGACAUCAUCUUGUGUGUGCAUCACUCUAUGUCUAUGGAUAUCCUUGUUUGUUCCUUGUGGGACUAACCCAUGUAGGUAUUGAAAGUGCAAUUCACUCAAAUGGAUAGCUCCAAGUGAUCUACAUCAACAUUGAGCAUCCACAUCUUCAACAUCUACAUGAAGUCAUCAUCGACAAAACCCAAGGUUAGUUCAUCCCUCUUAGGGGGGAUAUCACAUCUAGGGGGAGCUUUACUCUAAGACUUGAGCUAAAGCAACUCUAAAGAUGUGAAUACAACAAUGCUUUAUGUAAAAGUGGUAACCCCACUUGAGCUUAAACGAUGGGUAUGACCUAUGAUCAAGUGUUCUCACUUGACUCCUAAGUCAAUAUGCUCAUAUAUAGAUGACCUAGUCAUCGCAAAUUGCUUUAUAGAUGCUAGAAUUGGUUGUGCAUGCUUUGCCACAUAUUUCAUUUGCCAUCUUAUUGUGUGAGCAUGUUGGUUGCAUAUUUUACUCAUUCGAGGACAUCCACUUGUUGUUUUGAUUGUUUGGCUUUCUUUUUUUGCCAAGUGGAUGGACAAGAAUGCCUAAGAACCUCCUCUAGCUAUCUAUGCUUUUCUCGUCUCAAACUCUAUUCAUGCUGCAUCACAAAACUUGAUCAAGUCAGAUUCGAACCACUCUGUGUGAGGAGCGCUCGGAGUCCCCGAUUCGUCAUAGACUUAAACUUCCAAAACCUCUUUAUGAAUCUCGGUCUGACCGAUACUCCAUUUUCGGUCCUACCGAGUUCAUUAAGUUGAUCUAGGUUUUCGAUCUCGGUGCAACCGAUUUGAACUUUUCGGUCACACCGAGUUGCAAUAACUGCACACAGUUUUGCAUCUCGGUGCCACCGAGUUGUUCCACUCGGUCACACCGACAGGGUCGGGCUAUAUAUAGUGACGGGAAAUUUUUUGGAAAUUUCUCCGAAACCCCUUCGCCCGCGCGAUAGCCUGCUCUGCCUUCGUGGUCUCCGGAUCGUCUUCUCGUCGCCAGCAGCCUCCAGUCACUGGUCUCCGCCGCCGUCAACGGAUUUCUGCCCCGCCGUUGCCGCCGUAGCGAGUCUCCGCCGAACUAGGGGUCAGCAGUCAGUUUGCAACAUGUCUGAUCAAAGUGACAGCCAGAAUGUGUCUGAGCAGCAAGUUGUGAUGAGUGAGGGCACUAGCCCCUCAAGCUCUUCUGAUGAUGGCAGCAGGAGCACCCCCAGCAAUCUGCCCAAGGCCGCCACACGUCAAAGGAAGAAGAGAACGUCUGAUUCUGAGGAUGAAGACUAUGUGGCAGAGGAAGAGGCCACAUCAAAGAGAGCUGAACCAGCUCAAGGAACCAAGCCAGGGCUGAAGAUCAAAAGGCCAACAGGCAGGCAGCCCAUGUCAAAGGCUAGGGCUUCAACUGUGAAGCCUGCUCCCACUGAGCCCGUUGCUGCUGAGGGCAAGAAAAGGAAAGAAAGGGUGAAAAAGACUGUAGCCAGAGUGCUUGGAAAGGCCUCCAUCAUGGUCGAUGAGGAGGAAGAAGAAGAGGUUGCUGCACUAGCACCCAAGGCAGCCAAACUCAUGGGAGAUGCUAUAAGGUCAGGAACAGCUGCAUCCAAGCCCAAGGAUGCACCUAAGGCUGCAACUAAGCCUAAGAGUGCACCCAAGAGAAACACACGAAGCAUCCCAGCUGCAGAAAAGAACAAGGCCCCAACGCCUGAAGCUAUUGAAGAAGAGGAAGAGAGUGUCCUUAGGAAGAUCAAGCCUGAGCGUCGACUUAGCACUAUGCAUUUUCUAGGAACUUUUUGGUAACUUGUUGCCAAAGGGGGAGAAGAUGUAUAGAUCAUAGGCUUCGAGAGAGAGUGUGUUGCUUUUCUCUCUUGUUUUUAUUUGGUGGUUUUUCGAACUUUGUUUGCUUGUGUGUGAGAUACUAUGUCGUUAUUCGUGAGACAUCGAUGAUCAUGUGUUUGAUCAUAAGCUACACUUAAUGUUUGCUUAAUGCUUGCUAUAUAUUAUCAUUCCAUCUAUCGUUUGUGAUCAUUCACUAUUCUUGGUGAUGAGUGCAUGUAUUUCAAUCUUAUCAUUUUUGAGCGCUCCACCAAGAUGUAUGUGACAUGGAAGAGUAACCCAUGAUUCUAACUCCAUGUGCAUUUGCAGUCCAAAGCAAAUUUUAAAUACGCACAAAUUUAGGGGGAGCUCUUAUUUGUCACAUACUUCUGAAAGCGACGAUAUAUUUCAUGCUUAUUAUCAUUUGUCGAAGCUUUGAUCUAUAUGUUGUCAUCAAUUACCAAAAAGGGGGAGAUUGAAAGUGCAACUAUCCCUAGGUGGUUUUGGUAAUUCAUAACAACAUAUAGCUCAUUGAGCUAAUGCUAUUUCAAGAUGAUUAUUUCAGGAAAGCUCAAUGAUUGGCAUGGCAUGGAUGUGAAAGUGGAACCCUCAAAAUGCUAAGGAAAAAGAAUUGGCUCAAGCUCAAAAGUUCAAGACUCUUCAUUUUAUAUUUUAGUGAUCCAAGAUCACAUUGAGUCUUUAGGAAAAGCCAAUACUAUUAAGGAGGGAUGAGGUGUUGCUUAAUGAGCCUCUUGCUCUAUGUGCUUAGUGAUAUGCUCCAAAAUCCUCAACCACUUUUCCAUAUCCACAAAUGACCUAAACCCUAAGCCAAACUCGGUCUUACCGAUUCUGUCAAUCCGGCGCCACCGAGUUUCACUUGUCAUUUGCCACUGCCAAACCCUAGCAAUUCAGUCCUACCGAUAAGGUUCUCGGUCUCACCGAGAUGGGCUUGCAAACUCUCUGUUUCCCUUUUGUAACUUUUCGGUCUCACCGAAAGAGCGAAUCAGUCCCACCGAGAAUGCAAGGUAAACUCUAUGUUUCCUCUUGUAACAUUUCGGUCUCACCGAAAGAGCAAGUCGGUCCCACCGAGUUUGCCUGACCAACUCUCUCGUUAGCUAAUUGCCGAACUCGGUCUCACCGAGUUUGUGCGAUCGGUCUCACCGAGAUUACGUUAUGCCCAAACCCUAACCGAAUCGGUCCUACCGAGUUGCAUCUCAGUCCCACCGAAAUUCCUAACGGUCACUAGGUUUACCAUUUCGGUCCGACCGAGUUUGAUUAUUCGGUCCCACCGAGAUUGGAAAACUGUGUGUAACGGUUGGAUUUUGUGUGGAGGCUAUAUAUACCCCUCCACCACCUCUUCAUUCGAAGAGAGAGCAAUCAGAACACAUACAUCAUUCCUACUCAUAUGUUCUGAGAAAGAACCACCUACUCAUGUGUUGAGACCAAGAUAUUCCAUUCCUACCUUAUGAAUCUUGAUCUCUAGCCUUUCCCAAGUUGCUUUCCACUCAAAUCUUCUUUCCACCAGAUCCAAAUCCUAUGAGAGAGAGUUGAGUGUUGGGGAGACUAUCAUUUGAAGCACAAGAGCAAGGAGUUCAUCAUCAACACACCAUUUUUUACUUCUUGGAGAGUGGUGUCUCCUAGAUUGGCUAGGUGUCACUUGGGAGCCUCCGACAAGAUUGUGGAGUUGAACCAAGGUGUUUGUAAGGGCAAGGAGAUCGCCUACUUCGUGAAGAUCUACUGCUAGUGAGGCAAGUCCUUCGUGGGUGAUGGCCAUGGUGGAAUAGACAAGGUUGCUUCUUCGUGGACCCUUCGUGGGUGGAGCCCUCCGUGGACUCGCGCAACCGUUACCCUCCGUGGGUUGAAGUCUCCAUCAACGUGGAUGUAGGAUAGCACCACCUAUCCGAACCACGGGAAAACAUCCGUGUCUCCAAUUGCGUUUGAAUCCUCCAAACCCUUACCUUUACAUUCUUGCAAGUUGCAUGCUUUACUUUCCGCUGCCAAUAAACUCUUUGCAUGCUUGCUUGAAUUGUGUGAUGAUUGCUUGACUUGCUCUAAGAUAGCUAAAAUCUGCCAAGAACUAAAAUUGGGAAAAGGCUAAGUUUUUAAUUGGUCAAGUAGUCUAAUCACCCCCCCUCUAGACAUACUUUCGAUCCUACAAUGACGAAAUCGAGGAGCUCUUCGAGGAGAACGCCAUAAAGGAGUUCGACCUAGAUAGCAGGAAGGGCAGCGACUUCGACGAGGAUGCCAUCGACGACCUAUCUGAGGUAGUACUCUGUUUUUGCUCUGUUUUUUUCAUGACAUUGGGGUUUUUCUUGUUAACUACAUGAGCAUCAAUUUCACUUGGGCGUGCUAGUUGUACGUAUGUAGGAUUGUAGGGAUCUAGCAUAGAUCUUCAUGUUGGAUGUGGUUUUUUAAAUCUGAUUGACAUUCUGAUUCCAGCAAAUACUUUGGGUUUUUUUCAUGGCAUUGGGGUUUGUCUUGUUAACUAGAUGAGCAUAAGUUCCACAAGGGAUACAUUAAUGAAAGAAGUGGGGUAAUGAACCCAACUACAAGAUAAUGUUCAUGGCAGGGAUACAUUAAUGGAAAAAGUGGGUUAAACAAUGGAUAUAUGGCAGGAUUCUCCAUUGGCUUCCCCAGGACAGUGACAAAAUGCUGCAGUUCCUGAUUCAUUUUAGUUUAUGUAGAUGAAUUAAUUUGCACACAUGUUCAUAGAUGAUUAGUUUGCACACAUGUUCAUAGAUGAUCCAUUUGCAAAUUCUAUACAGCUUUCCAUUUUGCAAAGGAAGUGAUCGCUCCCUUAAUAAUUAUGGGCUGACAGUACAUAUCCACUGGAUACCAAAAAAUCAAAACAUUUCAUCUAGCCAAUUUUCCACAGUAUGUUAUCUAGAUGAUCACAGCCACAUCUCUCAUCAAUAUGAGCAGUGAGACACCCCAUAGCUCCUUUACCAAUUUCCUUCUGAAACUUAUCAGGGUCUAACAAUGUUGGACAAGCAGUAUUGCCGGUGUCAGAAAGAAUAAUGGUUUCUUCAUUCCAGUAGAUAGAACAAACCCCCCUUGUGUGAAACAUGGAGGAGUACAAUGAAGCCAUUUUUCUGAUUCCAAUAAGAAUUACACCUGUAACAAGUAUCAAAUAUCAUUAAACCAAGCCACUUCAUGAAGUCUUUCAUGUGUUAAUUAUGUACUACUUGUGCACUAAUCUAUAAAUGCAACUAUUCCACCAUCCGUAUUUAUGCAUGUCAGUUUCUUUGGCUCAAUUAUGUAUGUGCACAUACGCCUUGUUUCUAGCAAAUAGAUAGUUGCCAUGUUACACGUGUGUACUUUCAAAACAUUGUAAUUAAAGUCAAUGUACCAUAAUGGAUUAGCUGAGUUCUUCUAUGUGUACUAAUUCACUAAUUCACAGGAGGAUGACGACGAUGUGGACUACUGCAUGGACAGCAGGCACAACAAGAGCCGGUACACCCUGAGGCAUCUGAUUGCUGGGAAGAUCAAGUACCGUUUCUUUGGCAAGAUUGGGUGCCCUUUCUGUUGCAAGGUGAUCGGUGGCGGCAUAGAUGGCAUGAUCCAGCAUGCCUUCAGCACUGGCAAUGGACAUGGUAAGAAGCAUAAAGCCAGUACUUUGGCUAAACAUGCUGCCUACGCACGCUUCCUCGAGAUUGUGAAAGUCAAUGAGCCCUACAACAUGCAUUGAACAAGGGAGAGAAGUGAUGUGCUGCUAGAGUGCUGCUGCUGCCCCAGGACCCCCGUGUCCUGUUAUGUUAUGUAUGUUUGUUUGUUGUUGGAGUCUAAAACUGAUGUCCUAUGGUGUGUCUGAACCUAUGCUGAGCGGUGGUUGAUCUGCCGUUUAUGUUAAGAGUUUGCUGCUACUCUAGUUUAGUGUUCCUAGUUGUUAAUACUAUUUUGGUGAUGCAUGUUUAAGCCUUGUACAAUGCUAGAUGCUUAGGGUGGUGCUUAGAAAAAUAAACAGGGUUUUUUUGAAGCACCAGUGCCUAUUUCUACAGGAGAGACGCCUAGUUAUGCGUCUACCCUGUACAAAUAAGCACCUGUGCUUAAGAAAAGCCUAGUUUAUUUCUAUAAGCAACUCCCCUAAGCGCCUUGCAUUGUACAAGGCCUUAGCAACUCAAGUAUCGUACGGUGGUCUACGUUAUGGUUGCUGUGUUAUUCUGCCGUACGGUGAUGCAUGCUAGGAACUGUCAUAAUAUGACUAUGGUAGUUAUAGCUUCGCAUGAUUAUGUUUAGUGUAUAACUCAGCAUGUUCCUACCAUAUCUAUGGGUAAUUACAACUGAACUAUGCAUUAAUUUUUGACAAAAUGAAAGCAUGCAAAUGAUUGCCGAUUCCACCUAUUGGAAAAUCAAGCUUUGGACUGAUGAUGCAUUAUAUAUUGCAAUAAGUAGAGGAUGCUCAUGAUUGCCAAAAGUACCUAUUUCCACUUUCUGAUAAGAACUAAACGUGUAUCAAAUGAUGCUAAAAGUAGAGCAUGAGCAUAAGCAUGUAUCAAUGCAUUAGAUAUUGCAAUAAGUAGAGGAUGCUCAUGAUUGCCAAAAGUACCUAUUUCCACUUUCUGAUAAGAACUAAACGUGUAUCAAAUGAUGCUAAAAGUAGAGCAUGAGCAUGAGCAUGUAUCAAUUGAUGCUACCUAUUUGUGUUUGAAUGGGCUCAAUAAAGCUGGUGCUGGUUUAUGCUCUCUGCGUGACCGUGAUGGUAACGAAGACACUUGGUUGGCUAUGGUCUUGCUGUCAAAUUUAAGUUUCAGUUCUUUAAGAUUCUUUGUUUUUGCUGCUUGCUCGGGAUCGACUAGCUUUCUCGGGCGUCCACGUGCUCUCUUCCUUUUGGGGGAGUUGGGUGCACCAUUUUUGGGGGAGUUGGCUGCACCGGUAUCCUUCUGGGAGUUGGAUGUGUCAGGUUCGUUGGAACCAUCGGGAUUGUUGACUAAUUGUACGUCCUCUUCUGAAGCAUCAGGUAGAACUGCUUGCUGGGCAUCGUACACCUCCUUCUGUAUAAGAGAGAGUGCUGCGUUAGUUCUAAUCAUGAGACUUAUGAAAUAAAUGAUAUAUUCUUCAUGUAGCGCUAACCGUUAUGGGGAACUUAUAUGAUUCGAGACGAAGCGCAUUGCAAUUUGAAUGCAGUAAGGCUGUACAUAUUUUCCACCUGAAAAUAUCUAUCCUUGCCUAUAUUGGAUAACCGACACUGACGUCAGCAUAGCUUUCAAGCUAAACAAAUUACAAAUUUAAAUUAGGCAUUCAAUUACCUGGUUCAAAAUAUCGGUCAUUUCAUCCCCGUUCCAUGACAACAUGUACUGCAGUGUCCAAACCGCACAGGAAGUCUUGCAAUGUUUAGUUAAAGAUCAGUAAUCUUAUUCGUGUACGCAAAUAAUAAUUUAUGAGGCCAUGCGUACCCAUCGGUCUGUUGUGGUAUGUUCUCAUAGUGUUUUUUGGUCCAUUUGGCAAAAUUGAUGUUAUUAGCUGGUGAUAUCAACCCUUUCUUGACCGCUUCGUCAAUGCAGAACUGAAUCGAGUCCACCUAGGUUACGACAAGUUAUACAUAGGGUUACGGUACUUUGGGAGCUCAUGUUCCAUGCGGAUCAAGAGAGGCAGCAAGAGAACACUUACAAGAGAAUCUUCCUUGGUCUUGUUGCAAUGAUAAUUCAUGGAGUUCAGAGUCUGAAUUUCUUUUUUGUCAAAAUUAAACAUCAUUAGCAUCCAAUGGUUUUGGUGUACAUUGAGUGGGACAUGCACCUGCAGUAAAAUUUGGGUUGGGUUGAGAACCGAAAUUUGUCGUGUACAGUGUGUACGUAAACUAUAAAAGUGUGGAAAACGUGUACCUUUCGGCGCCCUACAAAUUUUCCUGCUACACGAGCUAACCAUGAUGCUGCACGUCCAACAGGAACCACCCCCUUCAUUUGUAACAGCUUUUCGGUUUCUUGAGGGGAUAUGAUUGAGGUAGUAUCAUUCUCAAUUUGGCUAAUGAGAGCAUAUGCCAUAAUAACCUGCCAAAUUUUCAAUCAUACAAUAAUAAGACAGUUGUUGCAGUAAUGAUGUACAAUAGAGUAUAAUGGGCUUACAUCACCAUAAAUGUAUUUCUCGUCCAAAUUUCGCUUCAGAUUUUCUGCUGUGAGGGAAAUGUCUCCGAUUCUAGCUAUUUCAACAGGGUCAUAUGUUCCGCGGGUGUAAACGGCUGUCUCUAUGUCCUCAUCCGUGAACUUGUAAUCAUUACCAAAGACAGGCUUCAUCGGAGUUAAUUGUGGUUCCUCAUUGUUUUCCCUCACAUGUCUUGCACUUGGUGUACUCAAAGUCCCUGUCGUGAUUUGGCUAGCCCUAGGAGUUCCUGUCAGGGAUGAAUUGCACACAUUGACUUGAUCCUACAAUGAACAAAGGUAGUUCAUCAUUAGUUUGUUACUUUUAGAUAUUAACGUGUUGGGCCAAUUUUGAUCACCUGCACGCCUCCUUUCUGUGACACUGAUUGUCGGUUCCUUGUAAAUUCGUAUUUUAAGUCCUGUAACAAUGCAAACAAUAAUGAACAUGAAGGAACAUAUUCAUAAAAAAUACAAAAUGCACAGUAUGACAUACAUGGAGUUCCCUCCUUAAGUCUUUAAUUUCGUCCUCGGCCUUCGACAACCUAGGAUUAGUGCCAGUUUUAGUCUUCAUGUCGAUCAAGUCUUCACCUAGAGUCUGGUAUUUGACAUCAAAUCUGUGCUCAAUUUCCAUUAACUUCCUGCAUACCUUCUUUUCAUGAUCAGCAAUGCGUGCAUUCAUGACUUCAACUACCAUUUCAAUCUGUGUAAACAAAAUAAAACCCCAUUGGUAACAAUAGCUAAAUGAAUGAGGUUCCAUGACACCUAUUUGUGAUAUUGCAAAAACAAAUAGUCUUUGGAGUACAUACUUGCUGGCUACUAAAUUGCUGUCCUUGUGAUGGUGCUCGAUACGAAUCAUGUUGAUGCACAUGUUCAUCUUUUUUUCUUGGAAAAUUAUUAGAAUUAUCGGACGGUCGUUGAGGAGCACAAAUUUCCAUGACAACCUAUUUUUUUAAAAUAUAAUGAACCAUUAGUACCAAAUAAAAAAUCGAAUAUAGAAAGUUCAAUUGUAGAUAGGUACCAGCCCGUUAUGAAGACCUCCUUUCUCGUAAGCAUCGCUUCUUAAAGUAGCCAUCAUUUCGUCCCAUCGUGCGAUCAAUGGAGGGGGUCUAGAAGCAUACAUUAAUCGGCCACUACGCACGUGCUCCCAGUACCAAUACUACACAAUAAAUUAGUUCAUCACCAUACAGAUAUGCAACAGAACAAUAAUUAAAGGACAUUAAGUAGUGAUCUAUCACUAACCUAGAGCAGAAUUAGAUUUCAUUGUAGAUUUACGUGAUCUCGAUUUCUAAACUUGUGAACGGACUUGAAGAAGUGAUUAAGUGUGAAACAUCCCCAGUUAAAUUUCCGAAGGUUUUCAAGAUCUGUAACGAGGUUGAGAAAUUUCGAGUCCACAUAAUGUUGUGCUGUUGGUGCUAGAACAGUACCAAUUGCGUACAGAAUGAACCGCCUCAGGAAAUCGCCGUCUGGGGCUUUGGAAGCUCGGAUCAUUGUUUCAAGGUCAGAAAUCAAAAUUUGCCCAUUGUUUGCAUAGGCGGUAAACAAUUCUGUGUCGGUUUGCAUUUCCAGAUGUGGCUCUAUAUCCUCCCCUUCUAUCGGAAUGCCAAAUAUACCUUGCACGUCCUCUUUUGUUAUAGGAAUUGGCGUUUUACCGAUGGUAAUGGAUUGCGUGUCCAUAUCUAUGCUCUUGGCUAGUCUAACCAACAUUAUGCGCCGUAGAGUCACUUCAUGCAUCUGGGUCAGACCGCCAAGACUGGUUUCUGAUAUGAUGUACUUUCUGUGGUCUUAUGAAAACAGUUUCAUGGUUUUUCCGAACCUUGUCUGUGAGCAUACUAACUUCAUAUGACCAUGCUUUUCGGCGAGUUCCUGUUACAUGCCAUUAAAUAUUACUGAGUACACAUGAAUUAUGUGUACGAAACGAUUGUACACAAACAGUAAAUUACUUACCACAUCGGUAAUUUCGGAGAUGGGCUUUUCUCCAUUAUUAAGGUUCGUAUCUGAAACUGACAUUGCUGCCUCGUAUGCAAUGAUAAAAUCAGGCUCAAUUAAUCUGAACAAAAUUGGAAAAUCUAUAACAAAAUUAGCAGAGAAUUAAUUUUAACAAAAUUAACUGGGUCAUUUAACAUAUGAUCCACUUAUGGGUUUAAGCACAGAACCUACUUGGGUGCAAAACCUAUGAGGGUUCAACAACUAAAGCAUCGGCGAACAACGAUUAUAAAGAGUUACAAUCAGCUAAGACCUUACCUCGGAGAUGGUGCCACCGAGUAGAUGGCGGCGGUUAGUGCGUCGGAAACUAUAAGUGCCGGUAUAGCGCGGUCGACGGCGCAAAGGAAAAACGGCACGUUCACGCGAGGAGGAGGCGGCGAGAAGAACACUGACGUCCGAGCCCUUAGAUCACGUUGGCGGUGGGCGGCGAGUGGUGGUCGCCGACUCCUGUAUUCCAUGGGCGACCGGCGUCUCCGAUCUGAUCUUGCAGCGGUCGUGGGAGGUGCAGACGACCCGGGUGGUUAGAAUGCGGAGCUGUAAUCGCGGGAUUUAGGGAGGGGUGGGCCGCGUGAGUUAUGUGAGAUUUGGAUAAAUGAUAUAAAGAAAUAAGAAAAUCUUGUGAACUCGGUGUGGGGUUUAUGGGCUUUAGGGUUUAGGGGUUUAGGGUUAUUAGGGUUUAGGGAUUUAGGGGUUUAGGGUUAUCAGGGGUUAGGGUUAUCAGGGUUUAGGGUUGAGUGUUUACAUGCAAGCCCGGAAAUGCGCGUGUCAGAGAACAUACUUGCAUGUGUAUGUACUAAUGAUCCCAAACUUUCUUAAUGGCAUCCCAUGACCACAUAGAGAAUGAAUGCAUAAUGGUUUCCAUGUUGGGCAAAAUUUUGAAUGUUUUUACGGUUUAGUGGGGGGGGUGGGGUUAGGGUUAUCAGGGUUUAGGGUUUAAGGGUUCUAGGGUUGACGGAACUAUGUUUGUCUUACGGUGGACGUAGCACACACACCGGACAUUGGUGGAGCGUUGGUCUACAAUGGAUUCCCUCUGGUAGCAUCGAUCCGAUCCAUUGAAUGGCUCGGCCAACAAACUUCGUGCCACAUAGAGCAUGCAUCCAUCCACUGGACCGGAUCAAUGUUGGGUUGGUUUCAUACAGGUGAGGAAAGCAGCUAGUGCUUUCGGGGUGUUGACAUGCUAGGCCGGAAAUGCGCGUGUCAGAGAUCGUACUUGCAUGUAUAACCCCAAACUUUUUUCAUGGCAUCCCAUGACCCCAUAGAGAAUGCAUGCAUAAUGGUUUCCAUGUGGGGCAAAAAUUUGAAUGUUUUUACGGUUUAGUGGGGGGUGGUGGUUAGGGUUAUCAGGGUUUAGGUUUUAAGGGUUUUAGGGUUAACGGAACUAUGUUUUUCUUACGGUGGACUUAGCACACACACCGGACAUUGAUGGAGCGUUGGUCUACAAUGAAUUCCCUCCGGUACCAUCGAUCCGGUCCGUUGACUGGCUCGGCCGACAAACUUCGUGCCACAUAGAGCAUGCAUCCAUCCACUGGACCGGAUCGAUGUUUGCUUGGUUUCAUACAGGUGAGGAACCCAGCUAGUGCUUUCGGGGUGUUGACAUGCUAGGCUGGAAAUGUGCGUGUCAGAGAUCAUACUUGCGUGUAUAAUCCCAAAAAUCUUUCAUGGCAUCCCAUGACCACAUAGAGAAAUUUUGAAUGUUUUUACGGUUUAGUGGGGGGGAGGGGGUGGGGUUAGGGUUAUCAGGGUUUAGGGUUUACGGGCUCUAGGGUUGACGGAACUAUGUUUGUCUUACGGUGGACGUAGCACACACACCGGACAUUGGUGGAGCGUUGGUCUACAAUGGAUUCCCUCUGGUAGCAUCGAUCCGAUCCGUUGAAUGGCUCGGCCGACAAACUUCGUGCCACAUAGAGCAUGCAUCCAUCCACUGGACAGAAUCAAUGUUGGGUUGGUUUCAUACAGGUGAGGAAAGUAGCUAGUGCUUUCGGGGUGUUGACAUGCUAGGCCGGAAAUGUGCGUGUCAGAGAUCGUACUUGCAUGUAUAAUCCCAAACUUUUUUCAUGGCAUCCCAUGACCCCAUAGAGAAUGCAUGCAUAAUGCUUUCCAUGUGGGGCAAAAAUUUGAAUGUUUUUAUGGUUUAGUGGGGGGGGGGUGGUUAGGGUUAUCAGGGUUUAGGUUUUAAGGGUUUUAGGGUUAACGGAACUAUGUUUGUCUUACGGUGGACUUAGCACACACACCGGACAUUGAUGGAGCGUUGGUCUACAAUGGAUUCCCUCUGGUAGCAUCGAUCCGAUCCGUUGAAUGGCUCGGCCGACAAACUUCGUGCCACAUAGAGCAUGCAUCCAUCCACUGGACCGGAUCGAUGUUUGGUUGGUUUCAUACAUGUGAGGAACCCAGCUAGUGCUUUCGGGGUGUUGACAUGCUAGGCCGGAAAUGUGCGUGUUAGAGAUCGUACUUGUGUGUAUAAUCCCCAAAAAUCUUUCAUGGCAUCCCAUGACCACAUAGAGAAUGCAUGCAUAAUGGUUUCCAUGUGGGGCAAAAAUUUGAAUGUUUUUACGGUUUAGUGNNNNNNNNNNNNNNNNNNNNNNNNNNNNNNNNNNNNNNNNNNNNNNNNNNNNNNNNNNNNNNNNNNNNNNNNNNNNNNNNNNNNNNNNNNNNNNNNNNNNNNNNNNNNNNNNNNNNNNNNNNNNNNNNNNNNNNNNNNNNNNNNNNGGUUUUAGGGUUGACGGAGCACACACAUCGGACAUUGAUGGAGCGUUGGUCUACAAUGGAGUCCCUCCUGUAGCAUCGAUCUGGUCCGUCGACUGGCUCGGCCGACAUACUUUGUGCCACAUAGAGCAUGCAUGCAUCCACUGAACCGGAUCAAUGUUGGGUUGGUUUACAUGUACAUGUACAGGGACCCGAAAUGCGCGUGUUAGAGAUCGUACUUGCGUGUACAUGUACCAUCCUUCCAUCCACUGGCUGGGCCGACAACCUUCGUGCCACAUUGUUCACAUUGUCCAAUUAACACUUUGUAUAGAUUUUUUUCAUAAAAAAUGAACGAAAUAAUGCAACUAAUCUGAACGUAACGUUUGGCAUGUAUCAAACCAAGUUGCCACUAUUCCUCAAAAAAAGAACCCAGUUAGCCACUAAUUGCGCCAAACAUAUCUCGUAAUUACGAACGAAAAUGGGUUGACAAUUAUAUCUGGAAAUUCUUGGACUGAAUUUAUUGCUCUUCGUUUUUUAGAGAACAAUAAGUUAGAAUGGUGGGCGGCGGGUUGGCAUGGGCACGACCAUGGCUCGGGCUUGUGUCAUAUGUGGUUCGACCCGCGGUCAGUGCACAUGUUUUCGAAGCCCCGAAAAGAUCGUGCUCGUUAAAAAAAAAACUUGCAUCGACGCGCAUUACUUCAAAAUAACUAAUUAACCCUACAAUCACGGAUAUAGACCUUCCCAUUCUACCGCAUAUCUACCCUAUCCUAACCACCCCCAUCUACCUUGUUUCUCCUCACAUAGCCAUCGCCGGGAUCGCGCCAUCACUUCUCAAGCGACCACGCCGACGCCGGAUUACAAAAGGUCUCUUCCACGGCUUCUCUCAUCUUCGAUUGCAGUGAUGAUUAUUUUUUCCAUUGAUUCGACCAACAAGUAAUUUCCGAAGAGAUUAGAAAAUCCAGCUUUUACUAUGGUUGAGUAGUUCUGUUGUGAUUCGAGUACAGGAUGUCAUGCAAGAGCUUUUUGAUUGAUAGUUUGUACUAGUUGAUCGUGUGAACUUAUUAUGAAUAUUUUUUCACAGUCGUAUUGUUUCGAAUUAGUUGGAUGAGGGUGUGGAUACAGUUUUCAUACUAUGGGUAUAUGUGUUGCUGUAGGGACCAUGGUCUCAGAGGCGCAUAACAACCGUGCGGAGUACGACAAGUCUUUGCAUGAAGCGCGUCGGGAGAUCGACUUGAAGGUGCAAAAGGAUCGCGCUGAGGUAGAUAAGAAACAGAAAAAAGAACGUUCAUACGUGGACAGGAUGAUAAAGGAGGAGCGUGAGGAGUUUUCCCUUAAGAUGGCGAAGAUGCGUCUUGAGAUUGAAGAAAAGUAUAAGAGGGACUGUGAGCACAUGGAAAAAAAGUUUGUCUUAGGCUACAAGGAAAUGCAUCAAAUGUUGCAGAAGGACCGGAAGCUUGUGGACAGUAUUAUACAGACAGAGCGAGUCAGGAUGGAUGCCUAUGUGUUGCAGGCAUGUGCGGAUAUGGACAGUAAGCUGCUACAGGAGCGGUCGGACAUGGAUUAUAAGGCCAUGCUGGAGAAGGUCCGCUUGGAAGGACAUAUGUUAGAAGACCGUGCGAUCUCACGGCCACCCCGACAACAUGUCUUCAAUUAUUCUCCCCCUGUCAGUAUCUCGCACCGAUUCUAUAUAUUAAGGACCUACGUAUUCUAUGAUAUAAACAUCUUCAAUUUGUGGCAACCUUAUGUCGGCGAUUGUAUGUAGGCUAAGCAUCAUGACACGACACAGUCGCCAUUCACUCGACACAUUGCGAUAGAGUCACCCGUUCAAUGCCACAUCAGUCCACCCCAACAACAUAUCGUCAAUUCUCCCCUUGUAAGUACCCCGCAACAAUGCAUACCCAAUAUAUGGUAUGACCUUUCAAAACUUGUGUGUAAACCCACUAUCGACGUUUCAUACGCAGGAUAAGAAACCUGUGAUGGCAGAGUCCCCAGUCACACCACAUGAAGGAUACAUUCCACAUAAUAAGGUGAGAAGGUUUGAGAUGGCACAACCCCCAGUCACUCCACAUGAAGGAUACAUUCCACAAAAGCAGGUAACAACGCCGCAAUGUUGCUAUGCACAUAAAAAAUUAUGUUUGCCCCUUUACUCAUUGAAUGUAUUAACUCCGAUGUGAGAUACUAGGUGCUGGUCAUGGAAUUUUUUGUUAGUAGGGAUCAUGAGAUGUCACAUGUCCCGAGAGCAUACUUUGAUGAACACCCGGCAGAAGUCAGAAUUUUUGAACCCGCCAAAGUUACCUACGAUCUCAUUAUGAGUGAAAUGAGAGAUACUUUUGGUUGCAAACUGGGAGCAGAACUGUACUACUUCUUACCCGGGUCUGCGUGGAAGCUGCCAGAAGGAAUGUUCUUGAUUGCAGGACCAGAUGAUGUACAAAAAAUGCUUUCUGAUCUGAAUGGCAGCAAGACAUGUCACCUGUACAUUGUGUACAAUAGAACUACGGGUUGUUUUCCCGAGGAUGACGUUGAUUCCGAGGUUCAAAUUUUACAUGUUACAUGCAUCUAGUUUAUGGCUACGUCUUUUUUGAGUUCUUCCUAAUACAAUUCCUAUGGUUUUCUACAGGAAGUGAGAAUCCAAGAAAUGGAGUGUCUUGCUAGAGAGUUGGCAGAGAAAGACCAAGAACAACUUAAGUUGUAUGGUUACAUUGAUGUUAAAGAGAAAAAGAUUGAAGCACGUGGGUCGUCGCCAAGCCCGACGCAAUCUCCAACGACGCAACGCAAGAGGUCACUGGAUUUUGGUAGUGCAGAAGACAAUAUGGAGUAGGCUCAAUUGUUUUUCAACCAGUUAAAGCUUCAAACCAGGAUUAUUUAGUUGCAAACAAACAUUUUGUUUUCUGUUUCACACUAUGUUCGCAAUUAUGGUACAAUUUAUUCAUGAGACAUUUCGUUGAACAACAAUGCAUGUGUUUUAUGAUCAAUCAUACAGUUGUUUCUGAGUUGUUUUUGAGAUGGCAUUGUGUCUAAAGAAGUUUCCAUCUAUAAAACUUGCCACGCAGUCGCAUCGGAAUCGCGUAUCACGCGAGAGGCGUGCGUCGCACGGGAGAGCGUCGCACGCGAGCUUGUUUUCGGGUAGAAAUCAUAACAUAUUUCGGAUAGAUAAAGUUCACGUCCUCCACCCGCGCAUGCAAACCCACGUCGCCGCCAUUCCCAUGCACGCAUGCCUCAGGCGCAGACAACGAGACGGCCCAUCCGAAUUAGGCCCAUCCGAAGUAGGACAUUAGAACCCUCCCCCCACUCCACCUAUUCCCCUCGCACUGUGGCCUCCCUCCCUCCAUCGCCAGAUCCCCCACUCGUCCCCCUCUGUCCGCCGCCCCUGCAUGCCGUCAGCGACUUCACCUCCGCCGCCCCCGCACCCCCCGAACGAGAUCGGCCAGAUCCAUCUCCUCAACCAUCGCAGGACAACGCAGGUACCCCAGUUUCUGUUGACGUCUCAAUGGUAUCCAUGCUGAUAAUGCUAGGUAGAUCGACUGAGUGUAGCAAUUUUGUGCCACCAUCUGAAACUUGUGAUGCUUCCUACUGUACAAUAUAGGACUUUUCAAAGUUCUGUUAUGAUGGCACUUUUUGACACAUACAGUAGAGCUGCGUUUUUAGUUGUUAUACUUUCAGUUACCAUCACUGCUUGGGAAAGGACGAAUUGGAUGCAUUCAGGUCUGCAGUUGAUAGUGUAUCAUCAUAAUAUAGGUGCUGUGUUGUGUGAUUCUUCAUGCUGAGAACUUCAGCUUUUUCAGUUAUAGUGAAAGGCUUCUGUAUAAAAAAAACUACUAAAUGAUCACAAAAACUUCUAGACAACAUUUUGUAUGAUCUGACCAAAACUUGAACUAAAUGAUCACCAAAAGUUGAAGGAUUUUGCAUCACAUCACAACCAUAAGUCUUCUGCACCAGCAUCAUAACAAUCACAUAACUACAUAACAAAAGCAAACUUGUUCAUCAUUACAAAAGAAAACUUGUUCAACAUAAGAAAAGCUAACUUGUUCAGCAUUACAAAAGCAAACUUGUUCAACAUAACAAAAGCUAACUUGUUCAGCAUUACAAACGCAAACUUGUUCAACCACAUAACUGCAAACUGAGACACAUAAUACCACAAACAACUCAAUAUCCCAGUAGUAGGGGUCAUCCCAAUGAUCCUCCACCUCUUGCCAGUACUCCAAACCUUCUUUGACGAUAUCGAUUUUCUUCCAUGCCUCGUAGGUGACGUACGCAUCUUUCGCUGCGUACUCGAUGAGGUUGUUUGGCAGUGGGCUGUCCCCCCAUAGUUUGUGGUCCAAUUCCUUGUUGAUCUUCUUCUUCAUUUCCUUGUACGAUGGGUGGAUGAGGCUGGCUGCAAACUCAGCCAAAGCCUGCCACUUCUUUCCAUUCCUUGGAACUCUCCAUUUGCGCUGCAUGUCGACGUACUUGUCGGGGUUGAUCUCCAAACCAGACAAUUUCAGCUUCUCCUUGUCACCUCCAAUGGAGAAGCCAACAAAGGUGUAGAGCUUCUUCUCCUGCAGGAGUGGGCGGAGUUCCUUAGGCCUGCAUCAAAUUAAUCUGGUGCAUCAAAUUCAUCCACUUCAAAAACUUCAGAAACUACUAAUUAGACAUAAAAUUCAGAACUAGUAUUGCAUCUACUCCAGAACUUCAGAACUAGUAUUGCAUCUACUUCAGAACUUCAGAACUAUUGCAUCUACUUGAGAAACUUCUGAAACUUCAGAACUAUUGCAUCUACUUGAGAAACUUCAGAAACUACUAAUUAGACAGAAACUUCAGAACUUCAGAACUAGUAUUGCAUCUACUUCAGAACUUCAGAACUAUUGCAUCUACUUCAGAAACUACAGAAACUACUAAUUAGACAGAAAGUUCAGAACUUCAGAACUAGUAUUGCAUCUACUUCAGAACUACAGAACUAUUGCGUCUACUUCAGAAACUUCAGAAAUUACUAAUUAGACAGAAACGUCAGAACUUCAGAAACUUCAGAACUGGAUGUUUUUACCAUUUGGUUGCCGCGGUGAUGUGGUAUACCAGGACGAGAUCCUCCACGCAUAACUGUAGAACUGCAGCCUUUUGCGGAGGUUCAUCUUCCCUCGUAUACUCGACAUCAACGCCGAUCGACUGAGGAAACAUGCCGCCGAGCCUCCUCCUGAUCUCGCGGAUCCUCUUGUCGGCUUCGUAUGGAUUGCUGGUGCAUACGACAUCCAGCUUCUCCUUCAGGUGGAUAUCAACCAUGAGCUUCACGGUGUAGUCCUGCUUCUGCCCAGGGAUCGGAACGUCGUCGUCGACCACCAGCGGCUCCUUGCCAGACGCCUCACCUUGGUGAUGCUUGCCAGAUGGAGGGGAGUUGCUCCACGAUGCCUCCGCCAUUCUCUUGGCAGACGGAGGGGAGUUGCUCCACGAUUCCUCCGCCAUUGCCCUCCUGGCCAGCGAUGGUGGAGGCAGAGGGGAGUUGCUUGAUGGUGGAGGCAGAGGGAGGAAGAUGGAGCGGCAAUGGAAUAAGGAGGGAGGCAGAGGGAGGCAGAUUGAGCGGCAAUGGAAUAGGAGGGGAGUUCCCUGCGUCGUGGGGAGUUGCCAGUGGAGGGGAGUCGUGGGGAGUUGCCAGUGGAAGGGAGGCGUGGGGAGUUGCCUCGAAAACUCAAACGUCCUGCCCUUUGGCCCUCGAAAAAUCUGGAGGGGAGACGUGGGCUCUUUGGUUUGUCCCGUUUCUGAAACAAAAAAAAAAUAACAGCCAUAUUUUGCUCUCACUGCAACCAUAUUAAGAGAUGAAAAAUGGCACCAAAAAGUCACUGCAGCCAUCCUCAAUGGCACGAAAACAGCACCAAAACAACAUCAGCCAAAACAACAAAAAAUGCAUCCAUUGAUCGUUCUUUAUUUCUUCUAACAUUCCGUGUUCUGUGCAGUGAGAUAGACACAACACUACAAAUGCAGGCUGACAACGCCCGCGAUUUCAUGACCAUCAGGACAGACGGCGGCUUCAUCCACGCUCCGGUCCCAUGAGUCGAGUCGAAAGUAGUGAUGCUAUGUGUAGUUCUGAAACAUUGAUUGGCUCAUGUUGUAAUUAAACUUUAAUGAAUUGUAUGUCUCUUUGGUUUGGACAGUCGUUAAACUUAGAUGUACUCGAUGCUAUUUAUUACUAGGACCAUGAAUUGUGCUAUUAAUGUCUUGCUUUUCUCUUCCGAUCCUUUUGUUGCAUACUUAUUUAUUGCUUAUGUAUUGUCUGUUGUUUGGCUUGUGCAUAGAGAUGCCGUCGUAUGUCGUGUACAAGGUAAGGUUCCCGGAGUCUACGAUGACUGGGAGGAGUGUCGGAGACAGGUUCACCGUUUCAGCGGUAACAGUUACAAAGGGUACACCACUAGGGUGGAGGCGGAAUCUAGAUAUGCCCGCUAUCUAGCGGGAGAGAGGAGGGAGCGUUGGAGGAAACGGAUGAAGACCAAUUUCAUCGCGAUGAUGCUCAUCGUGAUGACCGCAACUCUCUUCUAUGUGAUGGUAGUUUAGAUGAUCGAUAUCGACUUGUAAUGUGAAGACAAACUCGCUACUCGCGGUCUCGAGACUUGUAAUGUUCUAUCUUUGUUCGGUCUUGUGAAUUCAGAGACUAAUAUGAUGAAUUGUAUUCGGAGAGCUAUCUUCUAUUGUAUUGGAUGAAUGUGCUGUUGCUGUGUGGUGUUGUCUAUAUUCUCUCCAAUAAUAUAUUUUGUAACCUGUGAAAAUAUCAGAAAUGUGCAUUUUUUCGACCACCUCCAAAUCACCUCAGUUUUGGAACACAUGAUCUCUUCCACAAACAAAACUAGGUUUCCAAGUUUUUGUAUUUUUUUAAAUUUUUUUGAAUUUAUAAUGCCCUCUAGACUGACUGCUGAAAACAUCGGUCUAUGCCUCAAGGGGGCAUUGUAAAAUAUUUUUUUUAAAAUUUUCUUGCAUACACAUGUUUUGCACAUGUGGGUCACCAUGUACAAGAAAAUUUGGGUGAUUUGGAGGUGGUGGAAAAAUUCACAUUUUUUCAAAAACUGACUUAAGUUAAGACCAAAUGGUCCCUCCGGGAAUGCGGGCAUUUUUUCGACCACCUCCAAAUCACCUCAGUUUUGGCACACAUGAUCUCUUCCACAAACAAAACUAGGUUUCCAAGUUUUUGUAUUUUUUUAAUUUUUUUUGAAUUUAUAAUGCCCUCUAGACUGACUCCUGAAAACAUCGGUCUAUGCCUCAAGGGGGCAUUGUAAAAUAAAUUUUUUCAAAAUUUUCUUGCAUACACAUGUUUUGCACAUGUGGGUCACCAUGUAUAAGAAAUUUUGGGUGAUUUGGAGGUGGUGGAAAAAUUCAUGCAAGACUCGGGGACCUGCAUGCAAGACUCGGGGACCUGCAUGCAAGAGUCGGGGACCUGCAUGUGAAUAGUGAUUCAUCAAGGCCAUGACAGCUAUUGGCACAGCGGCUGCCGCCCGAUUUGUAUGCAGCGAAGAUGAACGUGCAUGGAGGUUUUUCAAAGAUUUCCAAGCACACCCCAGUGGGCCCCGCUUAUUUAAAAAAGACGUCAGUCAUUAUUGCUCUGUAAAUGAAGAAUAUGCAUGAUGAUUAUGAAUACGCAUGACAACCAUAGUAAGGGUGAAGAAUCAUAGUGCCCAAUUUGUCGAAAUACAUCAUCAUUCUUAAAGUUGGACAUCAAAUGAUACACACAGAAAAUGGAAACGAAAGAUGUCGAACUAAUAUAGUAACAUGCCAGUACAACUGCACUUCACUAAAUUACUGUCACGAUGAAAUAGAAUGUAAAGACCACGUCACACAAACAUGAAUGACACACGACUUUCUCUGGCUCAUCGUCGGUUCAUGCUGUAUGUAGAUAUCACAGUUCAGCCUCGAUAUCCUACACAGAAGAAUAGAAUAAAUCACAUGGACAUCAAUUAUGAGUAAAACACAUGCAAAAAAAAUAUGAAAAUAUUUUGUACCUCUAGCAAUUUAGCGCAUUUACGUCGAUUGUGACCUGGUUUCUUGCAAUAGCCACAGAUAUUCUGUGAUGUUGACUUCUUUGUCUUUGCCUGCAGCCUUUUCUUCGGUGCACCUCGUCCUGGCACAUGCACGGGAUCCAGAACCUUAUCAACUUUCUGUGAGUGUGGCAUCAACGGGCCAAACCUAAUGCUGUUAUGCUGAGCAUUAGUUGACUCCUUGCUGUCAGCUUGUUCAAAACUUGAUUGCUUGCCAUGAUGUUGUGCUUGCAAAAGCAUCUUUAGACGGUGAUAGUCCUCAUCAGAGUGGCAUGCCUGGAAACUUGCGGCGUGACUACAAUUCCGCAACUCGCGGUACCUCUGCAGGCUUAGCGAAUAGUCAUACAUCUGGUUUUUUCUGGUAGGUGCGUAUGCACAUUUUGCAUUCAUAGUCCACCUAGUGGGAACGCAACAACCGGGCAGAAUUGUUUGUUUUAAAAUCCCCAAUAUGUAAAAAAAUGUGGGAACAUGGUGUGCCUGCGCAUUCCAGCUUAUGGCAAGAACAACUCACCCUGUGCAAAAGACCUCCUUGCUCUUCAAUGCGCACUCCAAACUUUUUAUCCAUUCUUUCCUGCUUGGACACAACAUAAGUGGAAUCUUCUGAUCCAUCUAGUAUCUCUCUAAUCUGACAUUUGCUGACAGAAUCUAUGCUCCAUAAGACCAUCUUAAAGACACUAGGUGUGAAAACUGUUGCGGCGUGUUUCUCAAGCGGCGAAGCAUUUUCCUCUGUAAAUGGAACGGACUGCAAGGCUUCAACGUCAUGGAGAGCUUCGUUAAUCCGUCGCGACGCAAGGCAACGCUCAUAGUGCUCUAGCCUUUCAAACAACGACAUCUUACCCUCAAGAUGCGUAUGUAGCACAGAGUUCAAGCUCUCACUCCUCUGAUUACUGCUCAAUCCUAGGAAACAACGCCCCUCAAGAUAUGGAGCACACCACAACUUUCUCAUCUGAUACAUCUGAUGCAGCCAAGACUCCUCACUGGUUACUUUAUUCCGUUGUAAGAAUUGUAUUCAUUUUAUCUCAUGCUCUUCAAUGGAAGAAGUAUCAUAAAUGAAAGAUCUGAAUUCCUCCUUUACGUCGUCAUCAUGCAGAUGGCGUACAAUGUUCUGCUGAAUGUGCCAUAUACAUAGUCUAUGGUUUGAGUCUGGCCAGACCACCCUUAUUGCUCUCUGCAUUGCAAGGUCCCCAUCUGUGAUCACAGAUAUCGGAUGCUUCUGUGCCAUGCAAUCAGAAAAGGUCCGCAACAUCCACUCGUAUGCCUGGCUUGUUUCAUGAGAAAUUAAUUAUACCACAGCCAAAUAUAACAGUGCUGCGGUGGUGAUUCAACCCGACAAAAGGCACGAAUGGCAGAUUGUAUUUUUUGGUUCUGUAUGUGCUAUCGAAAACAAUGACGUCUCCGAAAGCCUCGUAGUCAAGUCGCGAUUGACUGUCAGCCCAGAACAGUCCCUUCAGAUGGCCAUGCUCGUCUACCAAGUACUUGAAGAAAAAAAUCCACAUCUCGCUCUCGCCUCGCCAUCAUAUGCAUGAUCACCGUUUUAGCAUCACCGGCACUGAUUGUCUCUUGCUUAUUAGCAUGGCAGAAAUUAUAAACGUCCCUCUUUAUGCAUCCAACCUUAUCAAAUCCACCGUAUUGGAAGCACAAAAUAUCCAUAAUACGGUAUUUGUGGAUCCCACAUUUUCCAUGUCCGCAAUGUCCGCUUUCUGCUCAUCGCUAAUUCGUCUGUGCAAACGCAACAGACAAGAAAGAUCCCAUGGGGCUAGAGGAUGGUUGUGCUCAUCGAUGAAAUCCUUGACAAACCACCGACCGGUUUCCUCUUGUCUCGUAAUGACCAAUUUAGCAUUACAUCCAACACGAGUUAAACUUUGUGGCCUCCUUUUUCUAUCUUCCAUCUUUCUUUUCAUGUGCUUAUCUUCGCGAAACCCUUGACGACUACACACAAUUUUCCUUAAAAUUAUGUAUUUGUUGGAUCCAUCCCACUCAACGUAGCUUUUCCUCACACUAAAACCUUUUUCAAGAGCAUAUUUGUUGUAGAAUUCAUAGCCUUCAGCCUCACUAUCAAACAUCUUGCUGACAACAUUUACAUACUCGAACAUACUCUCAUCACUUGCAUACGCCAUGUCUUCCUGCAUAUGACAUGUGAGGGAAACCAAUCAUCAACAUCUUUCUGUUUAUCAAUGUUGCAGGUGUAAAAUAGCUCAUAGGCAAAGACAAGUGCAUGGAAAAGACUUUGCUGGUUUGACAUGUGAGGGAAACCAAUCAUCAACGUCCAACAAGUACUAUCCUAGCAUGGAUGAUGACUCUAAUAAACUGGAUUCAUACCUGGUACGCGCGAAGAGAUGGGAUCGCCCGCCGCCGUCGCCGCCUAUUCCGUCGGCACAGAUCCGGCCUUCUUCUUCUUCGGUGACAGCGUGGGGGGCUGGGGUUGGUUGGGUGGAGGACGAGGACGAUGAAUUUAUUCCUCUCACCAGGCAGGUCGAGGACGGAGAAGGUCAGGAGCGGCGACGAAUAGAUCGGAGGAGGUUUCUGAUCUGGAUCGAGUAUACAUGGAUCUGGUCUUCGGGUGAUCGGUUCAAGAAAAGAUUUUUGUCCCUGGACCAUUAUGCCCUUAUCGCUUAAAUUUAAUCAAGUUUAAUUCCCUGCAAGAUCGGUUUUCUAAUAAUAAUCAGACGUCACCAGACAUGUAAGUACUGCUAAGUACUCCGAGUACUAACCUAAUCACCGUAAAACUGCUCCCAAAUAGGAUGACCGCUUUAGAGAAAGCAAUAAGGGAAUUCAUGGACAAUCAAACUGAGAAUGUAAUUGUAUUUGUACCGAUGAUGGGAACGAGUUCACAGAUUCUCUGACUUAGCCGAGACUAUGGCAGAGGGAUGUCAAAUUCAUAUAACUGUUCAUGCACCAUCCGACGGCAGCAAGCAAAGCCCAUGGACACACAGCAUUAUCGACCUAGAAGGGUGAUGCUGCCCAGUCCAACGCAUAGGCGAAGCAGGAAAAACGGUGCGAGGCAGCCGAAGUAUGAAUGAAGGAACCGAUCACCAAGCUGCCGAAGGAUGAGCUGCUCUGCUCUUGUGAGAGAUGUUAAAUUUUGUAGUGUUCAUUUUACCAUUCUGUAAUGUGCACUUAUGUUGCUGCUCAAUUCAGUUCCCUUCUCCCACUUGCAUUUCACAGUCAUGUCCAGUUCAGUGAGCAAAGUCUCUAAAAUUCAGCUCAUUCAAUUAUAGCAUUCAUUCACAACAACCACACUGAGAGAUCUCAACCCCUUCUGCCACUGAGUGAUCUCAACCCCUUUUGCCAUACUCAAUUCUGUUAUCAAUUUUACAACAUCAAGUGAUAUGCUCACAAAUUGACAAUGUCAAUGACCUGCUCUUAAUUUACAACAUCAUUGAUAUGCUAAAAAAUGAUAAUGUCAAUGAUCUGCUCUCAAAGUACUUCCUCUGUCCCAUAAUAUAAGAGCGUUUUUGACACUGUCUGAAACUCUCUUGUUGUUUUGUGUAAAUCAGUUUACAAUCUGAAACUCAACUGAUGUUUGCUUGUAAAUCAGUUAAUAAUGUGCUCUCAAUUUCCAGGCUAGCUUCGCCGGCGCCUGCUCGACGGAGUGGUGCAUCGAUGGCAGCCACGGCCGUCCUCCUCUUGCGAUGGUGCGGGGUCAGCGAUAUGGUGCUUGCUUAGUGCCUCCAGCAACAGCGGCGCGACCUCGCGGCGUGAUACAACCAUGACUUGUAGCCAAGGCAGCGGCAGUCGUCCUCCCAGGGCGAUCGCGAGCAAUGGCGACGGUGAGCGAUGGGUUGUUUAUGGGCUGCACAGCAUUGUUGUUAUUCUUAUUUGUUUUCACCUUGCUGCUGUCGAAUGACGCAUGUGAUUUGGAUUAGACGUCCGUCUAGCGUAAAAAUAAUACUCGAUGCUAUACAGCCCAGGUCGGGAAUCUCGAAGUGAGUUCACGAUGGAGAUAGCGAGAGUAUCUGAGCUCGUGCUCAGAACAUCACUUUCCUUAGGAAAGGGGGAACCAGGAUCGAUUCCUGGUCUCAAAGGUGACAGCGGGUGCUGCUACCAGUCCGAUCAAGUUCCGUUCGUGAUAAGUUGUAGGUGCGCGUCGUACUUGAGCCGAUUCAAGCCGGUUUUCUUUGAGUUUUUUUCCUUCUUCAUUUUUUUCAUUCUUUUUUGCACUCGUUUCUUCAUUUUUUUUCAUUUUUUUCUUUUGUUUAUUUUCUUUGUUCUUUUGGUUAUUAUUGUGCAUUUUUUGUAUACGUCAACAAUAUUUUUUUAAUACACGUCUAACAUUUUUCAAAUACAAAUCAACAAUUUUUGCAAUACAUGGCCUACAUUUUUGUAUACACAUUUUUUAAAUGCUUGAUUAUCAUUUUUCAAAUACAAUAUUAACAAUUUUAAUACAUGGUUAACAUUUUUUUAUCAUUUUUACAAAAAAAUAUAUUAAAUGCUUGAUUAACAUUUUCUUAAUAGAUGGUCAACCUUUUUUUCAUACACAUUUAACAUUUUUUCCAAACGCUUGAUUAACUUUUUCAGACCCUUGUUCGACAUUUCUUUCAAAUGCUGGAUUACAUUUCUAUAUACUUAAUCAAAUAUUUCUAUCAUUUUUAAUACAUGGUCAACAUUAUUAACAUACACAUUUAACAAUUUCCCAAUUCUUGAUUAAUAUUUUUUAAAUACUCGUUUAACAUUUCCCAAUUUUAGCUAGUUAUGGUGCAAACUAAGUGUUGUGCCUCGUCUUAAUCUAUCUAUAUAUCCUAUCUUCUAUUCGGCGACGUGGUUGCGCCCGUGGCGGAUGUGGUCGCCGCCAUGACUUGGUCGAUCUCCCUCUUCUGUAUUCGAGAAAAAAAGAUCUCCGUCUUCUCUUUAGAUGAGAUGGGGAGGAGAUGGUGAGAGAUGAGGUCAACGGCAUUGGGGAGAGGAUAAGGGUAGACGCCAGUGGUGAGGCGGCGUGAGGAAGACGAGGUGGUUGGCGGCUAGGACGCAUGAGGGGAGGGGAAGGGUGGGGAGUGGUGCGUGGAGGGAAGUGGGUGUGCGGCGUGCCCAAUUCACGAGAGAGGAGAGAGGUCGGCAAGGGAGCGACCCAUGGGAGUUUUUUUUCUUCUGAGUGAGCCUAGUUGGGCUAUCUGCUGCGUCCAAGGCCCAAUGCACCACAUGUCUUCAAAUUGGCCACCAGUAGCAGCCCUUAGAACAGACAUGGCCAUUUUGCAAAUUUAAAGACAUAAGUUUUUUGCACGCAUGAAAAACAUAACACGUAUCUUUUCACACAUAAUGAACUAUAGGUACUACCCAAAAAAACAUAAUGAACUAUAGGUUGUCACAAGAACUCAUGCCAUCCCACAACCUCCCUCUGACCCUGCCAACAUUGUUGCAACUGCACUCGCAAGUGUUAUCGUAGAUGAUCAUUUGCAUGAUUUCCCGUAAAACAAAAUAAGAUCUACAAACGAAUAGAAGCUACACAUACCUUGGCAUGCACACACAUUGCAAGCCAUACUAAGCAGAUAAGUGUUAAAAACUUGUACUCCCUCAUCUCAGUUUACAAGUCUUCCACGUGUAUCUAGGUCGUCAAUUUAAUUAUAUAAAAUAAAUUGUUUGACAUAAAUUAUAUCAUUAGAAAAUAGAAAUAUAUAUUUUGUAAUGUAUGCCUCUUAUUAAGUUGGUCAAAUUAACAAUCUAGGUACACAUGCAAGACUUUUAAACUAAGAUGGAGGGAGUACAACAUAUACAACACUUACGACAAGUAAAAGCAAUUUGAUGAGUCAUGGUCUAUCAAAGCAAGCUACAUUACUAAUCUAAUCUAUGUUAACAUGUCACACAUGAUUACAAUCUUUUUUGUGUGCAAGUCAAGCCUAUCUAGUCUACAUGUAACAACUUGUAGAACAUUACAAAAUUGAUGUUUGCUAAUAACUUUUAGAACACUACAACACUUGACAUGUAAAAAGAGUUUGAUGAGUCAUGACCUACUAAAGCAAGUUACAUUACUAGUCUCAUCUAUCUUAACAGGUCACACAAGAUUAAAAACUAAGUUCUGUGCAAGCAAUGCUUAUCUAUUUUACACAUAACAACUUGCAUAACAUUACAAACUUAGUUUUAGAAAAUUAGGCAACCUAGAUUAGUGUUUAGUUGUAAAGUGAAUAAGAUGAGUCAUGUGUGUUAUCACACCUUUUUAUGGUGGAAUGAUAGUGCCACCAAACACAACAUACCAAAAUAUGAUUUUGGGAAGCAUCCAAGCACUUUCCAGACAAGCAAAUGCCAAUUGUGAAAGAGAUAAUGCCAUGGCAGCUAUAAAUAGGCCUGUUGCAUGAUGAUCAUCCUUCCUCAUUCAUCAUUCUCAUAAGUAGAGUGCAUCAUUCAAGCCAAGCAAGCACUGGUCAAUACAAAUCCAUCAUGAAGACAUUUCUCAUCAUUUCCCUCCUUGCUAUCGUGGCGACCACCGCCACAACUGCAGUUAGAGUUCCAGUGCCACAAUUGCAGCCGCAAAAUCCAUCUCUGCAACAACCACAAGAGCAAGUUCCAUUGGUGCAACAACAACAAUUUCCAGGGCAGCAACAAACAUUUCCACCACAACAACCAUAUCCGCAGCCGCAACCAUUUCCAGGACAACAACCAUAUCCGCAGCCGCAACUAUUUCCACAGCCGCAACCUUUUCCGCCACAACUUCCAUAUCCGCAGCCGCAACCAUUUCCCCCACAACAACCAUAUCCACAACCGCAAACACAUCAUCUGCAACCACAACAACCAAUUUCGCAGCAACAAGUACAACAACAACAACAACAACAACAACAACAACAACAACAACAACAACAACAACAACAACAACAACAACAACUACUACUACAACAACAAAUCCUUCAACAAAUUCUGCAACAACAACAACUGAUUCCAUGCAGGGAUGUCAUCGUCUUGCAACAACACAACAUAGCGCAUGAAAGCUCACAAGUAUUGCAGCAAAGUAGUUACCAAGUGUUGCAACAAUUAUGUUGUCAGCAGCUGCGGCUGAUCCCCGAGCAGUCGCGGUGCCAAGCCAUCCACAAUGUCGUUCAUGCUAUUAUUCUACAUCAACAACAACAACAACAACAACAACAACAACAACAAGGACAACAUCAACCGUCGAGCCAGGUCUCCUACCAGCAGCCUCAGCAACAAUAUCCAUCAGGCCAGGGCUCCUUCCAGCCAUCUCAGCAAAAUCCACAGGCCCAGGGCUUUGUCCAACCUCAACAUCUGCCCCAACUCGAGGAAAUAAGUAACCUAGCGCUGCAGACGCUACCAGCAAUGUGCAAUGUCUACAUCCCUCCAUAUUGCUCGACCACCAUUGCGCCAUUUGGCAUCUUCGGUACUAACUGAGAAGAGAAGAACUCUAGUACUAGAUAUAUGAAACACCGUGUUCUUAGUCCAUGGUUUGGUCGUUGUACCGUUGAAAAUAUAAGGUGACAUGCACUAUCAUGUAAGAACCCGAACUAUACUAGUUCAAACAUGGGAAUAAAAGACAAACACAUGUCUUGUCUGCAUAUGAUUGUUUAUUUGAGUUCCAUUCCUAUGCCCAUUCACAAGUUCACCCGUAAUUAUAUAUAUUACACAUUAAGUAGAUAUUUAUGUUGCAUUAAUAUGAAGAUAACAAAAUGAGUCUGAAACUUGAAUUAAAUUGAAGUAUUUUCUUGGACUUUCAAAUUGUGUAUUAUUAAAGUAGUAAGGAUUAUCCACAUCCUUGGCUUGCCCUUCAUCAAUUAUUCCCAGAGAAGCUUUCAGUUCAUAAAUCAAUUACAUUGAUUUUUGUGAAUGGUACAUCUCCUCAUCACGAGUAUCAUUACGGCUACUCCAAAUCGCUCACAUAACCGAAGCAUUAAUAGCGCCCUUCUUGCAUCCGGAAAUAUGGAUCGAAGAUAUCACUUGACCAUGUUUCCAGGUGCAACCUUGGGAUUUUUAUGUCAAAAUAUUCUCAAGCAAAAUCCAAGAAUAAACUUGCAUGCUCACGUGUGAUGAGGGCAGAUGAAGUAACAUUUCCUCCCCAUGGCCACACAUAGGGCACACACAUAACCCCAUCACAUGCCUUUUUAGUUAUGCAUAUGAAAGGUAGGAUGUUUUUAAUUACUCUCUACCAAAAUACUCUUAACUUGGCUUGUACCCUAAUAUUUCGUUGCCUUUUCAAUUGUUCUUCCCCAUUAGACAAAGUAGACAGUCCAUCUACCACACCGUACCUUGUGUCCAUCAUUGCUCUGUACAACAAUUGAACAGAACAAAUGUCAUUUCUUUACGAUACCCACGACCAAAUGUCCUUUGCUGGAUUGUUUGGUCGUGGCAUAUUAAGGAUGGCCACCUCAUCUCAUGGGGUAAACACCUAAUGAAUGAAAGGAUUGUUCUAGUCGCCCGUGUUUUUCAUCGAUAAGAUCAUCUACAAGUUGGACCGAAGUUUCUCACAUGCAUCAUAGUGGUUUCAUUAGCGGCGUGCCCUGCACCCAUUUAUCACGUCGUAUCUCUGUAGUAUGUGCAUUCCCAAUUUGUCACAGCAUACCCUCCUUCAAACCUUCUUUCCCUUUCAGAUUAGCACGCCAAGUUAGCUAUGCACUAUGCGGGAACCAGCAUUUGAAAAAAAAGAAUCUCAUUUCAUGGUAUCUUCCAUGAAGGACCCUCGUACAUUAGCUAUCUAGGUAGAAAUAGCCAUGUAUGUUUGGCAAACUUUGCAUAAGUGAAUAGAUCAAGGUCGUGGAACCCCAAGCCUCCAAUUACACACGGCCUCUCUACCAAUAAGAUCUCCAAAGACAUCAAGGAUACAGACAGCCAAAAAAGAAAAUAAAAAGAAAAAAAAUAAAAAAUACCCUGCCAUGGUGAUCAAUCACAAGCAUCAGCAGCACUCUAACCACCACCAAAGACAAUGCCCAGAUUACAAAAAAAAAUUAUCCAAAAACAAUGCCCCCAAGAAGGAAACAAUACACAAGCGUUGUCGUUGCCCGAUCGAAGAUCGUGGGUUUUCACCCUGGAAAAUUUUUGAGUUCACCCAAAAACAAUGCCUUCAACAAGGCCAUUGCCAAGUACAACAAAUAUGGUCGAGACCUUGGGUUUUCACCCUAGGAAUUGAGACUCGAUGCUCGAGGAGUACCAGCAAAAAUGCAGUCCACUAGUGUUGCCGCCCCCACUUGGCAAGGCCACUGUUGCAAGUCACCAAACACCUGGCAUAUAGUUGUCAUCGCAUCCAAUACACCCUUCGGCCGAAGCUUCAAGACCUUGAUCCGUCUCCAGCGUAUCUAUAAUUUUUGAUUGUUCCAUGCUAUUAUAUUAUCUGUUUUGGAUGUUUUAUAUGAUUAUUAUGGUAUUUUAUAUGAUUUUUGGGACUAACCUAUUAAACUAGAGCCCAGUGUCAGUUCCUGUUUUUUCCUUGUUUUAGAGUUUCGUAGAAAAGGAGUACCAAACGGAGUCCAAACGGAAUUAAACUUUUGCGAUGAUUUUUCUUAGACCAGAAGACAUCUAGAGGACUUGGAGUGCAUGUUAGGAAAGCCACGAGGCUGCCACAACGACAGAGGUGCGCCCCCACCCUUGUGGGCCCCUCGUGACUCUACCGACAUAUUUCUUCCGCCUAUAUAUUCUCAAAUAUUCCAAAACAUACUAGGAGAGCCACAAAAACACUUUUCCACCGCCGCAACCUUCUGUACCCGUGAGAUCCAAUGUAGGGGCCUUUCCCGGCAUCCUGUCGGCGGGGGAUUCGAUCACUUAGGGCUUCUACAUCAACACCAUUGCCUCUCCGAUGAAGCGUGAGUAGUUUACCACAGACCUAUGGGUCCAUAGCUAGUAUCUAGAUGGCUUCUUCUCUCUCUUUGAUUCUCAAUACCAUGUUCUCCUCGAUGUUCUUGGAGAUCUAUUCGAUGUAAUACUCUUUUUGCGGUGUGUUUGCCAAGAUCCAAUGAAUUGUGGAUUUAUGAUCAGGUUAUCUAUGAGUAUUAUUUGAAUCUCCUAUGAAUUCUUAUAUGCAUGAUUUGAUAUCUUUGCAAGUCUCUUCGAACUAUCGAUUUGGUUUGGCCAACUAGAUUGGUUUUUCUUGCAAUGGGAGAAGUGCUUAACUUUGGGUUCAAUCUUGCGGUGCUCGAUCCCAGUGACAGAAGGGGAUGAUACGUCCCCAACGUAUCUAUAAUUUUUGAUUGUUCCAUGCUAUUAUAUUAUCAACCUUGGAUGUUUUAUAUGCAUUUAUAUGCUAUUUUAUAUGAUUUUUGGGACUAACCUAUUAACCCAGAGCCCAGUGCUAGUGCCAGUUUCUGUUUUUUCCUUGUUUUAGGGUUUCGAAGAAAAGGAAUAUCAAAUGGAGUCCAAACGGAAUGAAACCUUCAGAAAAUUUAUUUUUGGAAAGAAAGUAAUACGGGAGACUUGGAGUGCACGUCCGGGGAUCAACGAGGAAGCCACGAGGCAGGGGGCGCGCCCACCCCUCUUGGGCGCGCCCUCCACCCUCGUGGGCCCCUCGUGGCUCCCCAAAUGUAUUUCUUCCGCCUAUAUAUAUCCAUAUACCCCAAAACGACCGGGGAGCACAAUAGAUCGGGAGUUUCUCCGCCAGAAGCCUCCGUAGCCACCGAAAGCUAAUCUAGACCCGUUCCGGCACCCUGCCGGAGGGGGAAUCCCUCUCCGGUGGCCAUCUUCAUCAUCCCGGUGCUCUCGAUGACGAGGAGGGAGUAGUUCUCCCUCGGGGCUAAGGGUAUGUACCAGUAGCUAUGUGUUUGAUCUCUCUCUCUCUCUCUCUCUCUCUCUCUCGUGUUCUUGAGGUGAUACGAUCUUGAUGUAUCGCGAGCUUUGCUAUUAGAGUUGGAUCUUAUGUUGCUUCUCCCCCUCUACUCUCUUGUAAUGGAUUGAGUUUCCCCUUCGAAGUUAUCUUAUCGGAUUGAGUCUUUAAAAAUUUGAGAACACUUGAUGUAUGUCUUGCCGCGUGUAUCUGUGGUGACAAUGGGAUAUCACGUGAUUCACUUGAUGUAUGUUUUCGUGAUCAACUUGCGGGUUCCGCCCAUGAACCUAUGCAUAGGGGUUGGCACACGUUUUCGUCGUGAUUCUUUGGUAGAAACUUUGGUGCACUCUUUGAGGUUCUAUGUGUUGGUUGAAUAGAUGAACUUGAGAUUGUGUGAUCCAUAUCAUAUAAUCAUACCCACGGAUACUUCAGGUGACAAUGGAGUAUCUAGGUGACAUUAGGGUUUUGGUUGAUUUGUGUCUUAAGGUGUUAUUCUAGUACGAACUCUAGGGCUGUUUGUGACACUUAUAGGAAUAGCCCAACGGAUUGAUUGGAAAGAAUAACUUUGAGGUGGUUUCGUACCCUACCAUAAUCUCUUCGUUCGUUCUCUGCUAUUAGUGACUUUGGAGUGACUCUUUGUUGCAUGUUGAGGGAUAAUUAUGUGAUCCAAAUAUGUUAUUAUUGUCGAGAGAACUUGCACUAGUGAAAGUAUGAACCCUAGGCCUUGUUUCGACGCAUUGCAAUACCGUUUACGCUCACUUUUAUCAUUAGUUACCUUGCUGUUUUUAUAUUUUCAAAUUACAAAAACCUUUAUCUACCAUCCAUAUACCACUUGUAUCACCAUCUCUUCACCUAUACAAUUUACCAUUGUAUUGGGUGUGUUGGGGACACAAGAGACUCUUUGUUAUUUGGUUGCAGGGUUGCUUGAGAGAGACCAUCUUCAUCCUACGCCUCCUACGGAUUGAUAAACCUUAGGUCAUCCACUUGAGGGAAAUUUGCUACUGUCCUACAAACCUCUGUACUUGGAGGCCCAACAACGUCUACAAGAAGAAGGUUGUGUAGUAGACAUCAAGCUCUUUUCUGGCGCAGUUGCCGGGAAGGUGAGUGCUUGAAGUUAUAUCUUUAGAUCUUGCAAUCGAAUCUUUUUGUUUCUUGUUUUAGCACUAGUUUAGUUUAUAAAAGAAAACUACAAAAAAACGGAAUUGAGUUUACCUCACACGCUUCAUCUUUUUAAUAUCUUUCGUGAGUAUGAUGGAAAGAAAAAUUGUGCCAAAGUGUUAGAAGAAGAAUGCAUUAAACUGUUUGGCAUUAAAUAUUUGAAUGAUGAGCAUUAUUGCAAUGUUGUUAGUAUGAAUUCCUUGAAUAUCCAUAGUACUAAUGAUGAUUGCACUAGUUAUGAUGAAAAUGUCUCAUGUAAACAUGUCAAUUUUUGUGGAGUGCAUUGGGUUUGCAAGUACACACCAAUUAGGGAAGAUAGAUUUUGCAAGAGGCAUAAGUACUUAGAAACUAAAUUGUUGCAAGAAAGGCUAGAUGAAUGUGCUGAAAAUUUAAAUUUUCUUGGCCAUACUUGUGAGCUUUGCAAUGAACAUGGUUAUUUAACCAUCCGAUGCAAAUUGUUUCAUGAUCUAAUCGUUUCCAAAAAUUGUGAUGACUUGAUUUCCCUUGCACAUCAUAAUGAACUUAGUUUGCUUAUGGGUUAUGAGGAAAUGAAAUGUAUAACUAACUAUCUUCCAGUAUUUUCCCAUGAUAAACUUCUUGGAUUUGACCUAGAGGAAAUUUAUAUGUAUUGUGCGGUGAAUUGCAUUGAAAACCCCUAUAUUGUCAAUUACAUAAAGAAAAGAAAACAAAUAGAGGAUGAACAGAAUACUAAUGAAAGGGAAGAGACCUCCCAAUAUCCUCCUAUUAUUUCUUAUGAUGAACCAGGUAACGAGGAGGAGCCUCCUAUUCAACCAAUCUCAUUAAUAAGGAGCUCCAAAAAGAGGAUUGAACCCACACACGAUGUAGUGAAGAAGAAGAAAAGAAAGAGGAAGAGAGGUAAAAAGAUAUCUCUCCCAAAUAAUGCUGCUCCUAUUACUAUUGUGCCUCAUGAAAAUAUAAUUGUGGAAAAUAAUGAUACUUCUUAUGAUCUUGAAAAUCCUUUUGUCACUUGCUUGGAAGAAUAUGAUAAUUGCUAUACUAUUGGUGCUAUCCAUACUAUUAAUGAUGAGAGUGAUUAUGCUUAUGAUAUGAAAAGGCCCAAGCUUUGGGAUGCUAUGUUUGAUGAAGAUGAUGUUUUUGAGAAUAUAUUUGCUACAAUUAAUGUUUGUCCCAAGCUUGGGGAUGCUAUGUUUAAUCAAGAUGAUAUUUUUAGUCUCCCAAGUUUUGAUAUGCAAAUUUAUAAUGAUGAUAGCAUGCCUCCUACUUAUGAUGAUUAUUGUGAUGAUACUUAUGCUAUAAAAAGUAAUGAUUAUAUUUAUAAAACUUGUCAUGAUUAUGGUUACCCCUUUUCUGAACAUUACUCUUUUAAUGUGGAAACAAUUUAUAGUAUUCGAGUUUCUUAUGAUACUCCCACUAUUCCGAAUGAGAAGAAUUUUGCUUGUGUAGAGAGUAAUAAAAUUUCUAUGCUUGUAGAUCAUGAAAAGAAUGCUUUAGGUGCUGGUUAUAUUUUUGAAUUCAUUCAUGAUGCUACUGAAAAUUAUUAUGAGGGAGGAACAUAUGCUUGUAGGAAUUGCAAUAAUAUCAAGUUUCCUCUCUAUGUGCUUAAAGUUUUGAAGUUAUGCUUGUUUUGCCCUCCUAUGCUAGUUGAUUAUUGUUCCCAUAAGUUGUUUGCUCACAAAAUUCCUACACAUAGGAAGUGGGUUAGACUUACAUGUUCUAGUCAUAUGCUUCAUGAUGCUCUCUUUAUGUUUCAAUUCUUAUCUUUUAUGUGAGCAUCAUUGAAAUCGUCAUGCCUAGCUAGGGGCGUUAAACGAUAGCGCUUGUUGAGAGGAAACCCAACUUUAUUUUUGUUCCUUGAUUUUUGCUCCUGUCUAGCAAUAAAUAAUUUAUCUAGCAUCUGUUAUGAUUGAGUUUUUAUGUUAGAACCGUUGGGAAGACUUGGGGAAAGUCUUGGCGAUCAUGCUGUAAAAAAACAGAAACUUUAGCGCUCACGAGAAUUGCUGACAUUUUUUAUUGGAGAGUGCUAUUUGGUUAAUUAUUUUUGCAGAUGAUUAAUAGAUAAAUUCCUCACGUCCAGCAAUUUAUUUUAGAAUUUUUGAGGCUCCAGAAGUUUGCGUUAGUUACAGAUUACUACAGACUGUUCUGUUUUUGACAGAUUCUGUUUUUCGUGUGUUGUUUGCUUAUUUUGAUGAAUCUAUGGCUAGUAAAAUAGUUUAUAAACCAUAGAGAAGUUUUAAUACAGUAGGUUUAACACCAAUAUAAAUAAAUAAUGAGUUCAUUACAGUACCUUUAAGUGGUGUUUUAUUUUCUUUCGCUAACGGAGCUCACGAGUUUUCCAUUUUAAGUUUUGUGUUGUGAAGUUUUCAAGUUUUGGGUAAAGAUUUGAUGGAUUAUGGAAUAAGGAGUGGCAAGAGAAUAAGCUUGGGGAUGCCGAAGGCACCCCAAGGUAAUAUUCAAGGACAACCAAAAGCCUAAGCUUGGGGAUGCCCCGGAAGGCAUCCCCUCUUUCGUCUUCGUUCAUCGGUAACUUUACUUGGAGCUAUAUUUUUAUUCACCACAUGUUACGUGUUUUGCUUGGAGCGUCAUUUUAUUUCAUUUUUUUGCUUGCUGUUUGAAUAAAGUAUCAAGAUAUGAAAUUAUUAAGUGGGAGAGUCUUCACAUAGUUGCAUAAGUAUUCGACUACUCAUUGAUCUUCACUUACAUCUUUCAGAGUAGUUUGUCAUUUUCUCUAGUGCUUCACUUAUAUCUUUUGAGAGCACGGUGGUGGUUUUAUUUUGUAGAAAUAGAUGAACUCUCGUGCUUCACUAAUAUUAUUUUGAGAGUCCUCAGAACAGCAUGGUAAUUUGCUUUGGUUAUGAAUUUAGUCCUAAUAAGAUGGGCAUCCAAGAGGGAUAUAAUAAAAACUUUCAUAUAAGUGCAUUGAAUACUAAGAGAAGUUUGAUACUUGAUGAUUGUUUUGAGAUAUGGAGAUAGUGAUAUUAAAGUUGUGCUAUUUGACACUACUAGGAAAAGGCCUACUAAUGGCGCACCAGUUUUGCCUACUAAUGGCGCAUCACUGGUGCGCCAUUACUAGCACGCCAUUAGUAAUUUUUAGUAAUGGCGCACCACUGGUGCGCCAUUAGUAUCGGCCACGGUGCGCCAUUCGUAUAGGCCACUGGUGCGCCAUUAGUAUAGGCCACGGUGCGCCAUUAGUAUUUUUGGAUUUUGAAGGCGGGAAAAUAGUAGUGGCGCACCGUCUAACCCCCACCGUGCGCCAUUACUAUUUUUGAAUUUUGAAUUUGGAUCUGGAUCGUGAUUUUUUUGCCCAUUUUUUGCUCGUUUUUUUGCUCGUUUUUUGGCACAAUAUUAUUUCAAAUUUUGUUCUUGUUUUUGGAUCUUGUACGUUCUUUUGCCGUGUUCUUUUGCCGGAGAGGAGUUCGCCGGAGAGGAGGAGGAGGAGGUCACCGGAGAGGCGCUCGCCUACAUCGCCGGAGAGGAGGAGGAGGUCGCCGGAGAGGAGUUCACCGAAGCAUCGGAGAGGAGGAAGGAGAAACCAUGAGGGAAUGGGAGGAGAGGAGGGAGGAGAAACCAUGAGGGGAGGGGAGGAGAGGAGGGAGNNNNNNNNNNNNNNNNNNNNNNNNNNNNNNNNNNNNNNNNNNNNNNNNNNNNNNNNNNNNNNNNNNNNNNNNNNNNNNNNNNNNNNNNNNNNNNNNNNNNNNNNNNNNNNNNNNNNNNNNNNNNNNNNNNNNNNNNNNNNNNNNNNNNNNNNNNNNNNNNNNNNNNNNNNNNNNNNNNNNNNNNNNNNNNNNNNNNNNNNNNNNNNNNNNNNNNNNNNNNNNNNNNNNNNNNNNNNNNNNNNNNNNNNNNNNNNNNNNNNNNNNNGGAGAGGAGAAGGAGGUCGCCGGAGAGGAGGAGAUGGAGUGGAGGAGAGGAGGAGAUGGAGUGGAGGAGAGGAGAGGAGGAGAUGGAAUGGAGGAGAGGUGGAGUGGAGGAGGUGCGCCCAGCCAUGUAUACGACAUAGUAAUGGCGCACCGUGGGCAGGUGCGCCAUUACUAACUUUUUUUAUUUUUUGAUUUAUUUUGAAUUUUGAAGGCGGGAAGAUACUAAUGGCGCACCGUGGGCAGGUGCGCCAUUAGUAACUUUUUUUUUAUUUUUGACUAAUUUUGAAUUUUGAAGGCGGGAAGAUACUAAUGGCGCACCGUGGGCAGGUGCGCCAUUAGUAACUUUUUUUGACUAAUUUUGAAUUUUGAAGGUGGGAAGAUACUAAUGGCGCACCACGGGGUGGUGCGCCAUUAGUAACUUUUUUUUAUUUUGUUGACUUAUUUUGAAUUUUGAAGGCGGGAAGAUACUAAUGGCGCACCAUGGGCAGGUGCGCCAUUAGUAAGUUUGAAUUAUUUUUAAUUUUUUUGCCUCUCCAGAUCUUAAAAGCCCCAUAUAUUUUUUUCUGUUAGGUUUUUGAGGAUUUUAAAAAUGUUUAACGGAUUCCCCGGUUAAAUUUGGAUGUAACUUUUCGAGUAGAUGAUUUUUCAUAUAAAAAACUUUUUCAUCCGAGUUAGUAUGCAAAAGUUAUGCCCAUUUUUACAAAUUNNNNNNNNNNNNNNNNNNNNNNNNNNNNNNNNNNNNNNNNNNNNNNNNNNNNNNNNNNNNNNNNNNNNNNNNNNNNNNNNNNNNNNNNNNNNNNNNNNNNNNNNNNNNNNNNNNNNNNNNNNNNNNNNNNNNNNNNNNNNNNNNNNNNNNNNNNNNNNNNNNNNNNNNNNNNNNNNNNNNNNNNNNNNNNNNNNNNNNNNNNNNNNNNNNNNNNNNNNNNNNNNNNNNNNNNNNNNNNNNNNNNNNNNNNNNNNNNNNNNNNNNNNNNNNNNNNNNNNNNNNNNNNNNNNNNNNNNNNNNNNNNNNNNNNNNNNNNNNNNNNNNNNNNNNNNNNNNNNNNNNNNNNNNNNNNNNNNNNNNNNNNNNNNNNNNNNNNNNNNNNNNNNNNNNNNNNNNNNNNNNNNNNNNNNNNNNNNNNNNNNNNNNNNNNNNNNNNNNNNNNNNNNNNNNNNNNNNNNNNNNNNNNNNNNNNNNNNNNNNNNNNNNNNNNNNNNNNNNNNNNNNNNNNNNNNNNNNNNNNNNNNNNNNNNNNNNNNNNNNNNNNNNNNNNNNNNNNNNNNNNNNNNNNNNNNNNNNNNNNNNNNNNNNNNNNNNNNNNNNNNNNNNNNNNNNNNNNNNNNNNNNNNNNNNNNNNNNNNNNNNNNNNNNNNNNNNNNNNNNNNNNNNNNNNNNNNNNAAUUUUUUUACUAAUGGCGCACCGUGGAUGUGGUGCGCCAUUACUAGUUCAACUAGUAAUGGCGCACCACCCCCACGGUGCGCCAUUAGUAGUUUUGAAAAAAAUUAAAUUUUUUUACCAAUGGCGCACCGUGGAUGUGGUGCGCCAUUAGUAUUUGGACACUAAUGGCGUACCAACACAUGGUGCGCCAUUAGUAUAUAGUAAUGGCGCACCACAUGUCUGGUGCGCCAUUAGUGUCAAUUCCAUCUAUAGCCCUUUUCCUAGUAGUGUGAGUAGUUGUGAAUUUGAGAAAUACUUGUGUUGAAGUUUGCAAGUCCCGUAGCAUGCACGUAUGGUAAACGUUAUGUAACAAAUUUGAAACAUGAGGUGUUCUUUGAUUGUCCUCCUUAUGAAUGGCGGUCGGGGACGAGCGAUGGUCUUUUCCUACCAAUCUAUCCCCCUAGGAGCAUGCGUGUAGUGCUUGGUUUUUGAUGACUUGUAGAUUUUUGCAAUAAGUAUAUGAGUUCUUUAUGACUAAUAUUGAGUCCAUGGAUUAUAUGCAUUCUCACCCUUCCAUCAUUGCUAGCCUCUUCGGUACCGUGCAUUGCCCUUUCUCACAUUGAGAGUUGGUGCAAACUUCGCUGGUGCAUCCAAACCCCGUGAUAUGAUACACUCUUUCACACAUAAACCUCCUUAUAUCUUCCUCAAAACAGCCACCAUACCUACCUAUUAUGGCAUUUCCGUAGCCAUUCUGAGAUAUAUUGCCAUGCAACUUUCCACCAUUCUGUUUGUCAUGACACAUUCAUCAUUGUCAUAUUGCUUAGCAUGAUCAUGUAGUUGACAUAGUAUUUGUGGCAAAGCCACCGUUCAUAAUUAUUUCAUACAUGUCACUCUUGGUUCAUUGCAUAUCCCGGUACACCGCCGGAGGCAUUCAUAUAGAGUCAUAUCUUGUUCUAGUAUCGAGUUGUAAAUAAAUAGAAGUGUGAUGAUCAUCAUUAAUAGAGCAUUGUCCCAAAAAAAGGAAGAGAACGACCAAAUAAAAAAGGGAAGCCCCCCACCCAAAAAAGAAAAGAAAGGCCAGAUAAAAAAUAAAAAAAAUAAAAAAAAUAAAAGGGACAAUGCUACUAUCCUUUUUCCACACUUGUGCUUCAAAGUAGCACCAUGAUCUUUAUGAUAGAGAGUCUCUUGUUUUGUCACUUUCAUAUACUAGUGGGAAUUUUUUAUUAUAGAACUUGGCUUGUAUAUUCCAACAAUGGGCCUCCUCAAGUGCCCUAGGUCUUUGUGAGCAAGCAAGUUGGAUGCACACCCACUUAGUUUCUUUUGUUGAGCUUUCAUACAUUUAUGGCUCUAGUGCAUCCGUUGCAUGGCAAUCCCUAAUCCUUGCAUUGACAUCAAUUGAUGGGCAUCUCCCUAGCCCAUUGAUUAGCCGCGUCGAUGUGAGACUUUCGCCUUUUGGUCUUCUCCACAUAACCCCCUCAUUAUAUUCUAUUCCACCCAUAGUGCUAUAUCCAUGGCUCACGCUCAUGUAUUGCGUGAAAGUUGAAAAAAGUUUGAGAUUACUAAAGUAUGAAACAAUUACUUGGCUUGUCAUCGGGGUUGUGCACAAUGAGAGCAUUCUUGUGUGACGAAAAUGGAGCAUGGCCAAACUAUAUGAUUUUGUAGGGAUGAACUUUCUUUGGCCAUGUUAUUUUGAGAAGACAUGAUUGCUUAGUUAGUAUACUUGAAGUAUUAUUAUUUUUAUGUCACUAUUAAACUUUUGUCUUGAAUCUUAUGGAUCUGAAUAUUCUUGCCACAAUAAAGAGAACUACAUGGAUAAAUAUGUUAGGUGGCAUUCUACAUCAAAAAUUCUGUUUUUAUCUUUUAGCUACUCCAGGACGAGCAGGAAUUAAGCUUGGGGAUGCUGAUACGCCUCCAACGUAUCUAUAAUUUUUAUUGUUCCAUGCUAUUAUAUUAUCAACCUUGGAUGUUUUAUAUGCAUCUUUAUGCUAUUUUAUAUCAUUUUUGGGACUAACCUAUUAACCUAGAGCCCAGUGCCAGUUUCUGUUUUUUCCUUGUUCUAGGGUUUCGAAGAAAAGGAAUAUCAAAUGGAGUCCAAACGGAAUGAAACCUUCGGAAAAGUUGUUUUUGGAAAGAAAGCAAUACAGGAGACUUGGAGUGCACGUCAGCGGAUCAACGAGGAAGCCACGAGGCAGGGGGCGCGCCCACCCCCUGGGCGCGCCCUCCACCCUCGUAGGCCCCUCGUGGCUCCCCUAAUGUAUUUCUUCCGCCUGUAUGUACCAAUAUACCCUAAAACGAUCGGGGAGCACAAUAGAUUGGGAGUUCCGCCGCCAGAAGCCUCUGUAGCCACUAAAAGUGAAUCUAGACCCGUUCCGGCACCCUGCCGGAGGGUGAAUCCCUCUCCGGUGGCCAUCUUCAUCAUCCCGGUGCUCUCCAUGACGAGGAGGGAGUAGUUCUCCCUUGGGGCUGAGGGUAUGUACCAGUAGCUAUGUGUUUAAUCUCUCUCUCUCUCUCUCUCGUGUUCUUGAGGUGAUACGAUCUUGAUGUAUCGCGAGCUUUGCUAUUAUAGUUGUAUCUUAUGUUUCUUCUCCUCCUCUACUCUCUUGUAAUGGAUUGAGUUUCCCCUUCGAAGUUAUCUUAUCGGAUUGAGUCUUUAAAGAUUUGAGAACACUUGAUGUAUGUCUUGCCGCGUGUAUCUGUGGUGACAAUGGGAUAUCACGUGAUUCACUUGAUGUAUGUUUUCGUGAUCAACUUGCGGGUUCCGCCCAUGAACCUAUGCAUAGGGGUUGGCACACGUUUUCGUCGUGAUUCUUUGGUAGAAACUUUGGUGCACUCUUUGAGGUUCUAUGUGUUGGUUGAAUAGAUGAACUUGAGAUUGUGUGAUGCAUAUCGUAUAAUCAUACCCACAGAUACUUGAGGUGACAAUGGUUUGCUCACAAAAUCCCUAUGCAUAGGAAGUGGGUUAGACUUAAAUGUUCUAGUCAUAUGCUUCAUGAUGCUCUCUUUAUGUUUCAGUUCUUAUCUUUUAUGUGAGCAUCAUUGAAAUCAUCAUGCCUAGCUAGGGGCGUUAAACGAUAGCGCUUGUUGGGAGGAAACCCAACUUUAUUCUUGUUCCUUGCUUUUUGCUCCUGUUUAGCAAUAAAUAACUUAUCUAGCCUCUGUUAUGAUUGAGUUUUUAUGUUUUAAUUAGUGUUUGUGCCAAGUAGAACCGUUGGGAAGACUUGGGGAAAGUCUUUGCGAUCAUACUGUAAAAAACAGAAACUUCAGCGCUCACGAGAAUUGAUGGGCAUCUCCUUAACCCAUUGAUUAGCCGCGUCGAUGUGAGACUUUCUCCUUUUUGUCUUCUCCACAUAACCCCCUCAUUAUAUUCUAUUCCACCCAUAGUGCUAUAUCCAUGGCUCACGCUCAUGUAUUGCGUGAAAGUUGAAAAAAGUUUGAGAUUACUAAAGUAUGAAACAAUUGUUUGGCUUGUCAUCGGGGUUGUGCAUGAUGAGAGCAUUCUUGUGUGACGAAAAUGGAGCAUGACCAAACUAUAUGAUUUUGUAGGGAUGAACUUUCUUUGGCCAUGUUAUUUUGAGAAGACAUGAUUGCUUAGUUAGUAUGCUUGAAGUAUUAUUAUUUUUAUGUCAAUAUUAAACUUUUUUCUUGAAUCUUAUGUAUUUGAAUAUUCUUGCCGGAAUAAAGAGAACUACAUGGAUAAAUAUGUUAGGUAGCAUUCCACAUCAAAAAUUCGGUUUCAUUAGCGGCGUGCCCUGCACCCAUUUAUCACGUCGUAUCUCUGUAGUAUGCGCAUUCCCAAUUUGUCACGGCAUACCCUCCUUCAAACCUUCUUGCCCUUUCAGAUUAGCACGCCAAGCUAGCUAUGCACUAUGCGGGAACCUGCAUUUGAAAAAAAAGAAUCUCAUUUCAUGGUAUCUUCCAUGAAGGACCCUCGUACAUGAGCUAUCUAGAUAGAAAUAGCCAUGUAUGUUUAGCAAACUUUGCAUAAGUGAAUAGAUCAAGGUCGUGGAACCCCAAGCCUCCAAUUACACACGGCCUCUCUACCAAUAAGAUCUCCAAAGACAUCAAGGAUACAGACAGCCAAAAAAGAAAAUAAAAAGGAAAAAAAUAAAAAAUACCCCACCAUGGUGAUCAAUCACAAGCAUCAGCAGCACUCUAACCACCACCUAAGACAACGCCCAGAUUACAAAAAAAAUUCUCCAAAAGCAAUGCCCCCAAGAAGGAAACAAUACACAAGCGUUGUCGUUGCCCGAUCGAAGAUCGUGGGUUUUCACACUGGAAAAUUUUUGAGUUCACCCAAAAACAAUGCCUUCAACAAGGCCAUUGCCAAGUACAACAAAUAUGGCUGAGACCUUGGGUUUUCACCCUAGGAAUUGAGAGUCGAUGCUCGAGGAGUACCACCAAAAAUGCAGUCCACUAGUGUUGCCGCCCCCACUUGGCGAGGCCGCUGUUGCAAGUCACCAAACACCUGGCAUAUAGUUGUCAUCGCAUCCAAUACACCCUUCGGCCGAAGCUUCAAGACCUUGAUCCGUCUCCAACGUAUCUAUAAUUUUUGAUUGUUCCAUGCUAUUAUAUUAUCUGUUUUGGAUGUUUUAUAUGAGUAGGGCGUUUUGGUGCCCAGGCUCAUCUGCACCCGGUUAGAAAAAAUUCAUAAAAAAUUUAAACAAAUUCAAAAAAUUCCAAAUAAAAUUUGUAUGGUAGACAAUUUGAUGCGUGAGGCCCGCCUCAAAUUUCAAGUCAUUUGGAUAUAUGAGAAGCUCUCAGCAAAAAAGACAAAUCGGACUAAAACAGUACAUGAACAGUAAACAUUUUUACAGACCCUCAAUUUGUCUUUUUUGCUGAGAGCUGCUCAUAUGUUCAAAUGACUUGAAAUUUGGAGCGUGCCUCACGCAUCAAAAUUUCUAUCACACAAAUUUUAUUUGGAAUUUUUCGAAUUUUUCUAGUAUUUGUUUUGAUUUUUUUCGUCGGCACAGGUGCAGAUGAGCUCAGGUGCAGAAAUGGAUUUUCGGUUUUAUUUGCACUAUUAUGCUAUUUUAUAUGAUUUUUGCGACUAACCUAUUAAACUAGAGCCCAGUGCCAGUUCCUGUUUUUUCCUUGUUUUAGAGUUUCACAGAAAAGGAAUACCAAACGGAGUCCAAACGGAAUGAAACUUUUGCGAUGAUGUUUCUUAGACCAGAAGACAUCUAGAGGACUUGGAGUGCACGUUAGGAAAGCCAUGAGGUGGCCACAAUGACGGAGGGCACGCCCCCACCCUUGUGGGCUCCUCGUGACUCUACCGACCUAUUUCGUCCGCAUAUAUAUUCUCAAAUAUUCCAAAACCUACUAGGAGAGCCACAAAAAAACUUUUCCACCGUCGCAACCUUCUGUACCCAUGAGUUCCCAUCUAGGGGCCUUUUCCGGCAUCCCGUCGGAGGGGGAUUCGAUCACGGAGGGCUUCUACAUCAACACCAUUGCCUCUCCGAUGAAGCGUGAGUAGUUUACCACAGACCUAUGAGUCCAUAGCUAGUAUCUAAACGGCUUCUUCUCUCUCUUUGAUUCUCAAUACCAUGUUCUCUUCGAUGUUCUUGGAGAUCUAUUCGUUGUAAUACUCUUUUUGCGGUGUGUUUGCCGAGAUCCGGUGAAUUGUGGAUAUAUGAUCAGGUUAUCUAUGAAUAUUAUUUGAAUCUCCUAUGAAUUCUUAUAUGCAUGAUUUGAUAUAUUUGCAAGUCUCUUCGAACUAUCGAUUUGGUUUGGCCAACUAGAUUGGUUUUUCUUGCAAUGGGAGAAGUGCUUAACUUUGGGUUCAAUCUUGCGGUGCUCGAUCCCAGUGACAGAAGGGGAUGAUACGUCUCCAACGUAUCUAUAAUUUUUGAUUGUUCCAUGCUAUUAUAUUAUCAACCUUGGAUGUUUUAUAUGCAUUUAUAUGCUAUUUUAUAUGAUUUUUGGGACUAACCUAUUAACCUAGAGCCCAGUGCCAGUGCCAGUUUCUGUUUUUUCCUUGUUUUAGGGUUUCAAAGAAAAGGAAUAUCAAACAGAGUCCAAACGGAAUGAAACCUUCGGAAAAGUUAUUUUUGGAAAGAAAGCAAUACGAGAGACUUGGAGUGCACGUCAGGGGAUCAACGAGGAAGCCACGAGGCAGGGGCACGCCCUCCACCCUCGUGGCUCCCCUAAUGUAUUUCUUCCGCCUAUAUAUAUCCAUAUACCCUAAAAUGAUCGGGGAGCACAAUAGAUCGGGAGUUCCGCCACCAGAAGCCUCCGUAGCCACCGAAAGCCAAUCUAGACCCGUUCCGGCACCCUGCCGGAGGAGGAAUCCCUCUUCGGUGUCCAUCUUCAUCAUCCCGGUGCUCUCCAUGACGAGGAGGGAGUAGUUCUCCCUCAGGGCUGAGGGUAUGUACCAGUAGCUAUGUGUUUGAUCUCUCUCUCUCUCUCUCUCUCUCUCUCUCGUGUUCUUGAGGUGAUACGAUCUUGAUGUAUCGCGAGCUUUGCUAUUAGAGUUGGAUCUUAUGUUUCUUCUCCCCCUCUACUCUCUUGUAAUGGAUUGAGUUUCCCCUUCGAAGUUAUCUUAUCGGAUUGAGUCUUUAAAGAUUUGAGAACACAUGAUGUAUGUCUUGCCGUGCGUAUCUGUGGUGACAAUGGGAUAUCACGUGAUUCAUUUGAUGUAUGUUUUGGUGAUCAAGUUGCGGGUUCCACCCAUGAACCUAUGCAUAGGGGUUGGCACACAUUUUCGUCAUGAUUCUCCGGCAGAAACUUUGGGGCACUCUUUGAGGUUCUAUGUGUUGGUUGAAUAGAUGAAUCUGAGAUUGUGUGAUGCAUAUCGGAUAAUCAUACCCACGGAUACUUGAGGUGACAAUGGAGUAUCUAGGUGACAUUAGGGUUUUGGUUGAUUUGUGUCUUAAGGUGUUAUUCUAGUACGAACUCUAGGGCUGUUUGUGACACUUAUAGGAAUAGCCCAAUGGAUUGAUUGGAAAGAAUAACUUGGAGGUGGUUUCGUACCCUACCAUAAUCUCUUCGUUCGUUCUCCGCUAUUAGUGACUUUGGAGUGAUUCUUUGUUGCAUGUUGAGGGAUAGUUAUGUGAUCCAAUUAUGUUAUUAUUGUUGAGAGAACUUGCACUAGUGAAAGUAUGAACCCUAGGUCUUGUUUCAACGCAUUGCAAUACCGUUUACGCUCACUUUUAUCAUUAGUUACCUUGCUGUUUUUAUAUUUUCAGAUUACAAAAACCUUUAUCUACCAUCCAUAUACCACUUGUAUCACCAUCUCUUCGCCGAACUAGUGCACCGAUACAAUUUACCAUUGUAUUGGGUGUGUUGGGGACACAAGAGACUCUUUGUUAUUUGGUUGCAGGGUUGGUUGAGAGAGACCAUCUUCAUCCUACGCCUCCUACAGAUUGAUAAACCUUGGGUCAUCCACUUGAGGAAAAUUUGCUACUGUCCUACAAACCUUUGCACUUGGAGGCCCAACAACGUCUACAAGAAGAAGGUUGUGUAGUAGACAUCAGGGGAACCGACACAUAUUGUAGUGUUUCCAUCGAGGAUAACAAGAUGGGGUUUUCGUCAUAUUGCUUGAGUUUAUCCCGCUACAUCAAGUCAUCUUACUUAAUGCGUUAUCCUGUUCUUAUGAACUUAGUACUCUAGGUGCAGGCAGGAGUCAGUGGACGUGUGGAGUAAUAGUAGUAGAUGCAAGCAGGAGUCCGUCUACUUGAUACAAACAUGAUGCUUAUGUUCAUGAUCAUUGCCUUAGAUAUCGUCAUAAGUUUGCACUUUUCUAUCAAUUGCUCAGCAGUAAUUUGUUCACCCACCGUAAGAUUUUCUAUCUUGAGAGAAGCCUCUAGUGAAACCUAUGGCCCCGGGGUCUACUUUCCAUCAUAUAAGUUUCUGAUCUACAAUUGUGUUGGUUGAAUAGAUGAAUCUGAGAUUGUGUGAUGCAUAUCGUAUAAUCAUACCCACGGAUACUUGAGGUGACAAUGGAGUACCUAGGUGACAUUAGUGUUUUGGUUGAUUUGUGUCUUAAGGUGUUAUUCUAGUACGAACUCUAGGGCUGUUUGUGACACUUAUAGGAAUAGCCCAACGGAUUGAUUGGAAAGAAUAACUUUGAGGUGGUUUCGUACCCUACCAUAAUCUCUUCGUUCGUUCUCCGCUAUUAAUGACUUUGGAGUGACUCUUUGUUGCAUGUUGAGGGAUAGUUAUGUGAUCCAAUUAUGUUAUUAUUGUUGAGAGAACUUGCACUAGUGAAAGUAUGAACCCUAGGCCUUGUUUCAACGCAUUACAAUACCGUUUACGCUCAGUUUUAUCAUUAGUUACCUUGCUGUUUUUAUAUUUUCAGAUUACAAAAACCUUUAUCUACCAUCCAUAUACCACUUGUAUCACCAUCUCUUCGCUGAACUAGUGCACCUAUACAAUUUACCAUUGUAUUGGGUGUGUUGGGGACACAAGAGACUCUUUGUUAUUUGGUUGCAGGGUUGCUUGAGAGAGACCAUCUUCAUCCUACACCUCCUACGGAUUGAUAAACCUUAGGUCAUCCACUUGAGGGAAAUUUGCUACUGUCCUACAAACCUCUGCACUUGGAGGCCCAACAACGUCUACAAGAAGAAGGUUGUGUAGUAGACAUCAGGGGAACCGACACAUAUUGUAUUGUUUCCAUCGAGGAUAACAAGAUGGGGUUUUCGUCAUAUUGCUUGAGUUUACCCCGCUACAUCAAGUCAUCUUACUUAAUGCGUUAUCCUGUUCUUAUGAACUUAAUACUCUAGAUGUAGGCAGGAGUCGGUGGACGUGUGGAGUAAUAGUAGUAGAUGCAAGCAGGAGUCAGUCUAGUUGAUACAAACGUGAUGCUUAUGUUCAUGAUCAUUGCCUUAGAUAUCGUCAUAACUUUGCGCUUUUAUAUCAAUUGCUCAACAGUAAUUUGUACACCCACUGUAAGAUUUUCUAUCUUGAGAGAAGCCUCUAGUGAAACUAUGGCCCCGGGGUCUACUUUCCAUCAUAUAAGUUUCCGAUCUACAAUUUUAGUUUCCUAUCACUUCCUUUGCAAUCUUUUACUUUCCAUUCCAUAAACCAAAAAUACCAAAAAUAUUACUUUACCGAUUAUCCAUCUCUAUCAGAUCUCACCUUGCAAAUAACCAUGAAGGAUUGACAACCCCUUUGUCGCAUUAGGUGUAAGUUGCUAUUUGUUUGAGCAUGUAUUCAGUGACUUGUGCAUUGUCUCCUACUGGAUUGAUACCUUGGUUCUCAAAACUGAGGGAAAUACUUACUCUACUUUGCUGCAUCACCCUUUCCACUUCAAGGGAAAAACCAACGCAAGCUCAAGAGGAAGUAGGAAGAAUUUCUGGCACCGUUGCCGGGGACAUCUACGCCAAGUCAAGACAUACCAAGUACCCAUCAUAAACUCUCAUCUCUUGCAUUAUAUUAUUUGCCAUUCGCCUCUCGUUUUCCUCUCCCCCACUUCUAAAAUGAUUUGCCUUUUCUUCGCCCUCUUCCAUUCAUCUUCUUCGCUUGCUUUUUGUGUGCUCAUGUGUUGGAUUGCUUGCUUUGUCACGAUGUCUCAAGAGAAUACCAAAUUGUGUGACUUUUCCAAUACCAACAACAAUGAUUUUAUUAGUACCCCGAUUGCUCCCGCUACUAAUGCGGAAUCUUGUGAAAUUAAUGCUGCUUUGCUGAGUCUUGUUAUGAAAGAUCAAUUUUCCGGCCUUCCCAAUGAAGAUGCCGCAUCCCAUCUAAACAAUUUCGUUGAUUUGUGUGAUAUGAAAAAGAAAAAAGAUAUGGAUAAUGAUAUUGUUAAAUUGAAGCUAUUUCCGUUGUCACUUCGAGAUCGUGCUAAAACUAGGUUUUCAUCUUUGCCUAAAAAUAGCGAGUGUCAUUUUUUAAUGCGAGUGAUUAGUUUUUAAAGAAUGAUUGGCAUUCUUUCUUAAUUGCUCAUCUACUAAUCGUUUGGCGUGUUUUCUUAUCUUGUCAAAAUCAUAUCCCCUGGCUGUAAAUAUCAAAGAAUAAUUUCAUUUGUUGGGCUUGGACUGUACUGUCCGAGAGUCAGAGUAUAAAUACCAUACGAUUUCAAGAGCAAUAGCAACGGGGCAACCAUUAGUCCAUACUCUACACCAUAUGGCUAGAAAUUUUAUAUUAUAUAUAACAAAGUUGUGACAAAUUGGAAAUGGAAAGCAAUAAAAUGAAUAUGUUGCUAUAGGUUAUUAUUAUUACACAUGCACGUGUACCUUGAUCCUUGCUUGGACAUAGGGUCCGAGGAAGUUACAUUGCUUUGACUACUGAUAUUGUUUGUGUUAAAGUGUGCCACAAUGGCAUAAAUAUUGUCGUUGCAUAAUGGGAAACCACGUCAUAUUUAUCGAUGAUAUGUGGAAAUAGGGAUAAGCUACUUUAUGAAGAUAUAUAAGGAUGUAUGGGUUACGUUGGUGGAAAAUGUUGUUAUGAACACAAAUGCAGUUGCAUUUAUCAUGCAUUCGCGGUGAAGUGCGCUAUUGUGGCAUAUAUCUUCCUUUUUGCCACAGAAGCAUGGUAGAAUUAUAAAGAGAGUAUGUUUCUAUAGACAUUUCAAAAAAGAGAUUUGUGUAUACUCUCAUUAUACUGUAAUCACCAUAGAUUAUUCAGAUUAGAAGUUGUUGUCUCUACCACAUAUUUAGAUUUUCUAUACAUACUAAUAUCUAUAUCGCAUAGAAAAUCAUGUAUUUAUAUGAGAUCUUUGUGGUGCAUGAUAAAGCAAGAUUCCUUUUGUUAUUGCAGCAAUUUAUAAGUAUUUAAAUAUAUACUAAUAGCUAGUUUCUUCUGUGUUAUAAGGACAAAAUAAGACAUGCAUAGACAUGCAAAUACGUAUUAGAAAUCUGCUACUCCAAAUGUAUCAUGUUAAUCCAUGUAAGCCACGAAUCGCGUGCAUAUCAGGCAAAGCAGUUUUUUUUGUAAAAACAAUACAUAAUACUAAUCGAUGGUAUAGACGAUUCAAUACAUAUGCAUCAAGACACCGCUACCUUGCACAUAGUGAUAUAGGAUGGAAUUGAAUCUGAUCCGCUCCUUUCCAACUUAAUCGAGUAAUGUGUACUUCUCAUAAAUAGGCAUGUAUAUAGUAAUUGUUCUUUUGACCAAACGCUUGGUAUAUUAAUGAUCACAUUAUACAUUUAUGUAACAUUUCUUACUUGCGAAAUCUUUUACAAAUUGGAAUAUGGGAAUUUUAUUAAUACCUAGAAGAAAUACUACUAUUUAGAACAUAUAAUAACUGGUACUAUACUUUUUCUUAAUAUUGGUACUAUACUUAAUUGGACCAAAAGUUGCACAUAUUUUUGAUUAGUUCAUUUUUUUCUACAGAUUUAUCGGCGCCAUUAUUUCUCUAUGGUUGACAUGUAUAUGAACUACUGUCUGUAUAUAUUGAUCUGCAUUUAGACAAAUAUCAGGGACAAACACACAUACUGUUUAGCAUGUGUAGUUGUAAAGGUAGAAUACUGAUUUGUAGUAUUAAGAAAAUAUAUUUAUAAGAUCUUACUACAAUGUAUAUGGAUUGAGAAUCAGAGAAAUAACCAAGUGUUGUGCAAGGAUCAUUCUGACUAUCCAGUGGCAGAAUAAAAAUAGGAUGCUAAGCGCGGGGAGAAUACUUAUGUCCUAUAAACCUGCAAAUAAGAAGCAUGCAUUCACCAUAUAUUAGAAUUCCAAAUUUUAUAGUUCCUUUGCAUGUUGGAAAUAAGCUUUGCCCCUUGUGAUAUGGAUUAUCACGUAGAAUGGAAAGAGGAGAAAAAAAUUAUGGCUUAGCAGAAUCAAUGAGGAAAAGCACUACAUGUGAAGUAUCAAAACGUUGUGAUAGCACGAACCCCACCAGAUUUGAACUCGUGCUCUUAGUAUGACAUGAAAAGAGGGGCUACUCUCCAAUCGAAGUGAAAAUAGUAGAACUUUGAACUUAUAUAUAUAUACGCUUAAAAAUUCUAAAAGCAAAUGGUCAAAAACUCAGAAUAGCUUGAGCGGGCACUACUUGCUAACUCAAGCACAUGGCAACACAGUAUUAAGUCAAGAUUUUGCAACCGAGAGGGAAAGUCAAAUAAAUAAAUAAAUAAAUAAGGAUUCUCAUCAAACCUGUGAAUCCAAGCUAGUAUCUAACUAUUGUAUUGCUCAUAGUUUUGCAUACACCAUGGAACGUACGAUACAUAGCAUGUUGAAAAAUUAUAACCAAUUAAAUAGAAGAUAAAGGCAUAGUGCUAGGAGAUCAUCUCUCAGAGCAAUCAUCGCUGACAUAAACCUUCGGUUAAAUCACAUGUCUAAUUAGAACCUAGAGGUCUUUUACUUUUCCUUUAUAUGGAACCUUUAUUUUGACCUUUGGGGACUAUAGCCGCCUCAAAUAUGCAACUUUUUUUCGAAAUUUUAGUAUAGUGUAGUUGGAGCUUUUCCUGGUGUUCCAUAAAAAUAGCAAAGGGCAUAUUUCCUUUAGCCUACUUAUAUAUAAAAAAACGGCGUUCCUUAAUUAUUAUUCAAACUGAAAACACAUGCUAUCUUUAAAAGCAAAGAUGUACCUUAUGUGAGAAUCAUGCAUGUGUUAUUUCUAAUUAGUUAGGCAAUAAAAUAAUAGCAUCGUAUCAUUAGAUAAAUUAUUUUUCAACUGAAUCAGACAUGUGGGGUUUGACAAAAUUGAAAGUAUAUGCGAAGAUGUUAAGGAGAAAAUGUCAAUAUAAAAAAACUGUUUCUAUAGGCAGAUGUGAAUUACGUACAAAAAUAGGUCUGUUCGCUUUACAAAAGUUCUGGUGAAACCAAACUCCUGAGUUACUACAUGUAGAGCUCAAAAAUACCAGAUAUAGAGUAUAAAAUGAGAAUGGAAUACUAAGUGCAUCUUACAGAAAUUAUAAGAUCUUUUUAAUAGCUUCCUCAAUAUUACAUAGCAUACACAACAAUGAGGCAUCAAAUGAAUCAGUAUUCUAAAUAUGUAAAGAAGAAUAAGAAACACAAAGUAGCUGCUGCUCGAGCAACUACUACAUGCAAAUACAAUGCUUGAGAAUUUUCAAGCGUUCUGUUCGCUUUUUACCCUGAUUCAGCAUGGAUUAAAAAACCACAGUACUUAAUUCCGUGUAUCCUAAAUUCAAGCGUCAUGUUCGACGAAUUUCACCAUAGAUUUACAUGCCUGUGGACUUGUAGAACCAACAGCGCACUCUACAACAUCCGACAGAUAAAUCGAUCUGCUUUCCGUUCGCUGUAGGUUGUUCAUUGGGAAGCAGCACGAUCCACUUUAGACCACCAUCAGUAGACCUGAUCCUACGCUGCAUCGCAUUGUUAUAUUGCAGUCAGCUCGGAACUUAUGUCAAGGAGAAUAGUUAGACGAUGGAUUUGAUAUUUGGCCUUUUUGAGAUCUGAAACGUGUGUGUACUUCGUAGCUGUCAGCAGGUGGAAGGCCGUCCUGACAAAGAGGCAUAUUGCAUCCUAAAUUCAAGCACCAUGUUCGAAAAAAAAUCAGUAUGGGUUUACUUGCCUGUGGACUUGUAGAACCAACAUCAAACCCGACAAAAUCGGACAGAUAAAUCGAUCUGCUUUCCGUUCGUAGUAGGUUCUCCAAUGGGCAGCAGCACGAUCCACUUUAGACCACCUGAUCCUACGCUGCAUCUUGCAGUCAGCUCCGAACUUAACCCAGAAGAAUAGUUAGACGAUGGAUUUGAUAGUUGGCCUUUUUUUAGAUCAGAAUUGUAGGUGCAGGGUGGCUCGGCGAUCCUGACAAAGAUGAGAUUGAUCGGGGUCGCUAAUAAUCCCUUGUAGCACCUGCCGGGAUCCUUUGUGGUUCGCCGAGUGCACUUGAUGGCGAUGGGAUCAAGGGAAGAGAAGAAUUGAAGGAGGUGGGGUCGAGGGACAUGUUUUUCCUAUUUUAGGGGGAGAUAUCUUUCCUUUCUGUUUUUGCGUGAUUGUUUUCGUUUUUCAAUCGGCCGAAGAUUUUAUUGACAGAUCUAUUUUCUUUUUCUUUUCAUCACGGGAUUUUACAUGAAAGGAGGCUAUCUUUUUUUAGCAUGGAAGGAAGAUAUCUUUUUUAAAGGAACCGAUGGAUGCUUUGUUUGUUUGUUAAGCCAAUCUUGACGGUGUCGCGUUCCUUUAUUUUUUACGGGGCCAUAUAUGCUACCAUUGAUUGCAAUUAGUUUUUUUCUCUUGGAGAUGGAUUAUUUGUUUGUUGAACGUGUCUGCCUUAAUUAUGGAUGGACCAUCUGUGUAACGCAUGUUUACUUUUUAUCUUGGACGUUAAUUCUAUAAUCUAUCGGUGUAAUUAAUUUUGAUGAUGUGGAUUAAUGAGAAGGCCUUAAAAGGUGCCUCCAAUUAGUAAAUAUAUAAGAUAUAAGAUAUUGAUUCAUGGAAUAAGUUUAAGGAUGAAUUUAUUUCCAAGUAUUUUCCUCCCGCUAAGAUCAUCUCUCUUAGGAACGACAUUAUGAAUUUUAACCAACUUGAUCAUGAACAUGUUGCACAAUCUCCGUAGAGGAUGAAAUUGAUGAUAUGAAAUUGCCCUACACAUGGUUUGAAUAUGUGGAUGAUUAUACAAUUUUUUAUGCCGGAUUGAAUUUUGCUUCUAGAAAUCUUUUAGAUUCGGCCGUGGGAGGUACUUUUAUGGAAAUUACUUUAGGAGAAGCUACUAAACUCCUAGAUAAUAUUACGGUUAAUUAUUCUCAAUGGUAUACUGAAAGAUCUUCCACUAGUAAAAAAGUGCAUGCGAUUGAUGAGUUUAAUGUUUUGAGUGGAAAGAUGGAUGACCUUAUGAAAUUAUAUGCUAGCAAGAGUGCUUCUGUUGAUCCUAAUGAUAUGCCUUUGUCUACUUUGAUUGAGAAUAAUAAUGAAUCUAUGUAUGUGAAUUUUGUUGGUAGGAACAAUUUUGGUAAUAACGCUUAUGGAGGUAAUUUUAAUCCUAGACUGCUUCCUAAUAAUUCCCCUAAUAAUUAUGGCAAUUCCUACAACAAUUCUUCACUGGUAGAAAAAGGGCCUGUAGUCCCGGUUCGUAAGGGCCUUUAGUCCCGGUUCCUGAACCGGGACUAAAGUGUCGGUACUAAUACCUCCCACCUUUAGUCCCGGUUCAAUCCAGAACCGGGACUAAAGCCCAUCCACGUGGGCAGUGUGCAGAGCCCAGUCAGGAGACCCUUUGGUCCCGGUUGGUGGCACCAACCGGGACCAAUAGGCAUCCACGCGUCAGCAUUUCUGUGNNNNNNNNNNNNNNNNNNNNNNNNNNNNNNNNNNNNNNNNNNNNNNNNNNNNNNNNNNNNNNNNNNNNNNNNNNNNNNNNNNNNNNNNNNNNNNNNNNNNNNNNNNNNNNNNNNNNNNNNNNNNNNNNNNNNNNNNNNNNNNNNNNNNNNNNNCCGGUUCAAUCCAGAACCGGGACUAAAGCCCAUCCACGUGGGCAGUGCGCAGAGCCCAGUCAGGAGACCCUUUGGUCCCGGUUGGUGGCACCAACCGGGACCAAUAGGCAUCCACGCGUCAGCAUUUCUGUGGCUAGGGUUUUUAUUUUUAUUUUUUGAAAGGGGGGGGGGGUUGGGGGUUUUGGGGGGUUAAUUUAGGUGUUUCAUAUAUUGUGUUAGCUAGCUAUAAUUAAUAUAGAGAAGUGUCCUCUCUUAUGUCCGUGCUUGGUCGACGCUACGUACUAUACAUACGUAUAGAGAGGACUAGACACGCUGGCUAGCUAGUAAAGCAAACGAAGGAAACAGAAGAUCGUCAUGAACAUAUAUGCAUACAGAGAGAAGUGAUAUCGACCACCUCUCCUUCUCCGAGAGAUUGGUCGAACAACAAGUUCUCGUAUAUCUAUCUGACAGUACCGGCUACAUAUAUACAGUAAUUAUCUCUUACAAAUAUAAUCAUACGGACUCAGGUUUAACAUAGAAUUCUCCGUCUUCAGGGAUCACGUGGUCAAAAAAGAAUGCCGCCAAUUCCUCUUGAAUUGCUCGCAUGCGAGCUGGUGCUAGGAGUUCAUCCCGCUUCCGAAACAUCUAAUUUGAAGAAGGGGGUCAAUACAUAUAUAUAUAUAUAUGAAUGAAUGAAACUCAACACAAAUGAUGGUAAUAAAAUAAAAUUGUGAAUAUUGUUAUUUACGUACUUCAUAUUGUUCGUUAGAGUACCCGCCCCGCUCACACGUCGUGUGACGGAUGGACUCGCAGAUGUAGUAUCCACAGAAAUCAUUCCCUUGUUCCUGCCACAACCACUUUACAAGAAAUAGAGGUCAAUCAAACUGAUAAGCAAGAAUGCUAAAUGGUAUUGAUGAAACUAGCGCUUGAAUCACUAGGAGAUGCGCGGAACAUGCUACUAUAGUACUUACUUUCGGGUGUCUAAAUUCUAGCUCCUUCGGCAGUCCCGGAACUUUUUUGGUGAAUUUUCUCCAAACCAUGCCGGACAAAGAAAACAAUUACUUGAUAUCAGGAAAUGAACAAAGUUGCUGAUAUGGUGGAUAAUGAUCGAUUUAACUUACUUCUUGAGGAUUUCAGUCAUGUCUGCAUAGUCCUGCGGAUCUUUUCGUUUUGAGUCUAAGAAGGUUACUAGUCCCUGCUCAAGCUUAAUCUCUAGGAGAAUAUAGUGGAAACUGCACACGCAUGCAUAACUUAUGAAUUACAUUACUAUAACCUUGAGUAAUAUAUAAGGGAAACCGAAUACGCACAAGACAGUAGCACUCACUUGAAGUUGUAAGGAAAGAGUAUUAUAUCUUUGUUUUGAUUUAUUACGAACGAUUGUAGAAAGUUGGCCUCGGUAGCUGUGACAUGAAGUUUAACCUGAAUUGCAUCUAUGAGAUAUGUGUUAAUGAACCCAAUAUCACCGACUUGUCUUUUCUUCAAUUCGACGAUCUUCAAUCUGCAUAAUAUAGUGAGGAUGAUUAUAAAUACAUGCAAUGAAAGAGCUAAGCUAUAUAGAGAAACUUAAUGACAGAAGUAGUACUACUUACAGACAGUAGCAGGCGACCGUUGUUUUAUCGAGGGCCAAUUGAUUGAAAAACUGAUAGAACUCCUCAAAUGGAACAGGCAACAGAUCAAUUCCAACGAGGUCAUGCUCCUUUUUAACUCUCACAUACAAAGUACUCCUCCCCCAGAGUCUCUGCAGAUUUUCAAGUACCAAUCAUGCAAUCUUCGCAUCAUCGUUGAUAGAGAUCUUUCAUCUUUGACGAGAGGCUUCCCGUACUCGUAUCUUUGCAUCUGCAUGUCCAUGGGUUCAUAAUGUACUUCGUCGGGUAGGUAAUCUGCAAGAUUAUUAUAACCGGGCACCAUCCUCGGAUCAUUAGCGACUUUGUGGCUAGGCACCUUGAGCGAGGGGCAUGAUUGCUUCGCUUGUUUGCCGAGCUGGGCAAUUUGUUUCCCAGCUCGUCGUUUUUUCAGCCUUUCAUCACUGACAGUAGUUCCCGACCGCUCCGCUUCGGCAAAUUCCUUUCCAAUAAUGCGGUCAUAGUUUCCUUUCGGCGGAUCAGACUUUGGUGGUUUUGUCAGGGCAGCCAGAGUGCGCUUCACUUUCACCCCAUCUACCUUCUCCUCUGGAGGUGGAUGUUUCUUUGCUUUCACCCCUUCAAAGAAUUUCCUCACUUCUUCUCACGCGAUCUCGGCGUUCUCCUCCUGGGUCCUCUCGUAUGGUAACUUCUCUGGAGUCUUCAGAGAAGGACCGAAUCUGUAUGUCCUCCCGCCUCUGGUUGUACUGCUAGACGCCGACCGAGCAAACGAAGCGGUUGUCUUCUUUACUUGCUUAAGAGGCGGAGGAGAAGGACUACGACCCGCCGGAGCAGCUGGAGCGGCGGCAGGUCUCUUCUGCCCUUGCUGACGAGGCGGAGAAGGAGGAGGUUGGCUGCUCGGGCGCGUCGGCGCAGGCGGAGACGGAGGCGGAGUGCCGCCACGCGCCGGAGAAGGAGCCGGCCGAGGGCCCUGAUCCUCACUCGCCGGAGGAGGAGGUGGUGGAGGAGGCGGAGUGCCCUGACUCGCCGGAGGAGGAGGAGGAGGCGGAGGCGUCCAGUUCGGAAGGUUGAUGAGGUCCUUCCGCCAUAGGCAUGGAGUCUUCAGAGCAGACCCCAGCCGAGUCUCCCCUUCACCGGUAGGGUGGUCAAGCUGGAGGUCCUCAAAUCCCUCCGUUAUCUCAUCCACCAUCACCCUAGCAUAUCCUUCUGGAAUCGGCAUGCAGUGAAAAGUUGCGCCGGGUUCAGUAGGAUAAACAGAGCCAACAGCCGCCUUGACCUUCAAAUUCAUCCAUUGCGUCAUAAGGUGGCAAUUUUGAGACUCCGUUAUAGCAUCCACAGGAUAGCUGGCAGGAGCCGUCAAGGCAUGCUGCAGCUGAAGCUGCUCGGUGGAAGCCACGCUGCUUCUGCGCUGAGAUGGCGGGGUAGCUUCGGGGGAGGCUUCGGCAGUACGUUUGUUGCGAUUUGCUUCUCGUUCCUCUAUCGCUUGUACCCUUGCGUGCAGCGCCUGCAGUUCGGUCUGCUGCACUUUUUUCCUCCUCUCAUGGGAUUUGUAACCGCCUGCGUCCGGAAACCCAACCUUCCACGGAACGGAGCCUGGCGUGCCUCGUGUCCGUCCAGGGUGCUCAGGAUUCCCGAGGGCCAUUGUGAGCUCGUUGUGCUCUCUGUCUGGAAAGAACGUCCCUUCCUGCGCUGCGUCGAUAUAGUGCUUAAGCUUACUGACUGGUAUGUCCAUUUGUUCGUUCGUCCAAAUGCAGUUCCCUAUUUCAGGGUCCAAGGUUCCGCCACCCCCGAAGAACCAAGUCCGGCAACGGUCUGGCCAGUUAUUUGUCUCUGGUCCGAUCCCUUUAUGAACCAGAUCAUUCUCAACCAUGGACCACUUAGGCCGGGCUACGAGGUAGCCACCUGACCCCGUGCGAUGGUGAAGCUUCUUCUUCGCGGCAUUCUGCUUGUUUGUCGCCGACAUCUUCUUACUCUUUUCCGAUGUCUUGUAGGCCACAAAUGCGGGCCAGUGAUCUCUGAUCUUCUCAUAUCUUCCCUUGAAUUCUGGUGUCUCUUUUUUAUCGACAAACCUAUUCAGCUCUUUCUUCCACCUCCUGAAUAGAUCUGCCAUCCUCUUCAGAGAAAAAGACUUGAUUAAUUUCUCUUUAAUUGGGUUCUCUGGAUUAUCCUCUGGCGGUAGGGUGAAAUUUGACUUCAGCUCAGUCCAAAGAUCAUUUUUCUGCAUAUCAUUGACAUAAGACACCUCAGGGUCUUCUGUAGCCGGCUUAAACCAUUGCUGGAUGCUUAUCGGGAUCUUGUCCCUAACCAGAACCCCGCACUGAGCAACAAAUGCCCUCUUUGUCCGGAGGGGUUCAAUAGGUUGGCCGUCGGGCGCGAUUGCUGUGAUCUCAAGCUUUUCAUCCGAGCUCAACUUUUUCUUCGGGCCUCGUCUCUUUACCGAAGUUGUGCUCGAUCCGGAGGGCUAGAAAAAAGAACAAAGACUUAAUUAAUAUGUGUACAUACCAAAACAAUGAAUGCAUCAAUCAGCUAGUCAGCAUAGGCUUAACUAAUAUAUAUACCUGGCCGGACUCGGUUCGGUCACCGGAGCCGUCAUCACGGUCUCCUUCUUGCACCGGCAUUGGGUCACCGGCGCCGUCCUCAUGUUCUUCUUCUUGCACCGGCAUUAGGUCACCGUAGCCAGCUUGUUCACCCUCUCCUUCCGGACCAUCGAUGAUAUCGUUGAGAUAGUACGAGACGGCAUCACUUCCUUGUGCGAUUAUCUCCCUCAACAACGCUUCUUUUGUUGCUUCGUCUAGGGCGGUGUCCAUAGUUUCUACAAAUAUUUACAACAUGGCAAUUAUUAUUCAAACAUGACAGAUGGAUAUAUUAGUGCCAAACGUAGAACUACCUACCUAAUCAUAGUAAGCUAUCGGGAGGGGGUAUAUAUCGACAACGACGACACUACAUCUAUAUAUGUCCCUCGAUGACCCUCGUUCCUGAUAAAAAAAGAGGAAGAAGAAGAAAAAAAAGAGGAGAAGAAAGAAUAGAGGAGAAGAACUCCUCUAUUCUUUCUUCUCCUCUUUUUUCUUCUUCUUCCUCUUCUUUUUUUAUCCUCUUCUUCCUCUCAUGUUCGAGAGGAUCGCCUUGGGGUCGGGAGGUUGCCUAGUGUCAAAGGAUUCAACAAAACCAUGUCUUCAUCAUUAGGCGAAAGUAACAUGUGCAUGAUGGUAGGAAGCUCUUCAAAGUUGUUCUGGAACGGAGUCCCAGAUAGGAUAAUUCGCUUUUUGGUACAAAGUUCAGCAAGAGCCUUCCGAAUAUCGCUAUUUGGAAGGCCUUUGCUGAAUUCGUACCAAAAGGCGGAUUAUUCUAUCCGGGACUCCAUUCCAGAACAACUUUGCAGAACUUCAUACCAACAUGCCCUGGUUACUUCCGGCUAAUGAUGAAGGCAUGGAUUUCUUCAAUACUUUGACACUAGGAAACCUCUCUCGACCCCUCGGCGAUUCUUGACCCCUCGAACCCUCAACGACCCUGAAACCCUCGACGCUUGACCCCUUAACGACCCUCGACCCUCUACCCUAGUUCCCGACCCUCGACCAAUAGAGGAGAAGAAGAAAGGAAUAGCUAGAGGAGAAGAUCGAAGAAAAAAAAGAAGAAACAAAAGAGGAGAAGAAGAAAGGAAUAGUGGAGAAGAAGAGAAAAUAGAAUAUAUAUUCUAUUUUCUCUUCUUCUCCACUAUUCCUUUCUUCUUCUCCUCUUCUUUUUCUUCUGUUUUCUUCUUCUUAUUUAUUUCUCCUCUUCUUUUCGGUAGAGGAAACCCUAAAUAGCUAGCAAGUAUCGUGGGUGUGAGAUACAUGUGGCCUUCGGUGUCGGACACUACAUCCACGUCCCACAAGUGACGUGGGCGUCGAAACCCGCGCCACUUGUGGGAUGUGGAUGUAGUGUCCGACACCGACGGUACAUGUAUCUCACACCGACGAUACUUUCUAUUUAGGGUUUCUCCUCUACCACUCGGCGGCCCUCUCGACGACCCUCGUUCCCGAUAAUAUAAAGAGGAAGAAGAAGAAGAAAAAAGAAGAGAAGAAAGAAUAGAGGAGACGAACCCUCGAACCCUCGAACCCUAGACGACCCUCUUCUUCCUCUCAUGUUCGAGAGGAUCGCCGAGGGGUCGGGAGGUUGCCUAGUGUCAAAGGAAACCCUAAAUAGCUAGCAAGUGUCAUGGGUGUGAGAUACAUGUGGCCUUCGGUGUCGGACACUACAUCCACGUCCCACAAGUGACGUGGGCGUCGAAGCCCGCGCCACUUGUGGGAUGUGGAUGUAAUGUCCGACACCGACGGUACAUGUAUCUCACACCGACGAUACUUUCUAUUUAGGGUUUCUCCUCUACCACUCGGCGGCCCUCUCGACGACCCUCGUUCCCGAUAAAAUAAAGAGGAAGAAGAAGAAGAAAAAAGAAGAGAAGAAAGAAUAGAGGAGAAGUCUCCUCUAUUCUUUCCUCGCCUCUCUCAUGAAUGUCCGGCGUUCUCGACCCCCCCCCCUCCCCACGUGUCGAAGAAAAAAAAGAAGAAAAAAAAGAGGAGAAGAAGAAAGGAAUAGAGGAGAAAAGAGAAAAAUAGAAUAUUCNNNNNNNNNNNNNNNNNNNNNNNNNNNNNNNNNNNNNNNNNNNNNNNNNNNNNNNNNNNNNNNNNNNNNNNNNNNNNNNNNNNNNNNNNNNNNNNNNNNNNNNNNNNNNNNNNNNNNNNNNNNNNNNNNNNNNNNNNNNNNNNNNNNNNNNNNNNNNNNNNNNNNNNNNNNNNNNNNNNNNNNNNNNNNNNNNNNNNNNNNNNNNNNNNNNNNNNNNNNNNNNNNNNNNNNNNNNNNNNNNNNNNNNNNNNNNNNNNNNNNNNNNNNNNNNNNNNNNNNNNNNNNNNNNNNNNNNNNNNNNNNNNNNNNNNNNNNNNNNNNNNNNNNNNNNNNNNNNNNNNNNNNNNNNNNNNNNNNNNNNNNNNNNNNNNNNNNNNNNNNNNNNNNNNNNNNNNNNNNNNNNNNNNNNNNNNNNNNNNNNNNNNNNNNNNNNNNNNNNNNNNNNNNNNNNNNNNNNNNNNNNNNNNNNNNNNNNNNNNNNNNNNNNNNNNNNNNNNNNNNNNNNNNNNNNNNNNNNNNNNNNNNNNNNNNNNNNNNNNNNNNNNNNNNNNNNNNNNNNNNNNNNNNNNNNNNNNNNNNNNNNNNNNNNNNNNNNNNNNNNNNNNNNNNNNNNNNNNNNNNNNNNNNNNNNNNNNNNNNNNNNNNNNNNNNNNNNNNNNNNNNNNNNNNNNNNNNNNNNNNNNNNNNNNNNNNNNNNGGGACUAAAGGGGGGCAAUGGUCACGGUUGGUGCCACGAACCGUGACCAAUGCCACCUUUAGUCCCGGUUGGUGCCACCAACCGGGACCAAUGCCCUUGUGCGCCCCGCGCCCAGAAGUUUAGUCCCACAUCGCUAGCUGAAGGGCGCCGAUACUGGUUUAUAAGCGCUGCUCUGCCUCCCCUUUCGAGCUCCUCUCAAAUGCAGGCUUUCGGGCCUAAACUGCUACUGCCUGUGGGCCUAUUGGGCCUCUGCGGGCCUGAAUCCUGGCCCAUGUAGGGUUUCUAGUCGUAUUCAGGCCGUGGAGGCCCAGUAGGAGGCAUUUUUUUUGGUUUUUUCUUUUUUGUUUCUAUAUUUUUUUGGUUUUUUAUUUUUUUUAUUUCUACUUACAACUAAAUACUUACAGUUUUUUAGUGAUUUCUUUUUGCUUUUAGGUCACAAAAAUUAUAAACUUUCUAUUAGUGCCAUUAGUUUUAAAUUUUAAAUAGUUUAAAUUUGAAUUUUUAAAAAUUUGUGUGAAUCACUAGUUUAUGAAUAACUUUACUAUAAAGUUAGAAUUUGUUUUCUAUUUAUUUUUUAUUUCUACUUACAACUAAAUACUUACAGUUUUUUAGUGAUUUGUUUUUGCUUUUAGGUCACAAAAAUUAUAAACUUUCUGUUAGUGCCUUUAGUUUUAAAUUUUAAAUAGUUUAAAUUUGAAUUUUUAAAAAUUUGUGUGAAUCACUAGUUUAUGAAUUUUUUUCUUCUUUGCUAUUUAUUUUUGAUUUAUACUUACAAUUAAAUACUUAUAGUUUGCUUUUAGGUCACACAAAUUAUAUUCUUUUUGCUAUUGAAGAAUAUUAUAGUUUUAUUUUAGUUGAUCAUAACAUAAUAUUUUAAUUGAUUGUUUUUAUUUUCAUAAAAGUUUUGUAGUUCAUUCUGUUUGCUAUUAAUUCAUUCUUUGAGCUAAAUGACUCUGAAAUUGGAAAGCAUUUCAAAAUGAACUCUGAAAAGGUUGAAAGUUGGCAUGGUAUCAUCAUUUCACCCACAUAGCAUGUUCCAAAAAGUAGAGAGGGUUACGACAAAAACUUGAUGCACUUCGUGUACAAAAUGGACAAUCACUUUCGAAGUAUCAAAGUUUCAAACCAUAAGACAUGAAAGCAUUUCGAAUGAACUCUGAAAAAGUUGAAAGUUGGGAUGCAUGGUAUCAUAAUUUCACCCACAUAGCAUUUUCUUAUUGCGGGAGAAAGUCUUCACUUUUUCUUCGCUUGUGUCAUUUGCUUAUUGCGCCGUAACCAUGGAUAAUCUUCAUUGUUUUUAAGGAUGCUUGGGUCAGCCUUGACAUUGAAGGGAGGAAUUUCAUGAAACUUUUCAUAAUCUUCAGACAUGUCUGUCUUGCCGUCCACUCCCAGGAUGUCCCUUUUUCCUGAAAGAACUAUGUGGCGCUUUGGCUCAUCGUAUGAUGUAUUCGCUUCCUUAUCUUUUCUUUUUCUCGGUUUAGUAGACAUGUCCUUCACAUAGAUAACCUGUGCCACAUCAUUGGCUAGGACGAACGGUUCGUCAGUGUACCCAAGAUUUUUCAGAUCCACUGUUGUCAUUCCGUACUGUGGGUCUACUUGUACCCCACCGCCAAACAGAAUGACCCAUUUGCACUUAAACAAAGGGACCUUAAAAUCAGGUCCGUAGUCAAGUUCCCAUAUGUCCACUAUGUAACCAUAAUAUGUGUCCUUUCCUCUCUCGGUUGCUGCAUCAAAGCGGACACCGCUGUUUUGGUUGGUGCUCUUUUGAUCUUGGGCGAUCGUGUAAAAUGUAUUCCCAUUUAUCUCGUAUCCUUUGUAAGUCAAUACAGUCAAAGAUGGUCCCCUGGACAACAAGUACAACUCAUCACAAACAGUGUUGUCACCUCUGAGACGUGUUUCCAACCAACUCCUGAAAGUCCUGAUGUGUUCACAUGUAAUCCAGUCGUCGCAUUGCUCCGGGUGUUUGGAGCGCAGACUGUUCUUGUGUUCAUCGACAUACGGGGUCCCCAAGGUAGAGUUCUGUAGAACUGUGUAGUGUGCUUGAGACCAAGAAUAUCCGUCCCUGCAUAUUAUUGAGUCUCUUCCAAGAGUGCCUUUUCCAGUCAGUCUCCCCUCAUACCGCGAUUUAGGGAGACCUAUCUUGUUAAGGCCAGGAAUGAAGUCAACACAAAACCCGAUAACAUCCUCUGUUUGAUGGCCCAUGGAGAUGCUUCCUUCUGGCCUAGCGCGGUUACGGACAUAUUUCUUUAGGACUCCCAUGAACCUCUCAAAGGGGAACAUAUUGUGUAGAAAUACGGGCCCCAGGAUGACAAUCUCGUCGACUAGAUGAACUAGGACGUGCGUCAUGAUAUUGAAGAAGGAUUGUGGGAACACCAGCUCGAAACUGACAAGACAUUGCGCCACAUCACUCCUUAGCCUUGGUACCAUUUCUGGAUCGAUCACCUUCUAAGAGAUUGCAUUGAGGAAUGCACAUAGCUUCACAAUGGCUAAUCGGACGUUUUCCGGUAAAAGCCCCCUCAAUGCAACCAGAAGCAGUUGCGUCAUAAUCACGUGGCAGUCAUGAGACUUUAGGUUCUGAAACUUUUUCUCUGGCAUAUUUAUUAUUCCCUUUAUAUUCGAUGAGAAGCCAGUCAUGACCUUCAUACUAAGCAGGCAUUCAAAGAAGAUUUCUUUCUCUUCUUUCGUAAGAGUGUAGCUGGCAGGACCUUUAUACUGCUUCGGAGGCAUGUCAUCUUUUUUGUGCAAACGUUGCAGGUCCUCCCAUGCCUCCGGCGUAUCUUUUGUCUUCCCAUACACGCCCAAGAAGCCUAGCAGGUUCACGCAAAGGUUCUUCGUCACGUGCAUCACGUUGAUUGAGGAGCGGACCUCUAGGUCUUUCCAGUAGGGUAGGUCCCAAAAUAUAGAUUUCUUCUUCCACAUGGGUGUGUGUCCCUCAGCGUCAUUCGGAACAGCUAGUCCACCGGGACCCUUUCCAAAGAUGACGUAGGGUAAAUCAUUGACCAUAGCAAGCACGUGAUCACCGGUGCGCAUGGCGGGCUUCUUUCGGUGAUCUGCCUCGCCUUUGAAAUGCUUGCCUUUCUUUCGACAUUGAUGGUUGGUCGGAAGAAAUCGACGAUGGCCCAGGUGCACAUUCUUCCUGCAUUUGUCCAGGUAUAUACUUUCAGUGUCAUCUAAACAGUGCGUGCAUGCGUGGUAUCCUUUGUUUGUCUGUCCUGAAAGGUUACUGAGAGCGGGCCAAUCGUUGAUGGUCACGAACAGCAACGCCUUAAGGUUAAAUUCCUCCUGUCUGUGCUCAUCCCACGUACGUACACCAUUUUCAUUCCACAGCUGUAAAAGUUCUUCAACUAAUGGACUUAGGUACACAUCAAUUUCGUUGCCGGGUUGCUUAGGGCCUUGGAUGAGAACUGGCAUCAUAAUGAACUUCCGCUUCAUGCACAUCCAAGGAGGAAGGUUAUACAUACAUAGAGUCGCGGGCCAGGUGCUGUGAUUACUGCUCUGCUCCCCGAAAGGAUUAAUGCCAUCCGCGCUUAAAGCAAACCAUACAUUCCUAGGGUCCUUUGCAAACUCAUCCCAGUACUUUCUCUCGAUUUUUCUCCACUGCGACCCGUCAGCGGGUGCUCUCAACUUCCCAUCUUUCUUUCGUUUCUCACUGUGCCAUCGCAUCAACUUGGCAUGCUCUUCGUUUCUGAACAGACGUUUCAACCGUGGUAUUAUAGGAGCAUACCACAUCACCUUUGCAGGGACCCUCUUCCUGAGGGGCUCGCCGUCAACAUCACCGGGGUCAUCUCGUCUGAUCUUAUACCGCAACGCACCGCAUACCGGGCAUGCGUUCAGAUCCUUGUAUGCACCGCGGUAGAGGAUGCAGUCAUUAGGGCAUGCAUGUAUCUUCUCCACCUCCAAUCCUAGAGGGCAUACGACCUUCUUUGCUGCGUAUGUACUGUCGGGCAAUUCGUUAUCCUUUGGAAGCUUCUUCUUCAAUAUUUUCAGUAGCUUCUCAAAUCCUUUGUCAGCCACAGCAUUCUCUGCCUUCCACUGCAGCAAUUCUAGUACGGUACUGAGCUUUGUGUUGCCAUCUUCGCAAUUGGGGUAUAACCCUUUUUUGUGAUCCUCUAACAUGCGAUCGAACUUCAGCUUCUCCUUUUGACUAAUGCAUUGCGUCCUUGCAUCGACAAUGACCCGGCGGAGAUCAUCAUCAUCGGGCACAUCGUCUGGUUCCUCUUGAUCUUCAGCAGCUUCACCUGUGGCAGCAUCAUUGGGCACAUCAUCAUCUGGUUCCUCUUGAUCUUCACCAGCUCCCCCCGUUGCAGCAUCACCGUAUUCAGGGGGCACAUAGUUGUCAUCGUACUCUUCUUCUUCGCCGUCUUCCAUCAUAACCCCUAUUUCUCCGUGCCUCGUCCAAACAUUAUAGUGUGGCAUGAAACCCUUGUAAAGCAGGUGGGAGUGAAGGAUUUUCCGGUUAGAGUAAGACCUCGUAUUCCCACAUUCAGUGCAUGGACAACACAUAAAACCAUUCUGCUUGUUUUCCUCAGCCGCAUCGAGAAACUCAUGCACACCCUUAAUGUACUCGCGGGUGUGUCUGUCACCGUACAUCCAUUGCCGGUUCAUCUGCGUGCAUUAUAUAUAAUUAAGUGUCCAAAUUAAUAGAAGUUCAUCAUCACAUUAAAACCAAAGUGCAUACAUAGUUCUCAUCUAACAACAUAUAGCUCUCCAGAGCAUCUAAUUAAUUAAACCAUACAUUGAAACUAUGUAAAACAUUUCAAUGCGAAAACAAAUGCGAUCAUAAUCGCAACCAAGGUAACAAUUGAUCCAACGGCAUAAUGAUACCAAGCCUCGGUAUGAAUGGCAUAUUUUCUAAUCUUUCUAAUCUUCAAGCGCAUUGCAUCCAUCUUGAUCUUGUGAUCAUCGACGACAUCCGCAACAUGCAACUCCAAUAUCAUCUUCUCCUCCUCAAUUUUUUUUAUUUUUUCCUUCAACAAAUUGUUUUCUUCUUCAACUAAAUUUAACCUCUCGACAAUAGGGUCGGUUGGCAUUUCCGAUUCACAUACAUCCUAGAUAAAUAAAAUCUAUGUCACGUUGGUCAGCAUAAUUUUCAUAAACAAUAAAUGAACCAAUAGUUAUAAAGAUAAUAUACAUACCACAUCCGAAUCAUAGACAGGACGAGGGCCGACGGGGGCGGAUACCAAAACCAUCGCACUAUAUAAGAUGCAAUAAUAAAUGUAAGAAAAUGAUACAAGUAUCUAUCUAAACAUACAAGUAAGAAUAUUUUUCCUUUCAGAAAGAAGAUAAGAACAAGAGGCUCACCACGGUGGUGUCGGUGAUGAGAUCGGCGCGGGUGAUCGACGGCAGUGAAGACGGGGACGGGGCGUGACGGACCGCUAAAUCUAGACAAAUCUCGAGGAAAAUGGAGCUUGGAGGUCGAGCUUCGAGAGGAGAAAGCUUAAGUAGUGUGGCUCGGGCAUUCCAUCGAACACCUCAUGUGCAUAGGAGGUGAGCUAGAGCACCACAAAGCCCUCUCCCCCUCGGCCAGAGAAAACAGAGCACUGGGGUGCUCUGCUCACGAGCGAGGGGUAUAUAUAGGCACCUCAUUGGUCCCGGUUGGUGGCAUGAGCCGGGACUAAAGGGAAGCCUUUGGUCCCGGUUCGGGCCACCAACCGGGACCAAUGAUGGUGGGCCAGGAGGGAGGCCCAUUGGUCCCGGUUCGUCCCACCAACCGGGACCAAAAGGUCCAUACGAACCAGGACCAAUGGCCCACGUGGCCCGGCCGGCCCCCUGGGCUCACGAACCGGGACCAAUUCCCACAUUGGUCCCGGUUCAAGACUGAACCGGGACUAAUGGGCUGAGGCGGCCUGGACCAUAGCCCCUUUUUCUACUAGUGCUUAUGGAAAUUAUAAUAAGAUGCCCUCUAAUUUUGAGAAUAGUGUUAAAUAAUUUAUGAGUUCGCAAAAGAAUUUCAAUGCUUUGAUUGAAGAAAAAUUGCUUAAGAUUGGUGAUUUGGCUAGGAACGUGGAUAGAACUACCCUUGAUGUCGAUUCUUUGAAACUUAGAUCUAUUUCACAUAAGCAUGAUAUCAAUGAGUCUCUCAAGGCUAUGAGAAUUCCCAUUGAUGAGUGCAAGGAAAGAACCGCUAAGAUGCGUGCUAAAAAAGAUUGGUUUAUAAAAGCGUGUUCUUCUAGCUAGUUUCCGUGAAAAUAAUGAUGAAGAUCUUAAAGUGAUUGAUGUGACUCCUAUUGAAUUUUUGUUUUCCAAUAUAAAUCUUGAGAAAGAUGGGACUGGAUAUGAGUCAACUUUAGUUAGAAGGCGUCCCAAUGAUUCGGAGUUUUUAGAUAUUAAUGCAAAAAUUGAUAAAAGUGGGAUUGGAGAGGUUAAAACUUUAGGUAGUAAUGAACCCACUCUUUUGGAUUUCAAGGAAUUUAAUUAUAAUAAUUUCUCUUUAAUAGAUUGUAUUUCCUUGUUGCAAUCCAUGUUGAAUUUUCCUCAUGCUUAUAAUCAAAACAAAGCUUUUACUAAACAUAUCAUUGAUGCUAUGAUGCAAUCCUUUGAAGAAAAGCUUGAAUUGGAAGUUUCUAUUCCUACACUAGUAGACAAAGGGUCAAACAUGAAGCACAUUAGUGCCGGUUUGAAUUUGAGCCGGCACUAAUGUGUGCAUUAGUGCCGGUUCCAACGGCUAGCCGGCCGCUCUCAUUAGUACCGGUUCAUGGCGAACCUUUAGCACCGGUUCGUGCCACGAACCGGUACUAAAGUGAGUGGUGGCAGGAUGUUGUCACUCCGGGGCCCCUCCAGCACCUUUAGUACCGGGUCGUAUCACGAACCGGUCCUAAAGGCCGUCCUACAUAGACCCUUCGUCCACCCGAGCUCGCUCUGUUCUUCCCCUUUCCCCUCUCCUCUUUGUACUUUUCCCUCUUCCUCUCAAUCUCAUCACACAUUUUGCCCAAAAUUUGUCAAGAUUUGAAGGCCCCCAUCCAUUCAAAUGAUCACAAAGGUUAGCAACUUUUUCCUUUCAUCUCUCAUUGCUAGAUUAGCUCGUGCAAUGCUUUAUAUAGUGAUUGAUUUUUGAGUUUAGUAAUUUGGGAGGAAUUAUAUAUAUGUGCUAGUAUUUGAUUUAUAUGCAAUUUUAGGUCAAAAAUAACACUUAGUUUGCAUAUGUAGGUGUGGUUUACGUAGUACCUUCUAAAUCUCCGUCGUAACCACCGUCGAUCGCUCGCAACGUCCCGUCACCAGCACCACCUUUUGGUGAGCCUCUUGUUCAUGAAGUUUUAUAUAAAAAAUUGAUGUUUGUGUGAUUUGGAUAUAUAGUUACUCGUAUAAUUAUCUUACCCAUACGUUGUUUGUUAUACAUAGUGCCAUGGUUUUGAUAUCCGUCCCCGUUGGCCCUCGUCCGGGUUAUGAUUCGGAUGUGGUAUAUUCUAUUUUAAAACUAUUCAUUGCAUUUCGUGUUUAUGACAAAUUAUGCCCAUCAAGUUGACAUAGAUAUUUGUAUGUAGGAGGUAGUUGAAACGGAAAUUCCAACCGACCCUAUUGUCGAGAGGUUAAAUUUAGUUGAAAGAGAAAACGAGGAUUUGAAGGAAAAAUUGAAAAGAAUUGAGGGGGAGAAGAUGGAAUUGGAGUUGCAUGUUGCCGAUGUCGUCGAUGAUCACAAGAUUAAGAUGGAGAAAAUGCGCUUGAAGAUUAGAAAGAUUAGAAAAUAUGCCAUUCAUAGUGAGGCUUGGUAGCAUUAUGCUGUUGGAUCAAUUGUUACCUUAGUUGCGAUCUUGAUCGCAUUUGUUGUUGCAUUUAAAUUCUUUAGCUAGGGACUUAUUUGUUUGUUGCAUUUAAGUGUUGUAUGAUCUUUAUGUAUGAACCUUAUGUAUUGUAUUAAUUUGAUGUUUUCGGUGUUGUGUAUUGAAGAUGAGCCGGCAAUGGAUGUACGAUGACUGAUGCUCUCCCAAGUUCAUUAAUGGCGUGCGUACUUUUCUGCUUGCGGCUGAGGCAAACAAGCGAGCGGAUGGUUGUAUGCCUUGUCCAUGUGCUGGCUGUAAGAAUGGUCACAGUUACUCUACGUCAAGAACCAUUCACGUCCACCUGUUUGAGUCUGGUUUCAUGCCCCACUAUAAUGUUUGGACCAAGCAUGGAGAAAGAGGGGUUAUGAUGGAAGACAAUGAAGAAGAAGAGGACGACGAAAGCUAUCCUGGCCAUGGGUUCCCUGAAUACGGUGAUACAACAAUGAGGGAAGAAGCUGAGCCGGUAAUGCGGGAAGAAGCUGAGCCGGCAAUGCGGGAAGAAGCUGAACAAGAGGCACGGAUGAGCCCGUUGAUGAUCUAGGUCGGGCCAUUGCCGAUGCAAAGAGAAACCGCGCUAGUGAUUUGGAGAAGAAGAAGUUGCAGCGCAUGUUAGAGGAUCACAAAAAUUGUUGUACCCGAAUUGCGUAGGUGACAAGAAAAAGCUAGGCACCACACUGGAAUUGCUGCAAUGGAAGGCAAAGAAUGGUGUAUCUGACAUGGGAUUUGGAAAGUUGCUGGUAAUGAUAAAGGAUAUGCUUCCAAAGGACAACAAAUUGCUCGAGAGUACGUACGAAGCAAAGAAGAUUGUCUGCCCUCUAGGGUUAGAGGUGCAGAUGAUACAUGCAUGCCCUAAUGAUUGCAUCCCCUACCACGGUGAGUAUGAGGAUUUGAAAGCUUGCCCGGUAUGAGGUGCAUUGCGCUAUAAGAUCAGCCACGAUGACCAUGGUGAUGUCGAGGGCGAGCGCCCCAGGAAGAAGAUACCUGCCAAGGUGAUGUGGUAUGCUCCUAUAAUACCAUGGCUGAAACGUUUGUUCCAAAACAAUGAGCAUGCCAAGGCGAUGUGAUGGCACAGAGAAGACCGUAAGAAAGACGGAAAGUUGAGAGUACCCGCUGACGGGUCGCAGUGGAGAAAAAUCGAAAGAAAGUACGGGAAGGAGUUUGCAGAUGACGCAAGGAACGUAUGGUUUGGUCUAAGCGCAGAUGGCAUUAAUCCUUUUGGGGAGCAGAGCAGCAACCAUAGCACCUGGCCUGUGACUCUAUGUUUGUAUAACCUUCCUCCUUGGUUGUGCAUGAAGCGGAAGUUCAUUAUGAUGCCAGUGCUCAUCCAAGGCCCUAAGUGUCAGGACCCCGAUUCCAAGUCACAUCGUUCUAGCCGGUAACACCUCAUAUCACUUUGCGGCCUCAUGCACGGUAUCCCACAGGUGUCGCCUUACCAUGGCCCGGGACCGUUUGCGCCUUUUGGCUCACGUAUAUGAUAGUGUCGCUAGCAUCCAUAUGACAGAGAACCCGGGCCGACAUGGCUAGUCGUGAACCCAAAGCGGCACAGACCUAUGGAGACAGGCAUACAUGAAUCACAUCAAGCAUGUCAGUCAUCAGUGAGUGAAUCCGGGCUGUAGCACUGGGCUAACAGGACUCCGGGGAACCCGGGCUGUAGCAGGCUAGGCAGGACUCCGGAUGUCACCGCGUGACAUUUCCCCGAAGGGACAGACAUAGGAACGACGUGAAACACAUGCCGGCCAGUCAAGUGUCCUGAGCAGUAGUGCUGGGCUAGCAGGACUCCGGUGAACCGGGCUGUAGCGGACUACUAUGGCUCGAGGAACACUAGACUACGUUUCCCCAUAAGAAAGGCUGCCAAGGAUAAACAACUAGAUUGUCGGAUCCCACUCAUACCAAGCAUUUCAAUCAUACACACAAUAUGCCCGAUAUGAGUACAUACAACAUGGCAUCACAAGAAAACUCUACAACUCAAAUACUUUAUUUAAAGGCUCCAGAGAGCCAUACAUAACAUGUUCAUACAGAUAGGGGUCACAUGACCCGACACUCAAGUCAUACAAUCAUACAAGCACAAGCGGAAGCAACUAGUCUGAGUACAGACACUAGAAAGAAAGAAGGCUUCUCGAAGCCUGUCUAUCUACAUAGGUCUCUCCAUGGCCAGGAUCACCACCUGGGUGGCUAGUCACUCGUCGACGUCAAGGUCUACGUAGAACCCAUCGGAGGGGCGGUGUUGUCAUCUGAAAACCGUAAUUAAGCAAACAUGAGUACAAAGGUACUCAGCAAGUCUUACAACAUAACCUACUAUAAAUGCUCAUUCUCAAGAAGGUGGUGGGGUUAUUGCAGCAAGCCAGCUUUGACUCUUGGCUAAGCUAUCCUACGGAACUCCACUAGUAAAAUAGUUUUCGCACACGAGUCCACUACUCACCAACAUAAUACUCCACCGGGGAUCCUCUCUCGUCAUCCUACGAGAGGGCCAUCCUCGGUACUCACACUUAUCUUGAGUCUUUUAGUAAUAACCAUUAACUUGUCUAUGAACUGUAUAGGCAACCAGGUAGUCCUUUACCGCGGACGCGGCUAUUCGAAUAGUUUUAUACCCUGCAGGGGUGUACUUCCUCAUACACGCUUUCACCACUUACCGCCGUUUACACGACAUGUACUCGGCAACCUUCAAGCCUUGGCCCAACGAGGGUGUCGGCCACGGCCUACCUAAACACUCAAAUCUCUAGUCCAGGUGCAUCGCCUAUCCAAGUUCCAUCCGCAGGGAGUCCGGCCGAGGUUUCCACAUACGGCCCCGAACGAUGUGAACAGGGUUCCCGAGACACCAAACAGGUGACUCGGUACACCGUGCCACGGUGUAUCUACCGCAACAUAGCCCACCCCUAGGGUCAGUGCUACGCACGGCCGCCAACACAUAACCUACAAACACCAGAAACUAUUUGCAACUCCUGGACAGAGUACUAGGGUAUUUAAGAAGCCGAGAGGGUCAAUUAAGGAUCCCAAUGCAUGGUAGUAGCUGAAUCUUAAAAUCACACAUACAGAUCUCAGUUCUUAGGGACGGCCUCAAUAAAACAACCCACCAUGUACUCCUACAUGGCCUCUCAUCGAUACCUUUACCAAAUCAUGUUCAUCACAUCCCUCACAUUACCGAUAUAACCAUUUCACUCUAGCCCAUCACCCAGAUGGACCAGACCUGACACAACUCUAAGCAUAGCAGGCAUAGCAAGGUAGGAAACACAUACCUGGCUCAAUCAACUCCUACACAUGCUAGUGGGUUUCAUCUAGUUACUGUGGCAAUGACAGGUCAUGCAGAGGAAAAGGGUUCAACUACCGUAGCACACAACAAUUUGAAUCGCGUUGUCUUAAUGCAGUAAACAAGAGCAGAAGCGAGAACAUGGGUUUGUAUCAGAAUGAUCAAUGGUUGUUUGCCUGUUGUAGUGGUAGUAGGGUACUGCCCUUCAGACGGAUACUCGGGGUUAUCCUCGGAGGCAGAACCUACCACGAAAGAUACACCGAACAUAAUCAACACAUGACAAUAUGCAACGGUAUGAUGCAUGCUAUGACAUGGCAAAAUGAAUGUGUCUUGGCCUAAUGCAAGCUGAAACAGGAUGGAAUGAACUCAUUUGAAUCAAAGAUUCAAAUGUUAGCUCAUUUAACAUGGCCUUAUUAGUGCAUUAUCUUAUUCUGCUUAAAUAGCAAGGUUAACUUGUUUUGUCAUGCAUGAAACCAUUACAGAUGGACAGAUUGAAUUUUUUUGAUCAUUUUUCAUAUAUAAAUCUUUGCAUUUGGAGCUAUGGUUGAUUUUCUAAGAUUUUUAGAAGUUUUGGCUAUUUACUGGAAUUUCCUAUUAAAGAAUAAAUCCAGUAAUUGAAUUAAUGCGUCAGCAUGACAUAGGUGUGAUGUCAGCGGGUCAACUGGGUUGGCCAGGUCAAACCUGACUGGCGGGCCCUGUCUGUCAGUGACUCAGCUAAUUAACAGAGUUAAAUUAACUCUAAUUAACUAAAAGUGGGGCCUGGGCCCACAUGUCAGUGACUGAACUAAUUAAAUUUAGUUAAAACAAAUCCUAAACUAAUCAGCAGGCCGGCCCCACCUGUCAUAGACUAACCUGGGCCCACACGGGGGUCAAACAGGGUAAACUCGCCGGCGUCUAGCCGCCGGCGAGGCCAGACGCGGCGGAGCAGUGCGGGAUUUGCACUCUGGCGACCAAAUGGGCGGCGGAGACUAUCUACGUGAUGCGGGGAGGAAGCCGCCUUUGGAAAUAUGCCCUAGAGGCAAUAAUAAAUUGAUUAUUACUAUAUUUCCUUGUUCAUGAUAAUCGUUUAUUAUCCAUGCUAGAAUUGUAUUGAUAGGAAACUCAGAUACAUGUGUGGAUACAUAGACAACACCAUGUCCCUAGUAAGCCUCUAGUUGACUAGCUCGUUGAUCAAUAGAUGGUUACAGUUUCCUGACCAUGGACAUUGGAUGUCAUUGAUAACGGGAUCACAUCAUUAGGAGAAUGAUGUGAUGGACAAGAACCAAUCCUAAGCCUAGCACAAGAUCAUGUAGUUCGUAUGCUAAAGCUUUUCUAAUGUCAAGUAUCAUUUCCUUAGACCAUGAGAUUGUGCAACUCCCGGAUACCGUGGGAGUGCUUUGAGUGUGCGAAACGUCACAACGUAACUGGGUGGCUAUAAAGGUACACUACAGGUAUCUCCAAAAGUGUCUAUUGGGUUGGCACGAAUCGAGACUGGGAUUUGUCACUCCGUGUAAACGGAGAGGUAUCUCUGGGCCCACUCGGUAGGACAUCAUCAUAAUGUGCACAAUGUGACCAAGGAGUUGAUCACGGGAUGAUGUGUUACGGAACGAGUAAAGAGACUUGCCGGUAACAAGAUUGAACAAGGUAUCGGCAUACCGACGAUCGAAUCUCGGGCAAGUAUCGUACCGAUGGACAAAGGGAAUUGCAUACGGGGUUGAUUAAGUCCUUGACAUCGUGGUUCAUCCGAUGAGAUCAUCGUGGAACAUGUGGGAGCCAACAUGGGUAUCCAGAUCCCGCUGUUGGUUAUUGAUCGGAGAGUCAUCUCGGUCAUGUCUGCAUGUCUCCUGAACCCGUAGGGUCUACACACUUAAGGUUCGAUGACGCUAGGGUUAUAAAGGAAGUUUGUAUGUGGUUACCGAAUGUUGUUCGGAGUCCCGGAUGAGAUCCCGAACGUCAUGAAGAGUUCCGGAAUGGUCCGGAGGUAAAGAUUUAUAUAUGGGAAGUCCUGUUUUGGUCACCGGAAAAGUUUCGGGUUUUAUCGGUAACGUACCGGGACCACCGGGAGGGUCCCGGGGGUCCACCAAGUGGGGCCACAAGCCCCGGAGGGCUGCAUGGGCCAAGUGUGGGAGGGGACCAGCCCCAGGUGGGCUGGUGCGGCCCCCCACCAAGGCCCAAGGCGCAAGGAAGAGGGGAAGGGGGCAAACCCUAGGGCAGAUGGGCCCUAAGGCCCACCCUGGUGCGCCUCCCCCUCUCCCCUCCCCUUGGCCGCCCCUAGAUGGGAUCUAGGGGGCUGCCGCCACCCCUAGGGAGGGAACCCUAGGUGGGGGCGCAACCCAUCCCCUCCCCCUAUAUAUAGUUGAGGUUUGGGCUGCCCAAUACACAUGAGUUCCUCUCUUUCUUGGCACAGCCCUAUCCCUCUCUUUCUCCUCAUAUCUCGCAGUGCUUGGUGAAGCCCUGCUGGAUCACCAUGCUCCGCCAUCACUACCACGCCGUUGUGCUGCUGUUGGAUGGAGUCUUCCUCAACCUCUCCCUCUCUCCUUGCUGGAUCAAGGCAUGGGAGACAUCGUCGGGCUGUACGUGUGUUGAACGCGGAGGUGCCGUCCGUUCGGCACUAGGAUCUCCGGUGAUUUGGAUCACAACGAGUACGACUCCUUCAACCCCGUUCUCUUGAACGCUUCCACUUAGCGAUCUACAAGGGUAUGUAGAUGCACUCUCCUUCCCCUCGUUGCUGGUUUCUCCAUAGAUAGAUCUUGGUGACACGUAGGAAACUUUUGAAUUUCUGCUACGUUCCCCAAUAGUGGCAUCAUGAGCUAGGUCUAUUGCGUAGAUUCUAUGCACGAGUAGAACACAAAGUAGUUGUGGGCGUUGAUUUUGUUCAAUAUGCUUACCGUUACUAGUCCAAUCUUGUUUCGACGGUAUUGUGGGAUGAAGCGGCCCGGACCGACCUUACACGUACUCUUACGUGAGACAGGUUCCACCGACUGACAUGCACUAGUUGCAUAAGGUGACUAGCGGGUGCCAGUCUCUCCCACUUUAGUCAGAACGGAUUCGAUGAAAAGGGUCGUUAUGAAGGGUAAAUAGCAAUUGGCAUAUCACGUUGUAUUUUUGCGUAGGUAAGAAACGUUCUUGCUAGAAACCCAUAGCAGCCACGUAAAACAUGCAAACAACAAUUAGAGGACGUCUAACUUGUUUUUGCAGGGUAUGCUAUGUGAUGUGAUAUGGCCAAGAAGAAUGUGAUGAAUGAUAUGUGAUGUAUGAGAUUGACCAUGUUCUUGUAAUAGGAAUCAUGACUUGCAUGUCGAUGAGUAUGACAACCGGCAGGAGCCAUAGGAGUUGUCUUUAUUUAUUGUAUGACCUACGUGUCAUUGAACAACGCCAUGUAAUUACUUUACUUUAUUGCUAACUGGUAGCCAUAGUGGUAGAAGUAAUAAGUUGGCGAGACAACUUCAUGGAGACACAAUGAUGGAGAUCAUGGUGUCAUGCCGGUGACGAUGAUGAUCAUGGAGCCCCGAAGAUGGAGAUCAAAAGGAGCAAUAUGAUAUUGGCCAUAUCAUGUCACUAUUUGAUUGCAUGUGAUGUUUAUAAUGUUUAUACAUCUUAUUUGCUUAGAAUGACGGUAGUAAAUAAGAUGAUCCCUCAUUAAAAUUUCAAGAAAGUGUUCCCCCUAACUGUGCACCGUUGCGAAAGUUCGUCCUUUUGAAGCACCACGUGAUGAUCGGGUGUGAUAGAUUCUUACGUUCGAAUACAACGGGUGUUGACGAGCCUAGCAUGUACAGACAUGGCCUCGGAACACAUGCAAAACACUUAGGUUGACUUGACGAGCCUAGCAUGUACAGACAUGGCCUCGGAACACAAGAGACCGAAAGGUCGAGCAUGAGUCGUAUGGUAGAUACGAUCAACAUGAAGAUGUUCACCGAUGUUGACUAGUCCGUCUCACGUGAUGAUCGGACACGGCCUAGUUGACUCGGAUCAUGUAAUCACUUAGAUGACUAGAGGGAUGUCUAUCUGAGUGGGAGUUCAUAAGAUGAACUUAAUUAUCCUGAACAUAGUCAAAAGGACUUUGCAAAUUAUGUCGUAGCUCACGCUAUAGUUCUACUGUUUAGAUAUGUUCCUAGAGAAAAUUUAGUUGAAAGUUGAUAGUAGCAAUUAUGCGGACUAGGUCCGUAAACUGAGGAUUGUCCUCAUUGCUUCAUAGAAGGUUUAUGUCCUUAAUGCACCGCUCAGUGUGCUGAACCUCGAACGUCGUCUGUGGAUGUUGCGAACAUCUGACAUACACAUUUUGAUAACUACGUGAUAGUUCAGUUAAACGGUUUAGAGUUGAGGCACCGAAGACGUUUUGAAACGUCACGAAACAUAUGAGAUGUUUCGAGGGCUGAAAUUGGGAUUUCAGGAUCGUGCCCACAUCAAGAGGUAUAAGACCUCCGACGAUUUUUCUUAGCCUGCAAACUAAGGGAGAAAAGCUCAACUGUUGAGCUUGUGCUCAGAUUGUCUGAGUACAACAAUCAUUUGAAUCGAGUGGGAGUUGAUCUUCCAGAUGAGAUAGUGAUGUUUCUCCGAAGUCAUUACCACCAAGCUGCUAGAGCUUCGUGAUGAACUAUAAUAUAUCAGGGACAUAUAUGAUGAUCCUUGAGAUAUUCGCGAUGUUUGACACCACAAAAGUAGAAAUCAAGAAGGAGCAUCAAUUGUUGAUGGUUGGUGAAACCACUAGUUUCAAGAAGGGCAAGGGCAAGAAGGGAUACUUCAUGAAAUGGCAAUUCAGCUGCUGCUCUAGUGAAGAAACCCAAGGUUGAACCCAAACCCGAGACUAAGUGCUUCUGUAAUAAGGGAAACAACCACUGGAGCAGAAUUACCCUAGAUACUUGGUAGAUGAGAAGGCUGGCAAAGUCGAUAGAAGUAUAUUGGAUAUACAUUGUGUUAAUGUGUACUUUACUAGUACUCCUAGUAGCACCAUGGUAUUAGAUACCGGUUCGGAUGCUAAAUGUUAGUAAACUCGAAAUAAAAGGCUGCAGAGUAAACGGAGACUAGCCAAAGGUGAGCUGGCAAAAUGUGUUGGAAGUUUUUCCAAGCUUGAUGUCAUCAAGCAUCGCACGCUCCCUCUACCAUCGAGAUCGGUGUUUGCGUUGAGCAUAGACAUGAUUGGAUUAUGUCUAUCGCAAUACGGUUAUUCAUUUAAGGAGAAUAAUGGUUACUCUGUUUAUUUGAAUAAUACCUUCAAUGGUCUUGCACCUAAAAUGAAUGGUUUAUUGAAUCUCGAUCGUAGUGAUACACAUGUUCAUGCCAGAAGAUAUAAGAUAGUAAUGAUAGUACCACCUACUUGUGGCACUGCCAUGUAAGUCAUAUCGGUAUAAAACGCAUGAAGAAGCUCCAUGUUGAUGGAUCUUUGGGCUCACUCGUUUUUGAAAAGUUUGAGACAUGCGAACCAUGUCUAUUGGUGUAUAUGCAUGAAGAAACUCCAUGCAAAUGGACCGUUUGGACUCACUCGAUUUUGAAUCACUUGAGACAUGCAAAUCAUACCACAUGGGCAAGAUGACUGAAAGCCUCGUUUUCAGUAAAAUGGAACUAGAAAGAAACUUGUUGGAAGUAAUACAUUUUGAUGUGUGCAGUCCAAUGAGUGCUGAGGCAUGUAGUGGAUUUCAUUAUGUUCUUACUUCACAGAUGAUUUGAGUAGAUACUGAGUAUAUUUACUUGAUGAAACAUAAGUCUGAAUUAUUGAAAGGUUCAAGUAAUUUCAGAGUGAAGUUGAACAUCGUCGUGACAAGAGGAUAAAAUGUCUAUGAUAUGAUCGUAGAGAUGAAUAUCUGAAUUACGAGUUUGGCACAAAAUUAAGACAUUAUGGAAAUUGUUUCACAACUAAUACAGUCUGGAACACCACAGUGUGAUGGUGUGUCCGAAUAUCAUAACUGCACCCUAUUGGAUAUGAUGCAUACCAUGAUGUCUCUUAUCAAAUUACCACGAUAGUUUAUGGGUUAGGCAUUAGAGACAACCACAUUCACUUUAAAUAGGGCACCACGUAAUUCCGAUGAGAUGACACCGUAUGAACUAUGGUUUAGAGAAACCUAAGCUGUCAUUUCUUAAAAGUUUGGGGCUGCGACGCUUAUGUGAAAAAGUUUUAGGCUGAUAAGCUCGAACCCAAAGCGGAUAAAUGCAUCUUCAUAGGACACCCAAAAUAGUUGGGUAUACCUCCUGUCUCAGAUCCGAAAGCAAUAAGGGAUUGUUUCUAGAAUCGAGUCCUUUCUCGAGGAAAGGUUUCUCUCGAAAGAAUUGAGUGUGAUGAUGGUGGAGAUUUGAUGAGGUUAUUGAACUGUCUCUUCAACUAGUGUGUGGCAGGGCACAGGGAGUUGUUCCUGUGGCACCUACACCAAUUGAAGUGGAAGCUUAUGAUAGUGAUCAUGAAACUUCAGAUCAAGUCACUACCAAACCUCGUGGGAUGACAAGGAUGCGUACUACUUCAGAGUGGUACGUAAUCCUAUCUUGGAAGUCAUGUUGCUAGACAACAAUGAACCUACAAGCUAUGGAGAAGCAAUGGUGGGCCUGGAUUCCAAAAUGGCUCGAAGCCAUAUAAUCCGAGAGAGGAUCCAUCUAUGAAAACAAAGUGUAGACUUUGGAAGAACUACUUGAUGGUCGUAAGGCUGUUAGGUACAUAGGGAUUUUAAAAGGAAGACGGACAAUGAUAGUAAGUAUCACCAUUAAGAAAGCUUGACUUGUCGUUAAGAUGUUUUCCGACAAGUUCAAGGAGUUGACUACGAUGAGACUUUCUCACUCGUAGCGAUGCUAAGAGUCUGUUGGAAUUAUAUUAGCGAUUACUGCAUUAUUUAUGAAAUCUUGCAGAUAGGAUAUCAAAACAUUGUUUCCUCGAUGUUUUUUUGAGGAAAGGUUGUAUGUGAUACAACCAGAAGGUUUUGUCAAUCCUGAAAGAUGCUAACAAGUAUGCAAAGCUCCAGCAAUCCUUCUAAGGACUGGAGUAAGCAUCUCGGAGUUGGAAUGUAUGCUUUGAUGAGAUGAUCAAAGUUUUGGGUGUAUACAAAGUUUAUGAGAAACUUGUAUUUCCAAAGAAGUGAGUGGGAGCACUAUAGAAUUUCUGAUGAGUAUAUGUUGUUAACAUAUUGUUGAUCGGAAAUGAUGUAGAAUUUCUGGAAAGCAUGCAGAGUUAUUUGAAAAGUGUUUUUCAAUGGAAAGCCUGGAUUAAGCUACUUGAACAUUGAGCAUGAAGAUCUAUAAGGAUAGAUCAAAACGCUUAAUGGUAAUUUCAAAUGAGCACAUACCUUGACAUGAUCUUGAAGGUGUUCAAGAUGGAUCAGUCAAAGAAGGAGUUCUUGCCUGAGUUGUAAGGUAUGAAGUUAAGACUUAAAGCUCGACCACGGAAGAAGAAAGAGGAAGGACGAAGGUCGUCCCCUAUGCUUUUGUCAUAGGCUCUCUACAGUAUGCUAUGUUGUGUGCCGCACUUGAAGUGUGCCUUGCCAUGAGUCAGUCAAGGGGUACAAGAGUGAUCCAAGAAUGGAUCACAAGACAACGGUCAAAGUUAUCCUUAGUAACUAGUGGACUAAGGAAUUUUCUCGAUUAUGGAGGUGGUAAAAGAGUUCGUCGUAAAGGGUUACGCCGAUGCAAACUUUGACACUAAUCUAGAUUAUUCUGAGUAGUAGACUGGAUUCGUAUAGUAGAACAGUUAUUUGGAAUAGCUCCAAAUAGAACGUGGUAGCUGCAUCUAGGAGAUGACAUAGAGAUUUGUAAAGCACACACGGAUCUGAAAGAUUCAGACCCGUUGACUAUAACAUCUCUCACAAGCAUAACAUGAUCAAACCCAGAACUCAUCGAGUGUUAAUCACAUGGUAAUGUGAACUAGAUUAUUGACUCUAGUAAACUCUUUGGGUGUUAGUCACAUGGGGAUGUGACCUUGAGUGUUUAUCACAUAUCGAUGUGAACUGGAUUAUUGACUCUAGUGCAAGUGGGAGACUGUUGGAAAUAUGCCCUAGAGGAAAUAAUAAAUUUAUUAUUAUUAUAUUUCCUUGUUCAUGAUAAUCGUUUAUUAUCCAUGCUAGAAUUGUAUUGAUAGGAAACUCAGAUACAUGUGUGGAUACAUAGACAACACCAUGUCCCUAGUAAGCCUCUAGUUGACUAGCUCGUUGAUCAAUAGAUGGUUACAGUUUCCUAACCAUGGACAUUGGAUGUCAUUGAUAACGGGAUCACAUCAUUAGGAGAAUGAUGUGAUGGACAAGACCCAAUCCUAAGCCUAGCACAAGAUCAUGUAGUUCGUAUGCUAAAGCUUUUCUAAUGUCAAGUAUCAUUUCCUUAGACCAUGAGAUUGUGCAACUCUCGGAUACCGUAGGAGUGCUUUGGGUGUGCCAAAUGUCACAACGUAACUGGGUGGCUAUGAAGGUACACUACAAGUAUCUCCAAAAGUGUCUGUUGGGUUGGCACGAAUCGAGACUGGGAUUUGUCACUCCGUGUAAACGGAGAGGUAUCUCUGGGCCCACUCGAUAGGACAUCAUCAUAAUGUGCACAAUGUGACCAAGGAGUUGAUCACGGGAUGAUGUGUUACGGAACGAGUAAAGAGACUUGCCGGUAACGAGAUUGAACAAGGUAUCGGCAUACCGACGAUCGAAUCUCGGGCAAGUAUCGUACCGAUGGACAAAGGGAAUUGCAUACGGGAUUAAUUAAGUCCUUGACAUCGUGGUUCAUCCGAUGAGAUCAUCGUGGAACAUGUGGGAGCCAACAUGGGUAUCCAGAUCCCGCUGUUGGUUAUUGACCGGAGAGUCAUCUCGGUCAUGUUUGCAUGUCUCCCGAACCCGUAGGGUCUACACACUUAAGGUUCGAUGACGCUAGGGUUAUAAAGGAAGUUUGUAUGUGGUUACCGAAUGUUGUUCGGAGUCCCGGAUGAGAUCCCGGACGUCAUGAGGAGUUCCGGAAUGGUCCGGAGGUAAAGAUUUAUAUAUAGGAAGUCCUGUUUUGGUCACCGGAAAAGUUUCGGGUUUUAUUGGUAACGUACCGGGACCACCGACAGGGUCCCGGGGGUCCACCAAGUGGGGCCACAAGCCCCGGAGGGCUGCAUGGGCCAAGUGUGGGAGGGGACCAGCCCCAGGUGGGCUGGUGCGCCCCCCCACCAAGGCCCAAGGCGCAAGGAAGAGGGGAAGGGGGCAAACCCUAGGGCAGAUGGGCCCUAAGGCCCACCCUAGUGCGCCUCCCCCUCUCCCCUCCCCUUGGCCGCCCCUAGAUGGGAUCUAGGGGGCUGCCGCCACCCCUAGGGAGGGAACCCUAGGUGGGGGCGCAGCCCCUCCCCUCCCCCUAUAUAUAGUUGAGGUUUGGGCUGCCCAAUACACAUGAGUUCCUCUCUUUCUUGGCGCAGCCCUAUCCCUCUCUUUCUCCUCAUAUCUCGUAGUGCUUGGCGAAGCCCUGCUGGAUCACCAUGCUCCUCCAUCACCACCACGCCAUUGUGCUACUGCUGGAUGGAGUCUUCCUCAACCUCUCCCUCUCUCCUUGCUGGAUCAAGGCAUGGGAGACGUCAUCGGGCUGUACGUGUGUUGAACGCGGAGGUGCCGUCCGUUCGGCACUAGGAUCUCCGGUGAUUUGGAUCACGAUGAGUACGACUCCUUCAACCCCGCACUACUAGGAAAAGGCCUACUAAUGGCGCACCAGUUUUGCCUACUAAUGGCGCAUCACUGGUGCGCCAUUACUAGCACGCCAUUAGUAAUUUUUACUAAUGGCGCACCACUGGUGCGCCAUUAGUAUCUGGUAUACUAAUGGCGCACCACUGGUGCGCCAUUAGUAUAGGCCACAGGUGCACCAUUAGUAUACCAGAUACUAAUGGCGCACCGCGUGGUGCGCCAUUAGUAUACCAUUCGGUGCUCCACUGGUAUUCCCUCCAGGUGCGCCACUAAUAACCUUAUAGGUGCGCCACUAGUAAUAAAGGAAGGUGCGCCACUAAUAAGGGCUUAAAUGCGCCACUACUAAUGUAUUUGGAAAACAAAAAAAAAUCUAAAUUUACAGAAAAAAACCUAUAAGGAAAAAUAAUUUAAAAACAAAAAAUGAAAUAGAAUCAUAAUUUUUAUUAUAGUAAGAAUAUUACAAUGUCUUUACAAGUUUCCAAUAAAAGGGAAAUUGCAAGGAAAUAAAAAAAAUCCUAAAGCUAAUCUUCUAGUAAUCUUCUCUUCUUUUUCUUCACUUUAUCCCUGCAAAAUGUAACAAAAUAAACACAAACACAAACAAACUAUUUAUAACAUGUCAAUACUGUCAUUUUUUCAGACCAAGUAACUAACAACUUCAGUGAGACAGGCACAGUGCAGUGUGAAUUUCAAUUGGCUAAAUCAUAUAUAGAAAUCAGUAUCUUCUCUAUGAACCUGAAACUGAGAUGACUGGACUAAUUUUGCACAUUUGAUUUAUGAAUUUAUUCUUCUUCGACAACCAACUAAACUUCGGAUCACCUACUAAGCAUCUGUACAUACUACAUAGGCUGAUUAAUCCAACAGCCACAAUGCAAAUAUUGACUAUUUCCAUUCAACUUCUUCACUUACUCAUUAUUAUCUAAUGAAACCAUUCGUAACUAAUGAAGCAGAUUGGCUAAAGUUAUUAUCAAGUCCUAAGUCCUAAUUGAAGCAGAUCUGCUAGGGUUCUUCUCGCUAGCCCCUCAUGGCCAACCGUUUCGGAACAGGCAGGCAGAGCUGCUUGGCCGGUGGCUAGGGAGUCGCUGGUGAUGUUGGGCAUCUCACACGAGCACCUGGCUAUUUGAGGAAACCGAAAUAGUAGCAUAAACAAGAUUGAUUCCGAGGAAAUGAUAGAACCUAUUCUAUCAAAGUGCUACUCCCCCCGUUCCAUAAUUCCAGUCGUGGUUUUUUAACUAAAACCAUGAAGAGAACUAUGGAAUGGAGGGAGUAGAAAACAAUAGCAUGCUUAAAAUUCUACCAUACACAGCAGCAACAGACAUUACACAAGCAUUUAUUUAUUUAUUGCAUUUGGCACAAGUUAAAAAUUCUCACAAGCAGAGGCGGUCCUAUCAGACAAAAAGAACAUGGACCGCUCAUUACAAAGCACUUCUACUGCAGUAUCAUGGAGUAGGAAAAGGGGCUUAAGCAGCAAAGAAGUAUAAUAAGAGAAAAAAACACUAUGGCGGCUGGAACUAGAAGAGCACCAUCACAGGUUCGAAACAUCACCAUGGAGUCGAUGGCCGGCAUAGCCCAUGGCAGGGCUGGAUGGGCAGCAUAAUAACACAAUAAAAGUUUGAUGUAUACUUAUUCGUUUGAAAAGAUGCAAGCUUAUUUACACCCUAGGACUGUUGAUUAGGGUCUGGAUGGUAUUUUUGUUCCUUGCGUAAGUAAGAGAAGGACUAGCAUCCAUAGUAGAAAGAAGGGUAAACAUACAUAAAGGAAAGUUUUUAUAGCGUCACGACCGAAAGAGGCUACGUGCGGCUGGGUGAAAUGGACAAGGUUUCAUGUAUGCAAUAUAUUAUAGAAAAAUAAGUGUUGACAGAAAAUGAAAGAUUUCCUGUCAAACAAACAGAGCUUCAUUUUGUAACAUUUCUGACCCACAUGAUAAUUGUACAACAUAGUAGAGGAGACCACUGUACAUACAUGUGUUGAAUGAAGCAGACUAAGAAAUAUUGGGUGGGUAUAAAGAAUACAAUAGUACGGUAGCUGAUGUAAACAAGUGCAGAGUUGCAUCCACAGAAUAGGUAACAAAUUAAAUAGCCCUGGUGCCAACAGUAGAGUUCGUGUAUCCAAUCCAUCCUUUGUUUAACACAGCAGCUCCAACUCUUGUGUAACAAAUUAAGUUUGGCAUGGGCACACAUAAAGCACUGACAUUUUCAUGGCUCGAUGGCCGUGGGCUAAGGGAGCAGAGGAGGAGGUGCGGCUCACCUCACAUGGCGGCGGAACCGAGGGAUGAAGGUGCGGCGCACCGGAGCAGGCAGAGGUGCCUUGUGUUGGCCAAACACGUGGCCAGCAGCAGAGAAGCGCUUCUCUUGCUCGACGGAUGUUGGGUGUGUGUGAGGCGUGCUCCUGCCUGCCUGCCUGCGUGAGGAACGGGAGGACCAUUAGAGAAGAGAAGGGAAGGGAAGAAGAGCAGGUAGAGGAUGGCAAGGGGAGAGGAGGGAAUCAAAAUCAAAGAUGAGAAGAUGACCUUGAGGAGGAGCAGGGGAAGAGCGGAGCAGCAGAAACAGAGGCCUUCCUCUCCCGGUGGUGAGGACCGAGGCGACCUCCGUCACGGCCUAGCCAGGUCGACGACUCUGGCGACCGUGGCUGCCAGAUCCGGUGUCACCAUGGCCGGCCUCCUCCUGUGGUGCCUGCUAGGUCGCCAUGGCCGCGGGCUCCUUGUCCGUGGCGGCUGGAUCUGGGGCCUUGGGGUGGCGGGGAGCUCCUCCUCCUGCAGCUCGGCGGCCUCCACACCCCGGAGCAACGCCGUCGCCGGAGGACGUGGUCACCUGCUCUCCUCUGGAUCCGGUGAGGAGGGUUGGGGAAGGAGCUCACCACGGCUCCAUGCCCUGGAUCUGGUGUGAGGGAGGGGGAAGGGAGCUCGCCGUGGUCAGGAGGGAGAGGAAGAGGCGGGCGGCCGGGGCUUCCCGAUCUAAAUCAAAGUCGAGGGAGGUGGGUGGGUGUGUCAGGAGGAAGGUGAGGGGGAGAGAACGUGACAAGAUGGAGGGGAUAAGGGGUGAUAGCAAUGGCGCACUGGUAGGGGUGCGCCAUACGUAUAGAUAGCAAUGGCGCAUCUCUUACUGGUGCGCCAUUACUAGUUUAAACUAGUAAUGGUGCACGGUGGAACAGUGCGCUAUUAGUAGUUUUGCAAAAAAAAGUAAUAAAAAUAUAAUAAAAAAACAACAUUAGUGGCGCACUUUUCGACAGGUGCGCCAUUACUAGUUACAACUAGUAAUGGCGCACUGUGUCUGGAUGCGCCAUUAGUAUGUUUGGACAGGCGCACUAGUUCAAAAAAAAUUGAUACUAAUGGCGCACCCUGGGCCAGGUGCGCCAUUAGUAGUUUCAACUCUAAUGGCGUAUCAGAAGGUGGUGCGCCAUUAGUAUAUACCCUUGUAGAGGACUUAGGACUUGAUAAUAACUUUAGCCAAUCUGCUUCAUUAGUUACGAAUGGUUUCAUUAGAUAAUAAUGAGUAAGUGAAGAAGUUGAAUGGAAAUAGUCAAUAUUUGCAUUGUGGCUGUUGGAUUAAUCAGCCUAUGUAGUAUGUACAGAUGCUUAGAAGGUGAUCCGAAGUUGGAGAGGUCGGGGAUGAGCUGAUGCGGCGGGGGUGGUGAAGGGGAUCUCUGGUGGCCGGAGUUGAGGACGAGCUCGGUGCAGCGUCUCCGAGGCGAGCAAGCGCUCGGGCGCGGCCUACUCGAUGUAGUCGAUGGCGGCGGAGCUCGUGGACACGAUGGCGCGGCGCGAGGACGACGGAAGGCACGGCUACGACGACGGUGCGGCGACAGAAGUGUCGGCCAUGGUGGGGAACGGCGAAGGGAUAGAGACAGGGGGGAAAUGGCGUGUCCAGGGGCUUCGGGGUGCGACGUGGAGGCGUCCAGGCGUCUAGGGGCGCGGGCGGCAAGCAGGUGACGCCGUGGUGAGCUCGGGCACGCCGGAGUCACCUCCCUGCCUGCGUGGCGGGGAAGAAGCAGCUGGCUGGCGCGAGCCAGCACAGUGCUGGGCCGCCUGGUGGGCCGGCGGGUGAGAUAGCUGGGCCGCGCCAGGUAAGCUUCUCUCUCUCUCUCUCUUUCUUAUUUGUUUUCUUUUUCUAUUUUUCUGCAACUGUUGGGCUUUAUUAAAAAUACCUAGACAUCUUUAAAAAUCCUGAAAAUAAUCAGGGGCUCUGUUUAGAUUAUUCCCAACAGCCCACACUUAUUUCUAGAAUUAUUUGAGCAUUUAAAUUAUUUUAUAGCAUUUAAAUGCCCAAAUUCAAAUACUUAUGAUUUAAUUCAAGAAAAUCCAGAAUGUCCUAGAAAAGAGUGCACCAUUUUUGCCAGGGGUUUUAGCCCAAUCCAGAAAUGAUGAACAUUUUGUGAAAGGCAUUUUGGGUUCAUUGAAAAUAAUUUUAGUAAACCCUAGUUGUUUCCAGGGGGUGCUGGGGGUUCUGUCAUCCCCAUUUCAAAUUUAAAAGGAAUUUAAACAUGAUGCACACUCUAAUGCUUGAACUAGCUAGGGUGUGACACUAAGCAACCCGGCAACGACAUAGAUGUGUACCUAAGGCCAUUAGUUGAAGAACUCUUACAACUGUGGAAUGGAACAGGUGUACGUGCGUGGGAUGAGCACAUGGGGAAAGAAUUUGACCUAAAGGCGUUGUUGUUCGUGACCAUCAAUGAUUGGCCUGCUCUCACUAACCUUUUAGGACAGACAAACAAGGGAUACCGCGCAUGCACGCACUGUUUGGACGAUGCCGACAGUAUAUAUUUGGCUAAAUGUAAGAAGAAUGUGUACCUGGGACAUCAUCGAUUUCUUCCGAGCAGGCAUCCCGUAAGAAAGAAAGGCAAGCAUUUCAAAGGUGAGGCGGAUCACCGGACGAAGCCUCGCCACCGUACUGGUGCUGAUGUACAUGAUAUGGUCAACGAUUUGAAGGUGGUCUUUGGAAAGGGUCCUGGUGGACAACCUAUUCCGAAUGACGCUGACGGACGCGCACCCAUGUGGAAGAAGAAAUCUAUAUUUUGGGACCUGCCCUAUUGGAAAGACCUAGAGGUCCGCUCCGCAAUCGACGUGAUGCACGUGACGAAAAUCUUUGUGUGACCCUGCUUGGCUUCUUGGGCGUGUAUGGGAAGACAAAAGAUACACCUGAGGCACGGGAGGACCAACAAUGUAUGCACGGAAAAGAUGGCAUACAUCAGGGUCAUGCAAGCUACGCUCUUACCAAAGAAGAGAAGGAAAUCUUCUUUGAAUGCCUGCUCAGUAUUAAGGUACCGUCUGGCUUCUCGUCUAAUAUAAAGGGAAUAAUAAACAUGGCAGACAAAAGUUCCAGAACCUAAAGUCUCAUGACUGCCACGUGAUUAUGGCGCAACUGCUUCCGGUUGCAUUGAGGGGGCUUCUACCAGAAAACGUUCGAUUAGCCAUUGUGAAGCUAUGUGCAUUUCUCAAUGCAAUCUCUCAGAAGGUAAUCGAUCCAGAAAUAAUACCAAGGUUAGAGAAUUAUUUGGUGCAAUGUCUUGUCAGUUUCGAGUUGGUGUUCCCACCAUCCUUCUUCAACAUCAUGACGCACGUCCUAGUUCACCUAUGCGAAGAGAUUAACGUUUUGGGUCAUGUAUUUCUACACAAUAUGUUCCCCUUUGAGAGGUUCAUGGGAGUCUUAAAGAAAUAUGUUCAUAACCGUGCUAGGCCAGAAGGAAGCAUCUCCAAGGCCAUGAAAAUGAGGAGGUCAUUGAGUUUUGUAUUGACUUUAUUCCUGACCUUAAGCCGAUUGGUGUUCCUGAAUCGCGGCAUAAGGGCAGACUGGAUGGAAAAGGCACGCUAGGAGGGGAACAAAUAAUAUGUAUGUACGGACAUUCUCUCACUGAAGCACACUACACAGUUCUACAGAAUUCCGCCUUGGUGGCUCCAUAUAUGGAUGAACACAAGAAUUUGCUACGCUCCAAACACCCGGAGCGGUCUGAUGACUGGAUUACACGUGAACAAACCAGAAGUUUCGCCAGCUGGUUGCAGACACGUACCAUGCAUGACACCUCUAUUGAAGAUGACCUGUACUUGCUGUCCCAGUUACCAUCUUCGAAUAUAAUGACUUUCAAAGGGUACCAGAUAAAUGGUAAUACAUUUUACACGAUCGCCCAAGAUAAGAAGAGCACCAACCAAAACAGUGGUGUCUACUUUGAUGCAGAAACCAAGACGGGAAAGGAAACAUAUUAUGGUUAUAUACCGGACAUAUGGGAACUUGACUAUCGACGUGGUUUAAAGGUCCCUUUGUUUCGGUGCAAAUGGGUCAAUAUGACACGAGGCGGGGUAACGGAAGACCCGCAGUACGGAAUGACAACAGUGGAUCUCAACAAUCUUGCGUAUGCAGACGAACCAUUCGUCCUAGCCAAUGAUGUGGCACAGGUUUUCUAUGUGAAGGACAUGUCUACCAAGCCAAGAAAAAGAAAAGAUAAGGAAGCGAAUGCAUCGUACGAUGAGCCAAAGCGGCACAUAGUUCUUUCUAGGAAGAGAAACAUCGUGGGAGUGGAUGACAAGACAGACAUGUCAGAAGAUUAUGAAAAGUUUGAUGAAAUUGCUCCAUUCACAGUGAAUAUUGACCCGAGCAUCCCGUUAAAUGAUGAAGAUUUUCCAUGGUUACGGCGCAAAGGGACGCACGCGAAGAAAAAGUUUCACACCCAAAGAUCUGGGAUGUGAUCGGCUUCACUAUCAUCACUUUCUUCUGUGUUUCACACCCAGGAGGGAAUCUCUGUAAUAGUUAGGGUAGUUAUGUGUUUUGGCAUUUGAAACGCGAAGAAAUUUUAUGUGCAAACAAAUUCUUUCAUGCCUUUACUGAUUUUUAAAGUUAAGUUAUUCACAAACUAGUGAUUCACACUAAUUUCAAAUAAUUCAAAAUUUAAACUAUUCAAAUUUGAAAACUACAGGCACUAACAGAAAGUUUGUAAUUUUUUGUACCUAAAGCAAAAAUUGAAGGAAAUAUGCCCUAGAGGCAAUAAUAAAGUUAUUAUUUAUUUCCUUAUAUCAUGAUAAAUGUUUAUUAUUCAUGCUAGAAUUGUAUUAACCGGAAACAUAAUACAUGUGUGAAUACAUAGACAAACAGAGUGUCACUAGUAUGCCUCUACUUGACUAGCUCGUUAAUCAAAGAUGGUUAUGUUUCCUAACCAUGGACAAAGAGUUGUUAUUUGAUUAACGGGAUCACAUCAUUAGGUGAAUGAUCUGAUUGACAUGACCCAUUCCAUUAGCUUAGCACCCGAUCGUUUAGUAUGUUGCUAUUGCUUUCUUCAUGACUUAUACAUGUUCCUAUGACUAUGAGAUUAUGCAACUCCCGUUUGCCGGAGGAACACUUUGUGUGCUACCAAACGUCACAACAUAACUGGGUGAUUAUAAAGGUGCUCUACAGGUGUCUCCAAAGGUACAUGUUGGGUUGGCGUAUUUCGAGAUUAGGAUUUGUCACUCCGAUCGUCGGAGAGGUAUCUCUGGGCCCUCUAAUGCACAUCACUUAAGCCUUGCAAGCAUUGCAGCUAAUGAGUUAGUUGCGGGAUGAUGUAUUACGGAACGAGUAAAGAGACUUGCCGGUAAUGAGAUUGAACUAGGUAUUGGAUACCGACGAUCGAAUCUCGGGCAAGUAACAUACCGAUGACAAAGGGAACAACGUAUGUUGUUAUGCGGUCUGACCGAUAAAAGAUCUUCGUAGAAUAUGUAGGAACCAAUAUGGGCAUCAAGGUCCCGCUAUUGGUUAUUGACCGGAGACGUGUCUCGGUCAUGUCUACAUUGUUCUCGAACCCGUAGGGUCCGCACGCUUAAGGUUUCGAUGACAGUUAUAUUAUGAGUUUAUGAGUUUUGAUGUACCAAAGGAGUUCGGAGUCCCGGCUGAGAUUGGGGACAUGACGAGGAGUCUCGAAAUGGUCGAGACGUAAAAAUCGAUAUAUUGGACGACUAUAUUCGGACAUCGGAAAGGUUCCGAGUGAUUCGAGUAUUUUUCGGAGUACCGGAGAGUUACGGGAAUUCGCCGGGAGAAGUAUUGGGCCUUAUUGGGCCAUACGGGAAAGAGAGAGGGGCUGCCUAGGGUAGGCCGCGCGCCCCCCAAGGCCUAGUCCGAAUUGGACUAGGGGGAGGGGCUGCGCCCCUUCCUUGUUUCCUACUCCUACUACAUGGAAGGACUCCUACUUGGACUAGGAAAGGGGGAAUCCUACUCCCGGUGAGAGUAGGACUUCUCUAGGCGCGCCAUAGAGAGGGCCGGCCCUCCCCUCCUGCACUCCUUGAUAUACGGGGGCAGGGGGCACCCCAUAGACACACAAGUUGAUCCACGUGAUCAUAUUCUUAGCCGUGUGCGGUGCCCCCUUCCACUAUAGUCCUCGAUAAUAUUGUAGCAGUGCUUAGGCGAAGCCCUGCGACAGUAGUACAUCAAGAUCGUCACCACGCCGUCGUGCUGACGGAACUCUUGCCCGACACUUUGCUGGAUCGGAGUCCGGGGAUCGUCAUCGAGCUGAACGUGUGCUAGAACUCGGAGGUGCCGUAGUUUCAGUGCUUGAUCGUCGGGCCGUGAAGACGUACGACUACAUCAACCGCGUUGUCAUAACGCUUUUGCUAUCGGUCUACAAGGGUACGUAGAUCACACUCUCCCCUCUCGUUGCUAUGCAUCACCAUGAUCUUGCGUGUGCGUAGGAAAUUUUUUGAAAUUACUACGUUCCCCAACAGUGGCAUCCGAGCCUAGGUUUUAUGCGUUGAUGUAAUAUGCACGAGUAGAACACAAGUGAGUUGUGGGCGAUAUAAGUCAUACUGCUUACCAGCAUGUCACAGUUUGGUUCGGCGGUAUUGUUGGAUGAAGCGGCCCGGACCGACAUUACGCGUACGCUUAUGCGAGACUGGUUCUACCGACGUGCUUUGCACACAGGUGGCUGGCGGGUGUCAGUUUCUCCAACUUUAGUUGAACCGAGUGUGGCUACGCCCGGUCCUUGCGAAGGUUAAAACAACACCAACUUGACAAACUAUCGUUGUGGUUUUUGAUGCGUAGGUAAGAACGGUUCUUGCUAAGCCCGUAGCAGCCACGUAAAACUUGCAACAACAAAGUAGAGGAUGUCUAACUUGUUUUUGCAGGGCAUGUUGUGAUGUGAUCUGGUCAAGACAUGAUGCUAAAUUUUAUUGUAUGAGAUGAUCAUCUUUUGUAACCGAGUUAUCGGCAACUGGCAGGAGCCAUAUAGUUAUCGCUUUAUUGUAUGCAAUGCAAUCGCACUGUAAUGCUUUACUUUAUCACUAAGAGGUAGCGAUAGUCGUGGAAGCAUAAAAGUGGCGAGACGACAACGAUGCUGCGAUGGAGAUCAAGGUGUCACGCCGGUGACGAUGGUGAUCAUGACGGUGCUUCGGAGAUGGAGAUCACAGGCACAAGAUGAUGAUGGCCAUAUCAUAUCACUUAUAUUGAUUGCAUGUGAUGUUUAUCUUCUAUGCAUCUUAUCUUGCUUUGAUUGACGGUAGCAUUAUAAGAUGAUCUCUCACUGAAUUAUCCAGAAGUGUUCUCCCUGAGUAUGCACCGUUGCGAAAGUUCUUCGUGCCGAGACACCACAUGAUGAUCGGGUGUGAUAGGCUCUACGUUCAAAUACAACAGGUGCAAAACAGUUGCACACGCGGAAUACUCAGGUUAUACUUGACGAGCCAAGCAUAUGCAGAUAUGGCCUCGGAACACGGAGACCGAAAGGUCGAGCGUGAAUCAUAUAGUAGAUAUGAUCAACAUAGUGAUGUUCACCAAUGAAACUACAUCUCACGUGAUGAUCGGACAUGGUUUAGUUGAUUGGGAUCAUGUGAUCGCUUAGAGGAUUAGAGGGAUGUCUAUCUAAGUGGGAGUUCUUAAGUAAUAUGAUUAAUUGAACUUAAAUUUAUCAUGAACUUAGUCCUUAUAGUAUUUUGCAAAUUAUGUUGUAGAUUAAUAGCUCGUGUUGUUGCUUCCUUGUGUUUUUUAUAUGUUCCUAGAGAAAAUUGUGUUGAAAGAUGUUAGUAGCAAUGAUGCGGAUUGGAUCCGUCAUCUGAGGUUUAUCCUCAUUGCUGCACAGAGGAAUUAUGUCCUUGAUGCACCGCUAGGUGACAGACCUAUUGCAGGAUCAGAUACUAACGUUAUGAACGUUUGGCUAGCUAAAUAUGAUGACUACUUGAUAGUUUAGUGCACCAUGCUUAACGGCUUAGAAUCGGGACUUCAAAGACGUUUUGAACGUCAUGGACCAUAUGAGAUGUUCCAGGAGUUGAAGUUAAUAUUUCAAGCAAAUACCCGAGUUGAGAGAUAUGAAGUCUCCAACAAGUUCUAUAGCUAAAAGAUGGAGGAGAAUCGCUCAACUAGUGAGCAUGUGCCCAAAUUGUCUGAGUACUACAAUCACUUGAAUCAAGUGGGAGUUAAUCUUCUAGAUAAGAUAGUGAUUGACAGAAUUCUCUAGUCACCAUCACCAAGUUAGUAGAACUUCGUGAUGAACUAUGAUAUGCAAGGGAUAACGGAAACGAUUCCCAUGCUCUUCGUAAUGCGGAAAUUGAUGAAGGUAGAAAUCGAGAAAAACAUCAAGUGUUGAUGGUAGACAAGACCACUACUUUCAAGAAAAAGGAAGAGGGAAGAAGGGGAACUUCAAGAAAAACAGCAAGCAAGUUGCUGCUCAUGUGAAGAAGCCCAAGUCUGGUCCUAAGCCUAUGACUAAGUGCUUCUACUGCAAAGGGACUAGUCACUGGAAGCGGAACUACCCCAAGUGAUUGGCGGAUAAGAAGGAUGGCAAAGUGAACAUAAGUAUAUUUGAUAUACAUGUUAUUGAUGUGUACUUUACUAGUGUUUAUAGCAACCCCUCAGUAUUUGAUGCUAGUUCAGUUGCUAAGAGUAGUAACUCGAAACGGGAGUUGCAGAAUGAACAGAGACUAGUUAAGGGUGAAGUGACGAUGUGUUUUGGAAGUGGUUCCAAGAUUGAUAUGAUCAUCAUCGCACACUCCCUAUACUUUCGGGAUUAGUGUUGAACCUAAAUAAGUGUUAUUUGGUGUUUGCGUUGAGCAUGAAUAUGAUUUGAUCAUGUUUAUUGUAAUACGGUUAUUCAUUUAAGUAAAAGAAUAAAUUGUUGUUCUGUUUACAUGAAUAAAACCUUAUUUGGUUACACACCCAAUGAAAAUAGUUCAUUGGAUGUCGAUCGUAGUGAUACACAUAUUCAUAAUAUUGAAACCAAAAGAUGCGAAGUUAAUAAUGAUAGUGCAACUUAUUUGUGGCACUGCCAUUUAGGUCAUAUUGGUGUAAAGCUCAUGAAGAAACUCCAUGCUGAUGGGAUUUUGGAAUCACUUGGUGCUUGCGAACCAUGCCUUAUGGAUAAAAUGACUAAAGACUCCGUUCUCCGGAACAAUGGAGCGAGCAACUGACUUAUUGGAAAUAAUACAUACUGAUGUAUGCGAUCUGAUGAGUGUUGAAGCUCGCGGCGGGUAUCGUUAUUUUCUGACCUUCACAUAUGAUUUGAGCAGAUAUGGUAUAUCUGCUUGAUGAAACAUAAGUCUGAAACAUUUGAAAAGUUCAAAGAAUUUCAGAGUGAAAUGGAAAAUCAUCGUAACAAGAAAAAUAAGGUUUCUACGAUCUGAUCGCGGAGACAAAUAUUUGAGUUACGAGUUUGGUCUUCAAUUAAAACUAUGUGGAAUAGUUUCACAAAUUCAUGCCACCUGGAACACCACAGCAUAAUAGUGUGUUCGAACAUCAUAACCGUACUUUAUUGGAUAUAGUGCAAUCUAUGAUGUUUCUUACCGAUUUACCACUAUAGUUUUGGGGUUAUGCAUUAGAGACAGCUGCAUUCACGUUAAAAGGGCACCAUCUAAAUCUGUUGAGACGACACCGUAUGAACUGUGGUUUGGCAAGAAACCAAAGUUGUCGUUUCUCAAAGUUUGGGGUUGCAAUGCUUAUGUGAAAAAGUUUCAUCCUGAUAAGCUCAAACCCAAAUCGGAAAAGUGUGUCUUCAUAGGAUACCCAAAAAGUUACUGUUGGGUACACCUUCUAUCACAGAUCCGAAGGCAAGACUUUUGUUGCUAAAUUCAGAAACUUUCUGGAGAAGGAGUUUCUCUCGAAAGAAGUGAGUGGGAGGAAAGUAGAACUUGAUGAGGUAACUGUACCUACUCCCUUAUUGGAAAGUAGUACAUCACAGAAAACUGUUUCUGCGACACCUACCCCAAUUAGUGAGGAAGCUAAUGAUACUGAUCAUGAAACUUCAGGACAAGAUACUAUUGAACCUCAUAGAUCAACCAGAGUGAGAUCCGCGCCAUAGUGGUACGGUAAUCCUAUUCUGGAAAUCAUGCUGCUAGAUCAUGAUGAACCUACGAACUAUGAGGAAGCGAUGAUGAGCCCAGAUUCCGAUAAAUGGCUUGAGGCCAUGAAAUCUGAGAUAGGAUCCAUGUAUGAGAACAAAGUGUGGACUUUGGUGGACUUGCCCGAGGAUCGGCAAGCCAUUGAUAAUAAAUGGAUCUUCAAGAGGAAGACGGACACGGAUAGUAGUGUUACUAUCUACAAAGCUAGAAUUUUCGCAAAAGGUUUUCGACAAGUUCAAGGUGUUGACUACGAUGAGAUUUUCUCACUCGUAUCUAUGCUUAAGUCUGUCCGAAUCAUGUUAGCAAUUGCCGCAUUUUAUGAAAUCUGGCAAAUGGAUAAACAAAACUGCAUUCCUUAAUGGAUUUAUUAAAGAAGAGUUGUAUAUGAUGCAACCAGAAGGUUUUGUCAAUCCUAAAGGUACUAACAAAAUAUGCAAGCUCCAACGAUCCAUCUAUGGACUGGUGCAAACAUCUCGGAGUUGGAAUACACGCUUUGAUAAGUUGAUCAAAGCAUAUAGUUUUAUACAGACUUGUGGUGAAGCCUGUAUUUACAAGAAAGUGAGUGGGAGCACUACAACAUUUCUGAUAAGUAUAUGUGAAAGACAUAUUAUUGAUCGGAGAUAAUGUAGUAUUAUUCUGCAAAUCAUAAAGGAAUAUUUGAAAGGAGUUUUUCAAAGAAAGACCUCGGUGAAGCUGCUUACAUAUUGAGCAUCAAUAUCUAUAGAGAUAGAUCAAGACGCUUGAUAAGUUUUUCAAUGAGGAUAUACCUUGACAAGAUUUUGAAGUAGUUCAAAAUGGAAUAGUCAAAGAAGGAGUCCUUGCCUGUGUUACAUAGGUGUGAAGUUGAGUAAGACUCAAAACCCGACCACGGCAGAAGAUAGAGAGAGAAUGAAAGUCAUUCCCUAUGCCUCAGCCAUAGGUUCUAUAAAGUAUGCCAUGCUGUGUACCAGACCUAUUGUAUACCCUGCCCUGAGUUUGGCAAGGGAGUACAAUAGUGAUCUAGGAGUAGAUCACUGGACAUUGUUCAAAAUUAUCCUUAGUGGAAUAAGGAUAUGUUUCUCGAUUAUGGAGGUGACAAAAGGUUCGUCGUAAAGGGUUACGUCGAUGCAAGUUUUGACACUGAUCCAGAUGACUCUAAGUCUCAAUCUGGAUACAUAUUGAAAGUGUGAGCAAUUAGCUAGAGUAGCUCCAUGCAGAGCAUUGUUGACAUAGAAAUUUGCAAAAUACUUACAGAUCUGAAUGUGGCAGACCCGUUGACUAAACUUCUCUCACAAGAAAAACAUGAUCACACCUCAGUACUCUUUGGGUGUUAAUCACAUAGCGAUGUGAACUAGAUUAUUGACUCUAGUAAACCCUUUGGGUGUUGGUCACAAGUUGAUGUGAACUAUGGGUGUUAAUCACAUGGUGAUGUGAACUAUUGAUGUUAAAUCACAUGGCGAUGUGAACUAGAUUAUUGACUCUAGUGCAAGUGGGAAACUAAAGGAAAUAUGCCCUAGAGGCAAUAAUAAAGUUAUUAUUUAUUUCCUUAUACCAUGAUAAAUGUUUAUUAUUCAUGCUAGAAUUGUAUUAACCGGAAACAUUAUACCUGUGUGAAUACAUAGACAAACAGAGUGUCACUAGUAUGCCUCUACUUGACUAGCUCGUUAAUCAAAGAUGGUUAUGUUUCCUAACCAUGGACAAAGAGUUGUUAUUUGAUUAACGGGAUCACAUCAUUAGGUGAAUGAUCUGAUUGACAUGACCCAUUCCAUUAGCUUAGCACCAGAUCGUUUAGUAUGUUGCUAUUGCUUUCUUCAUGACUUAUACAUGUUCCUAUGACUAUGAGAUUAUGCAACUCCCGUUUGCCGGAGGAACACUUUGUGUGCUACCAAACGUCACAACGUAACUGGGUGAUUAUAAAGGAGCUCUACAGGUGUCUCCAAAGGUACAUGUUGGGUUGGCGUAUUUCGAGAUUAGGAUUUGUCACUUCGAUCAUCGGAGAGGUAUCUCUGGGCCCUCUCGGUAAUGCACAUCACUUAAGCCUUGCAAGCAUUGCAGCUAAUGAGUUAGUUGCGGGAUGAUGUAUUACGGAACGAGUAAAGAGACUUGCCGGUAACGAGAUUGAACUAGGUAUUGGAUACCGACGAUCGAAUCUCGGGCAAGUAACAUACCGAUGACAAAGGGAACAACGUAUGUUGUUAUGCGGUCUGACCGAUAAAAGAUCUUUGUAGAAUAUGUAGGAACCAAUAUGGGCAUCCAGGUCCCGCUAUUGGUUAUUGACCGGAGACGUGUCUCGGUCAUGUCUACAUUGUUCUCGAACCCGUAGGGUCUGCACGCUUAAGGUUUCGAUGACAGUUAUAUUAUGAGUUUAUGAGUUUUAAUGUACCGAAGGAGUUCAGAGUCCCGGAUGAGAUCGGGGACAUGACGAGGAGUCUCAAAAUGGCCGAGACAUAAAAAUCGAUAUAUUGGACGACUAUAUUCGGACAUCGGAAAGGUUCCGAGUGAUUCGAGUAUUUUUCGGAGUACCGGAGAGUUACGGGAAUUCGCCGAGAGAAGUAUUGGGCCUUAUUGGGCCAUACGGGAAAGAGAGAGGGGCUGCCUAGGGCAGGCCGCGCGCCCCCAAGGCUUAGUCCGAAUUGGACUAGGGGGAGGGGCUGCGCCCCUUCCUUGUUUCCUACUCCUACUACAUGGAAGGACUCCUACUUGGACUAGGAAAGGGGGAAUCCUACUCCCGGUGAGAGUAGGACUUCUCUAGGCGCGCCAUAGAGAGGGCCGGCCCUCCCCUCCUGCACUCCUUGAUAUACGGGGGCAGGGGGCACCCCAUAGACACACAAGUUGAUCCACGUGAUUAUAUUCUUAGCCGUGUGCGGUGCCCCCUUCCACCAUAGUCCUCGAUAAUAUUGUAGUAGUGCUUAGGCGAAGCCCUGCGACAGUAGUACAUCAAGAUCGUCACCACGCCGUCGUGCUGACGGAACUCUUCCCCGACACUUUGCUGGAUCGGAGUCCGGGGAUCGUCAUCGAGCUGAACGUGUGCUAGAACUCGGAGGUGCCGUAGUUUCGGUACUUGAUCGAUCGGGCCGUGAAGACGUACGACUACAUCAACCGCGUUGUCAUAACGCUUCCGCUAUCAGUCUACAAGGAUACGUACAUCACACUCUCCUCUCUCGUUGCUAUGCAUCAUCAUGAUCUUGCGUGUGCGUAGGAAAUUUUUUGAAAUUACUAUGUUCCCCAACAAAAAUAUUCACAAAGAAACUCUAAAUACACAAAAAAAACAACUCAAAAAUAAAUAAAGCAAAAAAAAUAAAAAAAGCCCGCCUACUGGGCCAGAGCGGCCUGCAUACGACUAGAAACUCAACCUGUUGUUGGGCCAGGAUGCAGGCCCGCAAAGGUCGAGUAGGCCCACAGGGCAGCACAGAACAUGUAGGCCCAGUAGGCCUGCUUUGGAGAGGAGCUCGAGACAGCUACCGCACGGGGGGUUAUAAACCAGUGCAGACGCCCUUCGGCUAGCGAGGUGGGACUAAACUUGCUGCACCGCACCUGCGCCAAUGCACCCCCUUUAGUACCGGGUGGUGGCACCAACCGGUACUAAAGGCGGGGGUGCCUUUAGUACCGGUUGGAGCCACCACCCGGUACUAAAGGGGGUGCGCUUCCCGCCGCUUGGACUGGCCAAAACAGGCCUUUAGUACCGGUUGGUGGCUCCAACCGGUACUAAAGGUCCAUCCUAUAUAUCCAAACACUUCAAAAAUUUCAGUUUUUCAUCUGCUUCUUCUCCUCUGCCCCGUCGCCCGCCGCCCCCGUCUCCAUAUCCCUCGUCGCCGCCCCCGUCGCCGCCCCGUCCCCGUCGUCGNNNNNNNNNNNNNNNNNNNNNNNNNNNNNNNNNNNNNNNNNNNNNNNNNNNNNNNNNNNNNNNNNNNNNNNNNNNNNNNNNNNNNNNNNNNNNNNNNNNNNNNNNNNNNNNNNNNNNNNNNNNNNNNNNNNNNNNNNNNNNNNNNNNNNNNNNNNNNNNNNNNNNNNNNNNNNNNNNNNNNNNNNNNNNNNNNNNNNNNNNNNNNNNNNNNNNNNNNNNNNNNNNNNNNNNNNNNNNNNNNNNNNNNNNNNNNNNNNNNNNNNNNNNNNNNNNNNNNNNNNNNNNNNNNNNNNNNNNNNNNNNNNNNNNNNNNNNNNNNNNNNNNNNNNNNNNNNNNNNNNNNNNNNNNNNNNNNNNNNNNNNNNNNNNNCUCGCCGAUGAGCACACACGCACAUACAUUUUUUUAGUUUUUUAGUUAUAGAAAUAGUUAUAAAAAUGUUAGAAAAUUUUCUUUUCUUAGUUAUAGAAAUAGUUACUUAUAUAUCAUUAUUAGAAAUGUUAGAAUUGUUAGAAAUUUUUUCUGUUUUUUAGUUAUAGAAAUAGUUAUAAAAAAGUUAGAAUUGUUAGAAAUUUUUCUGUUUUUUAGUUAUAGAAAUAGUUAUAAAAAAGUUAGAAAUUUUUCUUUUUUUAGUUAUAGAAAUAUUAGAAAUGUUAUACAAAUGUUAGUUAUACAGAUAGAAAUGUUAUAAUUUUUUUUGUUUUUUAGUUAUAGAAAUAUUAGAAAUGUUAUAGAAAUGUUAGUUAUAUAGCAUUGUUAGAAAUGUUAUAGGAAUGUUAGUUAUAUAGAAAUGUUAGAACUUUGAGUUAUCAAAAUCCAAUUAUUAAAAAAAUGUUACUUUUUGCGGGCAUAUAGCUAGUACUUGUUCUCGACGAUGCCCGGCCCGCAUCCUCGCCGUCGACCCGUCCGCGACGACGUCCGGCUGACCCAUGUCCGAGACUGGGCUCCGCCGGGCUGGCACUGGGGGGGCGCGCCGCUUGAUGAGGAACAUGGCCCCGGGUCCCGUCGUCGACCCUGAUCUAGUUUGGAGGCGUUCGCGUCGGCCAGUUUCGGUGCGGAGGGAGCCGGCCCCGCCGGAGGUGGUACGUCGCCGUGUUAGGGAGGAGGACGAGCACGUCCAUCGCUACAUGGUUGCGUUAGAGGGCGGCAGGUUCUCCAAUACCUGGCAGUUUCUUCAGGGAUCUCACUUCAGCUAUGAUCCUGUGAGGGUUCCUUCUCUUUGGGUGUCCACCGCCCGCGCCGCAGGAACUGCGAGUGUCCUAGAUUCUUCUGUAGUCAGUGAUGUAUUCGAUAUAUAAUAUUCGAGACGAUGUAUUCGAGAUUAUAUAUUAUUCGAGACGAUGUAUUCGAGAUUAUAUCUAUUAUUCGAGACGAUGUAUUCGAGAUUAUAUCUAUUAUUCAAGACGAUGUAUUCGAGAUUAUAUCUAUUAUUUGAGACGAUGUAUUCGAGAUUAUAUCUAUUAUUCGAGACGACGUAUUCGAGAUUAUAUUUGAUGAUGCUUAUAUGUACUAUGAUUGAUUCAGUUUUUCCUUAUUAAUUGAUUGCAUCCAUGCAUUGUAAUUUGAAUAUAUUUCUUUUGGAUUAGUUAAACAAAACCUAUGGCGGACAAUACCGGUAGAGAGGGAGAAGAGGCCCUGUUCAAUAUCAUAUGCAAUCCUCGCGGGCCAGAUGAUGAUCAGAAUGAAGAAGAUUAUGACGGCUCCGAAUAUGUAAACAACACCGGGGAGGGUGAUAUGAUAUUCGAUCGCGACGACUGAAUUGAUGAAGUCAUGAACUAUGAACAUGACAAAGAAAAUGUUGAUCUUGAAACAACAAAGACCGGCGAGGUAUAUAUAUUUAUAUAAGCAGGCAUCUGGUGAUCAUCACAUGUUUUAAAUGACUCGAAGAUAUAUUAACGAAUCGAUCUUUCUUCUUUCAGCUAUCUGGAUCGAGCAAAUCUUCAGGCAACAGGAUGAAAUGAGGCCCAAACAAAAAGUUGAAGGAGGGCGUAAAGUACAAUAUCGAGGCAAUCAGACCUAAUGGCGAACCAUUAGCGCCUAAGAAGAUUGCGGACAAGUUCGUUCGUCAGUGCGGAGUUCUUGUGAAGGACCUACUCCCGAUCUCCCUUCAAGAAUGGAGAGAGCCAGCAAACCAACGUCCAGAUCUUACUUUUGUCGAUGACAGACAAAAAGGUCUGCUUUGGGAUACUCUCAUGGAACAUUUCACCCUACCAGAUCAUUUCACAGAAGCAGAUGUGCAGAAAGUAAAGGACGCUGCUCUUAGGAAGAUGGCGGUUGCAUUCAAGAACCAUAAGAAUCAUGAAUGGGACAAGUACAUCAAGGGAGGAAGGAAGACUCCAGUAUUCGAGGGAACACUAGAGAAGCAAAGUGCUCAUUGGGACGAUUGCGUGAAAUUCAAGGAUUCGGAAUUAGCUAAGGAGCGGUCGAGAAUAAACAAGAAGAAUGUCGAAAAAAGGAUAAGUUCCAUAAGCUGGGGCCAGGUGGCUACGCGAUGGCAAUGCCUAAGUGGGAUAAGUUUGAGAAAGAGAUGGAGGAUGCAAGUGUCACUCCGGUUACUAGGAGCUGGCCCCCCAGGUGCAGGACUUGGUUCUAUGCGCAUGGGGGGAGUUGGACCCGAAGACAGGCAAAGUUUCGACGAAGGCAUGUCUGAACGGAGCCAACGAUGCGCUAAUUGUUGCAAUAGAAGAGGCUCGAACGGGGGUAUUCCAGCCCAACAGAGAGAACGACGAGCUUACGCGUGCCCUGGGAAAUCCUGAACACCCGGGAAUAACACGAGGCAAGGGCGCUAUUCCGUGGUAUGAGUGGUUUUCGGACUGGAACCGACUACAGAAACCGUGUGAGAAGGAAGAUUGCGGAGGAGAAGAAGAGGAAGAUGGAGGAGGAGCAGAGGAAGUUGGACUAUGAACGCCUUCAAGGCCUAGAAUCAAAGCACGCAGACUUGGCAGUCAAAUUCCAGCGGCAGCAGGAGCAGAUCGACUCACUUAGCCAGCAAAGGGGGUCUCAGCAGCUGCAGCGGCAAGCGGAUGAUCCAGCAUUGGAUAGCACCGCCCUAUCCAUGCCGAGAAGCAGCGUGGGUUCCGCCCCGGGCGACGCAAUGCUGGAUAGAUACCCCGUGGAUGACGUCACGGAGAACACUAACUGCGAGCUACACUUCAAAAUGAAGAACAUAUCCAUGAAGGUGGCGGAUGCCGUUGCUUUUACAAAUCCCCCCGAGGCAACCUUCCAUUGCAACCCGAUUCCAGCAGGCUAUGCUCGUGUCUUGGUUGAUGAGGUGGUGGACCCAUAUUCGGGGCUACAUCUUGACAUUCCUGGAGGUGAUGACGAGCACACAUUGGGAGAGGCCAUACAUCGUGUCAUCCUAUGGAGAAAGGAUUGCAUCGUCUUUCGAAGGCCACCGGCACCGCGUCACCCGACUCCUCGUCGAAGUCCGCCACCGAGUCAGCAAACUCCUGCUCCUCCAAGUCCACCAAUGUGUGAGGCCAUUACUCCUCCUCCAAGUCUGGCAAAGUGUCAGGCCACUCCUCCUCCAAGUCCGACACAGCGUCAGACGUCCACUCCUCCUCCAUGUCCGGCACAACUUCAGGCCACUCCUCCUCCAAGUCCGGCACAGCUUCAGGCCACUCCUCCUCAUCCAACUCAGCCCCGUCAGCCUUCUCCGCCGCCUCAGCAAUCGCAGAAGAGACACCCCGCAGCUAUGGUGCAUAGCGGUACGAGUCGAGGUAGUACAGGAAGUACAGGCGGAGGCAAGCUAUAUAAAUAUGGUCCAAGCCUCACUACUCCUCUUCCUCAGAGGGCUUAUGACAUGACCGAGGAGCAAACCAAUGCCAUAGAGCAGGCAGAAGUGGACGCCCAUUUUGGACCGAAACCGCCACCGCCGCCAAGGGAGAAACUGCCUGUGGAAAAGAUUGACCACUUCAUUCGUAUGGCCCAACCACCAGCUCCCAAGCCCGAUGACACAGACUAUGAGCGCCACAUCAGGAAGUUAAAUCGAGCACGUCUACAGAAGGAGGCGAGCUCGAGCUCGAGCAAACAACAAGCAGCUGUCAAAAAAUGCAGGAAAACCGUUCCCCAGCAGGGAGAACAGGCGACGCAAUCGAUCCCCUCGCUUGUUGUGCCAACAACACGUGAUAGUACGCGCGCCCAAUAUUAUUGUGGCCAAACAGUUUAUGUUCCCGAGGUGGGCAAUGUGGUAAUAACCGAGGAGCAUAUAAUGCAGGCUAAAAUUCUCAACAUCACUGUUGGACAACUCCUCAAGAUCGAGCCCAUGCCUGUGCUUACAGAGGAGGAAAUAAAAUGGAAAUAUGUCCGGGGCGAACCUUUGGUCAAGCCAGACGAGGUCAAGAAGCUCCUAACGCGAAUGUAUGAAUUGCAUCAAUGGUACAUGGACAUUACCAAGAGUUCCAAUCGAGAGUCCCUCAUGGUGGAAGUCAAGAAGGAUCAUUACUACCAUCAGAAAGCUGUGGCCGUUGAGUAUAAUGAACUGUUUGAGUUAUACAAUCAAGAUGCACUCGACAAAUCUAUCGUCAGUUGCUAUUGUCUGUAAGUGAUUUCUUUCUGUAAUUUAAGUCUCAAGCUAGCUGUAGUGAUCCUUUUGAUCAAUCAUUACCUGUAAUUAUCCUCACUAUAUUCUUUUCUGUGGUAUUAUGCAUGAUGAAGAUGUAUGUAAUGAAAAAAAGUGGACGCUACGGCAUUGGGUUCAUUGACCCAAACACCGUUAAUGAAUACACAUGGAAAAUAGAUCCAUAUCAUGAAAAGCAUGUAGAGGACAGCAUGCUAGAGUUCUUGAAGCGCCUCAAAUACAAUGAAGAUAUACUACUUCCUUACAACUUCCAGUGAGUCACACUGUCUUGUACUAUACAAAUUCUCUGUUUUUGCCUACUAGCUAGCUACAUGUUUUUGCUUAUGUAUGCCCGCUUAAUUAAGACAUGCAAACGUGUGUGCAUGCAGAUUUCACUGGAUCUUGUGUAUCAUUAAAGUUGACGCUGGAACAAUUGAAAUACUGGACUCACUACUCAAAGCAAAUAGUGACUAUAACAUCUUGUUUGGGAUAGUCAACAGGUAAUUUCAAUCAUUAUUAACUAUAUAUCUCGACCUAUUUAGUUCGUCAUUUCAUGAUAUGAACUAUUUAAUAACCCAUUUAUUCAUUUUCUUUGUCAGCGGGCAGGGCUUGGGCAAGGUUCAUCAGCGUCACUCCAGGCGAAUGGAAACAAAAGCUGAAAUGGUUUCGACCCAAGGUAAGUAAUUAAGUAGUACUAGCUAGCUAGCUAGCUGCCAUCUCUUUAAUUAUCAUGCUUGCUUAAUUAUUAUCUGAUCAACUUCCAUUCUCGUAAAGGCCCUGAAGGAGGCGCAGGGGACUGAUCUGUGUGCAUACUGCGUUUGCGAGAACAUUCACAUGAUGGCAUCCGAAAGGAGCAGAUCUCAAAGACAGGAAUGGCACUAGUAGAAAAAGGGUCCAAUCGUGAAGCACAUUAGUGCCGGUUUGAAUUUGAGCUGGCACUAAUGUGUGCAUUAGUGCCGGUUCCAACGGCUAGCCGGCCGCUCUCAUUAGUACCGGUCCGUGGUGAACCUUUAGCACCGGUUCGUGCCAUGAACCGGUACUAAAGUGAGUGGUGGCAGGAUGUUGUCAGUCCGGGGCCCCUCCAGCACCUUUAGUACCGGGUCGUUUCAUGAACCGGUACUAAAGGUCGUCCUACAUAGACCCUUCGUCCACCCGAGCUCGCUUUGUUCUUCCCCUUUCCCCUCUCCUCUCUGUUCUUUUCCCUCUUCCUCUCAAGCUCAUCACACAUUUUGCCCAAAAUUUGUCAAGAUUUGAAGGCCCCCAUCCAUUCAAAUGAUCACAAAGGUUAACAACUUUUUCCUUUCAUCUCUCAUUGCUAGAUUAGCUUGUGCAAUGCUUUAUAUAGUGAUUGAUUUUUGAGUUUAGUAAUUUGGGAGGAAUUAUAUAGAUGUGCUAGUAUUUGAUUUAUAUGCAAUUUGAGGUCAAAAAUAACACUUAGUUUGCAUAUGUAGGUGUGGUUUACGUAGUACCUUCUAAAUCUCCGUCGUAACCACCGUCGAUCGCUCGCAACGUCCCGUCGCCAGCACCACCUUGUGGUGAGCCUCUUGUUCUUGAACUUUUAUAUAAAAAAUUGAUGUUUGUGUGAUUUGGAUAUAUAGUUACUCGUAUAAUUAUCUUACCCAUACGUUGUUUGUUAUACAUAGUGCCAUGGUUUUGAUAUCCGUCCCCGUUGGCCCUCGUCCGGGUUAUGAUUCGGAUGUGGUAUAUUCUCUUUUAAAACUAUUCAUUGCAUUUCGUGUUUAUGACAAAUUAUGCCCAUCAAGUUGACAUAGAUAUUUGUAUGUAGGAGGUAGUUGAACCGGAAAUUCCAACCGACCCUAUUGUCGAGAGGUUAAAUUUAGUUGAAAGAGAAAACGAGGAUUUGAAGGAAAAAUUGAAAAGAAUUGAGGGGGAGAAGAUGGAAUUGGAGUUGCAUGUUGCCGAUGUCGUCGAUAAUCACAAGAUUAAGAUGGAGAAAAUGCGCUUGAAGAUUAGAAAGAUUAGAAAAUAUGCUAUUCAUAGUGAGGCUUGGUAUCAUUAUGCUGUUGGAUCAAUUGUUACCUUAGUUGCGAUCUUGAUCGCAUUUGUUGUUGCAUUUAAAUUCUUUAGCUAGAGAGUUAUUUGUUUGUUGCAUUUAAGUGUUGUAUGAUCUUUAUGUAUGAACUUUAUGUAUUGUAUUAAUUUGACGUUUUCGGUGCUGUCUAUUGAAGAUGAGCCGGCAAUGGAUGUACGAUGACCGAUGCUCUCCCGAAUUCAUUAAUGGUGUGCGUACUUUUCUGCUUGCGGCUGAGGCAAACAAGCGAGCGGAUGGUUUUAUGCCUUGUCCAUGUGCUGGCUGUAAGAAUGGUCACAAUUACUCUACGUCAAGAACCAUUCACGUCCACCUGUUUGAGUCCGGUUUCAUGCCCCACUAUAAUGUUUGGACCAAGCAUGGAGAAAGAGGGGUUAUGAUGGAAGACAAUGAAGAAGAAGAGGACGACGACAGCUAUCCUGGCCAUGGGUUCCCUGAAUACGAUGAUACAACAAUGAGGGAAGAAGCUGAGCCGGUAAUGCGGGAAGAAGCUAAAGAAGAGGCAUCGGAUGAGCCCGUUGAUGAUCUAGGUCAGGCCAUUGCCGAUGCAAAGAGAAACUGCGCAAGUGAUUUGGAGAAGAAGAAGUUGCAGCGCAUGUUAGAGGAUCACAAAAAAUUGUUGUACCCGAAUUGCGUAGGUGACAAGAAAAAGCUGGGCACCACACUGGAAUUGCUGCAAUGGAAGGCAGAGAAUGGUGUAUCUGACAAGGGAUUUGGAAAGUUGCUGGUAAUGAUAAAGGAUAUGCUUCCACAGGACAACGAAUUGCCCGAGAGUACGUACGAAGCAAAGAAGGUUGUCUGCCCUCUAGGGUUAGAGGUGCAGAAGAUACAUGCAUGCCCUAAUGGUUGCAUCCUCUACCGCGAUGAGUACGAGGAUUUGAACGCUUGCCUGGUAUGCGGUGCAUUGCGCUAUAAGAUCAGCCGCGAUGACCCUGGUGAUGUUGAGGGCGAGCGCCCCAGGAAGAAGAUUCCUGCCAAGGUGAUGUGGUAUGCUCCUAUAAUACCCCGGUUGAAACGUUUGUUCCAAAACAAAGAGCAUGCCAAUGCGAUGCGAUGGCACAGAGAAGACCGUAAGAAAGACGGAAAGUUGAGAGUACCCGCUGAUGGGUCGCAGUGGAGAAAAAUCGAAAGAAAGUACGGAAAGGAGUUUGUAGAUGACGCAAGGAACGUAUGGUUUGGUCUAAGCGCAGAUGGCAUUAAUCCUUUUGGGGAGCAGAGCAGCAACCAUAGAACCUGGCAUGUGACUCUAUGUUUGUAUAAUCUUCCUCAUUGGUUGUGCAUGAAGCGGAAGUUCAUUAUGAUGACAGUGCUCAUCCAAGGCCCUAAGCAACCCGGCAACGACAUUGAUGUGUACCUAAGGCCAUUAGUUGAAGAACUCUUACAACUGUGGAAUGGAACAGGUGUACGUGCGUGGGAUGAGCACAUGGGGAAGAAUUUGACCUAAAGGCGUUGCUGUUCGUGACCAUCAAUGAAUGGCUGUUCUCAGUAACCUUUCAGGACAGACAAACAAGGGAUACCGCGCAUGAACGCACUGUUUGGAUGAUACGGACAGUAUAUAUUUGGCUAAUUGUAAGAAGAAUGUGUACCUGGGACAUCGUCGAUUUCUUCCGAGCAGGCAUCCCGUAAGAAAGAAAGGCAAGCAUUUCAAAGGUGAGGCGGAUCACCGGACGAAGCCUCGCCACUGUACUGGUGUUGAUGUACAUGAUAUGGUCAAGGAUUUGAAGGUGGUCUUUGGAAAGGGUCCUGGUGGACAACCUGUUCCGAAUGACGCUGACGGACGCGCACCCAUGUGGAAGAAGAAAUCUAUAUUUUGGGACCUGCCCUAUUGGAAAGACCUAGAGGUCUGCUCCGCAAUCGACGUGAUGCAUGUGACGAAGAAUCUUUGUGUGACCCUGCUUGGCUUCUUGGGCGUGUAUGGGAAGACAAAAGAUACACCUGAGGCACGGGAGGACCAGCAAUGUAUGCACGGAAAAGACGGCAUACAUUAGGGUCAUGCAAGCUAUGCUCUUACAAAAGAAGAGAAGGAAAUCUUCUUUGAAUGCAUGCUCAGUAUUAAGGUACCGUCUGGCUUCUCGACGAAUAUAAAGGGAAUAAUAAACAUGGCAGAGAAAAAGUUCCAGAACCUAAAGUCUCAUGACUGCCACAUGAUUAUGACGCAACUUCUUCCGGUUGCAUUGAGGGUGCUUCUACCAGAAAAUGUUCGAUUAGCCAUUGUGAAGCUAUGUGCAUUUCUCAAUGUAAUCCCUCAGAAGGUAAUCGAUCCAGAAAUCAUACCAAGGUUAGAGAAUGAUUUGGUGCAAUGGCUUGUCAGUUUCGAGUUGGUGUUCCCACCAUCCUUCUUCAACAUCAUGACGCACGUCCUAGUUCACUUAUGCGAAGAGAUUAACGUUUUUGGUCCUGUAUUUCUACACAAUAUGUUCCCCUUUGAGAGGUUCAUGGGAGUCUUAAAGAAAUAUGUUCAUAACCAUGCUAGGCCAGAAGGAAGCAUCUCCAAGGGCCAUGAAAAUGAGGAGGUCAUUGAGUUUUGUAUUGACUUUAUUCCUGACCUUAAGCCGAUUGGUGUUCCUAAAUCGCGGCAUAAGGGCAGACUGGAUGGAAAAGGCAUGCUAGGAGGGGAACAAAUAAUAUGUAUGGACGAACAUUCUCUCACUGAAGCACACUACACAGUUUUACAGAAUUCCGCCUUGGUGGCUCCGUAUAUGUAUGAACACAAGAAUUUGCUACGCUCCAAACACCCGAGCGGUCUGAUGACUGGAUUACACGUGAACUAACUAGGAGUUUCGCCAGCUGGUUGCAGACACGUACCAUGCAUGACACCUCUAUUGAAGAUGACAUGUACUUGCUGUCCCAGUUACCAUCUUCGAAUAUAAUGACUUUCAAAGGGGACGAGAUAAAUGGUAAUACAUUUUACACGAUCGCCCAAGAUAAGAAGAGCACCAACCAAAACAGUGGUGUCUGCUUUGAUGCAGAAACCAAGACGGGAAAGGAAACAUAUUAUGGUUAUAUACAGGACAUAUGGGAACUUGACUAUCGACGUGGUUUGAAGGUCCCUUUGUUUCGGUGCAAAUGGGUCAAUAUGACACGAGGCGGGGUAACGGAAGACCCGCAGUACGGAAUGACAACAGUGGAUCUCAACAAUCUUGCGUAUGCAGACGAACCAUUCGUCCUAGACAAUGAUGUGGCACAGGUUUUCUAUGUGAAAGACAUGUCUACCAAGCCAAGAAAAAGAAAAGAUAAGGAAGCGAAUGCAUUGUACGAUGAGCCAAAGCGGCACAUAGUUCUUUCUGGGAAGAGAAACAUCGUGGGAGUGGAUGACAAGACAGACAUGUCAGAAGAUUAUGAAAAGUUUGAUGAAAUUGCUCCAUUCACGGUGAAUAUUGACCCGAGCAUCCCGUUAAAUGAUGAAGAUUUUCCAUGGUUACGGCGCAAAGGGACACACGCGAAGAAAAAGUUUCACACCCAAAGAUCUGGGAUGUGAUCGGCUUCACUAUCAUCACUUUGUUCUGUGUUUCACACCCAGGAGGGAAUCUCUCUAAUAGUUAGGGUAGUUAUGUGUUUUGGCAUUUGAAAUGCGCAGAAAUUUUAUGUGCAAACAAAUUCUUUCAUGCCUUUACUGAUUUUUAAAGUUAAGUUAUUCACAAACUAGUGAUUCACACUAAUUUCAAAUAAUUCAAAAUUUAAACUAUUAAAAUUUGAAAACUACGGGCACUAAAGAAAGUUUGUAAUUUUUUGUACCUAAAGAAAAAUAUUCACAAAGAAACUCUAAAUACACAAAAAAACAACUCAAAAAUAAAUAAAGCAAAAAAAAUAAAAAUAAAGCCCGCCUACUGGUCCAGAGCGGCCUGCAUACGACUAGAAACCCAACAUGUUGUUGGGCCAGGAUGCAGGCCCGCAAAGGCACAGUAGGCCCACAGGGCAGCACAAAACAUGUAGGCCCAGUAGGCCUGCUUUGGAGAGGAGCUCGAGAGAGCUACCGCACGGGGGGAUAUAAACCAGUGCGGACGCCCCUCGGCUAGCGAGGUGGGACUAAACUUGCCACACCGCACAUGCGCCAGCGCACCCCCUUUAGUACCGGGUGGUGGCACCAACCGGUACUAAAGGGGGGCCUUUAGUACCGGUUGGAGCCACCACCCGGUACUAAAGGGGGUGCGCUUCCCGCCGCUUGGCCUGGCCAAAACAAGCCUUUAGUACCGGUUGGUGGCUCCAACCGGUACUAAAGGUCCAUCCUAUAUAACUAAACACUUCAAAAAUUUCAGUUUCUCAUCUGCUUCUUCUCCUCUGCCCCGUCGCCCGUCGCCCCCGUCUCCAUAUCCCUCGUCGANNNNNNNNNNNNNNNNNNNNNNNNNNNNNNNNNNNNNNNNNNNNNNNNNNNNNNNNNNNNNNNNNNNNNNNNNNNNNNNNNNNNNNNNNNUUUUUCUGUUUUUCAGAAAUAGUUAGAAAUGUUAGAAUUGUUAAAAUAGUUAGAAAUGUUAGAAUUGUUAGAAUUGUUAGAAAUGUUAGAAUUGUAAGAAAUUUUUCUGUUUUUUAGUUAUAGAAAUAGUUAUAAAAAAGUUAGAAUUGUUAGAAAUUUUUCUGUCUUUUAGUUAUAGAAAUAGUUAUAAAAAUGUUAGUUAUAUAUAUAGUAAUGUUAUAAUUUUUUCUGUUUUUUAUUUAUAGAAAUAUUAGAAAUGUUAUAGAAAUGUUAGUUAUAUAUAGCAUUGUUAGAAAUGUUAUAGAAAUGUUAGUUAUAUAGAAAUGUUAGAAAUUUUAGUUAUCAAAAUCCAAUCAUUAAAAAAAUGUUACUUUUUGCGGGCAUAUAGCUAGUAUUUGUUCUCGACGAUGCCCGACCCGCAUCCUCGNNNNNNNNNNNNNNNNNNNNNNNNNNNNNNNNNNNNNNNNNNNNNNNNNNNNNNNNNNNNNNNNNNNNNNNNNNNNNNNNNNNNNNNNNNNNNNNNNNNNNNNNNNNNNNNNNNNNNNNNNNNNNNNNNNNNNNNNNNNNNNNNNNNNNNNNNNNNNNNNNNNNNNNNNNNNNNNNNNNNNNNNNNNNNNNNNNNNNNNNNNNNNNNNNNNNNNNNNNNNNNNNNNNNNNNNNNNNNNNNNNNNNNNNNNNNNNNNNNNNNNNNNNNNNNNNNNNNNNNNNNNNNNNNNNNNNNNNNNNNNNNNNNNNNNNNNNNNNNNNNNNNNUAUAUUAGAAAUGUUAUAGAAAUGUUAGUUAUAUAGCAUUGUUAGAAAUGUUAUAGGAAUGUUAGUUAUAUAGAAAUGAUAGAAAUUUUAGUUAUCAAAAUCCAAUCAUUAAAAAAAUGUUACUUUUUGCGGGCAUAUAGCUAGUAUUUGUUCUCGACGAUGCCCGGCCCGCAUCCUCGCCGUCGACCCGUCCGCGACGACGUCCGACUGACCCAUGUCCGGGACUGGGCUCCACCGGGCUGGCACUGGGAGGUGCUGCCUAGAGGGACGCACCGCUUGAUGAGGAACCCGGCCCCGGGUCACGUCGUCGACCCUGAUCUCGUUUGGUGGCGUUCGCGUGGGCCAGUUUCGGUGUGGAGGGAGCCGGCCCCGCCGGAGGUGGUACGUCGCCGUGUCAGGGAGGAGGACGAGCACGUCCAUUGCUACAUGGUUGCGUUAGAGGGCGGCAGGUUCUCCAAUACCUGGCAGUUUCUUCAGGGAUCUCACUUCAGCUAUGAUCCUGUGAGGGUUCCUUCUCUUUGGGUGUCCACCGCCCGCGUCGCAGGAACUGCGAGUGUCCUAGAUUCUUCGGUAGUCAGUGAUGUAUUCGAUAUAUAAUAUUCGAGACGAUGUAUUCGGAUUAUAUAUUAUUCGAGAUGAUGUAUUCGAGAUUAUAUCUAUUAUUCGAGACAAUGUAUUCGAGAUUAUAUCUAUUAUUCAAGACGAUGUAUUCGAGAUUAUAUCUAUUAUUCGAGACGAUGUAUUCGAGAUUAUAUCUAUUAUUCAAGACGACGUAUUUGAGAUUAUAUUCGAUGAUGCUUAUUAUGUACUAUGAUUGAUUCAGUUUUUCCUUAUUAAUUGAUUGCAUCCAUGCAUUGUAAUUUGAAUAUAUUUCUUUUGGAUUAGUUAAACAAAACCUAUGGCGGACAAUACCGGCAGAGAGGGAGAAGAGGCCCUGUUCAAUAUCAUACGCAAUCCUCGCGGGCCAGAUGAUGAUCAGAAUGAAGAAGAUUAUGACGGCUCCGAAUAUGUAAACAACACCGGGGAGGGUGAUAUGAUAUUCGAUCGCGACGACCGAAUUGAUGAAGUCAUGAACUAUGAACAUGACGAAGAAAAUGUUGAUCUUGAAACAACAAAGACCGGUGAGGUAUAUAUAUUUAUAUAAGCAGGCAUCUGGUGAUCAUCACAUGUUUUAAAUGACUUGAAGAUAUAUUAACGAAACGAUCUUUCUUCUUUCAGCCAUCCAGAUCGAGCAAAUCUUCAGGCAACAGGAUGAAACGAGGCCCAAACAAAAAGUUGAAGGAGGGCAUAAAGUACAAUAUCGAGGCAAUCAGACCUAAUGGCGAACCAUUAGCGCCUAAGAAGAUUGCGGACAAGUUCGUUCGUCAGUGCGGAGUUCUUGUGAAGGACCUACUCCCGAUCUCCCUUCAAGAAUGGAGAGAGCCAGCAAAGCCACGUCCAGGUCUUACUUUUGCCGACGACAGACAAAAAGGUCUGCUUUGGGAUACUCUCAUGGAACAUUUCACCCUACCAGAUCAUUUCACAGAAGCAGAUGUGCAGAAAGUCAAGGACGCUGCUCUUAGGAAGAUGGCGGUUGCAUUCAAGAACCACAAGAAUCAUGAAUGGGACAAGUACGUCAAGGAAGGAAGGAAGACUCCUGUAUUCGAGGGAACACUAGAGAAGCGAAUUGCUCAUUGGGACGAUUUCGUGAAAUUCAAGGAUUCGGAAUUAGCUAAGGAACGGUCGAGAAUAAACAAGAAGAAUGUCGAAAAAAGGAUAAGUUCCAUAAGCUGGGGCCAGGUGGCUAAGCGGUGGCAAUGCCUAAGUGGGAUAAGUUUGAGAAAGAGAUGGAUGAUGCAGGUAUCAUUCCGGUUACUAGGAGCUGGCCCACCAGGUGCAGGACUUGGUUCUAUGCGCAUGGGGGGAGUUGGACCCGAAGACAGGCAAAGUUUUGACGAAGGCAUGUCUGAACGGAGCCGACGAUGCGCUAAUUGUUGCAAUAGAAGAGGCUCGAAUGGGGGUAUUCUAGCCCAACAGAGAGAACGACAAGCUUACGUGUGCCCUAGGAAAUCCUGAACACCUGGGAAGAACACGAGGCAAGGGCGCUAUUCCGUGGUAUGAGGGGUUUUCGGACUGGAACGCCGACUACAGAACCCGUGCGAGAAGGAAGCUUGCGGAGGAGAAGAAGAGGAAGAUGGAGGGGGAGCAGAGGAAGCUGGACUAUGAACGCCUUCAAGGCCUAGAAUCAAAGCACGCGGACUUGGCAGUCAAAUUCUAGCGGCAGCAGGAGCAGAUCGACUCACUUAGCCAGCAAAGGGGGUCUCAGCAGCUGCAGCGGCAAGCGGAUGAUCCCGCAUUGGAUAGCACCACCCCAUCCAUGCCGAGAAGCAGCGUGGGUUCCGCCCCGGGCGACGCAAUGCUGGAUAGAUACCCCAUGGAUGACGUCACGGAGAACACUAACUGUGAGCUACACUUCAAAAUGAAGAACAUAUCCAUGAAGGUGGCGGACGCCGUUGCUUUUACAAAUCCCCCCGAGGCAACCUUCCAUUGCAACCCGAUUCCAGCAGGCUAUGCUCGUGUCUUGGUUGAUGAGGUGGUGGACCCAUAUUCGGGGCUACAUCUUGACAUUCCUGGAGGUGACGACGAGCACACAUUGGGAGAGGCCAUACAUCGUGUCAUCCUAUAGAGAAAGGAUUGCAUCGUCUUUCGAAGGCCACCGGCACCGCGUCACCCGACUCCUCGUCGAAGUCCGCCACCGAGUCAGCAGACUCCCGCUCCUCCAAGUCCACCAAUGCGUGAGGCCACUCCUCCUCCUCCAAGUCCGGCAAAGUGUCAGGCCACUCCUCCUCCAAGUCCGACACAGCGUCAGACGUCCACUCCUCCUCCAAGUCCGGCACAAGUUCAGGCCACUCCUCCUCCAAGUCCGGCACAGCUUCAGGCCACUCCUCCUCGUCCAACUCAGCCCCGUCAGUCGUCUCCGCCGCCUCAGCAAUCGCAGAAGAGACACCCCGCAGCUAUGGUGCGUAGCGGUACGAGUCGAGGUAGUACAGGAAGUACAGGCGGAGGCAAGCGAUAUAAAUAUGGUCCAAGCCUCACUACUCCUCUUCCUCAGAGGGCUUACGAUAGGACCGAGGAGCAAACCAAUGACAUAGUGCGGGCAGAAGUGGACGCCCAUUUUGGACCGAAACCGCCACCGCCGCCAAGGGAGAAAGUGCCUGCGGAAAAGAUUGACCACUUCAUUCGUAUGGCUCAACCACCAGCUCCCAAGCCUGUUGACACAGACUAUGAGCGCCACAUCAGGAAGUUAAAUCGAGCACGUCUACAGAAGGAGGCGAGCUCGAGCAAACAAUAAGCAGCUGCCAAAAAUGCAGGAAAACCGUUCCCCAGCUGGGAGAACAGGCGGCGCAAUCGAUCCCCUCGCUUGUUGUGCCAACAACACGUGACAAUACGCGCGCCCAAUAUUAUUGUGGGCAAACUGUUUACGUUCCCGAGGUGGGCAAUGUGGUAAUAACCGAGGAGCAUAUAAUGCAGGCUGAAAUUCUCAACAUCACUGUUGGACAACUCCUCAAGAUCGAGCCCAUGCCUGUGCUUACAGAGGAGGAAAUAAAACGGAAAUAUGUCCGGGGCGAACCUUUGGUCAAGCCAGACGAGGUCAAGAAGCUCCCAACGAGAAUGUAUGAAUUGCAUCAAUGGUACAUGGACAUUACCAAGAGUUCCAAUCUAGAGUCCCUCAUGGUGGAAGUCAAGAAGUAUCAUUACUACCAUCAGAAAGCUGUGGCCGUUGAGUAUAAUGAACUGUUUCAGUUAUACAAUCAAGACGCACUCGACAAAUCUAUCGUUAGUUGCUAUUGUUUGUAAGUGAUUUCUUUCUGUAAUUUGAGUCUCAAGCUAGCUGUAGUGAUCCUUUUGAUCAAUCAUUACCUGUAAUUAUCCUCACUAUAUUCUUUUCUGUGGUAUUAUGCGGGAUGAAGAUGUAUGAAAUGAAAAAAGGUGGACGCUAUGGCAUUGGGUUCAUUGACCCAAACACCGUUAAUGAAUGCACAUGGAAAAUAGAUCCAUAUCAUGAAAAUCAUGUAGAGGACAGCAUGCUAGAGUUCUUGAAGCGCCUCAAAUACAAUGAAGAUAUACUACUUCCUUACAACUUCCAGUGAGUCACACUGUCUUGUACUAUACAAAUUCUCUAUUUUUGCCUACUAGCUAGCUACAUGUUUUUGCUUACGUAUGCCCAUUUAAUUAAGACAUGCAAAUGUGUGUGCAUGUAGAUUUCACUAGAUCUUGUGUAUCAUUAAAGUUGACGCCGGAACAGUUGAAAUACUGGACUCACUACUCAAAGCAAAUAAUGACUAUAACAUCUUGUUUGGGAUAGUCAACAGGUAAUUUCAAUCAUUAUUAACUAUAUAUCUCGGCCUAUUUAGUUCGUCAUUUCAUGAUAUGAACUAUUUAAUAACCCCUUUAUUCAUUUUCUUUGUUGGCGGGUAGGGCUUGGGCAAGGUUCAUCAGCGUCUCUCCAGGCGAAUGGAAACAAAAGCUGAAAUGGUUUCGACCCAAGGUAAGUAAUUAAGUAGUACUAGCUAGCUAGCUAGCUGCCAUCUCUUUAAUUAUCAUGCUUGAUUAAUUAUUAUCUGACCAAAUUCCAUUCUCGUAAAGGCCCUGAAGCAGGCGUAGGGGACUGAUAUGUGUGCAUACUGCGUUUGCGAGAACAUUUGCAUGAUGGCGUCCGAAAGGAGCAGAUCUCAAAGACAGGAAUGGCACUAGUAGAAAAAGGGUCAAACGUGAAGCACAUUAGUGCCGGUUUGAAUUUGAGCCGGCACUAAUGUGUGCAUUAGUGCCGGUUCCAACGGCUAGCCGGCCGCUCUCAUUAGUACCGGUUCGUGGAGAACCUUUAGCACCGGUUCGUGCCACGAACCGGUACUAAAGUGAGUGGUGGCAGGAUGUUGUCAGUCCGGGGCCCCUCCAGCACCUUUAGUACCGGGUCGUAUCACGAACCGGUCCUAAAGGUCGUCCUACAUAGACCCUUCGUCCACCCGAGCUCGCUCUGUUCUUCCCCUUUCCCCUCUCCUCUUUGUACUUUUCCCUCUUCCUCUCAAUCUCAUCACACAUUUUGCCCAAAAUUUGUUAAGAUUUGAAGGCCCCCAUCCAUUCAAAUGAUCACAAAGGUUAGCAACUUUUUCCUUUCAUCUCUCAUUGCUAGAUUAGCUCGUGCAAUGCUUUAUAUAGUGAUUGAUUUUUGAGUUUAGUAAUUUGGGAGGAAUUAUAUAUAUGUGCUACUAUUUGAUUUAUAUGCAAUUUGAGGUCAAAAAUAACACUUAGAACCAUUCACGUCCACCUGUUUGAGUCCGGUUUCAUGCCCCACUAUAAUGUUUGGACCAAGCAUGGAGAAAGAGGGGUUAUUGUGGAAGACAAUGAAGAAGAAGAGGACGACGACAGCUAUCCUGGCCAGGGGUUCCCUGAAUACGAUGAUACAACAAUGAGGGAAGAAGCUGAGCCGGUAAUGCGGAAAGAAGCUGAGCCGGCAAUGCAGGAAGAAGCUGAAGAAGAGGCAUCGGAUGAGCCGUUGAUGAUCUAGGUCGGGCCAUUGCCGAUGCAAAGAGAAACUGCGCUAGUGAUUUGGAGAAGAAGAAGUUGCAGCGCAUGUUAGAGGAUCACAAAAAAAUGUUGUACCCGAAUUGCGUAGGUGACAAGAAAAAGCUGGGCACCACACUGGAAUUGCUGCAAUGGAAGGCAGAGAAUGGUGUAUCUGACAAGGGAUUUGGAAAGUUGCUGGUAAUGAUAAAGGAUAUGCUUCCAAAGGACAACGAAUUGCCCGAGAGUACGUACGAAGCAAAGAAGGCUGUCUGCCCUCUAGGGUUAGAGGUGCAGAAGAUACAUGCAUGCCCUAAUGAUUGCAUCCUCUACCGCGGUGAGUACGAGGAUUUGAACGCUUGCCCGGUAUGCGGUGCAUUGCGCUAUAAGAUCAGCCGCGAUGACCCUGGUGAUGUCGAGGGCGAGCGCCCCAGGAAAAAGAUUCCUGCCAAGGUGAUGUGGUAUGCUCCUAUAAUACCACGGUUGAAACGUUUGUUCCAAAACAAAGAGCAUGCCAAGGCGAUGCGAUGGCACAGAGAAGACCGUAAGAAAGACGGAAAGUUGAGAGUACCCGCUGACGGGUCGUAGUGGAGAAAAAUCGAAAGAAAGUACGGGAAGGAGUUUGCAGAUGACGCAAGGAACGUAUGGUUUGGUCUAAGCGCAGAUGGCAUUAAUCCUUUUGGGGAGCACAGCAGCAACCAUAGCACCUGUCCUAUGACUCUAUGUUUGUAUAACCUUCCUCUUUGGUUGUGCAUGAAGCAGAAGUUCAUUAUGAUGCCAGUGCUCAUCCAAGGCGCUAUGAAAAAAAUUCUUAUUUUUAACAGAAGCGCGAUAAAAUACUGAUUAUUUUUGCAGAAGAUUAAUAAAUAAAUUGUUUAGGUCGUCCUAAAUAUUCAGAAUUUUUGAAGUUAAAGAAGUAUUCAUAAUAUCCAGAUUGCUACAGACUGUUCUGUUUUUGACAAAUUCUGUUUUCUAUGUGUUGUUUGCUUAUUUUGAUGAAUCUAUGGCUCGUAUCGGGGCGGGGGGUAUGAACCAUGGAAGAGUUAAAAUACAGUAGAUAUUACACCAAUAUAAAUAAAAAAUGAGUUCACAACAGUAUCAAAAGUGGUGAUUUAUUUUCUUAUAACGGGGCUUAUGAUAUUUUCUGUCGAGUUUUGUGUUGUGAAGUUUUCAAGUUUUGGGUAAGGAAUUGAUGGACUAUGGAAUAAAGAGUGGCAAGAGCCUAAGCUUGGGGAUGCCCAAGGCACCCCAAGGUAAUAUUCAGGGAUAACCAAGAGCCUAAGCUUCCGGGGCAUCCCCUCUUUCGUCUUCAUUUAUCGGUAACUUUACUUGAGGCUAUAUUUUUAUUCACCACAUGAUAUGUGUUUUGCUUGGAGCAUCGUGUAUGAUUUGAGUCUUUGCUUUUCAGUUUGCCACAAUCAUCCUUGUUGUACACACCUUUUGAGAGAGACACACAUGAAUCAUGAUUUAUUAGAAUACUCUAUAUGCUUCACUUAUAUCUUUUGAGGUAGGCAAUUUUGCUCUAGUGCUUCACUUAUAUCUUUUUAGAGCACAGCGGUGGUUUUAUUUUAUAUAAAUUGAUGAACUCUCAUACUUCACUUAUAUUAUUUUGAGUGUCUCUAAACAGCAUGGUAAUUAGCUUUGGUUAUAAAUUUAGUUCUAAUAUGAUAGGCAUCCAAGAGAGAUAUAAUAAAAACUUUCAUAUAAAGUGCAUUGAAUACUAUGAGAAGUUUGAUUCCUUAUGAUUGUUUUGAGAUAUGAAGAUGGCGAUAUUAGAGUCAUGCUAGUGAAGUAGUUGUGAAUUUGAGAAAUACUUGUGUUAAGGUUUGAGAGUCCCGUAGCAUGCACGUAUGGUGAAUCGUUAUGUAACGAAGUUGGAGCAUGAGAUAUUUUUGAUUGUCUUCCUUAUGAGUGGCAUCUGGGGACGAGCGAUGGUUUUUUCCUACCAAUCUACCCCCUAAGAGCAUGCGCGUAGUACUUUUGAUGACUAGUAGGUUUUUGCAAUAAGUAUGUGAGUUCUUUAUGACUAAUGUUGAGUCCAUGGAUUAUAUGCAGUCUCACCCUUCCGCCAUUGCUAGCCUCUCUUGUACAGCACAACUUUCACCGCUAUCAUAAACCCACCAUAUACCUUCCUCAAAACAGCCACCAUACCUACCUAUUAUGGCAUUUCCAUAGCCAUUCCGAGAUAUAUUGCCAUGCAACUUUCCACCGUUCUGCUUAUUAUGAAAUGCAUCAUCAUUGUCAUAUUGCUUUGCAUGAUCAUGUAGUUGACAUUGUAUUUGUCGCAAAGCCACCGUUCAUUAGUUUUUUAUACAUGUCGCUCUUAAUUCAUUGCACAUCCCGGUACACCGUCGGGGGCAUUCAUAUAGAGUCAUAUCUUGUUCUAGUAUCGAAUUGUAAUUUUUGAGUUGUAAGUAAAUAGAAGUAUGAUGAUCUUCCUUUUUAGAACAUUGUCCCAUGUGAGGAAAUAAAAUAAAAAAGAGGAAAAGAAAAAAAGAGCAAAAAAAGAAAAAAAGAGAAGAAGAAAAAAAAAGGAGGGAAAGAAAGAAAAAACGAGAGAAAAAGAGAGAAGGGGCAAUGUUAUUGUCCUUUUCCAUACUUGUGCUUCAAAGUAGGACCUUGAUCUUCAUGAUAGAGAGUCUCCUAUGUUCUUACUUUCAUAUACUAGUGGGAAUUUUUCAUUAUAGAACUUGGCUUGUAUAUUCCAACGAUGGGAUUCCUCAAAAUGCCCUAGGUCUUCAUGAGCAAGCAAGUUGGAUGCACACUCACUUAGUUUUCUUUUCGAACUUUCAUAAACUUAUAGCUCUAGUGCAUCUGUUGCAUGGCAAUUCCUACUCACUCACAUUGAUAUCUAUUAAUGGGCCUCUCCAUAGCCCGUUAAUACCCCUAGUUGAUGUGAGACUAUCUCCCUCUUUUUGUCUUCUCCACAACCACCGUCUAUUCCACCUAUAGUGCUAUGUCCAUGGCUCAUGCUCAUGUAUUGCGUGAAAGUUGAAAAGGUUUGAGAACAUCAAAAGUAUGAAACAAUUGCUUGGCUUGUCAUCUGGGUUGUGCAUGAUUUGAAUAUUUGUGUGAUAAAGAUGGAGCAUAGCCAGACUAUAUGAUUUUGUUAGGAUGAGAUUUCUUUGGCCAUGUUAUUUUGAGAAGACAUAAUUAUCUUGUUAGUAUGCUUGAAGUAUUAUUGGUUUAUGUCAAUAUUAAACUUUUGUUUUGAAUCAUACGGAUCUGAACAUUCAUGCCACAAUAGAGAAAAUUACAUGGAUAAAUAUGUUAGGUAGCAUUCCACAUCAAAAAUUAUGUUUCUAUCAUUUACCUACUCGAGGACGAGCAGGAAUUUUCCGGAGUACCGGGGGCUACCGGAACCCCCCGGGAGUUAAUGAGCCUUCAUGGGCCCUAGUGGAGAGAGGAGGCGGCAGCCAGGUGGUGGCGCACGCCCCCCCAAGCCUGAACCGAAUUGGACUAGGGUUGGGGGGCCGGCCCCCCUUUCCUUCUCUCCUUCUCCUCCUUCCCUCCUUCUCCUAGUGGGAAUAGGAAGGGGGGCGAAUCCUACUUGGACUGGGAGUCCAAGUAGGACUCCUCCCAUGGCGCAUCCCCCCUUGGGCCGGCCACCUCUCCCUUCCCCUUUGUAUACGUGGGAGGGGGGCACCCCAAAGGCACACCAAGCCUUCUCUUAGCCGUGUGCGGUGCCCCCCUCCACAGUUUCACACCUCGGUCAUAUCGUCGUAGUGCUUAGGCGAAGCUCUGGGCCGGUAGCUUCAUCAUCACCGUCGACACGCCGUCGUGCUGACGAAACUCUCCCUCAUCCUCAAUUGGAUAAAGAGAUCGAGGGACGUCAUCGAGCUGAACCGCUAGGGGUACGAAGGAGGAGGAGACCGGAUGCGUUAAGCUAGUUGGUAAGAGUUCUUGUCAUUAUUGAUAGUGGCCCUAGAGAAAGAGAUUACGCUGAUUGUUCUAACUUCAUUCAUAUUUGAUUCCGCAACUGAGACCUUUUCCCACAUCUGUGCCAGGAGGGCAAGUGGUCAAAGCAGAAAGGGUUCUCGCUUCUCCUUCUGGAAGGGUGUGCUGAACACGGAGGUCCCGUAUGUUCGGUGCUUGGAUCGGUUGGAUCGCGAAAACGUUCGACUACAUCAACCACGUUACUAAACGCUUCCGCUUUCGGUCUACGAGGGUACGUAGACAAACUCUCCGCUCUCGUUGCUAUGCAUCUCCUAGAUAGAUCUUGCGUGAUCAUAGGUAAAAAUUUUGAAAUACUGCGUUCCCCAACAUGCUUGCGUUUAUUUCACUACAUCAUGUCAUCUUACUUAAUGCGUUACUCUGUUCUUAUGAACUUAAUACUCUAGAUGCAGGCAAGAGUCGGUCGAUGUGUGGAGUAAUAGUAGUAGAUGCAGGCAGGAGUCGGUCUACUUGAUACGGACGUGAUGCCUAUGUUCAUGAUCAGUGCCUUAGAUAUCGUCAUAACUUUGCGCUUUUCUAUCAAUUGUUAGGCAGUAAUUUGUUCACCCACCGUAAUAUUUUCUAUCUUGAGAGAAGCCUCUAGUGAAACCUAUGACCUCUAGGUCUACUUUCCAUCAUAUAAGUUUCCAAUCUACAAUUUUAGUUUCCUAUUUACUUCCUUUGCAACCUUUUACUUUCCGUUUCAUAAACCAAAAAUAUCAAAAAUAUUACUUUACCGAUUAUCCAUCUCUAUCAUAUCUCACUUUGCAAAUAAUCCCAAAGGGAUUGACAACCCGUUUAGCGCCUUGGGUGCAAGUAGGUGUUUGUUUGUGCAGGUACUCAAUGACUUGUGUGUCGUCUCCUACUGAAUUGAUACCUUAGUUCUCAAAACUGAGGGAAAUACUUACUCUACUUUGCUUCAUCACCAUUUCCUCUUCAAGGGAAAAACCAACGCAAGCUCAAAAGGUAGCAGACCUCCAGUCGUAGCCGCCAUGAUUUUCUUCACGUCUAUCAAUGCCUUGAGAAUUUUGACUUGGACAUGUCCUAUGGCAUGAAUAAGAAAUCGAAGCUUCGCGCCGCGUCCUCUUGAGGCCGUGUUGGCUGAUAAUAUUAGUGCGCAUGACCAGAGCCUUUCUGAUCAAGAUAUCCAAGGACGACAUACACCAAUUCAUAUAGAUCUCCGCUCGGAAAGACCGAAACUCAUCAACGGCCAGAUCCAAGUUGUCGACAUCUGACAGAAAGACGACUUGGCGGAAGAAAAGCAUCAGGGCCAAACCACCAUUAUUAGUCCAAAGCUAAUAGCCUCCACGCCGCCCUCCUCUCGAUCCAGACAGGAAGAAAAAGAUCAACGACGUCGCAUCAUGCCACUCGCAUUCGUGGAGGCUUGAACAUGGCAAGACGCCAACCAUGGCUAGAGACGGGGACCAGCCACUCUGGCCAGAUCCGGCGACUCCUAGUCCCACCGCUCCCGCUACGGCGGCACCGCAUGUAGCCUACAAGCCCAUCCACGAUGAUGUCUGAUUAGAAGGAUAUAUGGAUAUACAGAUGAAAAGGCCCUUGUUAUCCCUCCAACAAUAUAUAUAAAGCUUAUUGGGACAUGAGAAAGCUUGCACAAGGCUAUGGAAAUGUAUUGCCAGACAGAGAUAUACGAUUUUCGUUCGGCAUCCAAACCGCUUGUGUCACGCUUAAUCGAUGGUCACUCUAAUUUUUCCGGCGGGCCUUCCCUGUGGUACUGCAGCCUUACAUGUGUAUUAGUGGUUAGGGCGUCAUCCGUGGCGCCGCUUAAGAGGAAGUUGUUUGCACGCUUUUAUUUUUUUUAAAUCAUGUACUCCUCAUCUCUAUCUAAAAAAAUAUUUAUAGAAAAUCCUCAUCUCCAUCUAGAAAAAGAAGUAAAAAAGAAAAAAAAAAUCACCAACGCAACCUUACAGCGAGCGCCACUUAGCGUAGUCCUCCAUUUAAAAAAAUAUGAAGUCAUCACCUUCAUAUAAAAAGAAAAAAACAUUUUAAAAACGUUUUCAUCUCCAUCUAAAAAUAAUAUCCCAAAAGCUUUUUCACUACGGCCAACCAGCUUGUACCAUGUGCCAUAACUGAUUGGCCGCUCUUCAUGCAUAGCUUAAUGGGUUUAAUGAGUUUCAUAUAGCUAUUCAUUAAGAAGAAAACCAAAAUUACUUGGAGUUAAUAACUAAUACGUUUCCUUUAACUAACACGUGCACGGCGAGGAUUUACGUGCAUGAUGUUUUUUCCUCUCCCCACGUCGUAUUGGGCCGGCCCAUUCGUGCACAUCUCUAUUUCUAAUGCAGCAGUUGGUAGUCUCAUUUUCAGGGUUUUUUUGUCCCACCUUUCAUGGUUUUUUUAUACCUCCUUCCACCUUCGCUGGUUUUUUUCAUAAAUUUUUUGUCCCCUCCCCCUAUUUCAUCGGUUUAUUUUCGCGUCACCCUCUCACACAAUGAAAGAAAUCUGAACAGAUUAGAACUUUCCAUGCUGGCGCAAGUUAUUUAGUAAUGUAGAAUCAAUCACGAACAAUCGCUAAAGAUCAAAUCCAAGUUAAUUAACCUUACCUUAAAUCACUCAAUCACAUUAAUUAGAAAACAAAUAAUUGAUUUUCAGAAAAAUUGCUCAAUCACAUUAACCUUACCUUAACUCACGGAUGGUAAUCAAUCUUCAAACAAAGGAAACAAUACAUCAAGGGAGCAGUAAAUAAACUCCCUUUCUUAUGACAUGUAUAUGAUCUUUCCUUCCCUCUCCGUUGUCGAGCGUUCUUGAUUCUCAAGGCCGAUUCUUGGGCUGCGUCACUGGGUCGCGACGGUGCCGAAGGACGAGGAUGGCGAGGCCGGGUGUCGCGGCACCGCGUUGGCCGUGGCUGAUGAAGGGGGUGAAGAAGGGCGGCUUCCCUGGCCGUGGCCCUGGGAGUUGGUGCGGUGGAAACGUCACUUGAAGGACCCGACGUGGGUGGCCGACGCGCAGACGCACUUGGAAGCGGGCCCAUGGCCCGCGCCGGACGGCGCCGACGCCGACCUGGACCACCUCCUCCGUGUAUCCUUGGAGCUAUGGCUGGCCAAUUUAUAUGAAAUUAAUUCCCUCAGUUGUGGUGGCAAAUAUAAUACACAUAAUCCAUAUUGUUAUGCACUAGUGUGUGUGUGUGUGAAAUAGAUGGAUUAUGGUCCCGUACCAAUAAGAUGGAUAUAUGUGUGUGUUAGAGAGAGAGAGAGAGAGAGAGACAGAGAGGGAGAGGGGGAGAGAGAGUGAGGAAAAGGGAGGGAGAGUGUGUGUAUGAGGAUUUGAUGGUAAAAAAAGUCGCCAAUGUCAUUUGAUAUGUAUGAAAAUAUUAAUAUUAAACUUUUAAAGUUAAUGUGGCCCCGUUAAAAUACACAAGCGUUCUUAUAGUAUAGUUAGAGAAAGACAUGAGGAAAAGGAAGAACCGGGAUCGAUUCCUAGUCUUCUCAAGGUGGCCGCGUGGGUUUGUCUCAAAAAAAAAAGGUGACAGCGUGGGUGCUACUACCGGUCCGCCCAAGUCCGGUUCGUGAUAAGUUGUAGGUGCGCGUCGUACUUGAGGCGAUUGAGGCCUGUUUUAUUUGAGUUUUUCCUCUCUUUUUUCUUCUUCAUUUUUUUCAUUCUUUUUUGCACUCCGUUUCUUUGUUUUGUCAUUCUUUUUUUCUUUUGUUUAUUUUCUUUUUUUCCGGUUUUCUUUGUUCUAUUGGUUAUUAUUGUACAUUUUUUGUAUACGUCUACAACAUUUUUUUCUAAUACACAUCUAACAUUUUUCAAAUACAAACCAACCAUUUUUGUAAUACAUUGUCAAGAUUUUUUUGUACACAUUUUUAAAUGCUUGUUUGUCAUUUUUCAAAUACAAGAUUAACAUUUUUUCAAUACAUGGUCAACAAUUGUUUUUGCCAUUUUUACAAAAAAAUUAAAUGCUUGAUUAACAUUUUCUUAAUGCAUGGUCAUUUAUUUUUCUAUACACAUUUAACAUUGUCCAAAUGCUUAAUUAACAUUUUCAAACCCUUGUUCAACAUCUCUUUUAAAAUGCUUGAUUCACAUUUCUGUAUACAUGAUCAAACAUUUUUAUCAUUUUUAAUACAUGGUCGACGGUAUUACCCAUACACAUUUAACAAUUUCCCAAUUCUUGAUUAACAUUGUUUAAGUACUCGUUCAACAUUUUCUCAAAUGCAUAACGUUGACAUUGUUGAAAAGUGGCAUCACAAGUUCCAGGGAGUAGAAAAGAGAUUAAUCAACGAAACCGCGCGAACUUUGUGGUGCUAUUGUGUUAUAUCAACUACUCCUUUCGUUCCGAAUUACUUGUCACAAGUAUGUAUGUAUAUCUAGAUAUAUUUUAAUUUUAGAUACAUCCAUUUAUGCGACGAGUAAUUUGGAACGGAGGGAGUAUGUGUCUGUUAUGUCACCAAAUUCAGUAUAUAUAGAACAUGGAAAUACAGUAAUAGUGAGCUCACUCGGUGGGAGCCCGUCACGGCCAUGGGAAUAGGAUCCUCCUCGUACUGCUCCUCUCCUGCCCUGCCCUGAGGAGCAGUAUCGUCCGUCGUCGCCGAGCGGCGCAGCAGCCGGUGGCCGAGGGGAGACCGAGAUUUAUUCUCCGGAGGCGCCGAAUCCGGCUCGUAAGUCGAAAUCCCUCUCUGUCCCGCCUCUCGGAUCCUCCCACCGAUCUCCUACUUCCCUGCCGCCAAUGCCCGCCUUUUCUUUGGACUCCGAGCGAGGAAUCGGAGGGAAAGCUGUGUACUUCCUGUGGCUUCAUACCCCGGUAAUGGCGGCCCUGCUUGCCGUUGCCGCUUGGUCCACUCUCUGCGUGCCCGUCUGCAAGGUGUUCGAUGGAUUGUGCGCAGGGUGUCGGCCCGGCUGGCCUCGUUUCACUUCUUCCAGGUUUCAGUCCGUUUACCGCCGGUUGCUGAAAAUGUGCACGAGAAGCAUAAGAAUGCUGGGAUAUGCGCUCUUUGUUUACCGUUUACUGUCAUUUGUUUGGUUGCAGGAAGCACCCGGCCUUAAGCAUAGUACUACAUAUAAAGUUGUAUGUUCUGUUCCGUUUGUUUGUUUGCUGUCUGAUGAUUGAGACAAGUGCAUAAUCUAAAGUUUGGCACCUGCACUUGCACCUGCUCCUGCACAUUUAUGUGUUGGAAACUGGAAUCUGUUCAGUGUAGUAUGGCCAUGCCACAUGUUUUGGCUUUAGCCUAAGGACCAAUUGCUUCUUGACUUUCUUGGAUGCUUGCUGGCCCAACCUUGGAUCUGUAUCUUUCUAAUAGUCUUCUAAAUCAGAAACAUAACGAUUUUUUGUGCUGCUUACUAGAUUCGGUGUGUUUACUUAGCGUGUUUAGUCGAAUCAUCUGUCAUUGUUCUCUCAAGUUACUUUUCCUUGCGAUAUUCAACCCAGCGGUUUAAAAUUCCUGCAAUUGCUUCAUUCAGAUUGAUUUUUCGCUUCUUUGUUGCUGAUUUCCUUUCAACGUUUGGGCUGAGGCUCCAAAUGUUGGUACUCUUUUAACCGGAGUAUGUUACUUUGGAGAAUAGAAGAAUUAUGCAUUGGUAUCAUGAUAACAUAUGCCUAAUGGUUUUUCUUACAGGAGGGCGUUUCCAACACAUAAAUAGUUUGCUAGCAUGCAGACAGUGUCCAGUAGCCUUUGCGCCAUUUGAGGCAUAAUGGACAUAGCUUUUAUCAUGUUGUUGGUUCUUUCUCUGCUCCUGUUCCCUAAUGGCAUCUGCAAGAGUUUAGCUACAGGACCUCCUGUUGUGAAUAUUGGGUCUAUUCUUCAGUUUGACUCCACCACCGGGGGUGUUGCGGCAGUUGCCAUCCAUACAGCCGUGGAAGAUAUCAACUCUGAUCCAACAGUUCUAAAUGGAACUACACUAAAGGUUCAAAUCAAGGAUACAAAUUGCUUUGAUGGUUUCCUUGGCAUGGUUCAAGGUAGGCUAGCUUUAAUGCCACUCAUUCAUUUCACAACCUUCAAAUAGUUAUUACUUCUGUUGUGGAGUUGUGGCAAUGAUGCCGUGUUCCUUGUAUCAGCUUUGCAGUUCAUGGAGACUGAUGUUAUUGCACUCAUUGGCCCUCAGUGCUCCACAAUUUCUCAUAUCAUUUCAUAUGUAGCAAAUGAGCUUCGAGUCCCUUUGAUGUCCUUUGCUUCUGAUGCAACUCUUUCAUCAAUACAGUUCCCGUUCUUUGUCAGGACGGGUCCCAGUGAUCUCUAUCAAAUGGCGGCUGUGGCAGAAGUUGUUGACUACAACCACUGGAAGAUAGUGACUGCCAUAUACAUUGAUAAUGUUUAUGGUAGAAAUGGCAUUGCUGCUUUGGAUGAUGCACUCACUUUAAAGCGCUGCAAAAUAUCCUACAAGGUUGGGUUUCCUUCCAACGCUAAAAGGAGUGACCUCAUAAAUUUGUUGGUUAGUGUCAGUUCUAUGGAGUCUCGUGUUAUCAUUCUCCAUACUGGAACUGAACCUGGACUCAAGCUUUUCUCUAUGGCACACCAACUGAACAUGAUGGGCAACGGCUAUGUGUGGAUUGCAACUGACUGGCUGUCUGCAUAUCUUGAUGCUAAUUCAUCAGUUCCUGUUGAGACUAUAUCUGGCCUGCAAGGUGUUCUUACUUUACGGCCACAUAUUCCCAACUCAAAGAUGAAGAGUAAUUUGGUCUCCAAAUGGAGCACGCAAAGUAAAAAGUACAACUACAGUGAUGUUUGUAUAAAUACUUAUGGUUUUUAUGUUUAUGAUAGUGUCUGGGCAGUAGCUCAUGCUCUGGAUGCCUUCUUUGAUGAUGGUGGUAGGAUUUCCUUUUCAAAUGACUUGCAUGAUGGAACUGGAGGAACUCUUCACCUUGAAGCAAUGAGCAUUUUUGACAUGGGAAAUAAAUUACUGGAGAAGAUUAGAAAGGUAAACUUCAGUGGGUUAUCUGGGCAAGUGCAAUUCGAUGCUGUAGGCAACCUCCUUCACCCUGCGUAUGACAUCAUAAAUGUCAUCGGAAAUGGCAUGCGGACCAUUGGUUUUUGGUCAAACUAUUCUGGCUUGUUGUCGACUGUCUCUCCAGAGGCUCUAGAUUCAAAGCCUCCUAAUACUUCUCUAGCCAAUCAGCAUCUCUAUGAUGUUAUUUGGCCUGGGGAGACUGCACAGAGGCCUCGAGGAUGGGUUUUUCCUUCUAAUGCCAAGCAGUUGAAAAUUGGUGUUCCCAACAGAUUUAGCUUCAAAGAGAUCGUCACGGUAGACAAUGCUACUGGGUCAAUGAAGGGUUAUUGCAUCGAUGUCUUUACUCAGGCAUUGGCUUUGCUUCCUUAUCCUGUUAGUUACAAGUUUGUACCUUUUGGGAAUGGUACUGAAAAUCCUAAUUAUGACAAACUCGUACAGAUGAUUGAAUCAAAUGUAAGUACGGAAUGCCUCUUUUUUCUUCCUCGAACCAUUUCAUCAUAUACCAUGCUGACCAGGGGCAUCUUAUCCUGCAGGAGUUUGAUGCAGCUAUAGGGGAUAUUGCAAUUACAAUGAGGCGGACAGUAACUUUUGAUUUCACCCAGCCAUUCAUUGAAACAGGCUUGGUUAUCUUGGCUCCGGUUAAAGAGCAUAUAACAUCGUCCUGGGCAUUCUUGCAGCCAUUUAGUUUGGAGAUGUGGUGUGUUACAGGGCUAUUCUUUCUUAUUGUGGGUGUGGUUAUUUGGAUUCUUGAACAUCGGAUCAAUGACGAUUUCCGUGGUUCAGUAUGUCAACAAAUAAUAACUAUUUUCUGGUAAGGAGCUGACCUGCACCUUUUGUACCGUCUUCUUGUAUAUCAUUCCUGUUUUCGAAGUGUUGAUGUUUUAACAAGUCUUGUGCAAUAUGUUGCAUACAGCGAGUACCUUAGAGCAGUGGCCAGUUAACAUACCUAAAUGAAGCAUCUAGUGAUUACCAAUGAACUACUCCCUCCGCCCCAUAAUAUAAGGGCGUUUUUGACACUACACUAGUGUCAAAACGCUCUUAUAUUAUGGGACGGAGGGAGUAUUAUCUUAAUAAUCUUGUGAGACAUAUAUACAUGCACAGCAUAUAUAUUCGCUUAAUGAUAUUUAUGAUGCAUUGCUCUAUUUUUCCUGUUUUCACAUACUUCUCUUCUCCACAUGUAUUUGCCAAAUGCUCUUAUAAUGGCGUGAUUCCUUGCUGUGAUUAUAAUUUCAAUUUUUAUUGCCUGCAGGUUCAGCUUUUCGACUUUGUUCUUCGCACACAGUAAGUAAACCAACCUUCUCUCUUAUGUGUUUUUUUUUUUGGCUAUAACAUUUUGUUCUGAGGCAUGAGGCAUGACUCGUGAUUUCAUAUGUAUCUGCGCGCAGGAGAAAAUACUAUGAGCACCUUAGGGCGUGGUGUCCUGAUCAUAUGGCUGUUUGUUGUUUUGAUAAUUGUAUCCAGCUAUACCGCGAGUCUUACUUCCAUCCUGACCGUGCAACAACUCGAUACUUCUAUAAAAGGAAUCGAGGACCUGAAAAAUAGCAAUGAUCCUAUUGGUUUCCAAGUUGGUUCUUUUGCACAAGACUACAUGGUCAAGGAGCUCAACAUCUCACGGUCAAGGCUAAGAGCUCUUGGUUCACCACAAGAAUACGCUGAAGCCCUCAAGAUAGGCCCUAAGGAAGGAGGUGUUAUGGCCAUUGUCGACGAGCGCCCCUAUGUUGAACUGUUUUUGUCAUCCUACUGCAAGAUUGCGGUAGCUGGCACAGAUUUCACCAGCAGAGGAUGGGGCUUUGUAAGUACAGUUCAACCAUAUUCUUUUAUAUAAAUUAGAAUAUAAGAACAAAAAUUGCUGUUAAUGUCCUGGAAUAGAGGUUUUAACUUUGAAUAGUUGUGUCUAGUCUUUAGUUUAUGCAACUUUUAUUGCACUUACCUGCGGCUACUUUGUUUCACAAAUCGAAAUGUAGCACCUUACAAAUUCAUUCUGCCAGGCAUUUCCAAGGGACUCCCCUUUGCAAGUAGACCUCUCCACCGCAAUCCUGUCUCUGUCAGAGAAUGGGGAGCUGCAGCGGAUCCAUGCCAAAUGGCUCAAUACAGGGGAGUGCACAACUGACAACAGUGAGCUUGUCGACUCGAACCAGCUCCGCCUUGAGAGCUUCCUUGGUCUGUUCCUAAUCUGUGGUGUGGCAUGUGUUCUCGCGCUGCUACUCUACUUUGGUAUCAUGCUAUGCAAAUAUCUGAGGCAUGAACCGUGGAAGAGCCUCAGAAGAUUCAUCUCGUUCGUCCAUGGGAAGGAGCCGCCGAAGAACAAGGAGAGGCGGUCCAUGAGCCUGCCUGGAAGCUCAACGCCAACAACGCCGAUGAGCAGCCAUAGUUCCCUUGACAUGGAAAGGCCGGCCAGGCCAGUCAGAAACGGUAGCAUUAUUGACAUGGAAAGCUAAUUCAUGUGUAGAAAGCUAGUUAACAAUGCGGUCGACUAACCUAGGUUCUGGUAGUCGGACAGCAGGGCUGUAUAGGAGGAUUCGAAAUACUUCUUAAGUACUCCCUCCGAUUCAACUUAAUUAACUUUGACUUGGUACAACCUUAGUACAAAGUUGUACUAAGUCGGCGCAAUUAAUUUUGAUCUGAGGGAGUACUAAAGUUUAUGAAAUAACAGAAGGAAGGAUUAAUAAGAAAUAGAAAUAUUGAAAUGCUCCUCCUGUCCUACAUAUAUUGUUUUUACCUUUGCAUGUGUUUGAUAGGGCGUAGUAGUAGUGUGUGGGUACUUCAGUUAGAAGGUAUGCAGUGGACCAGUCUAUCGACCGUGUGGCAAUGCCUGUAGUUUGUAGCACUAAACUUUGAUGCCCAUUCAUAAACUAAUUUAGAUGGAGCCGCACAAAAAUUGUGUUUUUUUUUUUGCUCACACACUCUGUUUUGUCUCAGUUUUAGUCCAGCGCAACUUUGAAGCUUAUCCAGGGCAACUUUGAAGCUUAUCCAGGGCAACUUUAACUAUUUACAGGAGAAAUUGUUAAAGACCUUAUUAAGUGAAGAAGAAUAGACGUCUCCAGUUUUUGUUUCUCCAACUCUAUGCCUACACUGUAAAUUAUUUAUGAAUUAGCUCCAGUUGAUGCAACUGUACUCUUUCUGGUAGGUCUGAGAUGGACUGAGCAUCCUAAGCUAGCUACUUGUCUCCCUUAGGUUUUACAGCAAGACAAAUGCACUGGACUACAAAGAGGAAAAUUCUUGCAGGUUCGUAAUGAAUCUGUUUUGGUUCUGGCAUUCACACCAAUCAUAAAGCAGUGUUUGUUAGUAGCGGAGUGGUAGGCAGACGCAAAUCAAACCAUCAUUUUUCUUCUAAAUACACUUGUAAAAGCAUCGAUGCAUCUCCGUCGCUUAAUUUUAUUUGUCAUUCUGUUCAGUACCUGGUUUGGUUUAGGAAGAGCUCUUUUUCCUAUGCAAAAUGUAUAACGUGUAUGUUUCUAAUUCCGAUUGCAGGCAUAUUCAUCGCGCUUGUGUUUUGACGUGUUGCGGGCAACCAAGAGUCGUUCAACAGUGUGUUGCUGGGGUACGCCACCGGUCUGACAGUAAAAGGUAGCGCUGAUGAACUGGUUUCAAGCCGAGCUGAUCAGUUCUGCUGUUACUAAUAUAUCAUGGCAUCUUGCGGCUCUCGGUCGAUGUUCUGUCAUCUAUGAGGAGAGAGUUUCCAUUUAAUCUAGUUGCUAAUGCUUUGUAUACAAAAUUAUAGAUGCCUACACAAUACAAAAUCAAAAGUUAUUUUCUUAGUCAAACUGGAAAAUUCAUAGAUUUGCAGGAACAUCUGUACAUAAAGCCUUUUCCAUCAAAGUAUGUACAUACAUUGUCUAUUUUAACAUAAGAAUGUAGGACUCGUUCAAAACUAUUUGACUAUUCAUACAAAAAAAAUAGAAUUUCUUAAAAUAAGGGAGCACAUCUUCUCUGGUUUGAUCACUGAAGUCAUCAAUUGAGCAGUCCAGGUUCACCUAGUUAUCUAUUUCAAAACUUAGGGAGAACAAUUUGGGUGAUACUUUUUCAAAGUACAAGGCACAUAUUUAUAGUUCAUUGAAAUGCACCUAUAUUUUGACCUCAUUAAUAUCUCAUCCUUCAUAAUAAAGUAUGGCCAAACAAACAGAGAAACCGCUAGUUUCUUUCAUGUUCCCCAGACAAUAACACCAUAGCUAUUACUGUCAUUCCCCUUCUCUCUUAAUACCUUCCAUCCUUUCCAUUAUAAUUAAUGAAACUGAAACAUAUCAUUCUCUUGGUUGUAUUUUUUUCCUAAAAUGUUUAAGGUGUAUGUGUCAUUGAGUGAAUAUAUUAUGUUGCAAAGUUUCACGAAAUUUAGUAUGCAACCAGUAUGCAAGAGAAAUAAAGAUUAAAGUAAAUUUAGUUAUUUUUAUUAGCCAUUAUUGUUUUUAGAGAAAACAAUAGGCAAGUCACUUUUUCAUGAAAGCUGGAGACAAAUAGUGUAUUCUAACAUAAAAAUGGUCAAUUUUCCUCACACACACACACACACACAUACACAUAAACUUAGAAUUUUUGGAAAUAAUGGGAGCAAUGGCCAUGUGAAAAUAUGAGGUUUAUAUCUUGUGGAUUUCCUUUCAGUGUACAAGGCCUGCAUGUAGAAUGGAUAUUUUUUUUUCUAUAUUUGCUUCCCUAAUUUAAAUCUUAUCCUUCAUCAUCAAUUAUGACUAAACAUAAAUAGUAACUGCUAGUUUCUCUUAUGCUUAUGAGGAGAUAAGACCAUGGAUAUUUUAGUCAUUCCACUUUGCUAUUGAUUGUUUCUGUUCUUUUGCGCUAAAUAGUAGUCAAACAUGUUAUUCAUGUAUUUCGUAAGGAUAAGGUCAAGCCUCAUGAUAAGGAUAGGGUCGCGCUAUUCGUCACCCUGGGUGAGGCAUUGUUAUUUUUCACCCACUUCUAUUUUAUCAUCAAUGCACCGUAAAUUUACGUUUCAUAAGUUUUGUCUUAUUUCCGACGCAAAAAGGGACCGUAAGAAAAUAUAUAAUCGCCAUAAAAAAUAUUUUAUGUUAUAUAAAAUUACAAACAUAAAAACAUAGUCUAAAAUACACACAAACUGCAAAUUUUCUUGUCUUAUAACCUAUAUUUUUAUUUUUUUAUGUCAAAUUUUACGUAGUGAAUCAAUAGAAAUAUAACUAUUUGAAUUCGAAAUGUAAUUUAAUUAUGAAAUGAUCGUAAGAUUACCUCGGGUGAAGAAUAACUUAUUCUGCACCCUGAUUGAUGAAUAAUAAAUUUAAUUAUAUUAUAUACAUAUAGGAUAACACUAUUCUAAUCCUAGAAUUAGAAUAGCUAUUUGGAUCACAGCCAGCCCGACCACAUCUUAGUGAGAUCGCGCGAGCAAAAGAAAAAACCCAAAACGCCCCGCCCCGUUUAUCCCCUUGUCGCUCCACCACCACCCCCCGACCUCUGGCCGCCGCCCACCCUGCUCCGGCGCGCCUCCCACCCUCGCCUCCUUCCGAGCGCUCCGCCGGCCCCGCCUUCUUCCAGGCGCGCCGCCGGCCCCGCCUCCUCCUGGCGUGCUGCCACCCCCACCUCUUGCAGCGCGAGGUCGCCGCCACCGCCUACUUCCCGGCGUGCCGCCAGCCCCGCCCCCUUCGGCGCGAGGCCGCCGCCCCCACCUCCUCCUGGCGCGCCGUCGUCCCCUGUACCUGACGCGCCCCCCGGUGCCGCCGGCCCGCAACCCGCCGCCCAGCACCUUCCCGUCGCGCGCCUCCCAACACCGAGGCGCCGCCGCCCACAGGUUCUGUAGAUGCUGACCUGCCACUGCACCGCCGCUGCAACCUGCUGCUCACUCUUCCUCGCACAUGUGUCAGCAACACAAAAGUGGGUCGCUGCAGUCCACCUCCUGCUACAGCAGCAGGACGACUCCUUCAGGACGCAUCUCACACUCAUGGAGGCGGUGCUAUCUCUGGCGAGCUCCUCCAUCCCCGAGCGCGAUGCUUCCACUACUGCGUCCUCCUCACGUUCCCUUCCCCAUCCUUGUGUAUGCUUAUUUCGAUGUGGAAAACUCCAUCAACUAGUUCGCAUCACGUAUCAGGGCACGGCCAUAACAUGCUAGCAAUAUUAUGCUUUGGCUGCUAGUAAUGUGUUUGUGCUAAUGUCUAGUAGGAACUCUAGUUGUACUGAUAAAAGAGAACCAAACCAUCAUAUAAGGGAAAAGUCGCAUCUCUCUAUCUUUGAUCUCUCUAUGAUACAGAUAUGGACGUAUAUGGAAUUAGUAAAAUUCCUCUUUUAUAUUGCUUGUUCAUUAAUCAUUCAUGCAUCGUGUCCUAAAAGAAAUAUAGUGUGCUCUGUUUGAAAAAGCAUGUGGUCAGCACAUGUUUGUUAUUAUAUGGAUCUAAAGGUUUAACAAACAAACACAUUCAGAUUUCUCUUUAUUCGUAUAAAGGUUGGAGUGAGGUAGCGCUUAUUUCCUAUAUAGCUGCUCAUUUUGGAUGCAGUUUGAACAAUCAGGCUAGGGAGCGGUGAGCGUGGGUAGGCUGGCCAAACCUUCCCUCCACUGGGUCAACCGGCAGCGUCGCCCACCACCGUACUGUCCUACGGCAACGGCCCCAACCUGGGCAGGCGUGCUUUCUGCGACAUGCUCCUGCUCAUGGAUGUCUUGGUGAGGUAAAAACUUCUGUUAACUUAACUUAGCUACCUCAACUGAUUGAACUGCAGGGGUUGUGUGCAGUCUGAUGUGGUUCUAGUGUUUGAUUAAUGCAAUUUGGAAGAACUUGCGUCUCUAAAAUUCAAACUCUGCAUUUUGGUGUAUUUUUAUUUAGAAGUUCAGGUCAUCAUAAGUUGCUUCGGUUUAGCUAGUUACUGUUGUGAAAAAGUUCAGCUCGUCAUAUUUGAACAUCGGAAGAAGAGCUGCUAUAGUCUCCUGCUAUAUGCUUGUUAUAUUCCUAAAUAGUACAGGCUCAACCAAAGCAAGUAGUUAUAGUCUCCUGCUAUAUGCUUAAAUAGUACAUUUUUUCUGUAUUCUUGUUCGGAAGUUCAGGUCAUUCAAAGAGACCAAAUAGUACAGGCUCAACCAAAUAGUGAAAAGUCUACUAGAGUCGAAAAAAUAUAAUGAUACAAAAAUGCAACUCUGCACUUUCCUCAAAAUGGUCAUCAUAUUCUUAAGAAGAUUGGGAUUGCACUAUUUGUUUGAGCUAGUACUACCAGACUGAACAAAUUGCAGAGUUGGAUUUUAGAGCCUGGACAUUUUCAGACAUUUUCAAAAGUGGUCAAUUGAACCUGAACCAAAAAGAUUGACCUGAAAUUCGUUUGGGCUAGUUACUACCAGACUGAAAAAAUUGUAAUAGGUGGAUAAGUGGUAUUGUACUAUUUUCUAUUGUGUGGUAAUGCUCGUACCCCAUGGCCAUGGAAGGUUCAGAUGUUGUGCUCUUCUUUUCUAGCUGAUUCAUGUUCUAUUUGGUAGCUUUAAUGAUAUUCUAUACACUGAUGGCGAGAGUUCAACCAUGGCUAUACGCCAAGUUCUACUAUGGCUAUAUGUCGGCCAUCGUGAAGUCCUACUAUAGCUAUAUGCCAAGUUUAAUUAUGGCUGUAUGCUUGUGCUUCCAGGCUACUAUUGAACGUGUCUUGGCCUUCAUUUUUACGGGUUAUAGUCUCCUGCUAUAUGCUUGCUUUUGCUAUCAGCAUGUUCAUGCAAGUGCCUCUGAAUAAUCUGAAAUUUAAACUUGUACCUAAAACUGAACUUCUACCUCUUUGCUACAGGUGCGGUCGUCGGAGUCCUUUAAGUGCUUGCACUAGUGCUUCUAACUUGUCCAUGAAGGCACUGCAUGGUGUGCCACCUCCCGUCUGCCGCCGCAGCUGCCAUGUGUCCUUGCGACCUCUGCGGCCAGUCACCAACGCCCUAUGAGUGCGCCCUAAGUGUGGCAUGGGGAACAUGCUAAUGUGUGUGUUUCUGCACUGGUGUGUGCGUGCAUGCUCACGUUUAUGCGUGACUGAGUGUGCUGCUUGUGUGCUGUGAUGUAUGUUGUAUAGAUUUUUAUGAAGUUCAUGUUGUGAACCCAACUUAAUUAGAACACAAAAGUUUAGAUCGCAGCUGCUUUGAAUUAUGUAGUGUUUCUAAAUAGCUUCUUGUCUGAAGUUCAGUCGUACAUGUGGGUGCAAGAAAGUUAGUGUCGGAGCCAGAAAAACUGACUUUGAGCAACUGUUGGGUAUUUAUAUAAAAACAUUGUGUGUAGCAAUUCGUUGUGUUUAUUGAAAAAUGAAAAGACAGAAGUUCACCAUGCAAAACUUUCACAGUCCAAUUGGUAUUAAGAAGGCAGAAAUAUAAAACAACAGUGAAGUUCACUAAAAAUGCAACUUUUCACAUUGCGAAGAAACAAUAAUUAACUUCUCAGUGUACAAUUUAGUUUUUGUUUCUCUUUUCCAAAAAAUAAGAAUAGAAGUAAUAUGUGGAAGCUAUUUGUGUUUAUGUCUCAAAUUAGAAUAAUUAUAAGAAUUGCCUCUAUAUGUGCUAUGUGUUACACACCUUUCCGAAUCAAAAGAGAUUAGAUUCAUCCAUGAGUAAGGUAGGUACAAUUAUUUUUAAACAGUUCAAUUGCUCGAUAGAUGUAUGUCCAGAAAAAUAAAAGAUAGUUCAACACAAUAUAAACCCAUGAGAUUGCAAAAAAUCUUUGGAUUAAGUGGAUGAGAACCAAUAAGUUCAUAUAUGAAACCUUGGGGAGUUCAAAAAAAGUUAAAAAGGUUCGAUGUUUGUUGCGAAGCUAGGAUUUUCUUCAUUACUAAUGAAUAAAUCAAGAAGUUCAAAUUAAAAAAGGAUGAGCGGUUCGAUGUUUAUUACGAACCUAGAAUUUUUUCCGUUACUAAAAGAAAUAAUACCAACAAGUUCAAAUUAAAAAAAUCGAGUAGUUUGAUAUUUCUUUGAAAACUCAAAUUUUUCCGGUUAGUAAAUAAUAAAACCAAUAAGUUCAAUUCAAAAUAACGAAGAAGUUCAACUUUUAAAAGCAAAGCAAUUUGAUAUUCAUUUAAAAACUCAAUUUUUUCGGUUACUAAAGAAUAAGACCAACAAGUUCAAUUCAAAGUAACGAAGAAGUUCGAUGUUUCUAACAAAACUCCAAUUUUCACAUUUCUAAAAACUCCAAUUUUAGGUGAGCCCAAUUUUUGUGUGGAUGUGUUGUGCAUGUGCUUGUGCGUAGUACAUUUAAUAGAACAAAAACACUAUUAUGGGUGCCCUCUAAAUGUUUGUCCUAUUGCUUAUGAGAAUUGACCCGAAUUUUCCUAUUGUUUUUGCACAUGUUGGAUUCAAGGGAAAAUGUGUAUAAAACAGGUGUGAUUUCAGAAGUUCAGGUGUAACGAACAUCGAAGUCCAAACCAAAAGAAUGUAAACAAAAAAAUCAUGGAAUUCAAAAGAAUAAAUACUAUCGAGUUUCAUGAAAGAAAAUAGCAUGCGAAGUUCAUGUUUCAGAAAGUUUGAAGUUCACGUGUACCACAUACAGAAGAAAAAUGAUCAAAUGAAAAAAGGGACCGCCUAGGCCAUUUCACCGAAAAGCAAAAAAUGCAUAAAAUGUCACGACAAAAUUCUAUAAGAAGUUCCAAUUUAAAAGCCGAAGUAGGUCAACGUUAAAGAAAAUGAAGUUUUUAAUAUCUAAAAGAAAAUUUUGGAAGCUCAACAAAUUUGUGCAAGGAGUUAAAAAAAUUAGUUGAAAAAUAUUUAUAACGGAUUUUCCCCGUGUAUAAAAAAAUCAGAGAAGUUCAAAUUAAAAAGAGGAGCAUUUCAAAAGAUUGUAUAAAAACUGAUUUACUCAAAAUAGAUAAAGGUGAAGUUCAAAUUGAAAUAACGGAGAUGUUCGGAGUUUAUUAAAACCUAGAAUUUACCUGUUCGAAAAAUAAAAAACACAACACCAUUUUUUUGCACUUUUAGAGACAACUCAUAAACGAAAAAAUGGUUGCUGGAAGUUCAAGUGCUCGGUGAGGAAAAGUUCAAAAAAUUCUUGUAAGAGAGGUUCACCGUGUAUUUAGAUGUCCAAAAUACAUAAAAAAUAUGUUGUUUUUUGUGUUUUAAAAUAAUUCUCUCAAACCAGAGAGAAGUUCAAAGUGAUAAUAGCCGGAAGUUCACGUACUACAUGGUGUGUAUUUCAUAUAAGAAAAAUAGAAUAAAGUGAAACAGAGUAAAGUUCAAACGGACAUGCCCUAGAAGUUCAACUACUUCACGUAGUGCAAAAAAAUAUCACAUCAAAAAUAGAGUGAGGACAGACAUGCCUGAGAAGUUCAACUACUUCACACAGUGUGUUUCCAUUCGCAAUGAAGGCAGAAAUCAUGAUCUCGUCAUUUCUCUAAUUUACUUCAAAACGAUAGGAAUAUCAUUUGUGUAAGUUCAAGUCCUCGGUCGGAGAAAGUUAAAAAAAUAUUGUGAGAGAGGUUUGUACAAAAAGAAUAUCAUUUGUGUAACACUGACGAAAUGGAUGAGAAAAUUACAAACAAAAAACGUCACAGAAGUUCAACGUGAAAACAACAGGAAGUUCGACUACUAUAGUGAAUGAAUUUGAGAUGAAAAACUUUUAAAAUCAUCGCGAGUAUGAAAAAACGAUCAACACGGGAAAGUUAUGUGCUUACAGCAGCUUUCCACCGGUAUAUCACUUUCUCAAUUCCGGUGAGUGGAUGGAGAGUUACGAGCAGUGGAUGGAGACCUACGAGCAAAAAAAUCACGUGAAAAACAGAGUGAAGUUCAGGUACACGCGCCGAGAAGUUCAGGUUCUUCACGCGGUGCAUUUUCGAAGAAUCUGUUUGACGAUAAAGGCAGAACGCAUGAUCUCGCCAUUUUCGAAAUUACUUGAAAAUGGCUAGGAAUCAGAGAAAACCAUCAACAUGAAAAAGUUUUGCAAUUUCCGUAGCUUUUCAGCGGUAUAUUAUUUGCCCCAUUCCGAUAAAGUUUGUAGAAAUUACGGCGAAAAUACGUUUUUCGCCAUUUUCGAAACUGACUUAAAACUGUAAAGAAUUGGGAGAAACAAUACAUACCAAAAAGUUUCACAUUUGUUCAAGAUUUCCAAAGCCAUAACAUUUGCUGCAUUCGGACAGACGGUUAAAAAAUUAGAUCAAAAAUACGAACUCGGUAGGACUAGGACCAUUUUCUAAAUUACUCUUAAACCAUUCAAAAUUAGAAAAAAACUUUCAAGAUGAAAAAGUAGCGCAUUUUCAUAAGCUUUACAAUGCCGUAUCAUAUGCCUCUAUUGGAUUAGCCGUUUAGAAAUGACAUCGAAAAUACGAACUCAGCUGUUCGAUUUACGAAAUUUUACGUUUUUUCAAAUUACUCUUUAACUAUAGGGAAUUAAAGAAAACUUUCAACAUGUGGAAGGAGCGGUUUUGCAGCAGCUUUCCAACGCCAUAUUAUAUGCCUCAUUAAGAUAAACGGUUUAGAAAUGCGGUCGAAAAUACGAUUCACGUUUUUUGUGCGAAGAAAAAACGGUUUUCAAAACUGCUCUUAAACCGCUUAUAUUUUGCCAAAAAUUUAAGUUGGAUAAUGAUACUGAUGUUCAAAACUUUCCAACGGUAUAUAGCAAGCCUCAUUUGGGCAAUGUUGGCGGAAGUUCAACCUAGUUCAUAGGGAAGUUCAGCGUACUACUAGCGGGGCAGGUCAGGUUGUGAUCAGAAUAUUAUUCUGAUCCCGUGAUUAGAAUAGUGUUUAUAUAUAUAUAUAUAUAUAUAUAUAUAUAUAUAUAUUAUAUUUGCCACAUUAACUUUAAGAGUUCAAUAUUAAUAUUUUCAUACAUAUCAAGUGAUAUUGGCGACCUUUUUUACCAUCAAAUCCUCGCGCACACACGCUAGUGCAUAACAAUAUGAAUUAUAUGUAUUAUAUUUGCCACCACAGCUGUGGGUAUUAAUUUCAUGUAAAUCGGUCAAUCACAGCUCCCAGAAUAUGCGAAGGAGGUGGCCUGAAUCGGCGUCGACGCCGUCCAGUGCGGGCCACGGGCCCGCUUCACUAGUAGAAAAAGGGCCUAUUGUCCCGGUUCGUAAGGGCCUUUUGUCCCGGUUCCUGAACCGGGACUAAAGGAUCGGUACUAAUUCCCUGUCCCUUUAGUCCUAGUUCAAUCCAGAACCGGGACAAAUGGGCCUCCACGUGGCCUGUGCGCGGAGCCCAGGCAGGAGGGCCUUUGGUCCUGGUUGGUGGCACCAACCGGGACCAAUAGGCAUCCACGCAUCAGCAUUUCUGUGGCUGGGGUUUNNNNNNNNNNNNNNNNNNNNNNNNNNNNNNNNNNNNNNNNNNNNNNNNNNNNNNNNNNNNNNNNNNNNNNNNNNNNNNNNNNNNNNNNNNNNNNNNNNNNNNNNNNNNNNNNNNNNNNNNNNNNNNNNNNNNNNNNNNNNNNNNNNNNNNNNNNNNNNNNNNNNNNNNNNNNNNNNNNNNNNNNNNNNNNNNNNNNNNNNNNNNNNNNNNNNNNNNNNNNNNNNNNNNNNNNNNNNNNNNNNNNNNNNNNNNNNNNNNNNNNNNNNNNUAGGUGUUUCAUAUAUUGUGUUAGCUAGCUAUAAUUAAUAGAGAGAAGUGUCCUCUCUUAUGUCCAUGCUUGGUCGGCGCUACGUACUAUACAUACGUAUAGAGAGGACUAGACAGGCUAGCUAGCUAGUUAGAAAACGAAGGAAACAGAAGAUCGUCAUGAACAUAUAUGCAUAGAGAGAGAAGUGAUAUCGACCACCUCUCCUUCUCCGAGAGAUUGGUCGAACAACAAGUUCUCGUAUAUCUAUCCGACACUACCGGCUACAUAUAUACAAUAAUUAUCUCUUACAAAUAUAAUCUCCUAACAUACGGACUCAUGGUCCACAUAGUAUUCUCCGUCUUCAGCGAUCACGUGGUCAAGAAAGAAUGCCGACAAUUCCUUUUGAAUUGCUCGCAUGCGAGCUGGUGCUAGGAGUUCAUCUCGCUUCCGAAACAUCUAAUUUGAAGAAGGGGCCGGGGUCAAUACAUAUAUAUAUGAAUGAAUGAAACUAAACACAAAUGAUGGUAAUAAAAUAAAAUUGUGAAUGUUGUUAUUUGCGCACUUCAUAUUGUUCAUCAGAGUAGCCCCGCUCACAGGCCGUGUGGUAGAUGGACUCGCAAACGUAGUAUCCACAGAAAUCAUUCCCUUGUAACUGCCACAACCCCUUUACAAGAAAUAGAGGUCAAUCAAACUGAUAAGCAAGAAUGCCAAAUGGUAUUGAUGAAACUAGCGCUUGAAUCAAUAGGAGAUGCGCGGAACAUGCUACUAUAGUACUUACUUUGGGGUGUCUAAAUUGCAGCUUCUCCGGGAGUCCCGGAGCUUUUUUGGUGAAUUUUUUCCAAACCCUGCCAGACAAAGAAAACAGUUACUUGAUAUAUCAGGAAAUGAACAAAGUUGCUGAUAUGGUGGAUAAUGAUCGAUUUAACUUACUUCUCGAGCAUUUGAGUCAUGUCCGCAUAGUCCUGGGGAUCUUUUCGUCUUGAGUCUAAGACGGUUACUAGUCCCUGCUCAAGCUUAAUCUCUAGGAGAAUAUAGUGGAAACUGCACACGCAUGCAUAACUCAUCAAUUACAUUACUAUAACCUUGACUAAUAUAUAAGGGAAACCGAAUAUGCACAAGACAGUAACACUCACUUGAAGUUGUAAGGAAAAAGUAUUAUAUCUUUGUUUUCAUUUAUUACCAACGAUCGUAGCAAGUUGGCCUCGGUAUCCGCGACAUGAAAUUUAACCUCAGUUGCAUCUAUGAUAUUUGUGUUAAUGAACCCAAUAUCACCGAUUUGUCUUUUCUUCAAUUCGACGAUCUUCAAUCUGCAUAAUAUAGUGAGGAUAAUUAUAAAUACAUGCAAUGAAAGAGCUGAGCUAUAUAGAGAGACUUAAUGACAGAAGUAGUACUACUUACAGACAGUAGCAGGUGACCGUUGCUUUAUCGAGGGCCAAUUGAUUGAAAAACUGAAAGAACUCCUCAAAUGGAACAGGUAACAAACACUAGUAGAAAAAGGGUCAAACGUGAAGCACAUUAGUGCCGGUUUGUAAAAAGACCGGCACUAAUGUGAUCAAUAGUGCCGGUUCGAAUGGCUAUGCAUUAGUGCCGGUUCGUAAUGAACCUUUAGUACCGGUUCAUGCCACGAACCGGUACUAAAGGGGUGGUGGCAGGCUGGCGUCAGGCCAGGCCCCACGAGCCCCUUUAGUGACGGUUUGUGACACAAACCGGUACUAAAGGUCUAACCUAUAGUACCGGUUUGUGUCACCAACCGGCACUACAAAGUCUUAACCUAUAGUCCCGGUUGAAGACACAAACCGACACUAUAGGGCAAUUUUCAAACUCUACCCCCCCCCCCGUGUAUCGCCAUUUCAGUUUUGAAAAAAUCAAAAGAAAAUGAUAAAAACUUCAAAAAAUAAAAUCCUUCGAGAGGUAGUUAUAUUACUACAUCUACUAGUUAGGAAAAUUUGAAAACUUAAAUUUGGACAUGUUUUGCAAAAAGUGUAGGGAAAAUGUAAAACGGCUAUAACUUUUGCAUAUGAUGUCGGAAAAAACGUAUAAUAUAUCAAAAAAUUCAGCACGAAAAUCCUCAAAUUCCAAAAGGAAAAAAAGAUAUGGUCAAAUUUAAGUUUUUUUUAAAAAAAAUUGGUUAAAUCUGGUCAAACUACUUAUUCAAGAAGUGUUAAUGUUACUACAUAAUUAUUCAAGAAUAUUAGUGUUACUAAAUAAUUAUUUCAAUUUUUUGAAUUUUGGUCAAAUCUGGUCAAACUAUGGUCAAACUGUGGUCAAACUAUGGUCAAACUUAUUCAAGAAAUAUUAGCGUUACUAAAUAAUUACUGUUUUUUUAGAAUAAUAGUUUCAAACUCAAACGGUGAAAUGUGUGACUUCAUGCUCAAGCUAAACUCCUGAGGGUUAAUAGGAUUAACAUCUUACUAUCAUCACGAAAACAACAAGUGCAGACAUGGAAACGAAGGAGAAUAGAACCCGAAAGUUAAGCGUGCUCGGGCUGGAGUAGUGAGAGGGAUGGGUGACCGGUCGAGAAGUUAGAUGAUUUGGAAUGAGUGAUCCACACUUGAGCAGUUAAGAGAGGUGAUUAGAGACUAAAUCAUCAAAUAAUUUAGAAAAAUUAAAAAAAUCAAAUUAAUUUUCAAAAAAAAUAUUCAAAAAAAAAACCAUUAGUACCGGUUGGUAACACCAACCGGUACUAAAGGUCCCCCAUACCAGGGCGUGAACUCACGCCACGUGGUGGCACUUUAGCGCCGGUUCGUGCCGAACCGGUACUAAAGGGGGGGGGGGCUUUAGUGCCGGUUCCAUAACCGGCACUAAAGGCACUUACAAACCGGUUUUAAAGCUCCGUUUUCUACUAGUGAAAUCAAUUCCAACGAGGUCAUGCUCCUUUUUAACUCUCACAUACAAAGUACUCCUCCCCUAGACUCUCUGCAGAUUUUCAAGUACCAAUCAUGCAAUCUUUGCAUCAUCGUUGAUAGAGAUCUUUCAUCUUUGACGAGAGGCUUCCCGUACUCGUAUCUUUGUAUCUGCACCUCCAUGAAAUCAUAAUGUACAUCGUCGGGCAGGUAAUCUCCAAGAUUGCUAUAACCGGGCACCAUCCUCGGAUCAUUAGCGACGAUGUCGCUAGGUACCUUGAGCGGGGGGGGGGGGGCACGAUUGCUUCCCUUGUUCGCCAAGCUGGGAAAUUUGUUUCCCAACUCGUCGUUCUUUCAGCCUUUGAUCACUGACAGUACUUCCCGACCGCUCCGCUUCGGCAAAUUCCUUUCCAAUAAUGCGCUCAUAGUUUCCUUUCGGUGGAGACUUGGGUGGUUUUGUUAGGGCAGCCAGAGUGCGCUUCGCUUUCACCGGAUCUACCUUCUCCUCCAGAGGUGGAUGUUUCUUUGCUUUCACCCCUUCAAAGAAGUUCCUGACUUCUUCUCGCACGAUCUCGGCGUUCUCCUCCGGGGUCCUCUCGUAUGGUAACUUCUCUGGAGUCUUUAGAGAAGGACCGAAUCUGUAUGUCCUCCCGCCUCUGGCUGUACUGCUAGACGCCGGCAGAGCAGACGGAGCGGUUGUCUUCUUUACUUGCUUACGAGGCAGAGGAGAAGGACUACGACGCACCAGAGCAGCCGGAGCGGCCGCAGGUCUCUUCCGCCCUUGCUGACGAGGCGGAGAAGGAGGAGGCUGGCUGCUCGGGCGCGCCGGCGCAGGCGGAGAAGGAGGCGGAGUGCCGCCACGCGCCGGAGAAGGAGCCGGCCGAGUGCCCUGAUAGUCACUCGCCAGAGGAGGAGGCGGUGGAGGGGGCGGAGUGCCCUGACUCGCCGAAGGAGGAGGAGGAGGCGGAGGCAUCCAAUUCGGAAGGUUCAUGACCUCCUUCCGCCAUAGGCAUGGAGUCUUCAGAGCAGAACCCAGCCGAGUCUCCCCUUCACCGGUAGGGUGGUCAAGCUGGAGGUCCUCAAAUCCCUCCGUUAUUUCAUCCACCAUCACCCUAGCAUAUCAUUCUGUAAUCGGCCGGCAGUGAAAAGUUGCGCUGGGUUCAGUAGGAAAAACAGAGCCAAUAGCCGCCUUGACCUUCAUAUUAACCCAUUGCGUCAUAAGGUGGCAAUUAUGAGACUCCGUGAUAGCAUCCACGGGAUAGCUGGCAGGAGCCGUCAAGACAUGCUCCUGCUGAAGCAGCUCGGUGGAAGCCAUGCUGCUUCUCCGCUGAGAUGGCGGGGUAGCUUCGGCAGUUCGUUUUGUGCGAUUUGCUUCUCGUUCCUCUAUUGCUUGUACCCUAGCGUGCAGCGCCUGCAGUUGGGUCUGCUCCACUUUCUUCCUCCUCUCGUGGCAUUUGUAACCGCCUGCGUCCGGAAACCCAGCCUUACACGGAAUGGAGCCUGGCGUGCCUCAUGUCCGUCCAGGGUGUUCAGGAUUCCCGAGGGCCAUUGUGAGCUCGUCGUUCUCUCUGUCUGGAACAAACAUACCUUGCUGCGCUGCUUCGAUAUAGUGCUUAAGCCUCUUGACUGGUAUUUCCAUUUGCUCGUCCGUCCAAAUGCACUUUCCUGAUACAGGGUCCAAGGUUUCACCAGCCCCGAAGAACCAAGUCCGGUAACGGUCUGUCCAGUUAAUUGUCUCUGGUUCGAUCCCUUUAUCAACCAGAUCAUUCUCAAUCUUGGCCCACUUAGGCCGAGCUGCCAGGUAGCCACCUGACCCCGUGCGAUGGUGAUGCUUCUUCUUCACAGCAUUUUGCUUGUUUGUCGACGACAUCUUCUUACUCUUUUCCGAUGUCUUGUGGGCCACAAAUGCGGGUCAGUGAUCUCUGAUCUUCUCAUAUCUGCCCUUGAAUUCCGGUGUCUCUUUAUUUUCGACAAACUUAUUCAGCUCUUUCUUCCACCUCCUGAAUAGUUCUGCCAUCCUCUUAAGAGCAAAAGACUUGAUUAAUUGCUCUUUAACUGGCUUCUCCGGAUCAUCCUCUGGCUGUAGGGUGAAAUUUGACUUCAGCUCAGUCCAAAGAUCAUUUUUCUGCAUAUCAUUGACAUAAGACACCUCAGGGUCUUCUGUAGCCGGCUUUAACCAUUGCUGCAUGCUGAUCGGGAUCUUGUCCCUAACCAAAACCCCGCACUGAGCAACAAAUGCGCUCUUUGUCCGGAUAGGUUCAUUCGGUUGGCCCUCGGGCGCGAUUGCUAUGAUCUCAAACUUUUCAUCCGAGCUCAACUUUUUCUUCGGGCCUCGUCUCUUUACCGAAGUUGUGCUCGAUCCGGAGGGCUAGAAAAAAGAACAAAGACUUAAUUAAUAUGUGUACAUACCAAAACAAUGAAUGCAUCAAUUAGCUAGUCAGCAGAAGCUUAACUAAUACUAGAUCAUUGAUGGUGCGUGUUGUUGCGCCCAUCUAUUUUGGAUCUUGGUUGUUAAGGAUAUAACAUUGCUAGUAUACAUUUCUUGCAUUGUUUUAAAAUAUUAUGCUUUCUAUAGCAUGUACUUCUCUUUAUUUUCAAAAUAAUGGUAUGUAAAUCAUCUUCAUUGGGGCAACAUUACAACUUCCAUAUCAACAUAAGCUUAGAUAUAAAUAGGGCAGUGCCAUAAGCCAACCUAUCCAUAUCCACGUUAUAAUAAUGGAUGGCUAUGUACAUUUUUGUUCAAGCAUAGUACAAGCUUGUUGCAGUUGCAUAGGAACAUAGACUUAAACAUAAUAUAAACUUGAAAUGUAUAAUGAUGGAAGAAGGCGGCAUGACAGUAUAUUAUACUUGGAAAACAAAUUGUACGAUGGAGUAGAGCGAACUGGAGAAGAUGUAGACCUCAAAUAGGCACCAGAAACACUGCACCAAAAUUUCUAUGAUUAUGGAUACAUCCAACAUGGCGGACGGUCAGAGGGCAUGAGAAGUAUAAUCAUAUACUAUCUAAGAAAAUCAAGACUCUUGAUUAUUACAUCAAAAGCAAGGCACAGAACAAGCUUACAUAUCGUAUUGUUCGUGCUAACACAAAUAAUAAUAUCUUCUAACACACGAAUGUAAUUUGGCCAAAAGAUAAUUUCUUCAUACGAAUUCCAACGUCACUACAUUUUUUUUCAUUGGGGCUUAAAAAUUGUUUGACCGUUUUACAUGAGAUAGAAAGAACUGACUGAACCGAGCAACAAAAGGCAACAAAAACACAAAUCAGUUUCCUCUCAUUCUCUGCCUACAUCAUAUUUUUUUUCCUGUAAAUAUAUCUUGUGAUUCAUCAUUGUUUCAGACCGUAAGGGCCGGAAGCUCUACCUAAGGCGGCUGCCAUACAAGGAUACACACAGCUUCGCCUUAAACACCCUCCUUGUGGCGAUGCUUAGAAAGGGAAUAACCUCAUGUAUUACCUUGCUCGGAAUAGCCAUGUUUUCAAAUCCCAACUAAUCCACCUUAAUCCUAACAUCAAAUGAACACAACAUUAACUUGAGAUCAGACGCUAUGGAGUCAGAGUGAUUGCAUGACUCGAGGCACAAGGCAACAGGCUGGGGUGAAGGCGUGGCAGCUGCAUGCCACCACGAAACACCGGCGAGCAGAGAACCGGAAGAUACAUAAUCGUUUAUGUCUUAUGAGUUAAUUUCUCCACUCAUUGCACGCUACAAAACAUUAGCGAGUAUACAUAGGAUGUCCCUUUCUGAACAACUACAUAAUAUAUAAAUUCCAAUUGCAUUAGGGAUUUCAUCUAGAGUAUAUUCCCUGAAUUAUUUGAAAUGAAGUAAUGGUUUUUCUAAUCCUACUUUGACCUGGAGCAUCACUCUGAAACAUCAGGGAACACACACAUCUUCAGAAGUAGCAGCAGUAGCUAAUGUGAAAAGUUCACUGGAAUGCUAGGAUACUAAAAAAGCUAGUACAUCCCAAUAGCCAAAGAACAUAACAAAAUUUGGCAUCAUGUGUCAAGUAGCUCACAGUGGGCAUAAAUUUGUACAUUAUAUGUCCCUUUAUUAACUCACUUGUCUCUGAUUUUUAACUAUUAGGAAAUAAUAGUGGUCAUCAAAAUUAGAAUAUAUUGUAAUGCUCUAGAAUAGGAUCUAAUUGUUGGGAGUUGUUACCUGAGGGAAUCCUUGCGGGGAGCUGAGCAUAGGAACCAAUGCUGUUCCGCACUGUCCACGUGACUGACCACCGUGCUGCCUCCAUGAGCCGAUGUGGAACUUCUACCAACAAGUGAUUUGUACAUGACUGCUCAAGCAAACUAAACCACUAAAUCCAAAGGGGAUUCGUUCCAGAAAGGUGCAACACCUUGAGAAAUCUACGUGUAGAAUUGAAGAGGGGAGAGUAUCAGGAGGUAAACCUAGAGAACCUGCAUAGUUUGUGAGUACAAAGAACAGUAUGAGUAAAAUAAAUUUCAAAAAUUGGAUUAGAUGAAGAAUCAGGUGAAGAGGAGAUAAAGGAAAGAACCAUCACCCAUUGCUGCACGAGAGUGGUUUUCAGAAGUAAGGGGAGUAGGGAAGGAGCAACAGCACUUUGGAUCGUAUAUUCGUAUAUGCGCGCGAGUGAAUUGAAGUAAAAAGCAUGAAUCAUCAGACCUGCAAUAAUCUUCAGUUUAGCCGGUUCAUCAAUUGCCAUUAAUCGAUCCUGAUUAAAACCUCAACGAAUCGAUGGCUAGUGAAUUUCAAUCGACAGCGGCUGUUCGCGGCCCUGACCAUCUCCCUAUUGCGUCACCGACCAGGACGCCGUUCGGUCGCUCGGCGAGGAGCGCCGUGUCAGUCGGACCUGAAGCACAGUGGCCAUGAGACACCAUCGGUCGCGUCGAUCCGACCCCAACACGGCCGCCAUCACUACUGCCCAGAUUCUGCUGCCAGCCGACAGCAGCAACCGUGCGAAACUGCGAACCAAAGGAUCUGGCGACGACGCGCCUGAGAACUCUAGAUAUGGCUUGAAAACCAGAAAUAUGCUUCACGGAUGUAGAGCGUGUUUGGUUGAGUUCCAGGAGCAAAAUUGCCUGGCCUGAGACCUUCCUGGGUUGUGCCUGCUUGUUGUUUGGAUAGUAGCCUCAAAUCACAGGCAUGUUCCUGGCCUGGAGUUGACAUGCACCUGAUUAGCCUGGGUAGAUCACAGGCAGCUUGAUUAGCCUGGAUGAGGCCAACGGAACCAGACGCCUGGCCUCCAGGCAGAUGCGUUUUGCGUCAAUUAGCAAGUUGUAUACUGUACUUUUUGUCAACUCAGCCGUCCCAUCUAAUUAUUUAAUAUUUAAGUACGUGUCCCAGGCCAGGUUUGCAACCAAACAUCACAUGCACACAGCAGCCUGGCCAGGCAAAAAUCCUCCUUCUCCCAGGCUACUAUCAGGCAUCAACUUUUGCUAGGCAUCACACCCAGGACAUGAACCAAACAUGCCCGUAGUGCGUCACUGACCUGGGGAUGAGCUCGUCGCCGGCUCGAGAAAAAGUCGCUCCCUGCUGCGCUUUUGGGGAAGAUAGGAAAUGUAGAAGAAUGAGCCAAUCUAGUGAAUCCCGUGGAACUUAAUGGAACCUGCACUCAUUUGGGAGCACAAAGAACAACAUCAAUUGAAAAAAAUUCAUGCAGAAUUUGGGGGAGAGUAGAGGUACCAACGAGGGAACACUUGUAAAAGGCCAGUAGCGGAGACUAAUUAUCGUCCUGUCAACCAUGGCAGCCUGCAAGUAAAAGGAGGAGAAUGAGGAAGGAGAAGCUCCACGAUGGAGAUUAAAUGGACGCAAUUGAAUGGAUGUUGUAACUGAGCCCAGUUAUUGGCCACCGGUGAGUGCGCCUCAUCGAUUGCAAAUUUGCCAUUAUAAUGGUCCGCUGCAACUAUGAAUUGAGUCCCGAAUCGCGGGCAACUGGAGGCAACCGACAGGGGACGAUCCGUUGCCCCGGAUACCUCCUGCUGGCGUCGCCCAGCGAGGCAACCCGGCCGGUCGCGUAGGUCGAGGCACAUCCGGUCGGUCCAAUCGACCUCGCAUCGGCACUGUUUUUUUUUCUCGCAUCAGGACUGGAUGAACGCUCAUCGGUCGCUCGUGUGUAACCCUAGUCGAUGGAACCGCACAAGUGGACCUUCUUCAGCGAAGCCCGUGGGCUGGAAUGGGCUGGCCGACGGCCCAGUUAACCACAGGGCUACGUUUUGGCCUGCGGAGCAGAAGCCCCAGGACAGCCGGCCCAGUUUUUAUCAGAUGUGGGACAGAUUGCUUUAAACAGGAGAUCCGACGACCAAAAACGUCUAGAUCGUGCAAACGGAUGGUCAGAAACGCGAAGCGCUGAGAGAGCUCGCUUUAGGUGCAGUUGUAUUGUACUUAAUAUAUACCUGGCCGGACUCGGUUCGGUCACCAGAGACGUCAUCACGGUCUCCUUCUUGCACCGGCAUUGUGUCACCGGAGCCGUCCUCACGGUCUCCUUCUUGCACCGGCAUUAGGUCACCGGAGCCAUCAUAAUCAUAGCCAGCUGCUUCCAUACCAUCGGUGUCGUUGAGAAACAACGAGCAGACGGCAUCCCUUCCUCGUGCGAUUAUGUCCCCCAACAACUCUUCUUGUACUUCGUCUCGGGCGGUGUCCAUAGUUUCUACAAAUAUUUAUAACAUGGCAAUUAUUAUUCAAACAUGACAGAUGGAUAUAUUAGUGGCAAACGUAGAACUAAUAUUAAUUAGUGGCCUCGACGCUACUUCUCUAGGGUUUGGGGUGGCCUCGACGCUGCUUCUCCAGGGUUUGAAGUGGCCUCGACAACGCUUCAAGGAUAAAAAAAGAAGAGGAAGAAGAAAAAAAGGGGAGAAGAAAGAAUAGAUCCUCUUUUUUUUUCUUCUUCUUCCUCUUUUUUUUUAUCGGGAACGAGGGUCGUCGACGCCCACGUCACUUGUGGGACGUGGAUGUAGUGUCCGACACCGAUGGCCACAUGUAUCUCACACCCACGAUACUUACUAUUUAGGGUUUCCUCUACCGCUCGGCGACCCUGACCCUCGACGACCCUCGUUUCNNNNNNNNNNNNNNNNNNNNNNNNNNNNNNNNNNNNNNNNNNNNNNNNNNNNNNNNNNNNNNNNNNNNNNNNNNNNNNNNNNNNNNNNNNNNNNNNNNNNNNNNNNNNNNNNNNNNNNNNNNNNNNNNNNNNNNNNNNNNNNNNNNNNNNNNNNNNNNNNNNNNNNNNNNNNNNNNNNNNNNNNNNNNNNNNNNNNNNNNNNNNNNNNNNNNNNNNNNNNNNNNNNNNNNNNNNNNNNNNNNNNNNNNNNNNNNNNNNNNNNNNNNNNNNNNNNNNNNNNNNNNNNNNNNNNNNNNNNNNNNNNNNNNNNNNNNNNNNNNNNNNNNNNNNNNNNNNNNNNNNNNNNNNNNNNNNNNNNNNNNNNNNNNNNNNNNNNNNNNNNNNNNNNNNNNNNNNNNNNNNNNNNNNNNNNNNNNNNNNNNNNNNNNNNNNNNNNNNNNNNNNNNNNNNNNNNNNNNNNNNNNNNNNNNNNNNNNNNNNNNNNNNNNNNNNNNNNNNNNNNNNNNNNNNNNNNNNNNNNNNNNNNNNNNNNNNNNNNNNNNNNNNNNNNNNNNNNNNNNNNNNNNNNNNNNNNNNNNNNNNNNNNNNNNNNNNNNNNNNNNNNNNNNNNNNNNNNNNNNNNNNNNNNNNNNNNNNNNNNNNNNNNNNNNNNNNNNNNNNNNNNNNNNNNNNNNNNNNNNNNNNNNNNNNNNNNNNNNNNNNNNNNNNNNNNNNNNNNNNNNNNNNNNNNNNNNNNNNNNNNNNNNNNNNNNNNNNNNNNNNNNNNNNNNNNNNNNNNNNNNNNNNNNNNNNNNNNNNNNNNNNNNNNNNNNNNNNNNNNNNNNNNNNNNNNNNNNNNNNNNNNNNNNNNNNNNNNNNNNNNNNNNNNNNNNNNNNNNNNNNNNNNNNNNNNNNNNNNNNNNNNNNNNNNNNNNNNNNNNNNNNNNNNNNNNNNNNNNNNNNNNNNNNNNNNNNNNNNNNNNNNNNNNNNNNNNNNNNNNNNNNNNNNNNNNNNNNNNNNNNNNNNNNNNNNNNNNNNNNNNNNNNNNNNNNNNNNNNNNNNNNNNNNNNNNNNNNNNNNNNNNNNNNNNNNNNNNNNNNNNNNNNNNNNNNNNNNNNNNNNNNNNNNNNNNNNNNNNNNNNNNNNNNNNNNNNNNNNNNNNNNNNNNNNNNNNNNNNNNNNNNNNNNNNNNNNNNNNNNNNNNNNNNNNNNNNNNNNNNNNNNNNNNNNNNNNNNNNNNNNNNNNNNNNNNNNNNNNNNNNNNNNNNNNNNNNNNNNNNNNNNNNNNNNNCGGGACUAAAGGGGGGCAUUGGUCACGGUUUGUGCCACGAACCGUGACCAAUGCCCCCUUUAGUCCCGGUUGGUGCCAUCAACCGGGACCAAAGGCCUGCGCCUGCCAAAGCCGUGGUGCGGUAGGAUGUUUAGUCCCACCUCGCUAGCUGAGGAGCGGCCGCACCUGUUUAUAAGCGCUGCACCUGUUUGGGCCUAAUCUCACAACGCUAUGCCUGCUGGGCCUUCUGCGGGCCUGAAUCCUGGCCCAUGGAUGGGCUUCUAGUCGUAUUCAGGCCGUGGUGGCCCAGUAGGUGGCAUUUUUUAUUACUAUUUGAUUUUUCAUUUCUACUUAGAACUAAAUACUUGUAGUUUUUUAGUGAUUUUUUUCUUUUAGGUCACAAAAAUUAUAAACUUUCUAUUAUUGCCAUUAGUUUUAAAAUUUGAAUAGUUUAAUUUUGAAUUUUUUAAAAUUUGUGUGAAUCACUAGUUUAUGAAUAACUUUACCGUAAAAAUUGAUUUUUGAGUCAUUUUUUUCCUGCUAUUUAAUAUUACUGUGUUUUAUCAUUAUACUCAAUUUGGUAAUUUUAGUUAGUCAUAACAAAUAUUAUAGGCAUUUUUUUCUUUUUUGCUAUUUUUUUUCAUUUCUACUUAGAACAAAAUACUUAUAGUUCUUUAGUGAUUUCUUUUUUCUUUUAGGUCACAAAAAUUAUAAACUUUCUGGUAGUUCCAUUAGUUUUCANNNNNNNNNNNNNNNNNNNNNNNNNNNNNNNNNNNNNNNNNNNNNNNNNNNNNNNNNNNNNNNNNNNNNNNNNNNNNNNNNNNNNNNNNNNNNNNNNNNNNNNNNNNNNNNNNNNNNNNNNNNNNNNNNNNNNNNNNNNNNNNNNNNNNNNNNNNNNNNNNNNNNNNNNNNNNNNNNNNNNNNNNNNNNNNNNNNNNNNNNNNNNNNNNNNNNNNNNNNNNNNNNNNNNNNNNNNNNNNNNNNUUAAUUCUUUUUGCUUUUCGUUUUAGAAAAAUUAUAAACUUUCUGUUAGUGCCAUUAGUUUUCAAAUUUGAAAACACUUUUUUAGUUUUUUUGCUUUCUUUGUUGCUUUAUUUAUUUUAUUUUGUUUCUACUUACAAAAAAAUACUUAUUGUUGCUAUUUUUUUUCAGUUUUUGUUUUGUUUUCUUUAUUAUUUAUUUUCUUUUGUUUUUUGCUUUAAUUUUUAAUUCUUUUUGCUUUUAGGUCAGCAAAAUUAUAAACUUUCUGUUAGUGCCACUAGUUUUAGAAAAAUUAUAAACUUUCUGUUAGUGCCAUUAGUUUUCAAAUUUGAAUAGUUAAAAUUUGAAUUCUUUAAAAUUUGUAUGAACCACAAGUUUGUGAUUAACUUUACUAAAAAAAUGAACAUAGAUGCACCUAUAGAGAAAAUUCGACCUAAAUUCAUAGUUUUCAAAUGAACUCUCAAAAAGUUGGCAUAGCAUACUCGUGUGUUACAAAGUUGGCAUGGUAUCAUCAUAAUAGUUGCUUGAGAAAGUCUUCACUUUUUCUUCGCUUGUGUCAUUUGCUUAUUGCGCCGUAACCAUGGAUAAUCUUCAUCGUUUAUCAGGAUGCUUGGGUCAGCCUUGACAUUGAAGGGAGGAAUUUCAUGAAACUUUUCAUAAUCUUCAGACAUGUCUGUCUUGCCCUCCACUCCCAGGAUAUCCCUUUUUCCUGAAAGAACUAUAUGGCGCUUUGGCUCAUCGUAUGAUGUAUUCGCUUCCUUAUCUUUUCUUUUUCUCGGUUUGGUAGACAUGUCCUUCACAUAGAUAACCUGUGCCACAUCAUUGGCUAGGACGAACGGUUCGUCAGUAUACCCAAGAUUUUUCAGAUCCACUGUUGUCAUUCCGUACUGUGGGUCUACCUGUACCCCGCCGCCUGACAGAUUGACCCAUUUGCACUUAAACAAAGGGACCUUAAAAUCAUGUCCGUAGUCAAGUUCCCAUAUGUCCAUUAUGUAACCAUAAUAUGCAUCCUUUCCGCUCUCGGUUGCUGCAUCAAAGCGGACACCGCUGUUUUGGUUGGUGCUCUUUUGAUCUUGGGCGAUCAUGUAAAAUGUAUUCCCAUUUAUCUCGUAUCCUUUGUAAGUCAAUACAGUCAAAGAUGGUCCCCUGGACAACAAGUGCAACUCAUCACAAACAGUGUUGUCACCUCUGAGACGUGUUUCCAACCAACUGUUGAAAGUCCUGAUGUGUUCACAUGUAAUCUAGUCGUCGCACUGCUCCGGAUGUUUGGAGCGCAGACUGUUUUUGUGUUCAUCGAUAUACGGGGCCACCAUGGUAGAGUUCUGUAGAACUGUGUAGUGUGCUUGAGACCAAGAAUAUCCGUCCCUGCAUAUUAUUGAGUCACUUCCAAGAGUGCCUUUUCCAGUCAGUCUCCCCUCAUACCGCGAUUUAGGGAGACCUAUCUUCUUAAGGCCAGGAAUGAAGUCAACACAAAAUUCGAUAACAUCCUCUGUUUGAUGGCCCAUGGAGAUGCUUCCUUCUGACCUAGCGCGGUUACGGACAUAUUUCUUUAGGACUCCCAUGAACCUCUCAAAGGGGAACAUAUUGUGUAGAAAUACGGGCCCCAGGAUGACAAUCUCGUCGACUAGAUGAACUAGGACGUGCGUCAUGAUAUUGAAGAAGGAUGGUGGGAACACCAGCUCGAAACUGACAAGACAUUGCGCCACAUCACUCCUUAGCCUUGGUACAAUUUCUGGAUCGAUCACCUUCUGAGAGAUUGCAUUGAGGAAUGCACAUAGCUUCACAAUGGCUAAUCGGACGUUUUCUGGUAGAAGCCCCCUCAAUGCAGCCGGAAGCAGUUGCGUCAUAAUCACAUGGCAGUCAUGAGACUUUAGGUUCUGAAACUUUUUCUCUGGCAUAUUUAUUAUUCCCUUUAUAUUCGAUGAGAAGCCAGUCGUGACCUUCAUACUGAGCAGGCAUUCAAAGAAGAUUUCUUUCUCUUCUUUCGUAAGAGCAUAGCUGGCAGGACCUUUAUACUGCUUCGGAGGCAUGCCGUCUUUUUCAUGCAAAUGUUGCAGGUCCUCCCAUGCCUCGGAUGUAUCUUUUGUCUUCCCAUACAAGAAGCCUACCAGGUUCACACAAAGGUUCUUCAUCACGUGCAUCACGUCGAUUGAAGAGCAGACCUCUAGGUCUUUCCAGUAGGGUAGGUCCCAAAAUAUAGAUUUCUUCUUCCACAUGGGUGCGUGUCCCUCAGCGUCAUUCGGAACAGCUAGUCCGCCGGGACACUUUCCAAAGAUUACAUGUAAAUCAUUGACCAUAGCAAGUACGUGAUCACCGGUACGCAUGGCGGGCUUCUUCUGGUGAUCUGCCUCGCCUUUGAAAUGCUUGCCUUUCUUUCGACAUUGAUGGUUGGUCGGAAGAAAUCAACGAUGGCCCAGGUACACAUUUUUCCUGCAUUUGUCCAGGUAUAUACUUUCAGUGUCAUCUAAACAGUGCGUGCAUGCGUGGUAUCCUUUGUUUGUCUAUCCUGAAAGGUUACUGAGAGCGGGCCAAUCAUUGACGGUCACGAACAGCAAAGCCUUUAGGUUAAAUUCCUCCUGUCUAUGGUCAUCCCACGUACGUACACUGUUUCCAUUCCACAGCUGUAAAAGUUCUUCAACUAAUGGCCUUAGGUACACAUCAAUGUCCUUGCCGGGUUGCUUAGUGUAGGGGAACAUAGUAAUUUCAAAAUUUUCCUACGCACACGCAAGAUCAUGGUGAUGCAUAGCAACGAGAGGGGAGAGUGUUGUCUAUGUACCCUCGUAGACCGAAGCGGAAGCGCUGACACAACGUAGAGGAAGUAGUCGUACGUCUUCCCGAUCCUACCGAUCCAAGCACCGUUACUCCGGCACCUCCGAGUUCUUAGCACACGUACAGCUCGAUGACGCUCCCCAGGCUUCGAUCCAACAAAGCUUCGGGGAUGAGUUCCAUCAGCACAACGGCGUGGUGACGAUGAUGAUGUUCUACCGACGCAGGGCUUCGCCUAAGCACUACAAUGAUAUGACCGAGGUGGAAUAUGGUGGAAGGGGGCACCGCACACGGCUAAGGAACGAUCACGUUGAUCAAUUGUGUGUUCUAGGGUGUCCCCUUGCCUCCGUAUAUAAAGGAUCCAAGGGGGAGGGGUUCGGCCGGCCCUAUGGAGGCGCAGGAGGAGUCCUACUCCUACCGGGAGUAGGACUCCCCCCUUUCCUAGUCCAAGUAGGAUUGGUGGAGAAGAAAGGGAAAGAGGGGGGUGCAGCCCCUCCCUCCUUGUCCAAUUCGGACUAGGGGGAGAGGGGGCGCGCGGCCUGCCCUGGCAGCCCCUUCCUAUUCUCCACUUUAGGCCCAUGAGGCCCAUUAACACCCCGGGGGGUUCCGGUAACCCCCCGGUGCUCCGGUUUUAUCCGAAACUUCAUCGGAACCCUUCCGGUGUCUGAAUAUAGUCAUCCAAUAUAUCAAUCUUUAUGUCUCGACCAUUUCGAGACUCCUCGUCAUGCCCGUGAUCACAUCCGGGACACCGAACUAACUUCGGUACAUCAAAAUGUAUAAACUCAUAAUAACUAUCAUCGUAACGUUAAGCGUGCGGACCCUAUGGUUCGAGAACAAUGUAGACAUGACCGAGACACGUCUCCGGUCAAUAACCAAUAGCGGGACCUGGAUGCCCAUAUUGGCUCCUACAUAUUCUACGAAGAUCUUUAUCGGUCAGACCGCAUAACAACAUACGUUGUUCCCUUUGUCAUCGGUAUGUUACUUGCCCGAGAUUCGAUCGUCGGUAUCCAAUACCUAGUUCAAUCUCGUUACCGGCAAAUCUCUUUACUCGUUCCGUAAUACAUCAUCUCACAACUAACUCAUUAGUUGUAAUGCUUGCAAGGCUUAUGUGAUGUGCAUUACCGAGAGGGCCCAGAGAUACCUCUCCGACAAUCGGAGUGACAAAUCCUAAUCUCGAAAUACGCCAACCCAACAUCUACCUUUGGAGACACCUGUAGAGCACCUUUAUAAUCACCCAGUUACGUUGUGACGUUUGGUAGCACACAAAGUGUUCCUCCGGCAAACGGGAGUUGCAUAAUCUCAUAGUCAUAGGAACAUGUAUAAGUCAUGAAGAAAGCAAUAGCAACAUACUAAACGAUCGGGUGCUAAGCUAAUGGAAUGGGUCAUGUCAAUCAGAUCAUUCAACUAAUGAUGUGAUCUCGUUAAUCAAAUAACAACUCUUUGUUCAUGGUUAGGAAACAUAACCAUCUUUGAUUAACGAGCUAGUCAAGUAGAGGCAUACUAGUGACACUCUGUUUGUCUAUGUAUUCACACAUGUAUUAUGUUUCCGGUUAAUACAAUUCUAGCAUGAAUAAUAAACAUUUAUCAUGAUGUAAGGAAAUAAAUAAUAACUUUAUUAUUGCCUCUAGGGCAUAUUUCCUUCAGUCUCCCACUUGCACUAGAGUCAAUAAUCUAGAUUACACAGUAAUGAUUCUAACACCCAUGGAGCCUUGGUGCUGAUCAUGUUUUGCUCGUGGAAGAGGCUUAGUCAACGGGUCUGCAACAUUCAGAUCCGUAUGUAUCUUGCAAAUCUCUAUGUCUCCCACCUGGACUAGAUCCCGGAUGGAAUUGAAGCGUCUCUUGAUGUGCUUGGUUCUCUUGUGAAAUAUGGAUUCCUUUGCCAAGGCAAUUGCACCAGUAUUGUCACAAAAGAUUUUCAUUAGACCCGAUGCACUAGGUAUGACACCUAGAUCGGAUAUGAACUCCUUCAUCCAGACUCCUUCGUUUGCUACUUCCGAAGCAGCUAUGUACUCCGCUUCACAUGUAGAUCCCGCCACAAUGCUUUGUUCAGAACUGCACCAACUGACAGCUCAACCGUUUAAUGUAAACAUGUAUCCGGUUUGUGAUUUAGAAUCGUCCGGAUCAGUGUCAAAGCUUGCAUCAACGUAACCGUUUACGAUGAGCUCUUUGUCACCUCCAUAUACGAGAAACAUAUCCUUAGUCCUUUUCAGGUACUUCAGGAUGUUCUUGACCGUUGUCCAGUGAUCCACUCCUGGAUUACUUUGGUACCUCCCUGCUAAACUUAUAGCAGGGCACACAUCAGGUCUGGUACACAGCAUUGCAUACAUGAUAGAGCCUAUGGCUGAAGCAUAGGGAACAUCUUUCAUUUUCUCUCUAUCUUCUGAAGUGGUCGGGCAUUGAGUCUGACUCAACUUCACACCUUGUAACACAGGCAAGAACCCUUUCUUUGCUUGAUCCAUUUUGAACUUCUUCAAAAUCUUGUCAAGGUAUGUGCUUUGUGAAAGUCCAAUUAAGCGUCUUGAUCUAUCUCUAUAGAUCUUUAUGCCUAAUAUGUAAGCAGCUUCACCGAGGUCUUUCAUUGAAAAACUCUUAUUCAAGUAUCCCUUUAUGCUAUCCAGAAAUUCUAUAUCAUUUCCAAUCAGUAAUAUGUCAUCCACAUAUAAUAUCAGAAAUGCUAUAGAGCUCCCACUCACUUUCUUGUCAAUACAGGCUUCUCCAAAAGUCUGUACAAAACCAAAUGCUUUGAUCACACUAUCAAAGCGUUUAUUCCAACUCCGAGAGGCUUGCACCAGUCCAUAAAUGGAUCGCUGGAGCUUGCACACUUUGUUAGAUCCUUUCGGAUCGACAAAACCUUCCGGUUGCAUCAUAUACAACUCUUCUUCCAGAAAUCCAUUCAGGAAUGCAGUUUUGACAUCCAUCUGCCAAAUUUCGUAAUCAUAAAAUGCGGCAAUUGCUAACAUGAUUCGAACGGACUUAAGCAUCGCUACGGGUGAGAAGGUCUCAUCAUAGUCAACCCCUUGAACUUGUCCAAAACCUUUUGCGACAAGUCGAGCUUUGUAGACAGUAACAUUACCGUCAGCGUCAGUCUUUUUCUUGAAGAUCCAUUUAUUCUCAAUUGCUUGCCGACCAUCGGGCAAGUUAACCAAAGUCCAUACUUUGUUCUCAUACAUGGAUCCCAUUUCAGAUUUCAUGGCUUCAAGCCAUUUUGCGGAAUCUGGGCUCACCAUCGCUUCUUCAUAGUUAGUAGGUUCAUCAUGAUCUAGCAGCAUGAUUUCUAGAACAGGAUUACCGUACCACUCUGGCGCGGAUCUCACUCUGGUUGAUCUACGAGGUUCAGUAGUAUCUUGUCCUGAAGUUUCAUGAUCAUUAUCAUUAGCUUCCUCACUUAUGGGUGUAGGUGUCGCAGAAACAGUUUUCUGUGAUGUACUUCUUUCCAAUAAGGGGGCAGGUACAGUUACCUCGUCAAGUUCUACUUUCCUCCCACUCACUUCUUUCGAGAGAAACUCCUUCUCUAGAAAGGAUCCAUUCUUAGCAACGAAUGUCUUGCCUUCGGAUCUGUGAUAGAAGGUGUACCCAACAGUCUCCUUUGGGUAACCUAUGAAGACACAUUUCUCCGAUUUGGGUUCAAGCUUAUCAGGUUGAAGCUUUUUCACAUAAGCAUCGCAGCCCCAGACUUUAAGAAACGACAACUUUGGUUUCUUGCCAAACCAUAGUUCAUAAGGCGUCGUCUCAACGGAUUUUGAUGCUGCCCUAUUUAACGUGAAUGCGGCCGUCUCUAAAGCAUAACCCCAAAACGAUAGCGGUAAAUCAGUAAGAGACAUCAUAGAUCGCACCAUAUCUAGUAAAGUACGAUUACGACGUUCGGACACACCAUUACGCUGUGGUGUUCCGGGUGGCGUGAGUUGCGAAACUAUUCCGCAUUGUUUCAAAUGUACACCAAACUCGUAACUCAAAUAUUCUCCUCCAUGAUCAGAUCGUAGAAACUUUAUUUUCUCGUUACGAUGAUUUUCAACUUCACUCUGAAAUUCUUUGAACUUUUCAAAUGUUUCAGACUUGUGUUUCAUUAAGUAGAUAUACCCAUAUCUGCUUAAAUCAUUUGUGAAGUUGAGAAAAUAACGAUAUCCGCCACGAGCCUCAAUAUUCAUCGGACCACAUACAUCGGUAUGUAUGAUUUCCAACAAAUCUGUUGCUCUCUCCAUAGUACCGGAGAACGGUGUUUUAGUCAUCUUGCCCAUGAGGCACGGUUCGCAAGUACCAAGUGAUUCAUAAUCAAGUAGUUCCAAAAGUCCAUCAGUAUGGAGUUUCUUCAUGCGCUUUACACCGAUAUGACCUAAACGGCAGUGCCACAAAUAAGUUGCACUAUCAUUAUCAACUCUGCAUCUUUUGGUUUCAACAUUAUGAAUAUGUGUAUCACUACUAUCGAGAUUCAUCAGAAAUAGACCACUCUUCAAGGGUUCAUGACCAUAAAAGAUAUUACUCAUAUAAAUAGAACAACCAUUAUUCUCUGAUUUAAAUGAAUAACCGUCUCGCAUCAAACAAGAUCCAGAUAUAAUGUUCAUGCUUAACGCUGGCACCAAAUGACAAUUAUUUAGGUCUAAUACUAAUCCCGAAGGUAGAUGUAGAGGUAGCGUGCCGACCGCGAUCACAUCGACUUUGGAACCGUUUCCCACGCGCAUCGUCACCUCGUCCUUUGCCAGUGUUCGCCUAAUCCGUAGUCCCUGUUUCGAGUUGCAAAUAUUAGCAAUAUAACCAGUAUCAAAUACCCAGGUGCUACUGCGAGCUCUAGUAAGGUACACAUCAAUAACAUGUAUAUCACUUAUACCUUUAUUCACCUUGCCAUCCUUCUUAUCCGCCAAAUACUUGGGGCAGUUCCGCUUCCAGUGACCAGUCUGCUUGUAGUAGAAGCACUCAGUUUCAGGCUUAGGUCCAGACUUGGGUUUCUUCUCCUGAGCAGCAACUUGCUUGCCGUUCUUCUUGAAGUUCCCCUUCUUCUUCCCUUUGCCCCUUUUCUUGAAACUAGUGGUCUUGUUGACCAUCAACACUUCAUGCUCCUUCUUGAUUUCUACCUCCGCAGCUUUCAGCAUUGCGAAGAGCUCGAGAAUAGUCUUAUUCAUCCAUUGCAUAUUAUAGUUCAUCACAAAGCUCUUGUAGCUUGGUGGCAGUGAUUGGAGAAUUCUGUCAAUGACGCAAUCAUCUGGAAAAUUAACUCCCAUCUAAAUCAAGUGAUUAUUAUACCCAGACAUUUUGAGUAUAUGCUCACUGACAGAACUAUUCUCCUCCAUCUUGCAGCUAUAGAACUUAUUGGAGACUUCAUAUCUCUCAAUCCGGGCAUUUGCUUGAAAUAUUAGCUUCAACUCCUGGAACAUCUCAUAUGCUCCAUGACGUUCAAAACGUCGUUGAAGUCCCAAUUCUAAGCCGUAAAGCAUGGCACACUGAACUAUCGAGUGGUCAUCAGCUUUGCUCCGCCAGACGUUCAUAACAUCUGGUGUUGCUCCAGCAGCAGGCCUGGCACCCAGCGGUGCUUCCAGGACGUAAUUCUUCUGUGCAGCAAUGAGGAUAAUCCUCAAGUUACGGACCCAGUCCGUGUAAUUGCUACCAUCAUCUUUCAACUUUGCUUUUGUUGGGGAACGUAGUAAUUUCAAAAAUUUCCUACGCACACGCAAGAUCAUGGUGAUGCAUAGCAACGAGGGGGAGAGUCUGAUCUACGUACCCUUGUAGAUCGCAACGGAAGCGUUGACACAACGUAGAGGAAGUAGUCGUACGUCUUCUUCCCGAUCCGACCGAUCCAAGCACUGUUACUCCGGCACCUCCGAGUUCUUAGCACACGUUCAGCUCGAUGACGAUCCUCGGGCUCCGAUCCAGCAAAGCGUCGAGGAAGAGUUCCGUCAGCACGACGGCGUGGUGACGAUCUUGACGUACUACCGACGUAGGGCUUCGCCUAAGCACUACAACGGUAUGAUCGAGGUGGAAUUUGGUGGCAGGGGGCACCGCACACGGCUAAGGAACGAUUUCAAGGAUCAACUUGUGUGUCUAUGGGGAGCCCCCCGCCCCUGUAUAUAAAGGAUGGAGGAGGAGGAGGCCGGCCAAGGCAAAGGUGCGGCCAGGAUAGGGAGUCCUACUAGGACUCCAAGUCCUAGUAGGAGUCCACCAAAAGGGGAGGAAGGGAGAAGGAAUAGGAGGAGAAGGAGAGGUGGCCGGCCCCCUUUUCCCUAGUCCAAUUCGGACCAAAGGGGAGGGGGGGCGCAGCAGCCUUUUCCUCUUCCCACUAAAGCCCAUCAAGGCCCAUUACUUCUCCCGUAACUACCCGGUACUCCGAAAAAUACCCGAAUCACUCGGAACCUUUCCGAUGUCCGAAUAUAGUCGUCCAAUAUAUCGAUCUUUACGUCUCGACCAUUUCGAGACUCCUCGUCAUGUCCCCGAUUUCAUCCGGGACUCCGAACUCCUUCGGUACAUCAAUACUCAUAAACUCAUAAUAUAACUGUCAUCGAAACCUAAAGCGUGCGGACCCUAUGGUUCGAGAACAAUGUAGACAUGACCGAGACACGUCUUCGGUCAAUAACCAAUAGCGGGACCUGGAUGCCCAUAUUGGCUCCUACAUAUUCUACGAAGAUCUUUAUCGGUCAGACCGCAUAACAACAUACGUUGUUCCCUUUGUCAUCGGUAUGUUACUUGCCCGAGAUUCGAUCGUCGGUAUCCAAUACCUAGUUCAAUCUCGUUACCGGCAAGUCUCUUUACUCAUUCUAUAAUACAUCAUCCCACAACUAACUCAUUAGUUGCAAUGCUUGCAAGGCUUAAGUGAUGUGCAUUACCGAGAGGGCCCAGAGAUACCUCUCCGAUAAUCGGAGUGACAAAUCCUAAUCUCGAAAUACGCCAACCCAACAUCUUCCUUUGGAGACACCUGUAAUGCUCCUUUAUAAUCACCCAGUUACGUUGUGACGUUUUGUAGCACCCAAAGUGAUCCUCCGGCAAACGGGAGUUGCAUAAUCUCAUAGUCAUAGGAACAUGUAUAAGUCAUGAAGAAAGCAAUAGCAACAUACUAAACGAUCGGGUGCUAAGCUAAUGGAAUGGGUCAUGUCAAUCAGAUCAUUCAACUAAUGAUGUGACCUCGUUAAUCAAAUAACAACUCUUUUGUCCAUGGUUAGGAAACAUAACCAUCUUUGAUUAACGAGCUAGUCAAGUAGAGGCAUACUAGUGACACUCUGUUUGUCUAUGUAUUCACACAUGUAUUAUGUUUCCGGUUAAUACAAUUCUAGCAUGAAUAAUAAACAUUUAUCAUGAUAUAAGGAAAUAAAUAAUAACUUCAUUAUUGCCUCUAGGGCAUAUUUCCUUCAGUCUCCCACUUGCACUAGAGUCAAUAAUCUAGUUCACAUCGCCAUGUGAUUUAACAGCAAUAGUUCACAUCACCAUGUGAUUAACACCCAUAGUUCACAUCGUCAUGUGACCAACACUCAAAGGGUUUACUAGAGUCAGUAAUCUAGUUCACAUAUCUAUGUGAUUAACACCCAAAGAGUACUAAGGUGUGAUCAUGUUUUGCUUGUGAGAUAAUUUUAGUCAACGGGUCUGUCACAUUCAGAUCUGUAAGUAUUUUGCAAGUUCUAUGUCUACAAUGCUCUACACGGAGCUACUCUAGCUAAUUGCUCCCACUUUCAAUAUGUAUCCAGAUUGAGACUUUAGAUUCAUCUGGAUCAGUGUCAAAAACUUGCAUCGACGUAACCCUUUACGACGAACCUUUUUGUCACGUCCAUAAUCGAGAAACAUAUCCUUAUUUCACUAAGGAUAAUUCUGACCGCUGUCCAGUGAUCUACUCCUAGAUCACUAUUAUACUCCCUUGCCAAAUCAAUGCAGGGUAUACAAUAGAUCUGGUAUACAGCAUGACAUACUUUAUAGAACCUAUGGCCAAGGCAUAGGGAAUGACUUUCAUUCUCUUUCUAUCUUCUGCCGUGGUCGGGCUUUGAGUCUUACUCAACUUCACACCUUGUAAUACAGGCAAGAACUCUUUCUUUGACUGCUCCAUUUUGAGCUACUUCAAAAUCUUGUCAAGGUAUGUACUUAUUGAAAAAACUUAUCAAGCGUCUUGAUCUAUCUCUAUAGAUCUUGAAGCUCAAUAUGUAAGCAGCUUCACCGAAGUCUUUCUUUGAAAAACUCCUUUCAAACACUCCUUUAUGCUUUACAGAAUAAUUCUACAUUAUUUCCGAUCAACAAUAUGUCAAUCACAUAUACUUAUCAGAAAUGCUGUAGUGUCCCACUCACUUUCUUGUAAAUACAGGCUUCACCGCAAGUCUGUAUAAAACUAUAUGCUUUGAUCAACUCAUCAAAGCGUAUAUUCCAACUCCGAGAUGCUUGCACCAGUCCACAGAUGGAUCGCUGGAGCUUGCACAUUUUGUUAGCACCUUUCGGAUUGACAAAACCUUCUGUUGCAUCAUAUACAACUCUUCUUUAAUAAAUCCAUUAAGGAAUGCAGUUUUGUUUAUCCAUUUGCCAGAUUUCAUAAAAUGCGGCAAUUACUAACAUGAUUCGGACAGACUCAAGCAUAGAUACGAGUGAGAAGCUCUCAUCGUAGUCAACACCUUGAACUUGUCGAAAACCUUUUUGCGACAAUUCUAGCUUUGUAGAUAGUAACACUACUAUCAGCGUCCGUCUUCCUCUUGAAGAUCCAUUUAUUCUCAAUUGCUUGCCGAUCAUUGGGCAAGUCAACCAAAGUCCAAACUUUGUUCUCAUACAUGGAUCAUAUCUCAGAUUUCAUGGCCUCAAACCAUUUCGCGGAAUCUGGGCUCAUCAUUGCUUCCUCAUAGUUCGUAGGUUCAUCAUGAUCUAGUAGCAUGACUUCCAGGAUUGGAUUACCGUACCACACUGGUGCGGAUCUCACUCUGGUUGAUCUACGUGGUUCAGUAGUAUCUUGUCCUGAAGUUUCAUGAUCAUCAUCAUUAGCUUCCUCACUAAUUGGUAUAGGUGUCGCAGAAACAGUUUUCUGUGAUGUACUAUUUUCCAAUAAGGGAGCAGGUACAGUUACCUCGUCAAGUUCUACUUUCCUCCCACUCACUUCUUUUGAGAGAAACUCCUUCUCUAGAAAGGAUCCAUUAUAAGCAACGAAUGUCUUGCCUUAGGAUCUGUGAUAGAAGGUGUACCCAACAGUCUCCUUUGGGUAUCCUAUGAAGACAUAUUUCUCCGAUUUGGGUUUGAGCUUAUCAGGAUGAAACUUUUUCUCAUAAGCAUCGCAACCCCAAACUUCAAGAAACGACAACUUUGGUUUCUUGCCUAACCAUAGUUCAUACGGUGUCGUCUCAACGGAUUUAGAUGGUGCCCUAUUUAACGUGAAUGCAGCUUUCUCUAAUGCAUGAUCCCAAAACGAUAUUGGUAAAUCGGUAAGAAACAUCAUAGAUUGUACUAUAUCCAAUAAAGUACGGUUAUGACGUUCGGACACACCAUUAUGCUGUGGUGUUCCAGGUGGCGUGAGUAGUGAAACUAUUUCACAUUGUUUUAACUGAAGACCAAACUCGUAACUCAAAUACUCUUUUCCACGAUCAGAUCGUAGAAACUUUAUUUUCUUGUUACGAUGAUUUUCCACUUCACUCUGAAAUUAUAUGAACUUUUCAAAUGUAUCAGACUUCUAUUUCAUUAAGUAGAUAUACCCAUAUCUGCUCAAAUCAUCUGUGAAGGUUUAGAAAAUAAUGAUACCCGCUGCAAGCCUUAAAUAUUCAUCGGACCACAUACAUUUGUAUGUAUGAUUUCCAACAAAUCUGUUGCUUGCUCCAUUGUUCCGGAGAACGGCGUUUUAGUCAUCUUGCCCAAAAGGCAUGGUUCGCAAGCAUCAAGUGAUUCCGAAAGCCCAUCAGCAUGGAGUUUCUUCAUGUGCUUUAUACCAAUAUGACCUAAACGGCAGUGCCACAAAUAAGUUGCACUAUCAUUAUUAACUUUGCAUCUUUUGGUUUCAAUAUUAUGAAUAUGUGUAUCACUACGAUCGAGAUCCAACGAACUUGUUUCAUUGGGUGUAUGACCAUCGAAGGUUUUAUUCAUGUAAACAGAACAACAAUUAUUCUCUGACUUUAAUGAAUAACCGUAUUGCAAUAAACAUGAUCAAAUCAUAUUCAUGCUCAACCAAAUAACACUUAUUUAAGUUCAACACUAAUCCCGAAAGUAUAGGGGAGUGUGUGAUGAUGAUCAUAUCAAUCUUGGAACUACUUCCAACACACAUCGUCACUUCACCCUUAACUAGUCUUUGUUUAUUCUGCAACUCCUGUUUCGAGUUACUACUCUUAGCAACUGAACCAAUAUCAAAUACUGAGGGGUUGCUAUAAACACUAGUAAAGCACACAUCAAUAACAUGUAUAUCAAAUAUACUUUUGUUCACUUUGCCAUCCUUCUUAUCCGCCAAAUACUUGGGGCAGUUCCGCUUCCAGUGACCAGUCCCUUUGCAGUAGAAGCACUUAGUCUCAGGCUUAGGACCAAACUUCGGCUUCUUCACUUGAGCAGCAACUUGCUUGCCGUUCUUCUUGAAGUUCCCCUUCUUCCCUUUGCCCUUUUCUUGAAACUAGUGAUCCUGUCAACCAUCAACACUUGAUGUUUUUCUUGAUUUCGACCUUCGUUGAUUUCAGCAUCACGAAGAGCUUGGGAGUUGUUUCCGUUAUCCCUUGCAUAUUAUAGUUCAUCACGAAGUUCUACUAACUUGGUGAUGGUGACUAGAGAAUUUUGUCAAUCACUAUCUUAUCUGGAAGAUUAACUCCCACUUGAUUCAAGCGAUUGUAGUACUCAGAUAAUCUGGGCACAUGCUCACUAGUUGAGCGAUUCUCCCCCAUCUUUCAGCUAUAGAACUUGUUGGAGACUUCAUAUCUCUCAACUCGGGUAUUUACUUGAAAUAUUAACUUCAGCUUCUGGAACAUCUCAUAUGGUCCAUGACGCUCAGAACGUCUUUGAAGUCCCGAUUCUAAGCCAUUAAGCAUGGUGCACUAAACUAUCAAGUAGUCAUCAUAUUGGGCUAGCCAAACGUUCAUAACGUCGGCAUCUGCUCCUGCAAUAGGUCUGUCACCUAGCGGUGCAUCAAGGACAUAAUUCCUCUAUGCAGCAAUGAGGAUAAAACUCAGAUCACGGAUCCAAUCCGCAUCAUUGCUACUAACAUCUUUCAACACAAUUUUCUCUAGGGACAUGUCAAAAUAAACACAGGGAAGCAACAACGCGAGCUAUUGAUCUACAACAUAAUUUGCAAAAUACUACCAGGACUAAGUUCAUGAUAAAUUUAAGUUCAAUUAAUCAUAUUACUUAAGAACUCCCACUUAGAUAGAUAUCCCUCUAAUCCUCUAAGUGAUCACGUGAUCCAAAUCAACUAAACCAUAACCGAUCAUCACGUGAGAUGGAGUAGUUUUCAAUGGUGAACAUCGUCAUGUUGAUCAUAUCUACUAUAUGAUUCACGCUCGACCUUUCGGUCUCUGUGUUCCGAGGCCAUAUCUGCAUAUGCUAGGCUCGUCAAGUUUAACCUGAGUAUUCUGCGUGUGCAAAACUGGCUUGCACCCGUUGUAGAUGGACGUAGAGCUUAUCACACCCGAUCAUCACGUGGUGUCUGGGCACGACGAACUUUGGCAACGGUGCAUACUCAGGGAGAACACUUCUUGAUAAUUCAGUGAGAGAUCAUCUUAUAAUGCUACCGUCAAUCAAAGCAAGAUAAGAUGCAUAAAAAGAUAAACAUCAUAUGUAAUCAAAAUAUGUGACAUGAUAUGGCCAUCAUCAUCUUGCUUCUUUGAUCUCCAUCUCCAAAGUACUGUCAUGAUCUAUAUCGUCACCGGCAUGACACCAUGAUCUCCAUCAUCUUGAUCUAUAUCAAUGUGUCGUCGUGUGGUCGUCUCACCAACAAUUGCUCUUGCAACUAUUGCUAUCGCAUAGCGAUAAAGUAAAGCAAUUACUGGACGCUUGCAUCUCAUGAAAUAGAGAGACAACCAUAAGGAUUUUGUCAGUUGCUGAUAACUUCAACAAAACAUGAUCAUCUUAUACAACAACUUAUAACUCAUCACGUUUUGACCAUAUCACAUCACAACAUGCCCUGCAAAAACAAGUUAGACGUCCUCUACUUUGUUGUUGCAAAUUUUACGUGGCUGCUACGGGCUUAGCAAGAACCAAUCUUACCUACGCAUCAAAACCACAACGAUAGUUUGUCAAAUAGACUCCGUUUUAACCUUCGCAAGGACCGGGCGUAGCCACACUCGGUUCAACUAAAGUUGGAGAAACAGUCACCCGCAAGUCACCUAUGUGCAAAGCACGUCGGGGAAACCGGUCUCGCGUAAGCGUACGCGUAAUGUCGGUCCGGGCCGCUUCAUCCAACAAUACCGCGGAACCAAAGUAUGACAUGCUGGUAGGCAGUAUGACUUAUAUCGCCCACAACUCACUUGUGUUCUACUCGUGCAUAUAACAUCAAACCAUAAAACCUAGGCUCGGAUGCCACUGUUGGGGAACGUAGUAAUUUCAAAAAUUUCCUACGCACACGCAAGAUCAUGGUGAUGCAUAGCAACGAGGGGGAGAGUCUGAUCUACGUACCCUUGUAGAUCGCAACGGAAGCGUUGACACAACGUAGAGGAAGUAGUCGUACGUCUUCUUCCUGAUCCGACCGAUCCAAGCACCGUUACUCCGGCACCUCCGAGUUCUUAGCACACGUUCAGCUCGAUGACGAUCCUCGGGCUCCGAUCCAGCAAAGCGUCGAGGAAGAGUUCCGUCAGCAUGACGGCGUGGUGACGAUCUUGAUGUACUACCGAUGUAGGGCUUCGCCUAAGCACUACAACGGUAUGAUCGAGGUGGAAUUUGGUGGCAGGGGGCACCGCACACGGCUAAGGAACGAUCUCAAGGAUCAACUUGUGUGUCUAUGGGGUGCCCCCUGCCCCUGUAUAUAAAGGAUGGAGGAGGAGGAGGCCGGCCAAGGCAAAGGUGCGGCCAGGAUAGGGAGUCCUACUAGGACUCCAAGUCCUAGUAGGAGUCCACCAAAAGGGGAGGAAGGGAGAAGGAAUAGGAGGAGAAGGAGAGGUGGCCGGCCCCCUUUUCCCUAGUCCAAUUCGGACCAAAGGGGAGGGGGGCGCAGCAGCCUUUUCCUCUUCCCACUAAAGCCCAUCAAGGCCCAUUACUUCUCCCGUAACUACCCGGUACUCCGAAAAAUACCCGAAUCACUCCGAACCUUUCCGAUGUCCAAAUAUAGUCGUUCAAUAUAUCGAUCUUUACGUCUCGACCAUUUCAAGACUCCUCGUCAUGUCCCCGAUCUCAUCCGGGACUCCGAACUCCUUCGGUACAUCAAUACUCAUAAACUCAUAAUUUAACUGUCAUGGAAACCUUAAGCGUGCGGACCCUACGGUUCGAGAACAAUGUAGACAUGACCGAGACACGUCUCCGGUCAAUAACCAAUAGCGGGACCUGGAUGCCCAUAUUGGCUCCUACAUAUUCUACGAAGAUCUUUAUCGGUCAGACCGCAUAACAACAUACGUUGUUCCCUUUGUCAUCGGUAUGUUACUUGCCCGAGAUUCGAUCGUUGGUAUCCAAUACCUAGUUCAAUCUCGUUACCGGCAAGUCUCUUUACUCGUUCUAUAAUACAUCAUCCCACAACUAACUCAUUAGUUGCAAUGCUUGCAAGGCUUAAGUGAUGUGCAUUACCGAGAGGGCCCAGAGAUACCUCUCCGACAAUCGGAGUGACAAAUCCUAAUCUCGAAAUACGCCAACCCAACAUCUUCCUUUGGAGACACCUGUAAUGCUCCUUUAUAAUCACCCAGUUACGUUGUGACGUUUGGUAGCACCCAAAGUGUUCCUCCGGCAAACGGGAGUUGCAUAAUCUCAUAGUCAUAGGAACAUGUAUAAGUCAUGAAGAAAGCAAUAGCAACAUACUAAACGAUCGGGUGCUAAGCUAAUGGAAUGGGUCAUGUCAAUCAGAUCAUUCAACUAAUGAUGUGACCUCGUUAAUCAAAUAACAACUCUUUUGUCCAUGGUUAGGAAACAUAACCAUCUUUGAUUAAUGAGCUAGUCAAGUAGAGGCAUACUAGUGACACUUUGUUUGUCUAUGUAUUCACACAUGUAUUAUGUUUCCCGUUAAUACAAUUCUAGCAUGAAUAAUAAACAUUUAUCUUGUGCUUGUGAUCUCCAUCUCCGAAGCACCUUCAUGAUCACCAUCGUCACCGGCGCGACACCUUGAUCUCCAUCGUAGCAUCGUUGUCGUCUCGCCAAUCUUAUGCUUCCACGACUAUCGCUACCGCUUAGUGAUAAAGUAAAGCAUUACAACGCGAUUGCAUUGCAUACAAUAAAGCGACAACCAUAUGGCUCCUGCCAGUUGCCGAUAACUUGGUUACAAAACAUGAUCAUCUCAUACAAUAAAAUUUAGCAUCAUGUCUUGACCAUAUCACAUCACAACAUGCCCUGCAAAAACAAGUUAGACGUCCUCUACUUUGUUGUUGCAUGUUUUACGUGGCUGCUACAGGCUUAAGCAAGAACCAAUCUUACCUAUGCAUCAAAACCACAACGAUAGUUUGUCAAGUUGAUGCCGUUUUAACCUUCGCAAGGACCGGGCGUAGCCACACUCGGUUCAACUAAAGUUGGAGAAACAGUCACCCGCAAGCCACCUUUGUGCAAAGCACGUCGGGAGAACCGGUCUCGCGUAAGCGUACGCGUAAUGUCGGUCUGGGCCGCUUCAUCCAACAAUACCGCCGAACCAAAGUAUGACAUGCUGGUAGGCAGUAUGACUUAUAUCGCCCACAACUCACUUGUGUUCUACUCAUGCAUAUAACAUCAAACCAUAAAACCUAGGCUCUGAUACCACUGUUGGGGAACGUAGCAAUUUCAAAAAAUUUCUACGCACACGCAAGAUCAUGGUGAUGCAUAGCAACAAGAGGGGAGAGUGUUGUCUAGAAGCGUUGACACAACGUAGAGGAAGUAGUCGUACGUCUUCCCGAUCCGACCGAUCCAAGCACCGUUACUCCGGCACCUCCGAGUUCUUAGCACACGUACAACUCGAUGACGCUCCCCGGGCUCCGAUCUAGCAAAGCUUCGGGGAUGAGUUCCGUCAGCACAACGGCGUGGUGACGAUGAUGAUGUUCUACCGACGCAGGGCUUCGCCUAAGCACUACAACGAUAUGACCGAGGUGGAAUAUGGUGGAAGGGGGCACCGCACACGGCUAAGGAACGAUCACGUUGAUCAAUUGUGUGUUCUAGGGUGCCCCCUUGCCUCCGUAUAUAAAGGAUCCAAGGGAGAGGGGUUCGGCCGGCCCUAUGGAGGCGCAGGAGGAGUCCUACUCCUAUCGGGAGUAGGACUCCCCCCCUUUUCCUUGUCCAAGUAGGAUUGGUGGAGAAGAAUGGGAAAGAGGGGGGCGCCGCCCCUCCCUCCUUGUCCAAUUCGGACUAGGGGGAGAGGGGGCGUGCGGCCUGCCCUGGCAGCCCCUUCCUCUUCUCCACUUUAGGCCCAUGAGGCCCAUUAACCCCCCGGGGGGUUCCGGUAACCCCCCGGUGCUCCGAUUUUAUCCGAAACUUCAUCGGAACCCUUCCGGUGUCCGAAUAUAGUCAUCCAAUAUAUCAAUCUUUAUGUCUUGACAAUUUUGAGACUCCUCGUCAUGUCCGUGAUCACAUCCGGGACUCCGAACUAACUUCGGUACAUCAAAAUGUAUAAACUUAUAAUAACUGCCAUCGUAACGUUAAGCGUGCGGACCCUACGGUUCGAGAACAAUGUAGACAUGGCCGAGACACGUCUCCGGUCAAUAACCAAUAGCGGGACCUGGAUGCCCAUAUUGGCUCCUACAUAUUCUACGAAGAUCUUUAUCGGUCAGACCGCAUAACAACAUACGUUGUUCCCUUUGUCAUCGGUAUGUUACUUGCCCGAGAUUCGAUCGUCCGUAUCCAAUACCUAGUUCAAUCUCGUUACCAGCAAGUCUCUUUACUCGUUCCGUAAUACAUCAUCUCGCAACUAACUCAUUAGUUGUAAUGCUUGCAAGGCUUAUGUGAUGUGCAUUACCGAGAGGGCCCAGAGAUACCUCUCCGACAAUCGGAGUGACAAAUCCUAAUCUCGAAAUACGCCAACCCAACAUCUACCUUUGGAUACAUCUUUAGAGCACCUUUAUAAUCACCCAGUUAUGUUGUGACGUUUGGUAGCACACAAAGUGUUCCUCCGGCAAACGGGAGUUGCAUAAUCUCAUAGUCAUAGGAACAUGUAUAAGUCAUGAAGAAAGCAAUAGCAACAUACUAAACGAUCGGGUGCUAAGCUAAUGGAAUGGGUCAUGUCAAUCAGAUCAUUCAACUAAUGAUGUGAUCUCGUUAAUCAAAUAACAACUCUUUGUUCAUGGUUAGGAAACAUAACCAUCUUUGAUUAACGAGCUAGUCAAGUAGAGGCAUACUAGUGACACUUUGUUUGUCUAUGCAUUCACACAUGUAUUAUGUUUCCGGUUAAUACUAUUAUAGCAUGAAUAAUAAACAUUUAUCAUGACAUAAGGAAAUAAAUAAUAACUUUGUUAUUGCCUCUAGGGCAUAUUUCCUUCACUUAGGGCCUUGGAUGAGAACUGGCAUCAUAAUGAACUUCCGCUUCAUGCACAUCCAAGGAGGAAGGUUAUACAUACAUAGAGUCACGGGCCAGGUGCUGUGAUUGCUGCUCUGCUCCCCUAUAGGAUUAAUGCCAUCCAUGCUUAAAGCAAACCAUACAUUCCAUGGGUCGUUUGCAAACUCAUCCCAGUACUUUCUCUCGAUUUUUCUCCACUGCGACCCGUCAGCGGGUGCUCUCAAUUUUCCGUCUUUCUUCCGGUCCUCACUGUGCCAUCGCAUCAACUUGGCAUGCUCUUCGUUUUUGAAUAGACGUUUCAACCGUGGUAUUAUAGGAGCAUACCACAUCACCUUCGCAGGAACCCUCUUCUUGGGGGGCUCACCGUCAACGUCACCAGGGUCAUCUCGUCUGAUCUUAUACCGCAAUGCACCGCAUACCGGGCAUGCAUUCAGAUCCUUGUAUGCACCGCGGUAGAGGAUGCAGUCAUUAGGGCAUGCAUGUAUCUUCUCCACCUCCAAUCCUAGAGGGCAUACGACUUUCUUUGCUGCGUAUGUACUGUCGGGCAAUUCGUUAUCCUUUGGAAGAUUCUUCUUCAAUAUUUUCAGUAGCUUCUCAAAUCCUUUGUCAGCCACAGCAUUCUCUGCCUUCCACUGCAGCAAUUCCAGUACGGUACCGAGCUUUGUGUUGCCAUCUUCGCAAUUGGGCUACAACCCUUUUUUGUGAUCCUCUAACAUGCGAUCGAACUUCAGCUUCUCCUUUUGACUUUCGCAUUGCGUCCUUGCAUCGACAAUGACCCGGCGGAGAUCAUCAUCAUCGGGCAGAUCGUCUGGUUCCUCUUGAUCUUCAGCAGCUUCACCCGUUGCAGCAUCAUUGGGCACAUCGUCUGUUUCCUCUUGAUCUUCACCAGCUCCCUCCAUUGCAGCAUAACCGUAUUCAGGGGGCACAUAGUUGUCAUCGUACUCUUCUUCUUUGCCAUCUUCCAUCAUAACACCUAUUUCUCCGUGCCUCGUCCAAACAUUAUAGUGUGGCAUGAAACCCUUGUAAAGAAGGAGGGGGUGAAGGAUUUUCCGGUUAGAGUAAUACCUCGUAUUCCCACAUUCAGUGCAUGGACAACACAUAAAACCAUUCUGCUUCUUUGCCUCAGCCGCACCGAGAAACUCAUGCACGCCCUUAAUGUACCCGGAGGUGUGUCUGUCACCGUACAUCCAUUGCCAGUUCAUCUACGUGCAUUAUAUAUAAUUAAGUGUCCAAAUUAAUAGAAGUUCAUCAUCACAUUAAAACCAAAGUACAUACAUAGUUCUCAUCUAACAACAUAUAGCUCUCCAGAGCAUCUAAUUAAUUAAACCAUACAUUGAAACUAUGUAAAACAUUUCAAUGCGAAAACAAAUGCGAUCAUAAUUGCAACCAAGGUAACAAUUGAUCCAACGGCAUAAUGAUACCAAGCCUCGGUAUGAACGACAUAUUUUCUAAUCUUUCUAAUCUUCAAGCGCAUUGCAUCCAUCUUGAUCCUGUGAUCAUAGACGACAUCCGCAACAUGCAACUCCAAUAUCAUCUUCUCCUCCUCAAUUUUUUUAUUUUUUCCUCCAACAAAUAGUUUUCUUCUUCAACUAAAUUUAGCCUCUCGGCAAUAGGGUCGGUUGGCAUUUCCGAUUCACAUACAUCCUACAUAAAUAAAAUCUAUGUCACGUUGAUCGGCAUAAUUUUCAUAAACAAUAAAUGAACCAAUAGUUAUAAAGAUAAUAUAUAUACCACAUUCGAAUCAUAGACAGGACGAGGGCGACGGGGGCGGAUACCAAAACCAUCGCACUAUAUAAGAUGCAAUAAUAAAAGUAAGAAAAUAAUACAAGUAUCUAUGUAAACAUACAAGUAAGAAUAUUUUUCCUUUCAGAAAGAAGAUAAGAACAAGAGGCUCACCAUGGUGGUGCCGGCAAGGCCCACCUUGGUCCAUGCGGGGAUGCACAAAAUAAGCUAUGUGCGGCCCAUGCGGGGAAUUUUGGUUACGCAUGGCCCAUACAUAUGGUGAUCCAGCCGUACGUGACCAAAUAGGAUGGACGGACAAACGAAAACGGACAAAAAUUAGGGACCAACCAAUUAGUACCACCUCGCGUAUAUGUUUUAUAUUUAAACUGAAAGCGUAAAUUUUCAUGAAAAGAAAUGUACUGUGACGGUGAACCCGACAAAGUCAAUCCGUGCUUUAUUAUUAGGGAAAGAUAUACUAAUUGGAGGCACCUUUGGAGCGUCUACGUUAAUCCACGUCAUUAAGAUUAAUAUAGCCGUUUGAUAUUAAAUUUAAUGGUUAAGAUAUGCUAGAAGACUAUGCCUUAUUAUAGAAGAAAACAACAUGUACGUAGGGAUGAAAUCCACGCAUACAAAAAAAAACUCAUGUAAAGAAAAAUCAAUUCUCACCACAUAGAUGAAACUCAUUAAACUUGCACAUGCAAAAAAAGUCCUAAGCUCCCACGUCCAUGAAAGAUUAGACAUGCACAUAAAAAAAGAGUCCUAAAUGCCCACGCCCAGGUUCCAAGAAAAAGUACGUGCCUACUCCUUGCAAAAAGAGGACGCGUGGCAAAACUAAAAAAUAUGAAUAUAAUCAUCUCAAUCUCUUUCUAAUAAUAAAAUAUGAAUUGAUUUUGUCAGGUUCGUCGUCACAAUACACUUUUUCCUGUAAAUUUACGCUUUCACUUUGAAUUUAAAACAUAUAGGUGAGGUGGUACUAAAAAACUGUUCAUUGGUCGCGUACGUCAAUUAGUAUAAGUCGCUUUUUUUAGUCCCUCCGGCUCGCUAGACUGGGCCGUGUUGAUCAUUCCCGUGAUGACUGAACUGGGCCUGGUCAAAAAGAAAAAAAACGAUGCAAAAAAUAAUUCCCCAUGAGCUUCGAACCAAGACGAAGGCCCUCAGUCACAAAGGAGAACGCCAACUAGAUUGCUCUAUUUUGUUCUGCCAAAUUGUGUCCCUGUAGAUAUAAUAGUCCCACAUCGCUUCUUUGCACUGUAUCUUAUCGAUUUUUAUACAUCGGCGGACUUGUCCUAGCAGAAGUUAAUUGGAAGAGGAAGCAAGGAAUAAAGAACGAACGCAGGAGGAAUUUGGCCAGAAGAAACAAGGUCGGGGAGCGUGAGGUUUAUGGUGAAUAUUCAGAGAACGGCAGCUGCAUUGUUCGAAUUUAGUCUAUCUUUGGACAUGUCUUUUCCGGGGAUUCGACACCAUGUUUUGUGCGCGAAUGGUUUUAUUAGGGUUUUUGACUGUUCCAAGUUAGAAGAGGCCAGAGUUUUCUCUGGUUCUUCAGUGGCCUGAAGCAACCAUGCUUACGCUUUUUUUUUUCAACCAUUCAUUGCCCAUUUUCAUUAAUUUCUUAAAGAAAAUACAUCAACCGUCCUUGCAGAAAGAACGAGGCAGCUUCACAGCUGGAAAUCAAGAGUGCGGUGUCCAGUUUUACGGGGAAAAGAAUUCUAUGAGACCAGGUCUCACGCGAGACCCAUCCUAAUGAAUGCCACGUGCUAUCCAUCAGAACGGGUCUCACCUGCUAACCGUGAGACUUGGUCUCAUAUAUUUUUUUUCCGUUUUACGGGGAAGCAUCAUCAGAAAUCUAGCAAAUCAUUCGCAUUAUUCUCUCACAUACAGUACAGAUCCUUCGGAUCGCCACAUCACAGCUGGACUUCAUUGCUUUGGGUGUCUAAUUAAGGGCUUGUUCGGUUAAUCCUCUCGCGAAGAGGAUUGGAGGGGAUUGGCAAGGAUUGGUUCGUAUUUUGACUUCUAAGAGGUUUAAGUCCUCCUCAAACCCCUUCAAUCCAUUCGGAUUCACACGCAACCAAACAAGGCCUAAACGGGAUCCGCAUCUGAACUAUUAAGCAGCAAAUGAUAGUGUGCGUGAAACAGGUAGGCAAUGUCAAUGAGGACAAACUGUGAUGAUAUCGUUUGAAAACUCAGCUGUCGUCCGUAGUGUUUGGCAUGUGACAGAUAGAUCCUGUUGAUUGUCUAACGAAAGCCAACGGUGAUGUCAAACUAGACUAUUUUAACAUAGUCGGUAAGACAAAAAUGGGAAACAUAUGUAUAUAUGACUACCGAGAACACGACAUCCAUUGUAUCUCGAUUAAGCAUCUUCAAAUAUUAUUCCUGUCGUGAUAUUGACAACAUUAUUAGUUUGUACUUGAAUGAAUAGUCAAGGAACUUUUGAGUGUUCCAAGUUAAACAUCCAAAUUUGUGUCGCAUUUCAGUAUGGGAGGCGCGUAUGACUCUCAAGUUUUUCCGAAUUUGAGUAAUACGGGUCAACUAUUUGCAAAAAUAAAAUAAAAACAUGUUAUCUAGCAUAUGUUUUUACCGUGUUAACACAUUCACAAUUAUUCCAUUUUGAAAAAAGGUACCUAGGUGGUAAAUGAACUACAAACCUUGCUCGACAUAUAUCGAGAAAUAUGUAUUGACAUACACAACAGAGAAAAUAAAUCAAAAUACAUUGCGCAGAACAUUGACAAUAAAUUAGUUGGUGAAAUUAGACAAUUUAGUUGGUGAACUUAGAAAAUUGUUACAUAAGGCUCCAACUUAAUUUCUCAGCAGUUGGAUCAGUUUUUUUUUUUGAGGACCAUGGAAAUACUGAAACCAUGGUUGAUACAAACUCCCCUCUCACACCUAAACUUUGAGCUAGAUAUUUCCUUUUAGUGAGUUUAGCUACUAAUUUUAAAGGGGUUCGCUAAAUCUCAGUCAAUUGAGAUUUAAUGUAGUCUCAAUCACCUUUCCAAGCCGUUGAAUACAUGCACACUAAGAUUAUGUGCUAGGAAACUUUUCUUUGUUAUUGUGAGGUGGAACGGAAAGAGAUGUGUGUGUGCCUUUCUGGACUAUUCGAAGUGUGCGUGUUUUUCCGAGGAAAGAGCCUACAAUCUACACGAGAAGCUUGUGUUUGGGCCAAGUCCAAACAUAAUAUAAUUUGUCAAACCAAACAACCAACAUUUUCUAAAACCGAAAUCAACAUAGCAAAAACAUGUUUGCUUUCGAAUAUUAAUAAAUAACUGUAUAUAAAUAAUCCCACUUCAAUGCACCACUCCUCUCACACCCGGUGAUAGUGUGAUGUUCGUUGAGGCAACAUCGAAGGACAUGAAUGUAGUUUCAUUAAUCUUUUUCCGAAUUGUGUACACCAAAAAUUGUAUCAUCAUUAACGACGGUGGCAAAAAUGAAAAGUGGCAACAUGAACGAGUCACUGAAAACAUGCGAAGACUUUCUCCUUCCGGUGCAAUGCACGACACAUUAAAUGAUGCAUACAAAGGUUAAAGGGAACCUUCUUUUGAGAAACAAAGACAAACACAGACUCACAAACACGUACAUACAUGAACACCUAGAGAGACUGAGCUGACAAGUCUUGAGAUUGAUGAACACACCACAAGUGUCUCGCUUCGACGCGAACGUCACCAUGCACUGAAAAAAUAUUUCACCUUUGUGAAACAUGAAAUUAAGCGUCAAAGUUAGGUUUUAAUUCUUGCUCUAUUGGGUAUCACCGCCCUGCAAACCAUCCAAUCAGAGAUUGGUUCUCAGGGUUAAAGCGAAACUAACCAAUACAUUUAUUUGAUAUGAAAAAAUGAACCCUUCCAAACCAAGCAAACAACUAUCUCUAAGAAAUCCAACAUAGCAACAAUGCUUUGUAUUCAAAUGUUUUGGAAAUUCUAAAAAAAAACUUUUGGAUUAGUUUUUAAACUCUCGGUUAGUAUAGAACAUUCCAAUGUUUGUAUGUUGCACUAAAAAUAAAUGCACCACUCUUUCACCCGGUGGUAGUGCUAAGCUAAAGGAGUGCCAUCAAAGGACACCACUAUGACUAUCUUAACUCUACUCCAUGAUGCGGACACCAAUAAUCAUUUUUAUUUACCAACACGAAGGCGUUUUUUUAAGAUAGUGAGUGUUUCUAAAUGUUCUUGGUUUCAAAAAAUAUAUUCAUGUUUUAAAUAUGUUUAAACUUUUGAAGAAAUGCUGAAAAUUCCUAAAAAAUGGUUCCAAUUAAAAACCAGCUAUAAUUGUUCAAAAAAUCAUUAAAAAAAAUCAUGAAAUCGCUUGUUUAUAUAAUGUUCGACUUCAAAAAAUAUUCCAAUUCUAGUAAGAAAUUAAAAAAUAGUCGAUUUCUUAAAAAAUAAAGAAAUAUUUGUGUUGUCUUUCAAAAAGCAAAAUAUAUACCGAUUCACAUACUAUUCCAUGCACAACUAUUCUUCCAACAGAUGUGGGAAGUUAGGUUGGUUCUUCAUGUACACACUUCAAGCUCCGAACAAAAAUUAGAGUUUAACAUUAUUACUCUGGUUUAUCAGCCUUUGAUACAAGAAAUGGCACAUGAAGCGCACUUUUAUUUGCCCGUUGCAACGCACGGGCAUUUGUACUAGUAAAUAUCAAUUGAAGGAAUAUCAUUCUGCAAAGGCAGAUUCUUGAAUAGGAUUGUUUCACAACUGCAUCCAUCAAUUUUAAAGUUUACUAUCUAAUAUGAUGCUAGAUAGAUAAAGCCUCAAUUAAGUAUAACAUUGUGUUUGUUGGUUAAGUUAGGAGCACUUACUAAUGUACUAAAAGAGAAAUAUAUAUUAUAUAUGGUUUGAGUACCAUUGUAGUAGUGGUGCAUAUACAUACGCGCACCACCUACUAUAUAUCGAAAUAAUUCAUACUCGCUUUCUCCCUUAUAUAUAUAGUAGGUGGUGUCAAAUUCUUGCUAAUUUGACAUGAAGGCUUCAUUCAGACCAGUGAUGAUACUUUGCGCAACAUAAAUGGGAAAGUAGAGGCACUCUUCCAUAUAAUGAAGUUUAUAAUAUAUGUGUUUAUAUUGUACUAUAAUUGUUUGAAUAACUUACCAUAUGUUCAGAUGUAUGAUAUCUGUAAUUUAAGCGCUUGAAUUUUACAUAUAAAUAUAAUUUUAUUAAUAAAUAUGUACCCAUAUAAUAGCUAGGCCGUGUAGUUGCACGGGUAGAUGACUAGUGAUUACAAUCUUGUUUGUGAGCAAGUCAAGAUUAUCUAGUUUACACGUAACAACUUGUAGAACAUUACAAAAAUUAUGCUUGCUAAUAACUUCUAGAACACUACAACACUUGACAUGUAAAAGGAAUUUGAUGAGUCAUGGCCUACUAAAGCAAGUUACAUUACUACUCUUAUCUAUCUUAACAGACCACACAAGAUUACAAACUAAGUACCGUGACAGCCAUGCUUAUCUAAUUUAUGCGUAACAAUUUGCGGAAAAUUACAAAUUUAGUUUUAGAAAAAUAGGCAAUCUAGAUUAGUGUUUGAGCUGUAAUGUGAAUAAGAUGAGUCGUGCGUCUUGUCACACCUUUUUGGUGGUGGAAUGAUAGUGCAACAACAAGGAACUUUAAUGACCAGUCCAAGAAUACACUUGUAAGUAGUGCCACCAAACAGAACAUACCAAAUUAUGAUUUUGAGAAGAAUCCAAGCACUUUCCACACAAGCAAAUGCCAAUUGUGAAAGAGAUCAUUCCAUGGCAGCUAUAAAUAGCCCCAUAGCAUGACGCUCAUCCUUCCUCAUCCAUCAUUCUCAUAAGUAGAGUGCAUCAUUUAAGCCAAGCAAGCUGUGGUCAAUACAAAUCCACCAUGAAGACCUUUCUCAUCCUUUCCCUCCUUGCUAUCGUGGCAACCACCGCCACAACUGCAUUUAGAAUUCUAGUGCCACAAUUGCAGCCACAAAAUCCAUCUUAGCAACAACCACAAGAGCAAGUUCCAUUGGUACAACAACAGCAAUUUCUAGGGCAGCAACAACCAUUUCCACCACAACAACCAUAUCCACAGCCGCAACCAUUUCCAUCACAACAACCAUAUCUGCAGCUGCAACCAUUUCCGCAGCCGCAACCACCAUAUUCGCAGCCGCAACCAUUUCGACCACAAUAACCAUAUCUCCACAACCGCAACCACAGUAUUCGCAACCACAAUAACCAAUUUCGCAGCAGCAACAACAACAACAACAACAACAACAACAACAAAUCCUUCAACAAAUUUUGCAACAACAACUGAUUCCAUGCAUGGAUGUUGUAUUGCAGCAACACAACAUAGCGCAUGGAAGAUCACAAGUUUUGCAACAAAGUAGUUACCAGCUGUUGCAAGAAUUGUGUUUUCAGCACCUAUGACAGAUCCCUGAGCAGUCGCAGUGCCAAGCCAUCCACAAUGUUGUCCAUGCUAUUAUUCUGCAUCAACAACAAAAACAACAACAACAACAACAACAAAAACAACAACCAUCGAGCCAGGUCUCCUUCCAACAGCCCCAGCAACAAUAUCCAUCAGGCCAGGGCUCCUUCCGGCCAUCUCUGCAAAAUCCACAGGCCCAGGGCUCGGUCCAGCCUCAACAGCUGCCCAGUUCGAGGAAAUAAGGAACCUAGCGCUACAGACGCUACCUGCAAUGUGCAAUCUCUACAUCCCUCCAUAUUGCACCAUCGCGCCAUUUGGCAUCUUCGGUACUAACUGAGAAGAAAAUAACUCUAGUACUAGAUAUAUGAAACACCGUUUUCUUAGUCCAUGGUUUGGUCAUUGUAGCGGUGAAAAAAUAAAGUGACAUGCACUACCAUGUAAGAACUCGAACUAUACUAGUUCAAACUUGGGAAUAAAAGACAAACACAGGUCUUGUCUACAUAUUUAUGUUGCAUUUAUCUAAAGAUAACAAAAUGAGUCUAAAAUUUGAAUUAAAUUGAAGUAUUUUCUUGGACUUUCAAAUUGAGUAUUAUUAACGUAGUAAGGACUAUCCUCAUCCUUGGCCUGCCCCUAAUCAAUUAUUUCCAGAGAAGCAUUCAAUUCAUCAAUCAAUUACAUUGAUUUUUGUGGCUGGUACUUCUCCUCAACAUCAGUAUAUUCACCGUGGCUACUCCAAAUCGGCAAGAAUGAGGUACCGGUGCUCUGGAGCAGUGCCAACUAAUUGCUUCUCAUGUGAAGGGGUGCGGGCGCGGGAGAGGUAUUUCUGGUGGGCCAAGGGAGUAAGAAGCCACCGUGGGAGUGGUACAGACGCCCGUAAAGCCCCAUAGUUUCUUUUUGGUUUACAGGAAAAUGCACAUCCAUACCGGCCUGGGGAGUAUAGGACCGUAUUGGAUGGAAAACCAUGUCCGGAUGGUUGCGAGCGGUUUGAGGGUUAGCUUUUGUAACGCCCGGUUAGUUAUGCUAUAGCAAUUCCCUGCUAAUGAUGUCACGUCACCAAGAUUACUGUUGUUAUCCUCACAAUGAUUCAAUGCCAUUCUAAUUCAAAUUUAAAAUAAAGGCAAGCAUCAAAAGUUUUCAAACAUUAAAACUAAAAUCUUUGAGAGGUAACAAAUAAUGCAUAAGUAAUUAUGGUGGAGAAACCACACUUUAAUAAAAUGUUUAAAUACUCUAAAAUGAAAAAAACAGUGGCUUAAACUAUUAUUUAAAUGCUUUUAAAAUAGUAAAAAUGUUCUAACUAAAUUAAUUGGGUACCAACCUUUUGGUGGCAGUGGUAUAUUUAGUAGAACUAAUUUAGAUGCUAGUUAUAUGAUUUAGAAAAUUAGGGUCAAUUGAAAAAUAGGAUAAAACAGAGAAGGAAAGACAAAACAAAUAAAAGCAAAAGGGGGCAACCCCUCACUGGCCUUGGCCUAGCUGGCCACUGGGCUAGCUAGGUCGGCCCCGCCGCCUCCCUUAACCCCCUGUCGGUGUCGAAACCGGUGGAUGGUACCAUGAGUAGAUCUACCACGAGAUCGGAGAGGCUAAACCCUAGAGGCUAGCCUAUGAUAUGAUUGUAUGUGUCCUACGGACUAAAACCCUCCGGUUUAUAUAGACACCGGAGAGGGUUAGGGUUACACAAGGUCGGUUACAAAGGAGGAGAUAUCCAUAUCCGUAUUGCCUAGCUUGCCUGCCACGCCAAGUAGAGUCCCAUCCGGACACGGGACGAAGUCUUCAAUCUUGUAUCUUCAUAGUGCAACAGUCCGAAAAAGGAUAUAGUCCGGCUGUCCGGAGACCCCCUAAUCCAGGACUCCCUCAGUAGCCCCUGAACCAGGCUUCAAUGACGAUGAGUCUGGCGCGCAGUAUUGUCUUCGACAUUGCAAGGCGGGUUCCUCCUCCGAAUGCAUCACAGAAGAAUUUGAAUACGAGGAUAGUGUCCGACCCUGCAACAUAAGUUCCACAUAAUUCCAUACAGAGAAUAAUAUUUUCGCAAAUCUAAUUUGCUUACUUGUUUUGACAGUACGACAUUAUGUCAUGGCCCGGUGAUUAUUCGAACCGUUUCCUUUAACUAGCCCCGCACAUAACGCGAGGCAGUUUUUCGACAUGUCUUGUCAAAGCAGAGAUCGUGUCCCCUUAUUACUGGAUUCUCAUCAAUACGGGCGUGGGUAACCCAACCGCGCCAUCGAUUGCGGCACUUGGGGGAUGAGCUAUUUUUACCUGGCAAGUGGGGACGCUUAGUUUCGUCCGCCCAUAUAAAGGGAUAAGGAUUCACCUUUCUAUCCAUGCCUUCUUCCUCCUUUGCUCAUCCGUUUUUGCACACUCGAGCUCUAGCGCCCAAGUUCGCACUUCCCACCUCAACCUUCUCCAACCAUGUCCCGAGCGGGAGGCAGGUGGAUGGUAUCCUCCGUCACGGAUGGAGACAUCAAGAAGCUGAGGAGCGCCGGAUACCUGCCUGACGACAUCGCGCACCGGCUCCCAGAUGAGGGGCAGCUCACCCCCACCCCCAGGCCCCAUGAGAGGGUAGUGUUCCUCACCCAUUUCCUCCGCGGACUGGGAUUCCCUCUCCACCCAUUUGUCCCGGGGCUCAUGUUCUAUUACGACCUGGAUUUCCAUGAUCUGGCCCCGAACUUCAUCCUCAACAUCUCGGCGUUUAUCGUUGUGUGCGUGGCCUUCCUCCGCAUCAAGCCCCACUUCGGCUUAUGGUUGAAGACCUUUAAUGUCAAGCCGAAGGUUGUGGGCGACCGCCAGGCGGAGUGCGGAGGCGCCAUGGUGGGCAAGAUGCCCAACGUAACAUGGCUCGAGGGCUCUUUUGUGGAAACCAUAAAGGGGUGGCAAUCGGGUGGUUCUACAUCACCGAGCCGCGUGACCCUGCAUGGGCAGCGGCCCCCCGAGUUCUGAUCUGGCAUCCCCACGCGGCUCACCUCCUGGAAAGAGAAGGGCCUGUCCUGGGGUAGUUUGGAAGAGCUGACCAGACUCCAAACAUGUAUUCAAAACAUGGUGAACAAGAAGCUCAAACUCGUCAACGUGGUCCAGGUCAUGCUCCACCGCCGGAUCCUCCCGUGCCAAUAACGGGAGUUCAACUUGUGGGAGUACAACCCAGCGCAGCACCGAACUCUGAACAGGCUUUUCGACACAACUCACGAAGAUGCCUCGAGGGUGCUGUUCAAAAUCACCAAGGUCCCCCUCCCAUUACUGAGGAUCACGGAUUCAGCGUGAAGCGCCAAGCCAGUGCGGCAGGCUGCUUUACCUUUCACAGGCUACUUAUUUUUUAUAGAUUGACUCCAUGCGGGAUCUAAACUCCCGUACCUUUGACAGGACUGGCAGGAGAUGGCCGGACAGAUCGACUGUCCGGCUCCUAUGCCCGAAGGCCCAGCAGACGCUCUUCUAGCGAAGAUGCUGACUUCGGCUCCUUAUACGGUGCCGGAGAAGACCAAGAAGGACAAGGGAACCCGAAAGAGUUCCCGACGCCAGGCGUCGUCGGACUCACCGUCCGAUGACUCUGCGGCGCACUCCUCCCCCGAAGACGAGGAAGAGGAAGAAGACGCUCCCUCUCUGGCUGGGGGAGAUAAGAAAAGGAAGGCCGCCCCAACUGGGGGGGCGGAAGGGUCCAAGAAGGGAAGGAAUCUCCUUCCGGAUAGUUGCACCGCUGCCGACGAAGGCGAAGACGAGGGGUUGCCCAGGGCCAAGCCCCUGGGGAGAUCGUAAGUAUUCAGAUACCAGAGUAACUCAUAGCAUUCCUUUGUCGCACUGCUUUCCCUAACGUCAAACAUAAUUAUGCAGGUCGCCAUGAGCCAGUAUCGAUGUGUGACGCCCGGAUAAUCAUGCUACAGUAAUCCCACGCUAAUCAUGCCACGUCACCUCGGUUACUGUUGCUAAUCUAUCGUUAGGUCAAAGCUGGUCCAAAAUUCAAAUUCAAAGUUUGGUAAAUAAUAACAGUUUUCAAAAAUUAAAACAAAAAUGUUCGGUGAUUGCCGAAUAAUGCAUAGGUAAUUAUGGUGGAGAAACCACACUUUUAUAAAAUGUUUAAAUAAUCUAAAAUGAAUAAAACAGUAGAAAAACCAAAUCUAAAUGCUUUUAUAAAUAAAUAAAACACUAAACUAAAUUGUUUUGGGAUAAAGCCUUUUGUGGCAGUGGGUUUCGUGGUAUUACAAUUUUAGAGUUCAUUUUAAUACUAAGUAAGAAGUAUAAUUAAGAGAAACUAAAAUAAAGAACAGAAAAAAAAGAAUAAAUAAAAGGAAAAGAAAACACAAAACAGAAAAGAAAACUACCAAAAAAAUAUGGUAAAAGGAGACCCCCCCCACUGGACCCCUUGGCCCAACUGGGCCAUGGCCCAGCCGGCCACCCCCNNNNNNNNNNNNNNNNNNNNNNNNNNNNNNNNNNNNNNNNNNNNNNNNNNNNNNNNNNNNNNNNNNNNNNNNNNNNNNNNNNNNNNNNNNNNNNNNNNNNNNNNNNNNNNNNNNNNNNNNNNNNNNNNNNNNNNNNNNNNNNNNNNNNNNNNNNNNNNNNNNNNNNNNNNNNNNNNNNNNNNNNNNNNNNNNNNNNNNNNNNNNNNNNNNNNNNNNNNNNNNNNNNNNNNNNNNNNNNNNNNNNNNNNNNNNNNNNNNNNNNNNNNNNNNNNNNNNNNNNNNNNNNNNNNNNNNNNNNNNNNNNNNNNNNNNNNNNNNNNNNNNNNNNNNNNNNNNNNNNNNNNNNNNNNNNNNNNNNNNNNNNNNNNNNNNNNNNNNNNNNNNNNNNNNNNNNNNNNNNNNNNNNNNNNNNNNNNNNNNNNNNNNNNNNNNNNNNNNNNNNNNNNNNNNNNNNNNNNNNNNNNNNNNNNNNNNNNNNNNNNNNNNNNNNNNNNNNNNNNNNNNNNNNNNNNNNNNNNNNNNNNNNNNNNNNNNNNNNNNNNNNNNNNNNNNNNNNNNNNNNNNNNNNNNNNNNNNNNNNNNNNNNNNNNNNNNNNNNNNNNNNNNNNNNNNNNNNNNNNNNNNNNNNNNNNNNNNNNNNNNNNNNNNNNNNNNNNNNNNNNNNNNNNNNNNNNNNNNNNNNNNNNNNNNNNNNNNNNNNNNNNNNNNNNNNNNNNNNNNNNNNNNNNNNNNNNNNNNNNNNNNNNNNNNNNNNNNNNNNNNNNNNNNNNNNNNNNNNNNNNNNNNNNNNNNNNNNNNNNNNNNNNNNNNNNNNNNNNNNNNNNNNNNNNNNNNNNNNNNNNNNNNNNNNNNNNNNNNNNNNNNNNNNNNNNNNNNNNNNNNNNNNNNNNNNNNNNNNNNNNNNNNNNNNNNNNNNNNNNNNNNNNNNNNNNNNNNNNNNNNNNNNNNNNNNNNNNNNNNNNNNNNNNNNNNNGCCCCUCGGCGCCCGCUCGGCCCUCUCCUGGGUCGGGCGCCCGUAACGCCCAGCGCCCGUAACCCGCUAUGGCCCCCUGGGCAGUUGACAGAUGGGGCCCACGCCCCUGUCUUGUUAGAAAAAAAAACGAAAAGAAAAUGUAAUUAAAAAAAUGAAAAUAAGUAAUUAGUUAUUUAAUUAAUUAUGUAACUAAUUAAUUAAUUAAAUAAGUAAUUACUUAACUUAAUUAACUCCGUUUAGUACUUAAUUAACUUGAUUAGUUAAUUAAAAUUGUUAAUUAGUUGUUAGACUAUGACGAAUGGGACCCACACGUCAGUUUGACCCAGUCAACGCCCUGUUGACUGCUGACGUCAUGCUGACGUCAGCGUACACUAUUCUGGAUAAUGUUAAUUUAAUUAAUAAUUAAUAAAUUAGAAAAUGAUUUAAAAAUUUAAAAAUUAAUAUAAAUUAAACCGUAGCUCAGAUGAAAAAACUUUGUACAUGAAAGUUGCUCAGAACGACGAGACAAAUCUGGAUACACGGCCUGUUUGUUCGUCACGCAUCCCUAGCAUAGCAAACUCGCAACUUUCCCCUCCGGCUCCUCUGCCCGAAAACGCAAAACACCGGGGAUACUUUCCCGGAUGUCAUCCCCCUUCACCGGUAUCACCUAUUACCGCGUUAGGGCACCUCUAACGCCGUUACUUGUCAUGUCAUGCAUCACUAUGCAUAUGCUUGCUUAAAUAUUUAUUAUUUCUUCCCCCUCUUCUCUCGAUAGACACCGAGACCGACGCCGCUGCUACCCAGUACGACUACGCUGUUGACGACCCUCUUUCUUGCCAGAGCAACCAGGCAAGCGCCCCCCUUGAUCACCAGAUAUCGCCUACUCUCUUCUAUACUGCUUGCAUUAGAGUAGUGUAGCAUGUUACUGCUUUCCGUUAUUCCUAUCCUGAUGCAUAGCCUGUCCUUGCUACUACUGUUGUUACCAUUACCUGCUAUCCUACUGCUUAGUAUAGGAUGCUAGUGUUCCAUCAGUGGCCCUACACUCUUGUCCGUCUGCCAUGCUAUACUACUGGGCCGUGAUCACUUCGGGAGGUGAUCAUGGGCAUAUGCUAUAUACUUUACACAGUUACUUUACCUGUGGUACUGUUCGGAGAUGGGGGCUGAAGGGGCAGGUGGUUCCACCCAGGUAGUGGUGGGCCUGGGUUCCCGACGGCCCCCGACUGUUACUUUGUGGCGGAGCGACAGGGCAGGUUCAGACCACCUAGGAGAGAGGUGGGCCUGGCCCUGGUCGGCGUCCGCGGAUACUUAACACACUUAACGAGAUCUGGGUAUUUGAUCUGAGUCUGGCCAUUUGGUCUAUACGCACUAACCAUCUACGCGGGAGUAGUUAUGGGUAUCCCGACGUCGUGGUAUCAGCCGAAGCCUUCGUGACAUCAGCGACUAAGUGGCGCGUGCCGGAUUGGACCGUAAGCCUGCUCUUGUAUUAAGGGGGCUAGUUCUGCUUCCGGCCGCGUUCGCAACGUGCAGGUGUGCAAAGGGCGAUGGGCCCAGACCCCUGCGCCAUAGGAUUUAGACCAGCGUGCUGACCUCUCUGUUGGGCCUAGGUAGGGCUGCGACGUGUUGAUCUUCCGAGGCCGGGCAUGACCCAGAAAAGUGUGUCCGGCCAAAUGGGAUCGAGCGUGUUGGGGUAUGUGGUGCACCCCUGCAGGGAAGUUUAUCUAUUCGAAUAGCCGUGUCCCUCGGUAAAAGGACGACCCGGAGUUGUACUUUGACCUUAUGAUAACUAGAACCGGAUACUUAAUAAAACACACCCUUCCAAGUGCCAGAUACAACCGGUGAUCGCUCUCUCACAGGGCGACGAGGGGAGGAUCAUCGGUUAGGAUUAUGCUAUGCGAUGCUACUUGGAGGACUUCAGUCUACUCUCUUCUACAUGCUGCAAGACGGAGGUUACCAGAAGCGUAGUCUUCGAAAGGACUAGCUAUCCCCCUCUUAUUCCGGCAUUCUGCAGUUCAGUCCACAUAUGAUAGCCUUAUUCCAAUUGAUACCAAUGCAUACAUAUGUAGUGUAGCUCCUUGCUUGCGAGUACUUUGGAUGAGUACUCACGGUUGCUUUCUCCCUCUUUCCCCCCUAUCCCUUCUACCUGGUUGUCGCGACCAGAUGUUGGAGCUCAGGAGCCAGACGCCACCGUUGACGACGACUCCUACUACACCGGUGGUGCCUACUACUACGUGCUGUCCGCUGACGACGACCAGGAGUAGUUUAGGAGGAUCCCAGGCAAGAGGCCUGCGCCUCUUUCGAUCUAUAGCUCAGUUUGUGCUAGCCUUCUUAAGGCAAACUUGUUUAACUUAUGUCUGUACUCAGAUAUUGUUGCUUCCGCUGACUCGUCUAUGAUCGAGCUCUUGUAUUCGAGCCCUCGAGGUCCCUGGCUUGUAAUAUGAUGCUUGUAUGACUUAUUUUAUUUGUAGAGUUGUGUUGUGAUAUCUUUCUGUGAGUCCCUGAUCUUGAUCGUACACGUUUGCGUGUAUGAUUAGUGUACGGUCAAAUCGGGGGCGUCACACGAUGUAUCAUCGGACGGUUCCCUAGGCUCGUCGGACAUGGAUAGCGAUCCAGUCCCGACCCCCACCUCCCCUCAUCCUGCUGACGACGCCGAGGUGCUGUCUCAAGAGGCAUCGGGUCGAGGGGAGACAGUCCUGGAGGCACCUCAAGGCGACCUUCCGGACUCCGGGAGCCGAGGGGACGGGGCCCCUAAGAGCUUCGAGUUCGGCCCUCAGCCGAACACCGCGCUGGAACCUCCAGUGGUUCCGGGCUCGGUCAGGCGGCCUCCUUCUAAGAGGGGCAAGACACCUGUGCCGGUGACCUCUGUCUAUCCAGAGGCGCCGGACAAUCUGCUGGAAGCGCUUCGCAGCGCUUCCAUCGACGAGGAGCACCGCACUAUCAUGAGUGCGGCGAUCCAGAAAGUUUAGUCCGCCAAGAGCGGAUUGACUGAAGCCUGUGCCAGCCUUCUAACAGGCUUUGAGGUAAGUGUUUUAAAAUAUAGGAAAAAUACUACUGCAUAUAUAGUAGCCCCUGAUGCUUUGUUCGGUGUUCAGAAAGAAAAGCCGAACAGAGGAUCAAAUAAUAUCGCAGGACUCUAAUAUAAGUAUGUCAAUAUGCGUAUGCAAGCCUCACUGCUGGCAUCCGCCACACUGACUGCGGAGGUCGCCCUACUGAAGCAGGACCUCGAGAGGUCUAGGAGAGAGCUCGGCCUUGUCAAGAGGCAGCUCGAGGAGAACAAGGGUAAGUAAUACCUUGUCUUUAGAUAUGUAUAUAUAAAAGAAGAAGCGAUUGCAAAAUGACAGGAUCAUCGUACAUUCGCCAGGGGCCACGACCAAGGUGGCAACCCUCAAGCAAGCGCUAACCAAGGCCGAAGAUAACGCGGCCAAGGAGCGCACCGAGUGAGAGAAGCACGAGGCUCGGGUGGGCGAGGUGCAGCAAGAGCUCUAGGCUAUCAUGGUGAAGCACGAGGCAUUGGAGCUUGACUAAAAGACGCGAGAGUCUGAGCUUUCCGCGGCCCUCGAGAGCGCAAAAAGUGCCAAGGCCGAAGCCCAAAGGGGUCUCCAGGCGGGUAUGGCUUUCUAUAUGCAAAGCAAGCAUGUAAAAGUAAAUUACCGAUUACUUACUCGAAUCCGGAGCUCUCCAGGAGCAUUCGCAGAUUUUCCACGCAGCGUGUCCGAUGCCGCACAAUUUUACCAGGCCGAGGAUGGAAGCUCAAUGGAGAAGCUGUUCUGGUAUCAGUAUGCUGAGGCCGGACACCCGGUGCCAAUGAGCGACCAGCUGAAGCAGGUGGUCGAGCUACAUAAGGCGGCCGAUCAGGCCAUGAAGGGCUUUAUAGUCCGGCUGUGGCCUGGCGACGCCCUUCCGAACAGCUUCCUCGGCCUGGUGAGGCGGCUUGUGGAUGCCUGCCCGCGGCUGGAGGUCGUCAAGCGAUCUGUCUACAUUGAGGGUGCACGCCGGGCUUUCGCCCGUGUGAAAUUGCAGUGGGUCAAGCUAGACGCCGUGAAGCUGAUCAAGGAGGGGCCGCCGGAGGGCAAGGAGCACCGCCACCCCGAGAUGUACUACGAGGGUGUUCUGCUGGGUGCCCGUCUCAUAGCGGACGAGUGUUCAAAAGAUGUAAUAUUUGAGUGAGACUUGCUCGUUUUAUCCUGUAUUUAUGAAAACUUGUUUCAUAUGCACUAUGCAACGCUUGUUUGAAUUUAGAAUAUUACCUUCUGUUUGGCCGUUUAUCAAUCUGAGAGAUGGCUAGUCCUCAGCUUCUGCCCCCAUGCCACGAGUGCUGGGGUCUUCGGGAUAAACCUGAGCACUCUUGUUCCCAUAUUUGGGUCCUUGGAGGGAGGUGCUCAGCACAACGAACAAGGAAACCCGACUAAUAAUGCUUUAUCACUCUCACUUAGCGAUAGAAUUCUAUAAUUUUAAAUUUCGGCGAAGCCCCUGGUAUUCGGAAGGCCGAAUUCGGGGCGCGAUACACGCCUUUAAGCCGGACAGGGCCGGCCCCUCGCCCUAAGCGGCAUAAGUCUUUGGGGACUCGAUAACCUCGCCGAACAGCGAUCAGUCUCUCCCCUUAUCAUGACAGUCAGUUUUAGCUUUCUCUACUUAGGUGCCGAACCCAGCAAAACCGGGGCACAAUCGCAGUAGUUCUCCUAGCGCUACCUUAGCCGAUAGAGUGGAACGUAAGGUACCAAAACAUAGGAGCCGGGCAAACCCAACAUUUGACCAAAGACAUGAUUCGGAGCUGAUGCAUAUAAUGCUAUAAGUUUGGGGUGCCGCACUUGUGAAAGUGUUCGGACUUUUCACACCGUAUUGUGGGGUACGUAAGCCCCUGGUGUAUUGGCCGUACCAAAGUGUACGGUUGCAAGGCAUCAUUAAUGAACAUAUAUAUAUAUAUAUAUAUAUAUAUAUAACAAGAGUGCAAUAAUAGUCGUAAUGUCAUGCAUUGUUUAUUCAAAAAAUUACGUUAAAGUAGGGUGAUACAGAUAGUGUGAUAAGCAAAGAGUAGGACUAUGUCCCUUCCCAAGGCAAGCUAAGGAAUGAUAUUAAAUUGAAUAUUUCGCUCGUUACAGUAAUCCACCUAGGAAUUCCGUGGUGUGACGUAGCUAUCUGCCUCCUUGGUUGCUGCAUCGUGUGUUCGGCAAUAGUGCUGCCGGACAGUGUUUCCAGAGGUUAAUGUCCUGAAAAAAAGAGAAAAAUAACCAAACGGGAAGCCCCUAGUGCGGUUUAAGCCGCGUCUUGGGGCGUGCUGCAGUUGUGCCACCCUCCCCACCUGUGCCCAUGGUAUUUUUAAUGCGUAAUUAUGUACGCGUGGCAUGAGUUUCGUCGUUGGGCUGGGAUUGGGGUGGCCGCCUUAUUGCUACGCGAGCUCAGAUCGCGCAAGGCGGUCUAUUUGCCGAUUGCUCCGAGCGCGCUUGAAGGUGUCCGGGCUUUGAAGCGCCGGACUGGUUGAUUGCCUUGAGAGGCUGCUUUGCGCUUCUGCUGCGAGGGCCGCGGUGUGCUCCUCUGUUCGGAGAGAGCACUCUGUGUUUCCAUUGACUGUAAUAACUCCGCGAGGUCCUGACAUCUUGAGCUUGAGGUAUGCAUAGUGCGGUACCGCAUUGAAUCUAGCAAAUGCGGUUCGCUCGAGCAGCGCGUGGUAACCACUGCGGAAUGGGACUAUAUCGAAGAUUAGCUCUUCGCUUCGGAAGUUAUCCGGGGAUCCGAAGACCACUUCCAGUGUAAUUGAGCCUGUGCAAUGGGCCUCUACACCUGGAAUGAGGCCUUUAAAGGUCGUUUUUGUGGGUUUGAUCCUUGAGGGGUCUAUACCCAUUUUGCGCACUAUAUCCUGAUAAAGUAGGUUCAGGCUGCUGCCGCCAUCCAUAAGGACUCGAGUGAGGUGAAAUCCGUCAAUGAUUGGGUCUAGGACUAGUGCGGAAAAUCUACCAUGAUGGAUACUAGUGGGGUGGUCCCUUCGAUCGAAGGUGAUCGGAUAGGAGGACCAAGGGUUGAACUUUGGGGUGACUGGCUCGAACGCAUAUACGUCCAUGAGCGCACGCUUCCGCUCCCUCUUAGGGAUGUGGGUUGCGUAUAUCAUGUUCACCGUCUGCAGUUGCGGGGGAAACCUCUUCUGUCCUUCGAUGUGCGGCUGCCGGGGCUCCUCCUCGUCAUCGCUAUGCGGCCCCUUGUCCUUCUUUUCGGCAAUUAACUUGCGGGCCUGCUUGAACACCCAACAAUCCCUGUUGGUGUGAUUGGCUGGCUUGUCUAGGGUGCCGUGUAUUUGACACGAGCGAUCGAGUAUACGUUCCAAGCUGGAUGGACCUGGCGUACUUUGUUUGAAUGGCUUUUUCCGCUGACCGGGUUUAGAGCCUUUGAAUCCGGCAUUGACUGCCGUAUCCUCGGUAUUUUCGCUGUUAAUGCGGCGGUUAUGUUUGUUGUGACAUGACCUGCUAUUGCCAUCCUUGGUAUCGGAGGUACCAUGGUUCUUUGAUAUGUUAUUACUACGGGCCAGCCAGCUGUCUUCUCCCGCACAAAAGCGGGUCAUGAGCGUCGUGAGAGCUGCCAUAGAUUUCGGCUUUUCCUGACCAAGGUGCCAGGCUAGCCACUCGUCUCGGAUGUUGUGUCUGAAAGCCGCUAAGGCCUCUGCAUCCGGACAGUCGACGAUUUGAUUUUUCUUUGUGAGGAACCAAGUCCAGAAUUGCCUAGCCGACUCUUCUGGCUGCUGAAUUAUGUGGCUCAAGUCAUCGGCGUCUAGUGGUCGCACAUAAGUGCCCUGAAAGUUGUUGAGGAAUGCGGCUUCCAGAUCUUCCCAACAGCUAAUGGAGUCCGCUGGCAAGCUGUUAAGCCAAUGCCGCGCUGGUCCUUUGAGCUUUAGUGGAAGAUAUUUGAUGGCGUGUAAGUCAUCACCGUGGGCCAUGUGGAUGUGGAGGAGGAAAUCCUCGAUCGAUACUGCAGGAUCUGUUGUGCCGUCGUAUGAUUCAAUAUUUACAGGUUUGAAACCUUCUGGGAAUUGAUGAUCCAUUACUUCGUCUCUGAAGCAUAAGGGGUGUGCGGCGCCUCUGUAGUGGGCUAUAUCGCGACGCAGCUCGAAUGGGUCUUGCCCGCUGUGUUCGGCCCGGCCGGAUUUGCUUUUACUGUAUCCGGCGUGACAUUUAUCGUCUCGCAGAGUUGUGCGCCCUCGUGAUCCGUAGAUCGAUCUUGCAUGCUUUGCUUUGUCCUCCAAUAUAUCUCGCAGGUCUGGCGUAUCUCCCCAUGCCUUUUUAUUUGAAUGGCGUCGGGGUGGAGGCUGAGUUUUUGGCUGGACUGCCUCUCUAUCGCGGCCACGAGGUGGCCGAUCCGGGCAGUAACCUGCACUUUGGGUAAUUCUUGGAGGGGUGCUUGAGUUUAUAUUCCUCGGCCGCGAGGACUUCAGUCCAUCUGUUAGUUAAGAGAUCUUGAUCAGCUUGAAGCUGCUGCUGCUUUUUCUUUAGGCUAUUUUCCGUGGCCAUAAGCCGGUGCUUGAAGCGCUCUUGUUCGAUGGGAUCCUCUGGUACAUCGAAUUCAUCAUCGCCGAGGCUUGCCUCGUCUUCGGAGGCGGGCGUGUAAUUGUCAUCCUCCUCCUCUCCGUCUGCCGCUCUUUCAGGAGGGUUGGCUCCUCCAUCCUCCUGCUCUAAAUCUUGCUGGAGGGGAUUAUUGUUGUCUUCGGCACUAUCCGGAGUGUUAUUAUCUCCUGUGCCGGUAUCACCACUUUUGCUUUGGCGGGACUUAGAGCGGCGCCGCUGACAUCGGCGCUUGGGUUGCUUCUUGGAGAGGUCAUCCUCCGUUAUCUCGUCGCCAUUGCCUUCUUUGGGUGUAUCCACCAUGUAUAUGUCGUAUGAUGAUGUGGCUUUCGAGUGCCCUAUGGGCGCUGGUUCAUGUUCAUCUCCUACAUCGUCGUCCAUACCAUCGAUGUCUUCGGAGUCGAAGUCGAGCAUGUCGGUUAAAUUAUCGACAGUGGCUACGAAGUGGGUGGUGGGUGGGCAUCGAAUUUCUUCGUCGUCCGCCUCCCAAUCCUGUUGGCCAUAGUCCGGCCAGGGCUCUCCUGACAAAGAGAGAGACUUUAGUGAAUUCAGAAUGUCACCGAAGGACGAGUGCUGCAAGAUAUCAGCGGCGGCGAAUUCCAUGAUCGGCGCCCAGUCGGAUUCAAUUGGCAGGGGCGCGGACGGUUCGGAGUCCGGAAAAGAGUCCGGCACCUUGGAGUCACGGGCUUUGCAGAGGAUUAGGCUGGUGUUCAACUCGAUCACCGUUGAGACUGCAGCCCCUGAGGCGGUGUCUAGCCACCCGUCCUCGACUGGCGCAGUUGGCUCCGAGCUAAGGGUCAGAGCUGAUGCGGGCGCGGCCUCUGGGGUACUGUCCGGUGGUAGAGCUAGGUCAUACCCAUCGUGACAGUGCAGCGCGCCCGGCUGUGGCUUGAAUCCGUCGAAGAUCAAGUCUCCGAGGAUGUCGGCCGUGUAGUUCAAACUUCCAAAUCUGACCUGAUGGCCAGGGGUGUAGCUUUCAAUCUGCUCCAGAUGGCCAAGCGAAUUAGCCCGUAGUGCAAAGCCGCCGAACACUGGACCGCAUCGUUGUUCAUGAUCGGAGGAGCCAUCGGGCCUAAAGGUGACGACACCGAGGAAAUCUCAAUGGAAGCACCAAUGUCGGUGUCAAAUCCGGCGGAUCUCGGGUAGGGGGUCCCGAACUGUGCGUCUAGGCCGGAUGGUAACAGGAGGCAGGGGACACAAUGUUUUACCCAGGUUCGGGCCCUCUUGAUGGACGUAAAACCCUAUGUCCUUCUUGAUUAAUAUUGAUGAUAUGUGUAGUACAAGAGUAGAUCUACCACGAGAUCAGAGAGGCUAAACCCUAGAAGCUAGCCUAUGGUAUGAUUGUAUACGUCCUACGGACUAAAACCCUCCAGUUUAUAUAAACACCGGAGAGGGUUAGAGUUACACAAGGUCGGUUGCAAAGGAGGAGAUAUCCAUAUCCGUAUUGCCUAGCUUGCCUUCCACGCCAAGUAGAGUCCCAUCCGGACACGGGACGGAGUCUUCAAUCUUGUAUCUUUAUAGUCCAACAGUCCGGCUGUCCGGAGACCCCCUAAUCCAGGACUCCCUCACCCCCACUCCCUAUCGAACCCUAGCCCAAUCGCCCCACCUCCCCCACACCCCCUCGCCAGCCUCCCCACCUCUUGAUCCCAUCUGGAUCGGGGAGGGGAUCACCCCCAUCGACCCCGUCGCCGUCGCCGGAUCGCCCGUCAGCGUCGCCAGGCCUCCUCCCCGCCGCCCGUCUCCGGCUCGCCUCCCCUCUCGCUCCUCUUUCCCGACCCGAUCAGGAUCGUGAACGAGCAAUGAGCGCGACGCCCCCCCUUCAUCGGCGCCAUCACCGUGCGCCACCACCACCGCCUGAAGACCUCGCCGUCGCUGACCUUGUGUCGUCUCCUGGUAUCCCUUCCCGACUCGCGUCCUCAAGCCAGGCCGACCCCCUUCUCGGCAAUGCUGUGAGACGCCCCCCGUUUCCCUCCUCUUUCCACCGUGUUCACCGCGCCGCCUGACGAAGCUACGUACCUAGGGUAGGGGCAUGGACCUGUCCUAAGAGCCCUACCCAAGGACAUCCCUGGAAGAAGUCACCUUUCAAUCGACUUGAAGGUACCCACUCGACGGGUUUAAGACACUCGACCAAGAAGCUACCACUCGACAUGAAGCCAAUCACUCGACUGCCAGGAGAUCUAAAGUCAUUCCACGGGCAAACGGUCGGCUAUUAAGUAGUCUUUAUGGUCAUUAUAGCACUUUAUUACCAGCAUUACCAGUAACGCCCCGCCUUAAUGUACAUUGAACCCUUGGUAACGUAGGCUGGCCGGGGUCCUGGCGCGCUCUAUAUAAGUCACCCCCUCCUCCGAGACAAGGGUUCGCACCUCUAUUGUUCACAUGCCUAUAAUCCAAUCGACCGCCUCCGGGCACUGAGACGUAGGGCUGUUACUUCCUCCGCGAAGGGCCUGAACUCGUACACCUUGGUGUGUUUACAACUUCCCAAUAGCUGAGAUCUAGCCUCUCCAUACACACCCCCCUACAUCACUGUCAGAGUUAGAACCACAAUAGUUGGCGCCCACCGCGGGGCCAGAAUCUUAGCGCUUACUUGGAGAAGUUGCGAUUCUUCUGAUCCCUUUGAUCAUGGUUUCAUGCGGAGUUUUGGUGGAGGGGCGCGAGAUCCGUCUCGGCGCGCUCACAUUCAUCGCCGACGACUCCGCUUGGUUUCAGGAGGCUCCACUCGACAUCGACGUGCUCCCCGUCCGUGGUGCGACGCACUUCCGCGCAUGCGUUCGUGGCGUCCUCCUGCGGCAGCCGUCGACCCAGUAUCGGUCGGCCCUCGUGUCGUCUCCCCGCUCUGUCUCCCUCCGACGCAAGCGCUUUGGUAGGUCGAGACUUUAGAGGUGGGUGAGGCAUGCCGUGGCUCGCCAGUCGGCCGCCCCACAAGUCGCGGCAAUCGAGCCCGACAAAUCCCUCUGCAGCCUGUUCGACUGGCUCCGCGGAGACUUCAUCCGAGUGUGACAGCAGAGACCCAGCGGCUGAGGUUCUGGCGGUCGAUGGGACACACUGUCCUCCCGGUUUCCCUCGCGCUAAUGGAGGCGCGGGUGGGGGCGACCCGUCGCAUCCCCACGAUGAGUAUCUCCCCGAAUGUCUCACGGCAUCGCAGCGAGAGGAACUUCACCGCCGGAACAUAGACGCACUCCACACUCCUAUCGUCGGAGAAACCCCCGAGGCCCGGGCCUUGGAGGACGCGCGCUUGGCUAACUUGGCUGAGCGCACUCGACUGGAGAAUCUCCAGCUAAUACUCGAUGAGCAAGCGCGCCAGUGAGCUCCCGAGUCCAGUCGACGUCAGCUCUUUCCGCCGAUGCAGGUAUAUUGAACCCUAGUUCAGAAUUUGGCCGCCGCGGCCCGUAUAGCAGAGUCAAUUCAGCCCUCCCAGUCAGAGGCUGGCAGGGGCUUGUUGCAGAUCAGAGCAUUGCUCCGGGCGGCGGGGAACCAGAAUUCCGCUGUUUCUCAGUCGCAGAAUAGGAUCCACAGUCGAUCCGUUGCAACAGAUACAGUCCAGUCGGCUCACAGCCCGAGAUCGCCCCCGAGGCGUGAGGGACAUGGAGACCGGCACGAUCAGUACAGAAGAAAUGAGCAGUAUGAUCACCGAUUCGAUCGUGAGGAUCGACGUCGAGUGCCAACCCCUCCCCCGAGGAGUGGGUCAUAUGCGCCUCGAUAGCGAGAUGACAGGCGCCCUCAUAGUGUUGGGCAGAGGAUUCCAGUCGACCCCAGGGACCCAGGCUUUGAUGCGAGAUCCAUCCUUGAUCAAGGUCUGGUUGACAGGAACGGGGCUCACCGAGAAUGCCAGGACAGAGAUGCGCCUGCCAGCAGCAGAGUGCGUGUUUCAGGGACAGAGUGUUUCAGUCGAGCCAUCAGAGCCACAGUGAUUCCUCCCAACUUCAGGUUGGCGACUGGAGUCAGCUAGUUCACCGGUGAGUCUAAGCCUGACACUUGGCUCGAAGAUUACCGAGUGGCUGUACAGAUUGGCAGUGGCAAUGAUGAGGUGGACAUGAAGCAUUUGCCUCUCAUGUUAGAGGGCUCAGCCAGAGCAUGGCUAAAUCAGUUAGUGCCCAGCAGCAUUUACACUUGGGAGGACCUCUCCCGAGUGUUUGUCACAACCUUUGAGGGAACAUGCAAGCGACCUGCAGGCCUUACAGAGUUGCGGUCUUGCACGCAGAAACCGAAUGAAACGCUGAGGGAUUACAUCCAGAGGUGGAUCACAUUGCAUCACACAGUUGAGAAUGUUCCAGAUCAUCAAGCAGUUUGUGCCUUCAAAGAAGGCGUUAAGUACAGAGAAUUGAAUCUGAAGUUCGGUCGAACUGGAGAGAUGUCUCUGAAUCGGAUGAUGGAGAUUGCCACCAAAUACGCUAAUGGUGAAGACGAAGAUCGCCUCCGGAGUGGCAAGCGCAAGGCAGUCGCCCAAGAAACCGGAGGAAACUCCAGUCAGAAACAGAAGCGGAAGGCUGAGCCAGCCGCCCCUGGGGAGGCCCUGGCCGUAACCCAGGGAAAUUUCAAGGGAAAACCCAAGGGCCCCUGGAAGCCCAAGAAAGUCAAGGAUCAAGAUGGAAAUGAUGUUUUGGAUCUGCCAUGUCACUCCACACCAAGAAAGAUGAAGAGGGUAAUUUUAUUUACCCAAAGCAUACCACUCGACAGUGCCAGCUCCUGAUCCAGCAGUUUCAGGGCAAGCAACCCAAAGAUAAGGAAAAAGAGCCAGACAGAGUUGAGGACAAGGAUGAUAGUGACGAUGGAUACCCCCAAGUCAAUUCCACCCUGAUGAUUUUUGCUGAUGUCGAAAGCAAAAGUCGACUGAAAGUCAUUAAUCGUGAAGUGAAUAUGGUUGCUCCGGCAACACCUAGUUAUCUGAAGUGGUCUCAGGCUGCCAUAACAUUCGACCAGUCUGAUCACCCUACGCACAUUGCCACCCCUGGGAGGCAAGCUUUGGUGGUCGACCCAGUUGUCGAAGGCACUCGACUGACCAAAGUCCUGAUGGAUGGUGGCAGUGGCCUGAACAUACUGUAUGCUAAAACAUUGAAAGGGAUGGGCAUUCCGAUGUCCGGGCUCAGUACCAGCAACAUGAGCUUCCACGGAGUCAUUCCCGGGAAGUAAGCCGAAUCACUCGGCCAGAUUGCUCUUGAUGUGGUUUUCGGUGAUUCAAAGACUUACCGCAAGGAAAAGUUGACAUUCGAGGUUGUGGACUUCCAAAGUGCUUAUCAUGCCAUUUUGGGCAGACCAGCUUAUGCACGCUUCAUGGCCUGACCAUGUUAUGUGUAUCUCAAAUUGAAGAUGCCUGGUCCUAAAGGUGUGAUCACUGUUACAGGCAAUCGGAAGAAGGCAGAAGAGUGUUUUCAGAAAGGCUCAAAGAUUGCUGACGCUCAGAUGGCAGUGGUUGAGCUGCAAGAGUAUCAGAAGACUGCAGAUCCGAGUGAGUUGCUACGAGCUAAGAAGCCCACUUCGGAGUCAGCUUUUCAGUAGUCUGGUGAAAUGAAGGCAGUUCACAUUCACCCGACCAACCCCGAGGCUGCCCCGACUCACAUCUCAAAGACGCUCGACUCCAAAUAGGAAGAAGUGCUCAUCCAGUUCCUCCGUGAGAACUGGGACAUCUUCGCAUGGAAGCCUUCUGACAUGCCUGGAAUAACCAGGGGGCUGGCUGAGCACCGUCUACGAGUCGACCCAAAGUUCAAGCCUAUGAAAGAACAUCUUCGACGGUCCGCCGUCCAAAAGAGGAAAGCUAUUGGCGAGGAGGUGGCUCGGCUCUUAGCAGCAGAGUUCAUCCGAGAGAUGUACCACUCUGAGUGGCUCGCCAAUGUUGUCAUGGUCCCCAAGAAGGACAAGUCGCUUCGCAUAUGCAUCGACUUUAAACAUAUCAAUCGGGCCUGCCCGAAAGAUCAUUUUCCUCUCCCUCGCAUCGACCAAAUAGUCGACUUGACCGCGGGGUGUGAGCGAUUGUCUUUUCUAGACGGCUAUUCCGGGUACCAUCAGAUCCGUCUGUAUGGACCCGAUGAGAUCAAAACAGCUUUCAUCACUCCAUUCGGGUGCUUCCGUUAUGUCACCAUGCCCUUCGGCCUCAAGAACGCUGGAGCCACGUUCAUGAGGAUGAUUCAGAAGUGUUUGCUCACUCAAAUCAGUCGGAACGUGGAAGCAUACAUGGAUGAUAUUGUGGUCAAGUCGCGGAAAGGUUCCGACCUGCUGACUGACCUUGCUGCAACCUUUGCCAACCUUAGGAGGUAUGAUAUCAAGCUUAAUCCAUCAAACUGCACAUUCGGAGUUCCGGGUGGAAAGUUACUCGGUUUUCUCGUUUCCGAAUGAGGAAUCAACGCCAAUCCCGAGAAAGUUGGCACCAUACUCCGGAUGAAGCGCCCUGUGCGUGUGCACGAUGUCCAGAAGCUUAUGGGUUGCUUGGCCGCUCUAAGUCGAUUCAUUUCUCGUCUCAGUGAAAAGGCAUUGCCUCUUUACCGACUGAUGAAGAAGUCUGACAAGUUCGAGUGGACUCCAGAAGCUGAUGCAGCGUUUGCAGACCUCAAAGCUCUGCUCUCCACCCAGCCGGUGCUUGCUGCCCCAAUCAGUAAAGAGCCUUUGCUGCUUUACAUUGCAGCCACAGGACAAGUUGUCAGUACAGUACUUAUGGUCGAGCGGGAAGAUGAAGGAUAGGCCUUCAGAGUUCAACGCCCAGUAUAUUAUGUGUCUGAAGUUUUGACACCUUCAAAACAAAGAUAUCCUCAUUAUCAGAAGCUUGUAUACGGGAUUUAUAUGACCACGAAGAAGGUUGCACAUUACUUCUCUGACCACUCCAUUACAGUCGUCAGCGACGCCCCACUGUCAGAGAUUCUGCAUAACAGAGAUGCAACUGGUCGAGUGGCGAAGUGGGCGAUUGAACUCCUUCCCCUAGAUAUCAAGUUUGAAGCAAAUAAGGCUAUCAAGUCCCAAGCAAUUGCAGAUUUCAUCACCGAGUGGAUCGAACAGCAGCUUCCGACUCAAGUUCACCCGGAGCACUGGACCAUGUUCUUCGAUGGAUCUAAGAUGCUGAAUGGUUCCGGUGCUGGGGUAGUAUUGGUCUCCCCCCGAGGAGAUAAGCUCAGAUAUGUUCUCCAGAUUCACUUUGAUUCCUCCAAUAAUGAAGCAGAAUAUGAAGCACUUUUGUAUGGGUUGCGCAUGGCCAUUUCACUUGGCGUCCGUCGCCUCAUGGUCUAUGGCGACUCAGAUUUGGUGGUUAAUCAGGCGAUGAAGGAGUGAGACGUCAGAAGUCCGGCAAUGACUGGUUAUUGCAAUGUAGUGAGAAAGCUAGAAAAGAAAUUCGAGGGGUUAGAGCUUCAUCACAUCCCCCGACUGAAAAAUCAGGUAGCUGACGAUUUGGCAAAGAUAGGCCCCAAGAGAGAAGCCAUUCCCAGCAACGUGUUCCUGGAACACAUUCAUUCGCCAUCAGUCCAAGAAGAUCCUUUUACAGAAGAAGCCCCGCAGCCGAAAAGUGCCACAGAUCCGACUGAAGUCGAAGUCCCUGCUGUGGUCGACCUAAUCAUGGAAGUCUUCGCAAUCACUCCCGACUGGACGAUACCGUACAUCGCGUAUAUCCUAAGGAAAGAACUCCCGGAGGACGAGGAAGAGGCUCGACAGAUCGUCCGCCGAUCCAAAGCCUUCACAGUCACAAGGGGACAGUUGUAUAGAGAAAGCGCGACUGGGAUCGGUCAGAAGUGCAUAACACUAGAAGAGGUUCAGAUAAUCCUUGACGACAUCCACUCGCGGACCUGUGGUCACCAUGCGUCUUCUCGGACCAUUGUGGCUAAAGCAUACCGAGCGGGAUUUUACUGGCCAAGAGCAAAUGAGAUGGCAAAAGAGAUAGUCGACCAGUGUGGAGGGUGCUAGUUCUACUCCAACAUGUCACACAAGCCUGCGUCAGCCCUGAAGACCAUUCCACUCGUCUGGCCCUUUGCUGUCUGGGGACUGGACAUGGUUGGUCCACUAAGAACAGGCAGGAGCGGUUUCACUCAUGUGCUUGUGGUAGUCGACAAGUUUACCAAAUGGAUUGAGGCUAAGCGCAUCAAGAAUCUUGAUGCUUGCACUACUAUCAGUUUCGUCAGAGGGCUAACAUUCAGAUAUGGAGUCCCGCAUAGCAUCAUCACUGACAAUGGGUCAAACUUUGAUUCGGACAAGUUCAGAGCUUUUUGCGCCUCUCAAGGCACACGAGUCGACUACGCAUCGGUCGCCCAUCCCCAGUCGAAUGGACAAGCAGAGAGAGCAAAUGGUUUGAUUCUCAAAGGACUAAAGCCUCGACUGAUGCGCGAUCUCAAGCACGCGGCAGGUGCUUAGGUCGACGAGCUUCCGUCAGUUCUGUGGGGAUUGAGGACCACCCCGAACCGGUCGACUGGAGGAACUCCAUUCUUUCUGGUUUAUGGAGCCGAGGCAGUUCUGCCGAGUGAUCUUCUUCACAACGCACCCCGAGUCGAACUUUAUACCGAAGAUGAAGCAGAACAAGCCCGGCAAGACGCAGUCGACCUACUAGAAGAAGAGAGGGAGAUGGCCAUGAUCAGAUCGACCAUUUAUCAGCAAGACUUGCGUCGAUUCCACGCUAGGAAUGUGAAGAGUCGAGCCUUCCAAGAAGGAGAUUUGGUCCUCCUAGUGGAUCAACAGAAACCACACAAGCUUGCUCCUACUUGGGAAGGCCCCUUCAUCGUCACCAGAGUCCUCCACAAUGGAGCGUAUCACCUCUACAAUGUUGAUCGCCAGAUCGAUGAGCCGCGAGCUUGGAAUGCGGAACUGCUCCGCCCCUUUUACACUUGAGUUCUCCCUUGGACGAGAUGUAAUAAGAAAAAAUUUCUGCAGUUCAUUUUUAUCAAAGGCAAGAGUGUUCCAAUAAUUGCUGUCACUUUUGUUUGCAUACGAAAUCCCCCAGUGGGUGACUUAGCUGCGAAUCCGUUUCGCCUAAGUUUGAAAAAUCCUACCGAGUGGAGAGCCAGAUUCCCACUCGGGGGCUUAGCUCCAGCCCAGUGCUUGCCUAAGUGUUCAAAAAUCCUACCAAGUGAGAGCAAUCCUCCCACUUGGGGGCUUAGCUGCAGUCCAGUACUCGCCUAAGUUCUCCCACUUAGAGACUUAGCUGCAGUCAGGCACUCGCCUAAGUUUGAAAAAAUCCUACCGAGUGGAGAGCAAUCCUCCCACUCGAGGGCUUAGCUGCAGUCCAGUACUCGCCUAAGUUCUCCCACUUAGAGACUUAGCUACAGUCAGGCACUCGCCUAAGUUUGAAAAAAUCCUACCGAGUGGAGAGCAACCCUCCGACUCGGGGGCUUAGCUGCAGUCCAGUACUCACCAAAGUUCUCCCACUUAGAGACUUAGCUANNNNNNNNNNNNNNNNNNNNNNNNNNNNNNNNNNNNNNNNNNNNNNNNNNNNNNNNNNNNNNNNNNNNNNNNNNNNNNNNNNNNNNNNNNNNNNNNNNNNNNNNNNNNNNNNNNNNNNNNNNNNNNNNNNNNNNNNNNNNNNNNNNNNNNNNNNNNNNNNNNNNNNNNNNNNNNNNNNNNNNNNNNNNNNNNNNNNNNNNNNNNNNNNNNNNNCUCUCCUUCCGAGCUACGCCACAAGUACAACAUGCGCUCUGCAAGGAGGACGAGGUGCAGGUCGACUGCUACCCUCUCCUUCCGAGCUACGCCACCAAUUCAAAAUCCUACUGAGUGGAGAGCAAACCUCCCACUCGGGGGCUUAGCUGCAGCCCAGUGCUCGCCUAAGUAUUUGAAAUCCUACCGAGUGGAGAGCAAACCUCCCACUCAGGGGCUUAGCUGCAGCNNNNNNNNNNNNNNNNNNNNNNNNNNNNNNNNNNNNNNNNNNNNNNNNNNNNNNNNNNNNNNNNNNNNNNNNNNNNNNNNAAAUCCUACCGAGUGGAGAGCAAACCUCCCACUCGGGGGCUUAGCUACAGCCCAGUGCUCGCCUAAGUAUUUAAAAAUCCUACCGAGUGGAGAGGAAACCUCCCACUCGGGGGCUUAGCUGCAGCCCAGUGCUCGCCUAUGUGUUUAGAAAUCCUACCGAGUGGAGAGCAAACCUCCCACUCGGGGGCUUAGCUGCAGCCCAGUGCUCGCCUAAGUGUUUAGAAAUCCUACCGAGUGGAGAGCAAACCUCCCACUCGGGGGCUUAGCUGCAGCCCAGUGCUCGCCUAAGUGUUUAGAAAUCCUACCGAGUGGAGAGCAAACCUCCCACUCGGGGGCUUAGCUGCAGCCCAGUGGUCGCCUAAGUGUUUAAAAAUCCUACCGAGUGGAGAGCCAGACUCCCACUCGGGGGCUUAGCUGCAGCCUAGCGCUCGCCUAAGUGUUUAAAAAUCCUACCGAGUGAGAGCAAACCCCUCACUCGGAGGGCUUAGCUGCAGCCCGGUGCUCACCUAAGUACAGGACACAACCCAAUCCGCAAGAAGUUACGCCACAAAUACAAGGUUAUUCCGAGUGAAGAUCAAGUUGCACUCGACAGAUCAAACCAUGAAGAUAUCCAACGAGAAAUCAAGUUCGGAUAAAGCCUAAAGGUCCCAGACCUCAGAUCAAAGUACUCGAGCCCUCGGCUCGGCAGAGUUUAACGGUUACAAAUCCACUCAGCAUUCCGAGGCAAAUUUAAAGUGAAGCACGACGAACUCGUCCAAGUCGAUCCCGUCUGCAAUACGAGUGGCAGCAGCGAUGAAAGUCUCCAUGAAGUCUUGAAAGCUGUGCUUCCUGGUAUUGGCAACUUGGAUGGCGGCCGGCUUUUCUUCUCGCGCCUCCUUGCAAUGGACGCGGACCAGAGACAGAGCGACAUCAGCACCACAUCUAGCAGAAGAUUUCUUCCAUUCCGCCACUCAACCCGGGACUUCAUUCUGUCGAGCCAUCAGAGACUCGAGGUCGUUCUGAAGCAUCAUCCCAGGCCAGAGUGAUGUGUCAAUCCGCGACAUCGCAACCUUCAGUCGAGCAAGAUAGUCAACAACACUGGUAACACGAGACUCCAGUCGGAGCACGUUCAUAGCAGCUUCAUCCUUCACGAGAGAAUUGGCGGGGUCCAAGCCUGGCUCCACUCGACUGGUUUCCUCUUCGAAGUUCUGGCAGAAUUCUGCAAACACGAUUCAAGAGUCAGACAUUGGCUCUACACAGGCUUGGCAACUGCAAGACAGUCGGGGCAGAGUAAUUACCUUCGAGCAUGACGAACAGCUUCUUGGUGAGUCCACCGAGAUAAGCCUCCAGAUCAUUUACCUUCCCCGCCAGCUUACCCGCCUGGUCGUGUAGAACCAUCUUUUCAUUCUUCAGUCGGCUGACCUCUUGAUUAGCUGUCUCGAGAGCAGUUUUCAGCCUCGAGUUCUCCUGUUCAAGAGUUCCGACCGAAGCCAUUUUCUCUUCUCCAAGCUUCGUUCUGCUCAAGGCCUCCUUCUGUGAUUCUGCAAGAUCUUGAUCCUUCUUCUUCAGAGCUUCUUCCAGUUUAUCUGCGGCACGUCGAGUGAAAUCAACAUCAAGAAUGGACAAGCAAGAAAAAUCACUCGUCAAGAAUGGAGAACCUCACCAGCCAUACCUUUUGCUUCUUCUUGCGCCUUCCUCAAAUUCUCUUGAGCAAGCUUCAAGUUAAGGUUGAGCUGGAUCUGCUUAUUCUCCAACUCAGUAUAGCGAGCUACAAGUUCACAGGAUUUCUGCAAAAAGAAAAAUCAGUGGACAGACGUCCAAGAUAAGUUGCUUCCCAAUAACUAAAAGACAACGAUGGCGUUUCUAAGACUAUAGCCGAAUCUAAAACAUUCGACAGUAGUCUCGGGGACUACACCCAGUGGGUGCACUCUGCGUGCCCCCAUUGUAAAAAAAGUCGACUGCCCGCAGUCGACCGGAUACAGUUCCAUUCGACAUGGCCUGACCAGACCGAAUGAAGAAAUACAGCUACAACAACACAAUAUAAAGACUACAGUCGACUGCCAGCAGUCCACCAUAGUCUCGGGGACUACACCCAGUGGGUGCACUUAGCGUUCCCCCACUCGUCCAAGAAUUGGCAGACACACCCAGUGGGUGUACAGAUAUAAAGAUCUUCAAAAAAAAAGAUUCUUCAAACAGCAUAUCGUAACAGACCAAGUGUUGAGUCGACUGACCUGGACGUUACUCUGAAGAGCCGAACUCGCGUCAUAAGCCGCUUGGCUGGCCUCCCAAGCCGCUUUCACUUGUUCCAUCAUAAUCCCCGCCUGGCGUAUGGCCUCUUUUGCAGCAGCUGCUUGGUCCUCAGGGACGGGGUACGUGGCAAAAAGCGAAGGCGGAUCCGCAGUCGACGUCAAGGGCCGCACCCUCGUCAGAGGAAUGGCGAAAGUCACAGAAGCCCGAGUGGUUUCACCACCGUCUCGGGCUACGGCCUCAGGCGCCGGAGUGGAUUGUGGGGUCUCGCCAGCCGACGCUCCCCUGUUCCUUCUCACUCUCAGCGGCACGUCAUCGUCGUCAUCCGGAAGGUUGAUAACAUGAUAAGGAGCUACAAGAAAAAAUUCAAUCGACCAGAGUUGCAAUAAGUGUCCAGUCGACUGAAGGCAGAACAUCAGUAAUCAUACCAGGGUGGAGGUAACAGCAUCCUCCAUCUCUUGGUCGUCGUCCUUGGCAGAGACCUCCGAAGUAGGAGCACUGCAAAUCUCGAAAGUCAGUCAGUUGGCUCAAUGAAUCGACCAAGGAUCUGUCCACGGUCGACAAAGGAAAACAAGUUUUGUUAUUACCCAGAAAUGGUGGGGACAGCCAUCUUCAUCUUGGGCAGAGCCUUGGGCGGCUUGGACGGCGUCGCGCGUGGGUGCUUGGGAGCCUUUCCAGUCAGCGUAGGAGAAGAGGUUCGAGGGCGUUUCGACAACUGCCCAACAGGAGCAGUCGCCUACCACGUUCCCGCGCUGGAUCAUGUGUGAGCUUGGAUCGCCUCUCCCGGUGGGGGGGGGGGGGGGGUCAACCUCCUCCUCCUCCUCUUCGCUGGAGUUGACGUCGUCGUCUCCCUCUCCUUCGCCAUCGGACUCCCACUCGCCUUGAUCGUCUCCACUCUCACAUCCGCUCGCCUCCCCUUCCUCAGUUGGCUCCUGUGCCCCGUUGGGUGUCGAGUACAUCUCAGUAGUCGCCUGGAAAACAACAGACAAGACAAAAGUUAGUCGACCAAUUCAAAGAAGACCAAUGAAGAAAACAAGAUUUCAAUCGGGAGCGUAAAGUCAGACCUGGUCCACUUCGUAUUGUUGUCGAGUGGAGAAACCCUCCUGGCGCCUCGGGGGUUGUCUUUGUUUCCUGUGAUGCUCGUCAGCCACCCCUCCAACAUCUCAUCAGUGACCUCCUCCGGGUGGAUCCGAGUGGUGUCUUCGAGGCCCGAGUACAGCCACAUCGGGUGGCCGCGAGCCUGGAGCGGUUGGAUGCGCCUCCGAAGAAAGACCUCCAGCAAGUCCAUGCCAGUCACGCCAUCACGGACGAGCUGAACCACUCGACCAACCAGCACUUUGAAUUGGGUCUUUUCUUCUGGCGUCACUUUCAGAGAAGCAGGUUUUUGAGCUCGGUCGAGAGAGAAAUGGGGAAGCCCGGUCGACUGUCCUGGGGUCACCUGGUCUUUGCAGUAAAACCAGGUCGCCUGCCAACCACGGACCGACUCUGGGAAAAUGAUAGAUGGAAAACAACUCUUUCCCCUCGUCUGGAUCGCGAGGCCCCCGCACAGCUGGAUCACUUGCGUCCUUUCCUCACUCGACUUGGCCUUCUUGACCGAUUGGGAGCGGCAAGUAAAGAUGUGCUUAAAGAGCCCCCAAUGGGGGCGGCAACCCAGGAAACCCUCACACAAGGAAAUGAAGGUAGCAAGGUACACGAUAGAGUUGGGAGUGAAGUGGUGGAGCUGCGCUCCGAAGAAAUUUAGAAAACUCCGGAAAAAAGGAUGAGGAGGCAGAGAAAACCCUCGAUCGAUGUGGGUGGUGAGAAGGACACACUCACCAUCACGGGGUUGAGGCUCGACUUCUCCCCCCUGGAGACGCGCAGCCUCGUAAGGAAUGACUCCCCCCUCAACCAUAUCGUCGAGGUCUUCCUGCCGAAUCACCGACGGCAUCCAAUCGCCCUGGAUCCAGCCUCUGGGCAGAGCAGUCCUUGAGGAAGAUCCGCCCCAAGCGGACUUCUUCCCUUUCCCCUGCACCGACGCCUUCUUCGCGCGCUCCAGAGCAGACGUCUUGCCCUUCACCAUCGUCGCCGGCGAAUCUCAAACGGGUCUGCGGCGCUAGGGUGAGAGCGGAGGUGGCGGAGGACUUCGCGAAGGGAGAAAGAAGAGAAAGAAGAGAAAGGAGAGAGCACUGUUCGGGAACCCGAGCAGGCGGCUUAUAAGAGGCCGCUCCUGAGUGGCUGACUGGUAGGCCCAGGCUAUCCCGUCAAAUCCCGCAGUAGACGCGCGCGCAGCUCGUGGCGGAAAAGGUGGCACGGGAAUCGAGGAGCUUCUGCCUUAUCACAUCCGAUUACUGCGGCCGCGCCCGUCCCGCUCGCUCCCCGAUGUUCAAAUCCCGCGAAAUCCGCGGGCUGCGGAACAACUCAUCAAAUAGAAGAUCCCUCUCGUGCCGGCACUCGGUAUUUCACAAGUAAGGAAAUUCACUCGACGGGAGACCAAGAAUGGAUCAAGGCGACCGAAAGAAGUUGACAACGUCAUCCUUGGCGAUAGAUCUAGUACAAGACGUCCAUAUGACGCUAAAAACCAGUCGGAAGGACCCCCAACUCCUUCCCCACUCGAACCUCGAUCCAUUCGGGGGCUAAUGACGAAGCUACGUACCUAGGGUAGGGGGAUGGACCUGUCCUAAGAGCCCUACCCAAGGACAUCCCUGGAAGAAGUCACCUUUCAAUCGACUUGAAGGUACCCACUCGACGGGUUUAAGACACUCGACCAAGAAGCUACCACUCGACACGAAGCCAAUCACUCGACUGCCAGGAGAUCUAAAGUCAUUCCACGGGCAAACGGUCGGCUAUUAAGUAGUCUUUAUGGUCAUUAUAGCACUUUAUUACCAGCGUUACCAGUAACGCCCCGCCUUAAUGUACAUUGAACCCUUGGUAACGUAGGCUGGCCGGGGUCCUGGCGCGCUCUAUAUAAGCCACCCCCUCCUCCGAGACAAGGGUUCGCACCUCUGUUAUUCACACGCCUAUAAUCCAAUCGACCGCCUCCGGGCACCGAGACGUAGGGCUGUUACUUCCUCCGCGAAGGGCCUGAACUCGUACACCUUGUUGUGUUUACAACUUCCCAAUAGCUGAGAUCUAGCCUCUCCAUACACACCCCCAACAUCACUGUCAGAGUUAGAACCACGACACCGCCUGCCGUGCCCCUCGCCGCACGCCCACCACCGCGCCAGCCCCCACUCUGUGGACGACCCUAGCCGCGCCCGCGCCGUGAUCCCCUUUUCCGCCCUACCUUCCCGCACUCGCCGCGGUCCCGAUGCUCCCCCGCGCCCUCUUUCAGGGGCGCCGACUGCCCCUGUCCCAUUACUCGCCGCCGCGCCUCGCCACCGCUCUACUGCUACGUUACUACUGCGCUGCGGCCGCCGCCUCUUCCCGCUGCUCCGCUAGCGCCGAAGCUCCCGGCUGGCUCUGCCACUGGUCACGUUUAACUACCGGUCUAAAUGGCCUAACCUCCCGGCAAAUGAACCCCCAGUAACCCACUGACACCGGGAGCCACAUCCCCUAAUUAACCAUUAAUAAAUUAAAACUCUUAAAUUAACAUUAGUGUAUGACAUGUGCGUCCCCUGUUAAUUAAUAAUUUACAUUAGUGUAUGACAUGUGCGUACCCUGUUAAAUAAACUGAUUUAAUUAAAAUCUAUUAACUUCGAGUCUAUGACAUAUCACUACUUGGGAAAAUCCUAGCAGUAGCGUGGGUAUUUUUCCUAUCAGUUGCGCCGGAUACCGCUCUACUGAUAAGGCACUACAGCUAACAUGUAGCAGUAAUGCGUGUCAUCCAACGCUACUGCUGUACAUGGCUAGCAGUAGCGAGCUUUAGUGCAAAGCGCUGCUGCUAAUAUCUGCAGCGCUUUUCAGCAUGAAGUGAUACUGGUAAGGGACCUCUACUACUAACUUUAUUCCCCUCGCUACUGCUAGUUUUAUUAGUUUCUGUUUUUUUCUGCAUAUUUCUUUUGUAUUUGAACAGGCUUUAUACAAUAAUAUUUAGCGUAUCAUACACAUACAAAUGUAAUCAUAGCAUAUACAUACAAAUAGUCUCGUCAAAUCAUGUCAUCAUCAUAAUCAUCAUCCAUCACAAAGUGGUCUCUCGUCAUCAUCUCUAAAAUAGCGAUACAAGUCUCGAUUACUUGCAACUACAUUGUCAUCCGUCUAAACAAUGAUAUACGCGAGAAGAGCUAUCACUAUGAGUGAGAGCGGAACUAUGCAGUACAUGAGUUUGUAUCCCUCUCUCGCAUUAGCGUGAACCUAAACUAACUACUAGUUGUCGCUCGGAAACCAGAAACCGGUACACCUGGGCCUGACACUCCGUCCACUCAUCUUAUACUCCUGGCGUAGCACUUCUGUGCCAUCGAUGAUCUAUGCACCUGCAUCGUCACAUGAGUCGAUGAUAUGCAACAUAUAUAGUUGAGCAAUAGAAACAGACAGACUUGGCAAAAAUAGAAGCAACAUAUCAUAAGCAUAAAUAACAAAGUUCAUCAUACCCAAAAUGCCCUAACUAGAGUGAUCUUCGCUAGUCGAGGAGGACGGUUUAAUUACAUCACAAAUAAUGUUUCAUCUUGCAUAACUCAAAGUGCCAUCAUACAGAAAGUAUGAACUAAACGGACACAUUGUCAUAUGUCGACAAUCACUCCAACAUGUCGUGCCAUCGAUCCAAGUCAAGGAGAUAGUCCCCGAGCUUAGUGAAAGGCUUCAGGUUGAGACGCUGAGCGGCAACGCGUGUUCGGACGUCUUCCCUCGACAUUUUUCCUUCUUCAUAGAACAUCCCUGUUUUUUCGAUGACCUCCCUCAUGAUGAUUUGGGCAAGUUCGCACUGGAAGUGAUAGAACUCAUCUUGAAGUCGAUGAUCCUCGAUAUCUCCUAAGUUCUUUGCCCAUUGCAGAAUAUGGGCAUCGCCGAAUCUAGGUGUCAUGCAAAGGUUCUGGUGAUCCCGUAUGUACUCCAUCAUGUGGUGUAGGACAUAGAAUCCAUCAUUAAGAGAAUCACUCAGUUGCUGGAUACAGCAGAAGCCGGUCUUAUGGCCGAAGGCGGGCCUGCCGUCCCUUUUCUUCUUGUCCUUGACCUCUCCACCCCGUGCACCGUAGUAAAACAUAGCACCGUCGAGAACAUACUUGAUGUGGGUGUAAUCCUUUUUUUUAAUGUUCUUCGAUGAGUCCAAGUAAAGAGCGUGGGAGUAUCGGGGGUAGAGGAUGAUGAGGAUGGUGCACCCGCCGCUGCGCAAAAUAAGUACACCUCAAAUUAAUUAGCCUCCACCGUGCAAAUGAAUGAUUGAAAUCGUAGGAAGGAUAUCCGCGUGGAUGACUUACAGGGGAUGAUAAGGCACAAGAAUCACCUCCUUGUCCUUAUUGGCACGCAUGAAAUUGACGAUGUAUUCCUCGCGUAUUCACGGUGCUUUGCGUGGACUCACAAGAAGACCUCGUGCAUGAAGUACCGAUCAGUGACACAGAUAUGAGGUAUUUGCUCAACCCCGAUGAGGUAGUUCAUGUGCAAGGCAUAAAGGUGGACGAAUGUAAAAUCCAGCUUCUUUAAGUGAAACAUGUCGAAGAUGUAAUCCAAUCGAAGGAAGAACUUGUUCGAGGGGAAUGUGUCGAUGUACGACAAUUGCAGCGACACGUUAACCACGGAGAGUGGGUAUGCUGGAUUUUUUGAGGCAAUGAGGCCUUUCUCUAUCAGCAACACAUCAUCAUGAAGUCUCCUUAUAUCGCCAAAUCAGGCCCCUAGCGCUGCUUUAGGUAGGAUUGGUUAACCGGGGAUACGCCAUAUUGCCGCACCGAGGAUAUCUAUACGGUCUUGAACCCGAGCCUGCUGAGGUGGCUGGAUCAUAGAAGCACCUUUGUUUCCUUUCCUCGGUGUCUUCCUUGGCUUCUUUGCUACCGGAAAGUCGUCUAUAAUAUGUUCAGCCUCUGGAGGCGGCAAUUCAGGCACCAACUCAUGCGCUCAAACCCUGAGUAGGCGCCAGUAUUGAGGUAUUGUUGAAUGUCAUCGUCGUCCUCAUCUAUGGCGAUGUCACUAGCGACAAAUCGAGCCUCUUCCUCACCCCGUCCGCUAUCACCCAGCACGACAGCCGACGCUAAUUGGGUAGGUGGGGUGUUGAUGUUCGUACCUAACUGCGUGCUCGUGUGUGUGCUCCCGGCCGCCUCCAGACAAAGCAGACUCUUUGACCACAACAGGACCCACCCAUUGCAACCACCAAGCCGCUGCGGGGUCUCGUCGUCAUCCCCUAGUAUCGGAGGAGCCAAAUUCUCGUGGCCCGGUUUGACACUGGCCACGAAAACUUUGAAGACAUACGGGGGGAUUGGUCGGCCAUGGAACAAUGGUUCCUUCGGCUUCAUUACCGUCACCUUCCCCACGUCCACCUUUUGGUCGCCGAUGUUGUACAAUAUGGUGCACGGGGUUACAUCGGCCUGCAAAGACACCGUGAGAUUAUACAUUUAUGGAAGAGGGCCGGUGUGACAGAUACCGUGAGGGCGUCGAGCUCAGCCAAAGACGAAGGACAGCUGAGCACGGCCGGUGUGGGAGCCGGUGUGGGAGCCGGUGCAGGUGCAGGUGCUGGUGCAUCGCUAGUCGUGCUACUCCCGAAGAAGUCAACAAUGGGAAAGUCCGCUGCAUUUUUUCUGGAUUUUGCAUGCUCCAAUUGAAAACGGCUGGAACCAAGACAAUAGACAUAUCUGCAACCACCUGUUUUGCGGCAGCUACCGUUAUCGUGACAGUCUCAGAUGAUUUCUUCUCUACUGCAAUCUCAACCUUCUUGUCGAUGUUUUCUUCAGUUAACCUCCAUCUUUCCUUUCUCUCCUCCGUGGUCUCACGGUAGCACUUCUUCCACGUGGCCCCGUCUCCGACACCGUGAACGCGUCCAUACGACGACCGAGUCUCCACUGGGAGUCCUUUCAAUAUGUUCAAUGCCCGGUUGAAUGGAGUGUCCCACUUGGGCCUCGCCAACGCCUCAGACGGCGAGUCUCUUUCGGUCGCAAUCUUGUGCUGCUCUCUCUACAAAAGGAACAAGGAUCAUUUACAAAUAUGACUAAACGUGCAGUCGAAUUGAUCAGAAACUAAAAUUACCAGCAGUCUCAUGAACUCCGUCGUGAUCGGGUCCGUCUUGAAAACCUUCUUGACCGAGUGCCAAUGGUGCCGUGCCCUGAGGACGUCAUGCUCCUACAGGACGGUGAAGUCCGCCAAGGGGUCUAGGAUGCCAGACUUUCGCGUUUCGUGUCCUCCUUGGCCCAUAUGGACCUCUUCCUGCUGUAACCACGGCUUCCGAGGUGGCGGUGCCCCAUGUUCCUUUGUUGAAACCCCUUCAUGUACUUUGACUUUGUUUUGGCAGUUUCAGCCUCGCAAGCCGCCUUGAAUAUUUCAAAGUGCUCUCCCGUGAUUGUCGGAUUAUCCUUUACAAUCUCGGAGUAGGGUUGAUACGUCUCCAAUGUAUCUAUUAUUUUUGAUUGCUCCAUGCUAUAUUAUCUACUGUUUUGGACAUUAUUGGGCUUUAUUAUCUACUUUUAUAUUAUAAUUUGGACUAACCUAUUAACCGGAGGCCCGAGCCCAGAAUUGCUGUUUUUUUGCCUGUCUUAGGGUUUCAAAGAAAAGGAAUAUCAAACGGAGUCCAAACGGAAUGAAACCUUCGGGAACGUGAUUUUCUCAACGAACAAGACCCAGGAGACUUUGACCCUACAUCAAGACACAAGGCGAAUCAUGUACGUAGCCACUAGUGAAACAUAUUAUCUUUAUUAUAUCUAUCAGAUCUCACUCUCGUAAGUGGCCGUGUUGGGAUUGACAACCCCUAUUCAUGUUGGUUGAGAGGAUUGAUUUGUUUUGUGCAAGUACAAAGGACUCGCGCGUAGCCUCCUAUUGGAUUAAUAGCUUGGUUCUCAAAAAGUGAGGGAAAUACUUACGCUACUUUGUUGCAUCAUCCCUUCCUCUUCGGGGAAAACCAACGCAGUGCUCAAGAGGUAGCAAGAAGGAUUUGCUGNNNNNNNNNNNNNNNNNNNNNNNNNNNNNNNNNNNNNNNNNNNNNNNNNNNNNNNNNNNNNNNNNNNNNNNNNNNNNNNNNNNNNNNNNNNNNNNNNNNNNNNNNNNNNNNNNNNNNNNNNNNNNNNNNNNNNNNNNNNNNNNNNNNNNNNNNNNNNNNNNNNNNNNNNNNNNNNNNNNNNNNNNNNNNNNNNNNNNNNNNNNNNNNNNNNNNNNNNNNNNNNNNNNNNNNNNNNNNNNNNNNNNNNNNNNNNNNNNNCCUCCACCCUCGUGGGCCCCCUGUUGCUCCACCGACGUACUCCUUCCUCCUAUAUAUACCUACGUACCCCCAAACGAUCAUAUACGGAGCCAAAACCCUAAUUCCACCGCCACAACUUUCUGUAUCCACGAGAUCCCAUCUUGGGGCCUGUUCCGGAGCUCCGCCGGAGGGGGCAUCAAUCACGGAGGGCUUCUACAUCAACACCAUAACCUCUCCGAUGAAGUGUGAGUAGUUCACCUCAAACCUACGGUUCCAUAGUUAUUAGCUAGAUGGCUUCUUCUCUCUUUUUGGAUCUAAAUACAAUGUUCUCCCCCUCUCUUGUGGAGAAUUAUUCGAUGUAAUCUUAUUUUUGCGGUGUGUUUAUUGAGACCGAUGAAUUGUGGGUUUAUGAUCAAGUCUCUCUAUGAAUAAUAUUUCAAUCUUCUCUGAAUUAUUUUAUGUAUGAUUGGUUAUCUUUGCAAGUCUCCUCGAAUUAUCAGUUUGGUUUGGCCCACUAGAUUGAUCUUUCUUGCAAUGGGAGAAGUGCUUAGCUUUGGGUUCAAUCUUGCGGUGUCCUUUCCCAGUGACAGUAGGGGCAGCAAGGCACGUAUUGUAUUGUUGCCAUCAUGGACAACAAAAUGGGGUUUUCAUCAUAUUGCAUCAGUCUAGCCCUCUACAUCAUGUUAUCUUGCUUAAGGCGUUAAUUUGUUUUUAACUUAAUACUCUAGAUGCAUGCUGGAUAGCGGUCGAUGAGUGGAGUAAUAGUAGUAGAUGCAGGCAAGAGCGGUCUACUUGUCUCGGACAUGAUGCCUAUAUACAUGAUGAUACCUAGAUAUUCUCAUAACUAUGCUCAAUUCUGUCAAUUGCUGAACAGUAAUUUGUUCACCCACCGUAGAAUACUUAUGCUCUCGAGGGAAGCCACUAGUGAAACCUAUGGCCCCGGGUCUAUCUUUAUCAUAUUAAUCUUCUACUACUUAGUUAUUUCCUUUGCUUUUUACUUUUCCUUUAUUUUACUUUGCAUCUUUAUCACCAAAAUACCAAUAAAAUUAUCUUUAUCAUAUCUAUCAAAUCUCACUCUGGUAAGUGGCCGUGUAGGGAUUGACAACCCCUAUUCGUGUUGGUUGCGAGGAUUUAUUUGUUUUGUGCAGGUACGAGGGACUCGCGCGUAGCCUCCUACUGGAUUGAUACCUUGGUUCUCAAAACCUGAGGGAAAUACUUACGCUACUUUGCUGCAUCAUCCCUUCCUGUUCGGGGAAAACCAACGCAGUGCUCAAGAGGUAGCAAGGGUUCCUUUUUGUCGACGAUCCGAUGUUUCAACCUUGUUUUCCAGGCGGCCAACGCGUCGCUAAACUUGGGCAUGGCGUGUUUGUUUAUCUUCUUCAUUGCCACGUCCUUAUCUGGAUCAUUAUUAUCCUUUUCAUUGCAGUCAGGGAACAAGAAUAUCUGGUGCAGCUUCUUUAGGAGGGAGGGCCUCAUAUUAUCUAUCUUCUGUAGUUUCCCAUCGUUGAUCGUGGCAGUUGUCCGUACGAUGCAACCUAUUUGAUUGCCGUAGCACGAUCGCGCUUCCUCGGGCGCUAUUGUCUCAAAAAUACCGUUGUCCAUCUCCGUGACCACCAGUCUAGUACUCAUGAGCUGGUUUGGGUGCCGUGGCCUCUUUGCUUUCGGUUCUAGACCAGCUCCGCUAGUCUCGGCGCCGGUCUCAGUCUCAUCACCGGUCUGCAUGUCGGUAUCAGUCCCCGAUGCGACAGCACAGUCGCUGCAACAUGGGUAAGGGAGACCACAUCAGUGCUGGGGUGGUCUGAAAAUUGGGACACACUUUCGCGCAUUGCGGGCCGCCUCUCAGACAGCUACUGGGGAGGCGGCGGAGUACCUGGGUGCGCGACGAAUCCCCGGGAACUCGGUGACCAACUUCCUUCCCAUGUAGCGCAUGGAGACGAUGGCGACCCCGCCGAAGAGCAGCUUAGUUGCGAGCUGCACAGCCUCGUCCACCUCCUAAGUUGGGACCUCCGCGCGAGCGUUGCGGGGCCGCCGCUCGGAUGGCUUCUGGAAGGCGCUUGUACAUGGGCACAGGGUGAAUCCCGGCAAGAGCUGGCCAUUGGUGCGCGCAAGUAGACGACGACGUCGCCGACGAAGAGCAGCCCGGCCAGCUCGCCUCACUCUCCUUUGAUUAGAAUUGAAAGAUUGGGAAGAAGCAGACUUGAGCCUGCAGGGAAAGGAUAAGGUGACGAUGCAGUCUCCACUCGUUCGGGGCGACACGCGUACUGAAUGUAUGAGAAACGCGACGUGGCAGGGACCCCAAGAUACUCCCUCCAUUUAUUUUUAGUCUGCAUAUAAAGUUUGGUCAAAGUCAAGAUUUGUAAAUUUUAACUAACUUUAUAAUAAAAAAAAUCAACAUUCACAAUAUGAAAUAAUUAUUACCAGAUGCGUCAUGAAAUGUAUUUCCAUACUAUAUAGGUUUGGUAAUGUAGAUGUUCAUAUUCUUUUAUAUAAAUGGGAAGUAGAGGCACUCUUCCAUAUAAUGAAGUUUAUAAUAUAUGUGCUUAUAUUAUACUAUAAUUGUUUGAAUAACUUAGCAUAUGUUCAGAUGUAUGAUAUCUGUAAUUUAAGCGCUUGAAUUUUACAUAUAAAUAUUUAUUAAUAAAUAUGUACCCCUAUAAUAGCUAGGCCGUGCAGUUGCACGGGUAGAUGACUAGUGAUUACAAUCUUGUUUGUGUGCAAGUCAAGCUUAUCUAGUUUACACGUAACAACUUGUAGAACAUUACAAAAUUUAUGCUUGCUAAUAACUUCUAGAACACUACAACACUUGACAUGUAAAAGGAAUUUGACGAGUCAUGGCCUACUAAAGAAAGUUACAUUACUAGUCUUAUAUCUAUCUUAAUAGACCACACAAGACUACAAAUUAAGUACCGUGACAGCCAUGAUUAUCUAGUUUAUGCGUAACAAUUUGCAGAAAAUUACAAACUUAGUUUUAGAAAAAUAGGCAAUCCAGAUUAGUGUUUGAGCUGUAAAGUGAAUAAGAUGAGUCAUGCGUGUUAUCACACCUUUUUGGUGGUGGAAUGAUAGUGCAAAACAAGGAACUUUAAUGAACAGUCCAAUAAUACACUUGUAAGUAGUGCCACCAAACAGAACAUACCAAAUGAUGAUUUUGAGAAGCAUCCAAGCACUUUCCACACAAACAAAUGCCAAUUGUGAAAGAGAUCAUUCCAUGGCAGCUAUAAAUAGCCCCGUAGCAUGACGAUCAUCCUUCCUCAUCCAUCAUUCUCAUAAGUAGAGCGCAUCAUUUAAGCCAAGCAAGCUGUGGUCAAUACAAAUCCACCAUGAAGACAUUUCUCAUCCUUGCCCUCCUUGCUAUCGUGGCGACCACCGCCACAACUGCAGUUAGAGUUCCAGUGCCACAAUUGCAGCCACAAAAUCCAUCUCAGCAACAGUCACAAGAGCAAGUUCCAUUGGUACAACAACAACAAUUUCUAGGGCAGCAACAACCAUUUCCACCACAACAACCAUAUCCACAGCCGCAACCAUUUCCAUCACAACAACCAUAUCUGCAGCUGCAACCAUUUCCGCAGCCGCAACUACCAUAUUCGCAGCCACAACCAUUUCGACCACAACAACCAUAUCCACAACCGCAACCACAAUAUUCGCAACCACAACAUCCAAUUUCACAGCAGCAGCAGCAGCAACAACAACAACAACAACAAGAACAACAAAUACUUCAACAAAUUUUGCAACAACAACUGAUUCCAUGCAUGGAUGUUGUAUUGCAGCAACACAACAUAGCGCAUGGAAGAUCACAAGUUUUGCAACAAAGUACUUACCAGCUGUUGCAAGAAUUGUGUUGUCAGCACCUAUGGCAGAUCCCUGAGCAGUCGCAGUGCCAGGCCAUCCACAAUGUUGUUCAUGCUAUUAUUCUGCGUCAACAACAAAAACAACAACAACAACCAUCGAGCCAGGUCUCCUUCCAACAGCCUCAGCAACAAUAUCCAUUAGGCCAGGGCUCCUUCCGGCCAUCUCAGCAAAACCCACAGGCCCAGGGCUCUGUCCAGCCUCAACAACUGCCCCAGUUCGAGGAAAUAAGGAACCUAGCGCUACAGACGCUACCUGCAAUGUGCAAUGUCUACAUCCCUCCAUAUUGCACCAUCGCGCCAUUUGGCAUCUUUGGUACUAACUAAGAAGAAAAUAACUCUAGUACUAGAUAUAUGAAACACCGUUUUCUCAGUCCAUGGUUUGGUCGUUGUAGCGGUGAAAAAAUAAAGUGACAUGCACUAUCAUGUAAGAACCCAAACUAUACUAGUUCAAACUUGGGAAUAAAAGACAAACACAGGUCUUGUCUACAUAUUUAUGCUGCAUCUAUUUAUAUAUUAAAAGUAAUAUAAGGUGAACCAGGAGCAAGGUAAAUAUGGUAGAAAAUUGCAC